rnacentral:lncRNA from 1 species
CUUUCAGAUGCUCACUUGACUCAAUUAGGAAUUUUCAAAAUCACCACUUUUUCAACUUACAUGCCAUCACAAGAAAGAAGUGUCCCAAAACCACACACACAUAUCAAUAAGACAAGGGACAAAUAUGCAACACUCACACUCACAAAGAAUCAUCUCAUGCACACAAAUGUCACACCAUAGGCUUGCCCAUAUUUUCAAUUCUCUUUAGGAUAGACUAAAAAGAAAAGUAUGUCUAUAAGCCUGAACGAAUUUCGUAUUAUAAACCAACAAUGCAAUAGCCUUUAUAUUGACACUUCACUCAGCAGUCGCAAAAGUUGUCCAACUUGAUCAAUUUUUCCAAAUGUAAGUUCUUCACAUUCACAAGAAAACCAGAACUUAACUAGAUAUAAAUACAAAACGAAAAUGUAUAAAACAAUGAUCUCACUCUUUAAUGCGGGUAACACUGCCUGCACUUGUAGUCACGAAGUAAUGGGCUAAGCUCUUUUAAUUGAAUUGACUUGGGCGAAGACUUUGACCAGUGGUGGCGAAGUUCUUGUACAUCCUUCAGUGAUCAAAAUAAUUCAUAAAUAAAAUAUAAAUAUUUUAAUUUGAAUAUAAAAGGAGAAAUGACUAUCUUUUGGAAAUUAAUUAAGUCAAAUCAAAAUUAAAUAAAAUGUUAGUUAAUACAACAAUGAAUAAACAAGAGGGAAGAAAUACCAAAUUUGGGCCAAAGAUUCAAAAUCUGCUGAACCUAUCAUAAUACUAAGAAUUACCCAAAAAAUAAGGGUUUGGGCCUAUUUAUAUCAACGACCAGUUGCUGGGCCAUUCUUUUGAGCCUUUGGGCUGCUUUUCACUCUUAAAAGUCAUGAUAUACACCAAGUGUAUAUAUGAUGUAUACACCAGGUAUAUAACUGAUAUACGACCCAUUUUUAUGAACUCUGAAACCCUCCUUUCUAAUUUCAAACCUGUAUUCCUAUAUUUUGAUAUUUCUUGACCUGUAUCUCAAUAUUUUCAUCAUGUAUAUUGAUGUAUACCACUGCAUACACCCUAUAUACAACCUAUAUCUUAGUUUUUCAGCAUGUGUUUGGUCUUCGAUUUUGACCUAUUCAUCGAUUUCCUGCUGGCUGACUCAUGGAUAAAGAAAUUUGGGCCUUCAUGGCCCAAAUGAAAUGCAAAGGGAGGAAGAGGGAGUUCAUGAUGAACUCGGGAAUAACAAAACAAAUAAAGCACAUAAGUAUUAACAUCAUAAGAGGUAUUGAACUAAUAUGACUGGGGGUGUUGCUCAGCCCCUGACACACCGCAAGGGUUAUUUAAAAAGAACCUUAAGUCAUAAACCCUAAACCUUUUGGGCUAACCCUAAACCCAAAUCUCCAAAUCUUAAACCUUAGGGCCUAAACCGUAAACCCUAAACCUUUGGGCCUAACCAUAAACCCUAAUUCCUAAACUCUAAACCUUAGGACCUAAACUACUAACCCUAAACUUUAGAGCCUAGACCCUAAACCUUAAGCCUUAGGGCCAAAAUCCUAAACCCUAUGCAGAUUGAGUGCACUAACCCCUUCUAUGCAGAUUGUUGAAAAAAAAAGGAAUUGGACUGUUCGUCUAGACAAAAUCCUACCCCUUUUGAUCCUAACAAUUCCAUAAAUCAUAAGGUUUUGAAUGCUGAAGAGAAUAGAACUAAAGAUGUGUCUAACACCUCCCAAAAAACUACUGCUCCUAUUCCCCAUGAUCUCACUAAACUCACUUCAAACUUCGAUAAACAUACCAACAACCCUCAAAAGAAACAACAAUCACAAAUGGAAAAUAAUACCAAAGUAUAUAGACACCAUGGUCACUGUACAAACACCAAAAAUGUGUUGACCCCUGAACCAAGUCCUUUCAUGGUGAUUUAAACUUUUGUGACAAGACUAUGAGCUAACCAAGCUAAGAAUGAAAUCCCUAUUGAGAUAUCGACUCCUACAUUCACUACAAGACAAUGCCUGCCAGCAGUGAUUUUUCAAAGAGAGGAUUUUUUGGUGAAAUUAGCUUCAAGAUGCAAAUACACUUUGGUUGGGUUGGGAAGUUCACAAACACUAUGCCAAAAAUUGAACUUAUCAGGAAGAGUUUUAUCCUUCAGACACUACUAAAAAAAUAGUGAAUACCGACCUAAAAAUUACCGACUUCAAAUGGAGGUCGGUAUUGUUAAAAAGAAUAAAAACUAAAAAAAACUUUAGAAAACCGACCUCUGGAGGUUGGAAUUUUUCCUGGAAAAAAUGAAUUACAAUAAAAACUGACCUCUUGAUGUCGGUAUUAAAUAAAUAUAUAAAUAACAAUAUUUUAUUUUUUCUCAAUUAAAUAUAUAAAACAAAAUUGAGAAAUAUUUUGAUUUAUUUUUAUUUAAAUUGUCUUCCGGAGGACGGUUUUGUGUAAAAUAAAAACAAAAAAAAUUAUAAUAUCGACUUUCGGAAGUCGGUAAAAUUAAAUAGUCUGUAAUUAAAUUAAUUUUCAUUAAAAUAUUUAUAUAGUGACUUCCAGAAAAUUCAUAAAUUAAUAUUUUCAAUUAAAUUUAAAUAAAUCGUCCUCCGGAUGAUGGUUUUAUAUAAGUUAAAAAAUAAAUUAAUAUAAAAUACCAACCUCAUGAGGUCUGUAUUUUUAUUUCAUCUAAUUACUUUUAAAAGCGACAUUCGGAGGUNNNNNNNNNNNNNNNNNNNNNNNNNNNNNNNNNNNNNNNNNNNNNNNNNNNNNNNNNNNNNNNNNNNNNNNNNNNNNNNNNNNNNNNNNNNNNNNNNNNNNNNNUUUCAUUUUACACCUACAAUUAAUUGUGUAAAAAAGUGUAACAAUUUUGUUUACUUUUAUAAAUAAAAAGUUAGAUCAAUAAUCCAUAUUUAGAGUAUGAAACUACGUUGAUAUGAAAACUGACUACAAGUAGUCGGUUUUUAUGCAAAAUAAAGCAGGAAAACCAAAUUCUGACCUAUAGAGGUCGGAAUUUUUCCGGGAAAAAAUGAAUUACAAUAAAAACCGAUCACUUGAUGUCUGUAUUAAAUAAAUAAAUAAAUAACAAUAUUUUAUUUUUUCUCAAUUAAAUAUAAAAAACAAAAUUGAGAAAUAUUUUGAUUUAAUUUUAUUUAAAUCGUCUUCCGGAGGACGGUUUUGUGUAAAAUUAAAAACAAAAAAAAUUCUAAUAUCGACUUCUGGAAGUCGGGAAAAUUAAAUAGUAUGUAAUUAAGUUAAUUUUCAUUAAAACAUUUAUAUAGUGACUUACAAAAAAUUAAUAAAUUAAUAUUUUCAAUUAACUUUAAAUAAAUCGUCCUCAAGAUGACAGUUUUAUGUAAGUUAAUAAAUAAAUAAAUUUAAAAUAACGACCUCCCGAUGUCAAUAUUAUUUAAUUAACAUGACUACUUUUUAUUUUUUCGUAAAAUUUAAUGUGAUACCGAAUCGAUUUGUUUAAAAUAUUUCUAUUAAUCAUAAUUUUGCUAUUGUGCAUAAUAUUAAAUUUUAAUUUUACACCUACAAUUAAUUGUUUCAAAAAGUGUAACAAUUUUGUAUACUUUUAUAAAUAAAAAGUUAGAAUUCGUGGAAUAAAUAAAAAAAUAUCUAUAAUCCAUAUUUAGAGUAUGAAACUACGUUGAUAUGAAUUAGGAGAUAAUUAUACUUAUAUUUCUAGAGUAAUGUACAAAUUCUAUCAGUCUGUUGUCAAAUCAUGAACUUAAUAUCUCAUGUAAUGAUAUAGAGGUGAAGAGCUAACAUAUAAUCCAUUUGAGUAUGAAAUGCGAGAUAAUACUCGUAGAAAUGUCAUGAUAACAAUUAAUUAAAUUUUUUAUUUAUAAUUAACUGUUUAAUUAUUUGUACGUAUAACCUUCAAUGUCUUAUCUCAUUUUAUGAAAUACACAAUAGAACAUCAUAAAUUACUGUACAAAGUAAGUUCUAUCAAGAUUAUUACGUUCGAUCUUGAAUGGAUGUCAAGUGUAGUGAUCAUAUCGCAUACAAUGACAUGUAAAGGAUAACUCAUCGGAGUAUGAAAUACAUUGAUUAUAUACUCCUCGUGUAGUUUAACAAAUCAAGUUUUAUAUAUUAGUGGUUUAGAUAUGAAAUACAUUAUCAAUUAAAGAAAUACCGAUGAUCAAUUCAAGGAGAUUUAUAUAUUAAAUUUGAUAUUGAUAAACUUCCGUUGAUCGAUAAAAUUAAAUUUAUAUAAUUAGGAGGUAUAUAAUUUAAAUUUAUAAAAGUAAACUUUUGUUGAUGUGUAGUUAAAUUAAAUUAUAUAUAUAUAUAAUUUUAAUUAACAAAAUCGACCUCAAGAGGUGAGUUUAUAUUAAAAUAAAUUAUUAAAUACAUACCUUAAGAGGUUGGUAUAUUUAAAUUAUUAUUUUAUAUAAAUAAAAACGAUUUCAUAAUGUCAGUAUUUAUUUUAAUAUUUUUAAAUAUAGAUAAUUAUUUUAAAAGAUUCCACCGGCGAAGACGCCGCGAAGACCACUUGGCAAUAGCUCCAGCUGCUGUCCACCAGCGACCCACGAAGCCACCGCGAAGUAGCAGCAACAACCAGGCAUCACCUCUCUCUUCUUCAACGCUGCUACUCCAGCAGCGGCCUCUGCUCUACUCUCCGGCGAAGAAAUCGACAACGCCAACAACAACUAACAUCUCUGGUCAGCAACUUCGGUCAACGACAAUAGGCAACAAAAUUAUUGGUGUCAUUCUUCCUUCUUCUUUGUGAAUGCUCAUGCCUUAAUUUCUUCCCUUUUUGAUUUGCAUGUUUGUUAAUAUGAUUAUACAUAUUCAAACUCUUUACUUGUCUGAUUUUAUUAUGUGAUUUUUCUCCAUGAUGGAUAUAGUAUUUUCUUACUAGGAUUUCCCCAUUUGCGAUUGUGUUAAUAUGUUGUCUUCCUGUUUAAACUCAUUGGUUUUGAAUUGUUCCACGUAGUGUUUGAAGGUUUAAGGGUUACAAACUCAAUUCUGUUUCCAGAUCCCAUUGCCCAUAAUCAGUACUUGAAUUUGAUUAAAAUUACUAGCUUCUCGUCCAAAUUGGUAAAAGACUUAUCGUGAUGAUUAAUUUGAAUGGAUAUAAAGUGAUAUAAGGCUCAAGAAUUUGAUGUUUGGAGAUUGUGGUCUUUUAGUGAAUGAUUCGUAAUUUGGCACACUUUUCUUAUAAUAUAUUAUUACAUUAUGAUUUGCGUUUUGGUAUAUUAAGAUAGGUUAAAAAGUAAGUGUUUAUACACAUUAAAAUUUGAACACUCUUGUUGUAAUUCUUGGUUUCUCAACCCCGGACACAAUCAUGGUAACAUAUAUAUCACAAUAACUAGUGGAACAAAGAGAGGAAGCAUUGAAAAUAGGAGAAACCUAGUUGAUCCUAUUGAUGACAAAAUUGAUUUUAUUGCCAGAUUGAUUUGUGUCCAUCUAGUGUUGAUACUAAUAUUUAAUAUAAGAAUAAUGUGUUUGUUAAGCAUAAGUACCAACACGAUCCUAUUGAUGACAAAGUUGAUUUUCUAGCAAGAUUCAUUUGUGUCCAUCUAGUGUUGAUACUAAACUUUAAUUUAGGAAUUAAUUAUUAUUUCUUAAGCAUAAGUACCAACACGAUCCUAUUGAUGACAAAGUUGAUUUUCUAGCAAGAUUCAUUUGUGUCCAUCUAGUGUUGAUACUAAUAUUUAAUAUAAGAAUAAUGUGUUUGUUAAGCAUAAGUACCAACACUAGUUGAUCCUAUUGAUGACAAAAUUGAUUUUAUUGCCAGAUUGAUUUGUGUCCAUCUAGUGUUGACACUUAGCUUUAAAUUUAGUUUUUACUUGUUUAGUUCUUGAAAUAAGUUGAAAUAAAGUUUAAUUAACCCCUAGCUAGUUUGACAAAUUAUUUAAAAUAAUGUGGUUUAGUUGGUGGAUUUAGUUGUUGGAAUUAAUUCAAAAACUAGUUAGAGUUAAAGUUGUUUAGUUGUUUAAAUAAGUUCAAAUAAUUAAUGCGGUUUAGUUGGUGGAUUUAGUUGUUGGAAUUAAGUCAAAACUAGUUAGAGUUAAAGUUGUUUAGUUGUUUAAAUAAGUUCAAAUAAUUAAUGCGGUUUAGUUGGUGGAUUUAGUUGUUGGAAUUAAGUCAAAACUAGUUAUAGUUAAGAAGUUGUUAAAUUAUUUAAAUAAGUUCAAAUAAAUAAUGUGAUUUAGUUGAUAGAUUUAGUUGUUGUAAUUAAGUCAAAACUAGUUAGAGUUAAAAAGUUGUUAAGUUGUUUAAAUAAGUUCAAAUAAAUAAUGUGGUUUAGUUGGUGAAUUUAGUUGUUUGAAUUAAGUCAAAACUAGUUAGAGUUAAAAAGUUAUUAAGUUGUUUAAAUAAGUUCAAAUAAAUAAUGUGGUUUAGUUGUUGGAUUUAGUUGUUGAAUUAAGUCAAAACUAGAUCGAGUUAAAAAGUUGUAAAGUUGUUUAAGUAAGUUCAAAUAAAUAAUAUGGUUUAGUUGGUGGAUUUAGUUGUUGGAAUUAAGUCAAAACUAGUUAGAGUUAAAAAGUUGUUAAGUUGUUUAAAUAAGUUCAAAUAAAUAAUGUGGUUUAGUUAGUGGAUUUAGUUGUUGGAAUUAAGUCAAAACUAGUUAGAGUUAAAAAGUUGUUAAGUUGUUUAAAUAAGUUCUAAUAAAUAAUGUGGUUUAGUUGGUGGAUUUAGUUGUUAACUAGUUAGAAUUAAAAAGUUGUUUUGUUGUUUAAGUAAGUUCAAAUAAAUAUUGUAGUUUAGUUUGUGGAUUUAGUUGUUGGAAUUAUGUCAAAACUAGUAAGAGUUAAAAAGUUGUUUCGCUGUAUAAAUAAGUUCAAAUAAAUAAUGUGAUUUAGUUGGUGGAUUUAGUUCAAAACUAGUUAGAGUUAAAAAGAUAUUUAAAUAAGUUUAAAUAAAUAAUGUGAUUUAGUUGGUCAAAUUAAGUCAAAACUAGUUAGAGUUAAAAAGAUAUUUAAAUAAGUUUAAAUAAAUAAUGUGGUUUAGUUGGUGAAUUUAGUUAUUGGAAUUAAGUCAAAACUAGUUUGAGUUAAAAAGUUGUUAAGUUCAAUAAUGUGGUUUAGUUGGUGGAUUUAGUUGUUUGAAUUAAGUCAAAACUAGUCAGAGUUAAAAAGUUGUUAAGUUGUUUAAAUAAGUUCAAAUAAAUAAUGUCGNNNNNNNNNNNNNNNNNNNNNNNNNNNNNNNNNNNNNNNNNNNNNNNNNNNNNNNNNNNNNNNNNNNNNNNNNNNNNNNNNNNNNNNNNNNNNNNNNAAAGUUGUUAUGUUGUUUAAAUAAGUUUAAAUAAGUAAUGUGGUUUAGUUGGUGGAUUUAGUUGUUGGAAUUAAGUCUAAACUAGUUAGAGUUAAAAAGUUGUUUAGCUGUUUAAAUAAGUUCAAAUAAAUAAUGUGGUUUAGUUGGUGGAAUUGAUUCAAAUAAAGUUUAAUUGAAAGUGAUAAUAUGUUUAAUAACUUUGUUGUCGGUGAAAGUAGUAAAUCUGUAGAGCAUAAUUAUGUCCAAGGUUCUAGAAUGUCAAAUAUGAUUGAUGAUUCUUUUGGGAUGCAUUCUGAUUUUGAAUUUGGGGGAAAUGUAGAAGAAGCUCCCAAUGAAGAAGCAAACAUAUUUUAUAAACAAUUGUGUGAUUGUAGUCGGCCUUAGUUCAACGAGCGUCAACACUCUAAAUUGUCUGUUGCAGUGAUUCAAAUAAAGUUUAAUUGAAAGUGAUAAUAUGUUUAAUAACUUUGUUGUCGGUGAAAGUAGUAAAUCUGUAGAGCAUAAUUAUGUCCAAGGUUCUAGAAUGUCAAAUAUGAUUGAUGAUUCUUUUGGGAUGCAUUCUGAUUUUGAAUUUGGGGGAAAUGUAGAAGAAGCUCCCAAUGAAGAAGCAAACAUAUUUUAUAAACAAUUGUGUGAUUGUAGUCGGCCUUAGUUCAACGAGCGUCAACACUCUAAAUUGUCUGUUGCAGUUAGAUUGUCAAGUAUCAAAUCUGUCAUUAAUAUUUCUCAGGCCUAGCUAACUUUUCUUUUUGAAUCAGGAAAAAUUCUUCGUCUAUGUCUAGGCAGCAGUGAUGGAUCUGAUCAGAAGGGUGAUGAGAAUGAUAAGUCUAAUAAGGAGAGUGAGGGUGAUGAUAAUUAUAAGUUUGAUAAGGAGAGUGAGGGUGAUGAUGAGUAGUUGUAUCUAUUUGACAUUUUAAACUUCUAUAGUUUUGGAAUUGUUUGAUCAUAUUUCAGUUUAUUUUAAAGUUGGAUGAAGUUUAUUUUGAAAUAGUUUAAUGUAUAUGUUGAAAAUAUUGUGUUGUUCUGGUUGGAUGAAGCUUAUUUUGAAAUAGUUUAUUUGGAAUUCGUUGGGUUGUUUUGGUAUAUAUAUGCAGGUGGGCAUCUAAAAUUGCAACAAUUUGCUUCUAGUUUUGUAACAGAAAAUCGACCUCCAGAGGUCAGAAUCUCAAAAAAAUAAUAAAAAUACCGACCUCCAGAGGUCAGAAUCUCAAAAGUAAAAAAUUAAAAUACUGACCUUCGGAAGUCAGAGUAUCAAAAAUAAAAAAUAAAAAUACUGACCUCCGACGUUCAGAAUCUCAAAAAUAAAAAAUAAGAAUACCGACCUCCGAAGGUCAGAAUCUCAAAAAUAAAAAAAUAAAAAUACCGACCUCUGGAGGUUAGAAUCUCAAAAAUAAAUAAAAUAAAAAAUAAAAUAUACCGACGUCCAGAGGUCGGAAUUUAAAAAUUAAAAUAUACCGACUUCCAGAGGUCGAAAAUAUUAAAAAUUAAAAAUAAAAAAAUUAAUAAAUAGUAUUCCAAAAUAUGAGAAAUAAAUAUUCUAACCUCAAGAAGAUGGAAAUAAUAAAAAUAAAAAAUAAACAAAUAUAUAAAAGUGACCUCAGGAAGUCGGAAAAUAAUUUAAUGAAUUUUCCGACUUAAAAUUAAAACUGAUCUCGCGAGGUCAGUAAAUACCGACCUCCAUAUGUCGGUAUUGAAUAGCGACAAAGCGUUUUCUGACCUAAGCUGGGAAGUUCGGUAUUCACUAUUUUUUUAGUAGUGAGACUCAGCUUAUUGGUGAUGUCAAAUUAGCUCACUUUAAUGUGAGGCAUAUUUAUAUUGACUUGGACAACGAAGAUGAUCAUAUUUCUGUGUGGAACAAGCAAAAGAUGUACAUUGAGGGUCAAUUAAUGAGACUCCAAGUUUGGACCCCCACCUUCACUCUUGAGGAAGAGACCCCCACUGUGCCUGCCUAUAUGGGUUACUUAACCACAGUUACCUUGGAAUUGCUCUAACAGAGUGUUUUUGGCUAUCUUCUUAUCUCCUAUUGGUAAAACUUCAUAUUUGGAUCUUAUAUCUCUCCAAAAACUAGAGGUAGUGUGGCAAAAGUUAGGAUACAAAUAGACAUUAUGAAAGAAAGACCUCUUCAUGUUUGGAUGGGGUUUCAUGAAGAAGACUUUAUUGUGAGAAGAUGGCAAGCCAUCCAAUAUGAGGGACUACCAGAGUAUUGUUCUUAUUGCAAACACCAAGGUCACGUAUCACAAGUUUGUAACAUAAAGAGAAGAGAUGAGGAAUAAAAGAAGAGAAAAGAAGCUGAAGCUGCAAAUAAAAUCAAGGACAAGAAGACUGCAGGUGCCAGCAAUCAGGUAAUUCCCCAAACUUCUCCUCAACAGGUUAAUGCUAAUAUGACUGCUAAUGUUUCAGAUGUUGAGGAUACCCAAAAACAAAUGCAGCAAACACAACCUGAGAUGGACAAACAACAAAUGGAUGAGUGGCAAACUCUUUUGAAAAGCAGCAAGUGGAAAAGUCAGGUAUUGAUUUAACCCUCCCACAACCCCAUUCCCCUGAUAAAGUUGAUCAAACAGGUCCAUGUGAUGGUAAUCAGAAAGCUCAAAAUAAACAGAGUAAAGAUGGAAAAAUAACCCCAGGUAUUGAAUCAAUGCUCCCAAACCCCAAGAACCCCCUUGAUAAUAGUUUUUUGCUGUUGCCUGUUUCUGAAGUUAUGGGAGGUGAGGUGGAUGGGAUCAAUGAGAAACCUACUAAAUUGCAGGAAGGGAUAUAACCAAAGGGAGGAAUUUAUCCCAUGCUUUGUAUUGGGAACCUUAUGAAUGACCCUAGGAUGGACUUUAGAGCCCCUGCUACCACUACUCGAAGUGCUAAUUUUGAACAAAUUCAGAACAUUACAGAAGGUGAUCAGUGUGGUAUCUCAAUUGAGGCAGAAGGGUUGACAAACAUUCAGAAUGAGGGUGAUAAGGCAGAACUUAAUAAGCUUCAGAUGAUGGCAAAUUCUCAGAAAAUGGUUGAGAGCACUGGGGAAACCAGGUACAAAAUCAGAGGUUAAAAGGUCCUACCAAGUCACAACUUGAAAACAAAAAAAGAGAGCUUCAGAAAGAAGAUCAGUUAAGAAGUGAGGUUGUUACUUGUAUUCAGUCUGUGGAACCAAAUAAUAGUAACCAAACCAAACAGGGAAUCAGGAAAUCAACAAACUUCAGCACACUCAAUCCAAUGAUCCUAAUGUAUAGCCAGGAGGUAAACCUGCAAAUAAUAACACUCCUACCAAGAACAAGGAUGGAGAAACUACUAAACCUCUUAAUAAUAAGUCUCAGCCUCAACUCAAUAAAAAGAAAAGAGAUGCAAUAAAGAGAAGAAAAGAGAACGAGGAGGUUGCACGACAACAAUCAAUGAAAAAAUUUAUCCUGGUUAAUGAGCAGGCUAGUUUGGAUAUAAUGUCACACCCCGAGCCUACACCCUGGACGUGGCUGGAACUCGAUGACCAUUGCUGGCCUCAAGAGAACCCUUGGCCUGGCUUACUAACUCAACAGAAGACUUAACUCAUCACAUACACAUUUAUGAAGUAACUAGAAUGUUAUAAAGGAACAUUCAACUGGCCAUUAAGGCAAACUCAAGUCUUUAACAUAUGAAAUGAAAAGUGAAGACAACUGAAUUAACUAACUGACUGUCUAUGAAGCCUCUAAACAACUGAGAUGGAUGUCGGUACAGGCCCACGACAUCCUAAUGAACUAAUACUAAAAUUGAAAGCAAUGAAAAUGAGUUCUCUAGAAUGCAAAGAGGCUAACCAACAGACUCUGAACUGCUCACUGGAUCAACGAUGCGUCGGAUGGCGAUCCUAGUUACCUGUGUCUGCAUCAUAAUAAGAUGCAGGCCAACUAGCAUCAGUACAUUGAAUGUACGAGUAUGCGAGUUGGAAUGCUAAACACAACUUAAGCUUGAAAAGAAACUGAAAUGAAACUGAAGAACUUACCUGGCUCAAGUCAACUCAACAUAACUGAACUCAUUUCAAUAUAAAGCAGUUUUAAAACAAGUGCAAUAUAAAGAAAAGUUGUUUAAAACAUGAUGUCAACUCUGGGUGUAUGCAAAGAUACACUAAAACUCUGAAAUGUAAUGUAAAAAUACAAAUAACUAUGUAUAUAAGAAUACAAAUAACUUAUGUGGGAGUUUCUCAAACCGACAACCAUCACUUAAGAGCUAUAGUGAUGAUACAACGAUCUUCCUCACGCUGCUUGCGCAUCCUAUACCUUGCCACAUGUAUAAGACCUGAACUACUAAGUGGAUCCACUAGUCUAUGCAUAAAUGAUUCAUCUAAAAAGUAUGACACUUUUCUACCCAUGAUGGCUACAUGGUUUAUGGGGGCUGUGGGUUCUCUGAACGCUCUCCCAUAUCGGUGCUCAAUACUACUCCUAAAAUAUGGUACUAACUCUUUAUAUUUAAAAACAUACUUCUUCUAUGAUGUGAGAUUAGUGCUCAAAAUCUUAGCUCAAAGGCUAUCUUGGAAAUCAAAUUUUCCCCUCUUGCUUCAUUUAUAAAGCGAUUACUCUUUUCUGAAAACUAGCCCGAAGGCCCUUUGGAAAUCGGGGUUUUCUUUCUUGUUUAAAUGUGAAAACAUUUUACACCCUUUGGGAAUACAUAGUCCCCAUAUACUUUUGAAGAAAUGGACUUCAAACUUUACUCUUUACUCUUUAUUCUUUACUUAACUUGAACUUUAAGUCUUAAAACAAAGUUAAAACAUUUGGAAAAGACUUCUUGAAAAGACUCUAAGAACUUCCUAGAUUUGGCUCUUAAUUUUCCUUGAAUUUGAAUUUAUGGAUUCAAGGUUAUGAUUCAUAUUUCUGGAUGAUUUCUAGAUGUUUAGAAGUCAUUUAGAGUAGUUAGAAUCAAUGGAAAGUGUUAGUAUACUUUAGAAAGGCUUAAACGGACUGAAUGUCAAAAAAUUGGGUGAAAAACGAUGAUUCGAGCGCAUCCAGGGCGCGCCGUGCCAGGCCCCAACUUACUGGGGCUCAUUUUUGGUGCACUGCAGGCACACCGCCCCAGCCUCCUAGCAUUAUGGGGGCGCGACGCGCCUAUCCCUCACCAGGUGAGUCUGAUGAAAUUUUGAUCUCAUUUUCUGAUCCUAAAUCAUUUUAAUCCGUUUCUUUUUCUCAAAUUCACUUUAGAUUCAUGUACCCAAAUCAUAUACACAAACUCUAACCCAAACAACUCAAGGAAACAACACUUUAACAUCAAGAAACUCCUUAAUCCCAACUCAUAUUCAAGAACGAAAUCAAUUCAAGAACAACUAUCAAGAACAUCAAAUUCUCAAUCUUUUUAUGACGAAAAUACGCUGAAUUAAAUAUGCUUGGCACGUGGGUGAACUAACCCAAUGCUAUGUUAUCUCACAUACCUGGUAGGAAUAAACCCUUGGCGAAAAUCCCAACUAUCCUGAUCGAUCUUGAUGAAUCUUGUCCUCUCUCCUUCUUCUUUUCUCUUCUCCUUAGCCCUAACGUGAAAUUCCAAAUUCUAAAACUGAAUAAAAUCUGAUUUGAUCCAUAUUAAACUCGUAAAAAUGGAUUAAAAUAAUUGGACAAGGAAAAGAGUAAAAUACCCCUUAAAAAUCCGGAUUGGACUUUUCCCUAUUUGAACAGCCCAACUUCCAAAGGGAAUAUCUCACUCAUACGAAUUCGGAAUUUCACAAACUUGGCGGCGUUGGAAAGAUAAUUCCAAGAGCUCUCCAACCAUAUCUAUAAGUACACCUAAAUAAUCUUGAUAUAAGAGUUAUGGACGUUUGAAGUUGACCAAAAACUCACUUUUCCUAACUUAAACAAUUUUCCAGAUUUUUCAUUCUUUCCAAAAAUGACUAUUUCCAGUUCUUAGCCUCUUCUUAGCUAUUUCAAUUUGCGAUAUGUUACAAUAUAUCUCCCUUUGGAACAUUCGUCCUCGAAUGCGAUUACUCUUACUAGGCUAAGGGUGGUAACAUCAAGUUCAAACACCCAACAAGCAAAUGCAAACAAACAACAUGCUCACUCAUAAUUUAAAGAGUACUAAAAAGAGAAUUAGUACCUUGGUCUGCAUUUUCUCCGUAUCCAAAGAGAUGUGGAUAUAUCUUCUUCAUAUCCUCUUUAGCUUCCCAAGUAGCUUCUUCAACAAAUUGGUUCCUCCAAUGGACUUUAACUGAUGCAACCUCUUUUGUCCUUAACUUGCGAGCUUGGCGAUCUAGAAUCUGGACCGGAAUCUCCUCAUAAGAUAAGCUAUCCUUGAUCUCAAUAUUUUCAGUUGGUAUGAUCAAUGAAGGAUCGCCCAUGCACUUCUUCAACAUGGAGAUGUGAAACACCGGAUGAACCGCUGCUAGCUCUUAUGGUAGCUCCAACUCAUAAGCUACAUUGCCCAUCCUUUUGGAUAUUCGAUAAGGCCCACUAUACCGGGGACUAAGUUACCCUUCUUACCAAACCUAAUAACACCCUUCAUGGGUGAAACCUUUAGAUAUACCCAAUCAUCUACUUCAAACUCUAACGCCCUUCUCCUAACAUCAAUGUAGGAUUUCUGACGACUCUGUGCCAUUUUCAACCUCUCUUGAAUCACUUUAACCUUCUCCAUAGCUUGAUGGACUAAAUCUGGUCCUAUCAACCCUACUUCACCAACUUCAAACCAUCCAAUAAGAGAUCUGCAUCUUCUCCCAUAAAUAGCGUCAUAUGGAGCCAUUUGGAUGCUAGAGUGGUAAAUAUUGUUGUAAGCGAAUUCAAUAAGGGGUACGUGAUCAUCCCAAUUACCUUUGAAAUUGAUUACACAGGCCCUCAACAUAUCUUCUAAUGUCUGAAUAGUGCGCUCUGCUUGCCCAUCUGUCUGAGGAUGAAAGGCAAUACUUAAGUUCACCUUCGAACCCAAACCUUUCUGAAAGGAUUUCCAGAACUGUGCAGUAAAUUGUUCACAUCUAUCUAAAAUAAUGGAGACUAGGACUCCAUGAAGUCUUACCACUUAUUGAAUAUAUAACCUGGCAUAAUCUUAUGCUGAAUGGGUAGUCUUUACCGGCAUAAAAUAGGCUGAUUUUGUCAUUUUAUCGACAAUCACCCAAAUAGAAUCAUGCUAUCUGCGAGACCUUGGCAAGGUUGUGAUGAAGUCCAUAUUAAUCAUCUCCCACUUCCAUUUCAGAAGUUCUAUAUUCUGAGCCAAACCACCAGGCCGUUGGUGCUCUACUUUAACUUGUUGGCAAUUUGGGCACUUAGCAGCAAAUUCGGCAAUGCCCUUCUUCAUACCAUUCCACCAAUACACCUCUCUCAAAUCACGAUACAUCUUUGUGGAAUCCGGAUGAAUGGAAUACCUGGAGCUAUGAGCCUCCUCCAUGAUCCUCUCUUGGAGUCCAUCCACCAUUGGUACACACAAUCUACCUUGAUAUCUCAGUACACCAUCUCCUCCUUGUUCAAAAGCUAAUACUUUUUGCUUAUGAACAUUUGCCUUCAAUUCAAGAAAAAUAGGGACUUGGUCUUGCUUGCCUUUUACUUAUGACACUAAUGAUGAUUCAACCCCAUUCACCACCACUAUUCCUCCUUCUGUGGAAUCCAUGAGUCUGACUCUAAGGCGUGCAAGUCUAUGCACAUCUUUUGCUAACUCUCUCUUUUCUUCCUCAACAUGAACGGUACUACCCAUAGACAACCUGCUUAAAGAAUCAGCAACAACAUUAGCCUUACCUGGGUGGUAAAGAAUACUCAUGUCAUAAUCCUUGAGUAGUUCUAACCACCUUUUCUGUCUGAGAUUGAGCUCUUUCUGAGUAAACACAUACUGAAGGCUCUUGUGAUCGGUGAACACAUCCACAUGAACACCAUAAAGAUAAUGGCGCCAUAUUUUCAAAGCAAAUACUACAUCAGCCAAUUCUAAGUCAUGGGUUGGGUAGUUCGUCUCAUGAACUUUCAACUCUCUGGAGGCAUAAGCUAUAACUUUGCCAUUCUGCAUUAACAUAUAACCCAAUCCAACUCUAGAUGCAUCACAAUACACCACAAAACCUUGCGUACCUUCUGGUAAGGUCAAUAUUGGGGCAGUAGUUAACCUUUUUUUCAAUUCCUGAAAGCUUUUCUCACAAGCUUUAGACCAUUGAAACGUAACUGUCUUCUAAGUCAAUUUGGUCAAAGGGGAUGAAAUAGAUGAGAACCUUUCCAUGAACCUUCUCUAAUAUCCAGCCAAACCCAAGAAACUCCUAAUAUCAGUUAGAGAUGUGGGUCUAGGCCAACUCUGCACUGCCUCUAUUUUCUAGGUAUCAACUCUAAUUCCAUCACCGGAAACUAUGUGGCCCAAGAACGCCACAGACUCAAGCCAAAACUCACAUUUUGAGAACUUAGCAUCAACUCCUUAUCUUUCAAAGUCUGAAGAACUAUUCUGAGAUGGCCAGCAUGAUCUUCUUCAUUCCUUGAAUAUAUUAGUAUGUCAUCAAUGAAGACGAUAACAAACAUAUCUAAAUAAGGUUUGAAGACUCUAUUCAUAAGGUCCAUGAACGCUGCAGGUGCAUUGGUCAAACCGAACGACAUGACCAGAAACUCAUAGUGACCAUAACGGGUCCUAAAUGCUGUCUUGGGAAUAUCACAUUCCCUUACUUUCAACUGAUGGUAGCUAGAUAUUAGGUCUAUUUUCGAAAAACAAGAAGCACCCUUAAGAUGAUCGAAAAUAUCAUCAAUUCUCGGAAGAGGAUACUUGUUCUUGAUGGUAACCUUGUUCAAUUGACGGUAAUCUAUACACAUCCUAAGAGUACCAUCUUUCUUCCUCACAAAUAAGACCGGAGCGCCCCAAGGUGAGACACUUGGUCGAAUAAACCCUUUCUCUAAGAGGUCUUUCAACUUCUCUUUAAGCUCUUUCAACUCUAUGGCGGAAUAUAUAUAGGACGAGUAUCUGGAACAAGGUCUAUACCGAAGUCUAUCUCUCUCUCAGGAGGGACUCCAGGUAGAUCAUNNNNNNNNNNNNNNNNNNNNNNNNNNNNNNNNNNNNNNNNNNNNNNNNNNNNNNNNNNNNNNNNNNNNNNNNNNNNNNNNNNNNNNNNNNNNNNNNNNNNNNNNNNNNNNNNNNNNNNNNNNNNNNNNNNNNNNNNNNNNNNNNNNNNNNNNNNNNNNNNNNNNNNNNNNNNNNNNNNNNNNNNNNNNNNNNNNNNNNNNNNNNNNNNNNNNNNNNNNNNNNNNNNNNNNNNNNNNNNNNNNNNNNNNNNNNNNNNNNNNNNNNNNNNNNNNNNNNNNNNNNNNNNNNNNNNNNNNNNNNNNNNNNNNNNNNNNNNNNNNNNNNNNNNNNNNNNNNNNNNNNNNNNNNNNNNNNNNNNNNNNNNNNNNNNNNNNNNNNNNNNNNNNNNNNNNNNNNNNNNNNNNNNNNNNNNNNNNNNAGACUCACCAACAGGUGUAGAAACACUGAAUGGUUCACUAAGUUGCUCAGGAAUAACAUCAAAAUUCAUAGCAACAUAAGGAGUUACAAAAGAUAAACUCGCUCUUCGGUCUAGCAAAGCAUAAACAGUAAAGUCAAAGACUUGGAUCAUACCAGUGACAACAUCUGGCAAAUCCUCUUGCUCUUGGCGACUGUUGAUAGCAUAUAAGAGGAUUGUUCCUCCGCCAGUACCGGAAGUAGUCCCUCUAGGUGCAUCUCUGUCUGGUGGAGCAACUGAAGAAGACUGGACCAAGCUUGAAACAACCAGUGGAGCCCUCACGACAAAUACCUGAAUAGUUCCUACCACACUUGGCGCAUGCAGGAGGCUUACUACCCCAUUGUGCCAUGCUAUCCUGAGAAUAAGCAGGUUUAGCUCUGAAGUUUUGAUUAUUGUACUCACCUUUGUUUUUAGGUGCAGGUGCACUAGCAGAUGAUGGAGCAUGGUCCUUUUGUUGGAAGGAUGAUCAGUUGGCAUUACUCUUCUGCUGCCCGGACUCAUUCCCUGUCUUAGCCCUUUUGUUCUUAAACUCCUCUCUAUCCCUCAACUUCUCUUCCUCUACCUGCUGCACAUAGACCGUUAACCUUGAGAUAUCCAUGUCACCUAUCAGCAUUGCGGCCCUACUUUCCUUAUUCGACAGUCGAGCCAACCCAGCAACAAACAAGCUCAUUCUACUUGUCAUGUCCGCAACCAUUUUUGGAGCAUAACGGGACAAUUGGGUGAAUUUCAACCCAUAUUCAUGAAGAGCUUAGAGAAUCUUGCAUAAGUGUGAGGAAAUCACGUACCUUGGCCUCUUUCAGUUCUCGGGGAAAGAAACUCCCCAAGAAAGCCUCCUCAAAACAGGCCCAACUCGCAGGUGGUGCAUCCUCAGCUCUACCCCUUUCACUGGUCAAACCAAGUCCUAGCGACAUCUUCAGUUGAUAUGUAGCUAGCUCAACUCUCUCAGUAUCAGCAACAUGCAUCACAUCAAACACUUUUUCAGUUCAUCAACAAAGGUCUCUGGAUCCUCAGAAAUGCUUGAACCAGUGAAACUUGGAGGAUUCAUCCUCAAGAACUCACGAAUCCUUGAAGUGUCAGCCUCUCCUUGUCGAGUUCCUCUUUGUUGCCUAACCUGGUUAGUCACAGCUUGACUCAACAUCCUAAUUGCUUCUCUGAACUCAGCAUUAGUGACUUCCCCUUGAGGUUGCACUUCAGGUGCAUUUUUUAACUCUUGUUCCUCGUCAUUUCUCCUGGCUGGAUGACCUCUGACUGCUCUUCGUGGCGGCAUGAUUAUCUGAAAACACGCGCAAGCACGAAUUGGAAGGAACUUUUUAGAGAUUAACUCUAACGCACCAAAAGAGUGUGGAAGAAGUGAGAGAUUUUCCUAAAUGUUGCAGCCUCCUAAUUAUAUAUGUGGCGCGCUUCACACCGAUAAGUAGGACUCUACAGACACAGCUUCAUACACUCCCUAAGACUCUUGAACUCUGUGGUCUGAUACCAAGUUUGUCAUUCCCCGAGACUACUGAUGAGUCCACAAAUUGGACUUAUUUAGGGCUUUAUUUUGAUAGAAAUAAUGUCCUCGAAUGCUUAUUUGUCUCAAUAUCUGAUGAAAACUCUUAAGUUUUAGUGGAAGCAUGGACACUUAGGCGCAGAAAGGAACAAAAAGGACUGAAAAGAACGAAGAAGCUGAAGCAUGAGCAUCGCCAAGAACCUUUGGCGAUUCGCCGAAAGGACAGACUCCGCCCUUUGUUCCAGUAUGAGAAGCCCUGAAGGAAGAGGAUAAAAAAGAUGAUGAAAGGAGCAGUCGGCGCUUCGCCGAAUAGUUCCGCAAAGCAGUACUAUAUCGCCCAAUGGUCCAGAAGGUGAAGAUGUUGUAGGCAAGCACUCAACGGCGAUGAGACAGAAGAAGGGCGAGUCGCCGAUCAUUCGAUGGACUCGACUAACCUCGCCUAACUAUCCGCCUGCACUAAUUUCUAAUGGCUAUAAAUACUAAACUCUUUAUUAAUUUAGGGUGCGGAACCAUUAUUAUUAUAUUCAGAAUAGAAUAGUACAUUUUUUAGAUAUUUUCUCUCAAGUUUGGAGAGGGUUUUGUGGGAGACUUGAAGAGAGAAUGAUUUCAUCUUCCCUAAGUUGGAAGUGGGUCUACUGCAUUCUUCUUUCUUUGCUAAAAUCAAGGUUUAAUUUCUUAUACCCAUUUGAUUUUAGUAUCAUUUUAUGUGUAUUUUGUACUUCUUGAUGUGUGGCUAAAAGCCCCAUUCUUGGGGUGUGAUUUAGCAAAUAUGUGUUGAUAUUAUUAUUGGGACUUGCUUGCUGAUAGGGUAGAUGUAUUUUAAUGGUGAUUUCACCUAGUGGUUGUGGUUUAAUUUAAUGGGUUUGUAGUUGCAAAUACAAAACCACCCAUGUGUUUUUGGCUUGCCUGAGAGGGAGGUCGCGAAACCAAGACCACUAGACUGAUGGCCUAAGGAGUGGGUCGACAUGAGGUUCAGCCCAAGAGGGUGAUCCCUAGUCCUGUAUCCUAACACUUAGCUCGAGAGAGUGAGUGGGCUAAGGCGUAGGCUGGCCUUCUUGCGGCAAAUGGGUGUUUGAGAGGAAUGCAUUUGAAACGGGGUAAGUUGCCCGAGAGGGAACUUAUUUCCAUUGAAAUCUUAGCUUAGUCAUUAUUAUCUUACAAAGUCUUCAUGCGGCAAAUGGAUGUCCGAGAGGAACCCAUUUGAAACGGGGUAAGUUGCCCGAGAGGGAACUUUUUUCCAUCUAAAGCUUAGCCUAGUCACUAUUAUCUUGCAAAUUUCCUAUUGAAAGCAUGUACCCAACGAUUUAUCUCAACUUGUAUUGCGGUCACACCCUAAGAACUUUCUCCCAUACUUGAUUUUCUUGUUUAUUUUUUCUAUUUUUACUACUUGUGACAAAACCCCCAAUUGAUAUCUGACACUUAUGUGUCACCCCCUUCGAUUUGUAAUGUUUUUAAUCGUUAAUAUCUUUAGUUAUGACUAAUUAGAACUAAAUUUUAUUUUUCUAUUAAUUCUCAAAACCACUCCCUUGGACACGACCCUAACCUUUAGUUGGGUUACUAUACUAUCGAUGAUCAUAGACACUCAUAUCGUAGGUUAGUGUCGUUGGUCACGAUAAGCAUCGAAAUGGCGGCGCUGCUGGUGAGUGGUGUCAGUUGAGAAUUUUCAGAUUAGUAGAAUUUUUGUUCUUCUUAGUUGUAGUUCACUAACUUUACUUUUAGUUUUGUUUUAAUUGAGUUGUCAACUUAGAUGAACAUGGUUGAGCAGAGUAGUGGCAAGUUGGUGUAAAUGAGCCAAGGAGUCCAAAAGGACCUCAUACUGACCGCACUGGCAUCUCAACUAAAUGAAUUGGCCACCAAAAUCUCAGAUGUGGAAGUUCAAUGCAACAACAAGGGGAGGUAUAAACCCCCUCAUGAGCGGAGGAAGUCUAGAGAUGGGAGAGAAAAUCGUGUCGAGGACACACUUCAAAUCAUUCUCCAAAAGGUCACCGAUCAGGAUGGGUGUUGGAAGAAAUGAGAGAGAAUAUUGAAUCAAAUGAUUGGAUCUCGCUCUAGAUCAAUCCAGCUAAUCAGGUCACUCCUGAGUUUCGCAGUGCCUCAACUCCACCCAAAUGACAUAUUGGGGGCACCUAGUGACACUAGGGCCAACCCCAAUAACGGAGAAUGAGACAGGACUUGCGUCGUGCCACAACGUUAACUAAGGCGCUUCUUGGGAGGAAACUCAAGGUGAUGUUGCUUUAAGUUAUUCUGUUCAAAUAAGGGUGUGUUGAUUUUGUAGGUAAAAGCGAGGAAGGUGUUGAAAAGUGCAAGUUAGCGAGCCAAGGAGCCAGUGGGUGAAUCGCUGAACCUAUCAGCGAUUUUGACUCAAUCUGCCAUUGAGACCCCAAAAUAAGGGAUGUCCUGUAAAACUCGGCGAGGUAAGUAUGCGUUCGGCGCGUCGAUAAGUUGAUCGGUGACAAGACUAACAUCGCCGAAUAACCGAAAACUGAACGGUUAUAUAAAGGCAAAAGGUCAAAUUUUUGAACCUCUCACUUUCCCUCAUUUCAGACUCCUCAAAAUCACACCAUAUGUACUUUUUCUUAGAUUUUUACCGUUCCAUUAGUAUCUUUGUUAGUAAUUAGUGCUUGGGGUUUGGAUCUCUUUGCUGCCUAGCGUUUCAAAAAGCAAUUCGAUCGGCAUUAAAGGUUAGUCCAUAAAAACCUAAAUUUAUCUUAAAAGUUUUUACACUCAUUUGCAAUUGUAGUAUUAGGAUGACGUGUGUUGUUCCUCUCUGAUAGAAAUAGGUUGAUAUGCUAUGAGUAAUUCAAACUUAGUUGCCUGAAAUAUUUUAAUAGUCGAAUGCCUUGUUGUUUGUGCUUUAAUUGAACUGAGAUUGCAAUGGGUGCUUCUUGAUUUUCGUUAUAUUGGUUGGGUAACACCUAGAUAGCCCACAUUUGUGCUAAAUAAAAAAAAUCACUUAAUGAAGGAAUGGGUGACAACAUUCUUAAGGGUGGUCGUAGUUAAAUAGCCAAAUUUGGCAGGACCGGAAGAAGUCUGAGUAUUCCGGGGUGAUGGGAAGAGUGGGUCAUGUGUGAAUUUUGUGUAUGCAUGCUUUGAUUUCGUUUCCAGGGCUUGUAAGGUCGAUUUUAAGAAGUUGUUGAAAAGUAGGCACAUUAAAUCAGUGGGCGAGCUGGGUCGAGCUCGCCAAACGAUUUGGCGGUUCACCUACUGGUCUUAGAUCACCCUUCACUCAUGUCCAUAGUGCUGAGAGAUCUAUAACUUUCGGCGGACACAUCUGUGGUCGCCGAAGGUAGUCGGCAACUCGCCAAUAAGACUUUAGACCGCCCUUUGCAUGCUCCUUUUACCCUCUUUCACUGCAUUUUUUGGUGGACAAUUUCAUCAUCGCUGAAAGUAGUCGGCAUCUCGCCACUUAGACUCUUUCAUCGCUUAUUUGCCUAGAUUUCAAGCCAAUCCCUUCGGUGAGUUCGACCUAUCUCAACAAAGAGAUUUGGCGAUUCGCCGACUAAUCGACUGACCUUUCUGCUUUAGAUUUUCUGUAUUUUAGUGUGAUUGUUCUUCUGACUAAUCACAAACCUUUGCAGAUAUGGUACGCACAAACUUAAAUGUGCCACCUCAGAACAAGGCUAAGGGAAUUACAAUCAAUGAAGGAGGAUCACGUCCUUCACAGAAAAGAAAGCAAGUUCUCCCACUCGGAGAUAAAGGCAAACGAAAUAAGCAUAUCGCUAGAAAAGGGUCAACUAUUGAGCCAUAUUUUUCUGAGCAGGAAGAUGAACAACCCUUGAUUCACCGACAUAACAGGCUCAGAGAUAGACCUCAAUCAACACCUAUCAGAGUUACAUCAGCUGCAACUCCUUCGACUACCAAAUCAGUGCCAAACCCAGCACCACCUUCAGUGGCCCCUGCACUUCCCGUAGCUCCACCUCCACCCAGACUGCUAAACAGAUUGAAAGGCGAUGGUUUACGAACCAUUCUAGAAGAAAAGUUACUAUCUGUGGAGGGUUUGGAAGGUAAGCAUGCUGAGGUGCUUGACACGCUCAAGUAUCAUGAGUUUGAGCAGUUCACUAGGCCACGGGGUCAUUACAUCCCUUCCUGGGUUCGGGAAUUCUACUUAGCCUAUGGGGAGUUGGUCCCAAAAAAUAAGAAAAAGGCUAGUGAGUUCCGACCGGUGAAGUCGGUUAUGGUUAGAGGCAAGGAGGUAGAGUGUCACAUUGAGCAUAUUAAUGUUGUACUCGGUCGACCGCUGCACUCGGUACUGCCCUACUAGGGUUUGCCUAUCGUUCUGUCCCGGGAUGAUUUGAAGGGUUGGUUAGCCCCGAUUAUCUCGGACAUCACCCCGAGGUGGUUGGGUGCGGGAGCUCUGAUUGAGAAGAGGGAUAUGAACAUCGCCUCCUGGUACUGGUUUGGCUUCAUCGUCAGCACAAUCAUGCCAUCCCAUAACGAGUCCAUUCUGCGUCAUCCUAAGGCAGCUUGCCUUGGUUCUAUCAUGGCUAAAGACGGAUCGACCUGGGACUACUGGUUUCAUAGGAUAUGGCUAUGAGAGCCAAACAGACACAUCCAUCUUUACCUUUUCCUGUUCUGAUCACCGAGUUAUGUUGGCGUGCCGGAGUACCCCGGGACCCUGCUAGCGAUAUAGAGGUCACCCCGUCUUCUUCCACUGAUAUCUGGAGUAUAGAGGCCGAGUUCACACGAGAGGAGGUUGAUAGGAGGAGAACAACCCCAACUGAUACUUUCCCAGAGGUCGAUGUUGACUCAUUGCUAGCAGAGGCACCCUCGUCCACUCCGGCUUCGGAGCCUUGAGGUAUACCCACUCAUUCUUCCCCUUCACAUAUUACAGGUACAUCCUCUUCCUCCCAGCCUGCCAGAAUCACUGAGUCCAUGAUCCUGAAAAUAGGGCAGUUGGCCUAUGCAGCUGAUGUGAGAGCUACCCGACUAGAAAAGUCCGUUCCAGGGAUGAUCAACAAGGCCAUACUAGCAGCAUUUACCCCACUUUAGACCACUGUUGAUGCCCUGACAAUGAGAGUCACUGCUUGCGAAAGUAGACAAGGAGAAUUCUUUGAGUUGGCAGCUUUAAAAGCCGAGAUUGCGAGUUUAAGGAAGGACGUAGACUACCUUAAGUCUACUGACUUUACUUCACUAAUAGAGAGGGCAGAUGAUAAGGAUGCUCCUGAAACCACCGGAGAUGUGUAGGGAGAUGAUGCAACACAUGCAGAGUCGGGUGUAGAGACCGAUGAGGAGUUGAUAUCAAUGGAUGCUGAGGAGACACAGGAGAGCAGAGAUGAGGGUAUAUUCAGAGACUUGCCAGAUCUUAUAGAGACGGUUGUGUAGCCGGUGAUUCAGACAUUGCCGGCUGAGACGUCCACAAUAGCUCCUAGCGGAUCUGGCAUUGCUAUUCAGUCUGAGACUACUCCGGGUACUGAUGCCCAUAUACAGACUUCUCCAUCAGCCACUGAGACCCCGAUAGAGAGAGAGACUGCAUAGACAUGAUCCCUCUUUACCUCUUUCUAUGUCUUAUCCUUCUUUACUUUACCUUUUGGAUUCUCUGUUAUUUGCAUUUGAGGACAAACACUUUUAUUUGUGGUGGGGUGAGGCCCACCUUGUUUUGGUGUACAUUUGGGUUAUCUGUUUUAAUUGUGUUUUUAAAACUGCUUCGCGAUUAUUGACCCUUCCGAAAAUUUUGAAUUUUUCGCACAUUUUUGCCACCCUUCGUGAAUUGAAUGUGGUUGUUCUUUCGCAAAAAAUUGAGUCUCAGUUUCGAUCAAUACCGAUGACUUAAAUAGUGCUCUCAAUUGAACGAACAUGAAUGUACGACUACAGUGAGGCCAAAUGAAGUUGAAUAGACAAUAUGUGAAUUCGUUGCAUCUCAUUGUGAUUAGCCAUUUAUCGAAUUGAUUCUCUUGUAAUGACCAUUGCACACUAGCGAAAGUGUGUAGUCUUGUUUGACUUAAAUGUCGAUGCCUUGUGUGAAUAGCUUGCUUUGAAACUUGCAUCAAUAACCUAGAAUUUGCCCUGUUAGUCUGAUUGAUUUAGAAAGGUGUCCUCUUGAGAUGAUCUUAGGCAACUUUAAAGAGUGUGAGCUAAAUUUGACAUAUACCUCUUUUGUGGCCUACUCGUGAGCGUGUGAAACUCUUUUGAACACCCUUUGAGCCUUACUUUUCUUUGGAAAAACCUUGAUGAACCCUAGACCUUAGUUGAACCACUACUUACAAUCCUCUUGAGUUGUGGUUUAGCGAAUAGCCAACUUAGGCCAAAAGCCUAAGUUUGGGGUGUGGUGAAAGGGAAAAGGAGAAGUCAAGAAGUACAAGAAAAGUCCCCCUUAACCCAUGGUAUUGCAUAAAAAUGGAACCCCUUCAAUUCAAUUCAAAAAAAUAAAAUAAAAAAUGAAAUGUGGAAUAAAGUACGAAGGGUAUCGGGUUUCAAGCAAUCCAUGUAGGAGAAUAAAAAAAAGGUGACUUAGAAGCACUAGAAAAAAAAUUGAUAAAGGAAAAGAAGGGAAUGCCAUGAGAAUGCCACAACUCAUAAGGAAAAAGUCACUGAGCCUAAAUGACCAUACAUUUGCACUCAACCCCAUUACAAGCCUUAGAAAGACCUUUUUGAUCUUGAGUAAGCCGAAUCGAAAGUCGAUUGGAAAAUAAGGGCAAACCUAUGGGUGAAAACAUGCAUUGUGUUCCUCUUUUUUUUAGUGUGAGCGUUGCAUCUGAUUCCUGAUCUUGAAUUGAUUAACCUCUGUGUAUGAAUAUGGAAUCAUUCUUCAUGCGAGGGUAUUUAGAUACUUUUUGUUGAGCUUGAACAUGCACAAGUAGCAAGUAUUGCGAGCAUGAGAAUCUUUGGUAAUGGUGUGUCACAACUUGAAUCUUUGACUACAUAAUUGAUCCUUGCAUAAGUAAAUUGAGUCUUAUUGUCACGUCUCAAAUCCCAUUAAAACAGACAGGCACCCGAUGCCCUAAAGGCCCAAGAGAACCAACAUGUAACUUGUGCUUACUAUGCAUAUAACUAUGACAAUCUUGUGACAAGUUCACAUAUGAUGCAGCGAUACGAACCAACAUAAGUAGACCCAAAACUUAUAUACAAGGCUUGGCCGUUGAGGCCACAACUUGUUAAGACGCAACUGAACCAUAUACAUAAGUCUACAAAGCCUCUAAAAGAUAGAAAACCUUAGAGUAGGUCGGGACAGACCCCGCCUUACUCUUAACUACGAUACAAUACCAAAAUGAAUCUACCAAGGNNNNNNNNNNNNNNNNNNNNNNNNNNNNNNNNNNNNNNNNNNNNNNNNNNNNNNNNNNNNNNNNNNNNNNNNNNNNNNNNNAGUUGAGCUUCCCCCCUUCUAUACCAAUUGGGAUCGGCCCAUGCUAGGCUUUCACCCCUAAGCUGCCACCCUUCUAUACCAAUUGGGAUCGGCCCAUGCUAGGCUUUCACCCCUAAGCUGCCACCCUUCUAUACCAAUUGGGAUCGGCCCAUGCUAGGCUUUCACCCCUAAGCUGCCACCCUUCUAUACCAAUUGGGAUCGGCCCAUGCUAGGCUUUCACCCCUAAGCUGCCACCCUUCUAUACCAAUUGGGAUCGGCCCAUGCUAGGCUUUCGCCCCUGAGCUGCCACCCUUAAUUAUACAUAUUGCUUUACUUAGGUUCUUUAAUCUUUGAGAUUGUUGUUUUGGUGGUCAUAAUCAUAUUUGAUAUUCGGAACUACGGACCAGUAGUAGAAGACAUGAAAAUAAUACUUCAGGGAAGUAACAAUGACAUAAGGAGCUAUGUAACAUCAAUGCAUUACUUGUGAGCUUAAAUGACACAAUUGACUUUAACUGACUAAGAGAAGGAUUCAUCAAACUUGCUUUUGCAAAAACAAUUUCUAUACCAGCACGUAGGAGGAUAAUUGCACAAGUAUAGAGUACUGAACAUAUAAUGAAGUAAUUCUAUACACUAAGGAGAAGGGAAAAUAUGGUUAACUAUUUGGAGAUCGUACGCUGCCACUAUGUUUCCUUUACUAGGAUUAGAACUUAGGAAAUUCACUUAUUAAUAUUAAUCUCAAGUAUCAGAUUUCAUGCCGAAGAAUAUUGAAUCGAAUAGCCUUAUAACUAUCACGAUUCAGCCUCCCCUUUCAGGUUUUAAUCUAUAAUAUAAGUCAUGAUAAAUUUAAAUUAGCAGCUAUCACACCAUGAGCCUCGUAAAACAGUUGCUAACUUUGACGAAUAAUGAGAACAUACAGUCCUUAAAACAAUGUGUAUCACCACACCCUCCUUCUCUGCCCAAUACAUACAUUAUAUAUCCUUUUCCAUGAUUACCCAAACUGCACCAACAACAAUACACAUAAAACAACCUCAAAUAUUCUUUAUCAUACAACCAAUUAUUGAACUCACCACCCCAUUGAGUUCUUUAUGACAACACACCCAUAAUUCCUCACUCAAACUCAUACAUAAGGAGGAAGAAAAUGGAGCAGUCACCUUUCCUUAAUUUUUGCAACUUCUCCUUAUAACUUGAAUUCCUAUAGAACUUCAACUUUCCUUCACACUUAAACCAAAGAAGAAGAGAAACGUAUCUUAAUAACCAAGGAAGUGAGCAGUAGCUUCUGGAAAUAUUAUGCCUUUAUACCUAUACUUGAGCAUGAAUAACAUGUUUUCCUAAUCAUCCUUGGGAGAAUUAAGCUAAAUCCAUAAAUGUUUUAACUUACCUUGUCUUGCAGAGAUGAGGGUUUCUUCAAGAACCCUAGAAGAACUUUAAGGCUGCUGUUUAAUUUUUAAGAGAAAAGAGAGAGAAAGAACUGGAGUUAAUCCUCAAUAAUGUGUGUUAAAUUGAGUGAGAAUAGCAGCCAAUAUAUCUUUAUUUUGAGCUUUCUUCACCUUUAAGAAUAUCCUCUAGAGAGCUUCAUUUUCAGCCACUAAUUGGUCAAGUAGGUGAUGCACCUUCUACAUAAGCAGCUCAAAAGGUCAAACUAGGUGAUGCACUUACUUGCUUUCACUUGGGGUUUAAAUAUUGGGCCUUAACAGAUUUGGCUGCUGGGCUUAAAUUUUAUUUUCCUUUUAUUUAACUUAGUUUGGGCCUCAAGUGAGUCCAUUAGCAUAGGCCCAAAUCUGAUCCAUAAACCUUGUCCUUUUAAACUAGAUCCAUAUAGCUCAAAUAGGUGAUGCAUCUACUUGGCCUUUGGACUGGUCAAUAAGUCAAAGUAGGUGAUGCACCUACUUGUCACCUGCUAGCUUAGUUAAGUCAAGUAAGCAGCUCACUUAGUUUAUUCCAUUUUCUAAAUAUUAAUCCCUUUUGCUUUCACUUAGCACUUAACUUUCAACUAAAAGCUCAAUUACCACCUUACUGUCCCUUUAAAUACUCCCGUUGGAGUUAACUUGCAGUACACAUGCUGAAACGUGCAAGGCAUCACAUCACCUUCCGAGCUAGUUUAAACCAACACUAAUCAUAUAAGAAUCAUGGUCCCUCACCUAUACUAUAAGGCUAUGUCAAGUAUCACAAGAAUAUAACAAGCAUAAGUUGGGGGUGUUGAUGAGUCCACAAAUUGGAAUCCUUUAGGGCUUUAUUUUGAUAGAAAUAGUGUCCUCAAAUGUUUAUUUUGUCUCAAUAUCUGAUGAAAACUCUUAAGUUUCAGGUAUUUGAAGUUUUAGUGGAAGCAUGGACACUUAGGCGCAAAAAGGAACAAAAAGGUUGAAAAGAACGAAGAAGCUGAAGCAUGAGCAUCGCCAAGAGCCUUUGGUGAUUCGCCGAAAGGACAGACUCCACCCUUUGUUCUAGUAUGCGAAGCCCUGAAGGAAGAGGAUAAAAAAAGCGAUGAAAUGAGCAGUUGGCGCUUCACCGAAUAGUUCCGUGAAGCAGUACUAUACUGCCCAAUGGUACAGAAUGUGAAGAUGCUGUAGGGAAGCACCCAACGGUGAUGAGACAGAAGAAGGGCGAGUCACCGAGUCAUUCGGCGGACUCGGCUAACCUCGCCGAACUAUCCUCCUGCACUAAUUUCUGAUGGCUAUAAAUACUAAACUCUUUAUUAAUUUUAGGGUGCGGAACCAUUAUUAUUAUUUUCAGAAUAGAAUAAUACGUUUUUUAGAUAUUUUCUCUCAAGUUUGGAGAGGGUUUUGUGGGAGUCUUGAAGAGAGAAAGAUUUCAUCUUCCCCAAGUUGGAAGUGGGUCAUCUCCAUUCUUCUUCCUUUGCUAAAAUAAAGGUUUAAUUUCUUAUACAUAUUUGAUUUUAGUAUCAUUUUAGGUUUAUUUUGUUAGUUUUUGAUGUGUUGCUAAAAACCCCCAUUCUUGGGGUGUGAUUUAACAAAUAUGUGUUGAUAUUAUUGUUGGGUCUUGCUUGCUGAUAGGGUAGAUGUAUUUUAAUGGUGAUUUCACCUAGUGGUUGUGGUUUAAUUUAAUGGGUUUGUAGUUGCAAAUACAAAACCAGCCAUGUGUUUUCGGCUUGCCCGAGAGGGAGGUCGCGAAACCAAGACCACUAGACUGAUGGCCUAAGGAGUGGGGUCGACAUGAGGUUCAACUCGAGAGGGGUGAGCCCUAGUCCCAUAUCCUAAAACUCAGCUCGAGAGAGUGAGUGUGGUAAGGCGUAGGGUGGUCUUCAUGUGGCAAAUGAGUGUCUAAGAGGAACCCAUUUGAAAUGGGGUAAGUUGCCCGAGAAGGAACUUAUUUCCAUCUAAAGCUUAGCCUAGUCACUAUUAUCUUUCAAAUUUUCUAUUGAAAGCAUGUACCCAACGAUUUUAUCUCAACUUGUAUUACGGUCACACCCCAAGAACUUUCUCCCAUACUUGAUUUUCUUGUUUAUUUUGUUGUUUUAACUACUUGUGACAAAACGCCCAAUUGAUAUUUGACACUUAUGUGUCACCCCCUUCGAUUUGCAAUGUUUUUAAUCGUUAAUAUCUUUAGCUACGACUAAUUAGAACUAAAUUUUAUUUUUUUAUUAAUUCUCAAAACCACUCCCUUGGGACACGAUUCCAACCUUUAGUUGGGUUACUAUACUAUUGACGAUCAUGGACAUUUAUACAGUAGGUUAGUGUCGUUGGUCACGAUAAGCAUCAUCUACACCAUGGACGUGGCUGGCACUCGAAGACCAUUGCUGACCUCAAGCGAACCUUUGGCCUGACUUACUAACUCAGCGGAAGACUUAACUCAUCAUAUACACAUUUAUGAAGUAACUAGAAUGUUAUAAAGGAUCAUUCAACUGGCCAUUAAGGCAAACUUAAGUCUUUAACAUAUGAAAUGAAAAGUAAAGACAACUGAAUUAACUAACUUACUGUUUGUCUGUCUAUGAAGCCUCUAAACAACUAAGAUGGAUGUCGGGACAGGCCCACGACAUCCUAAUGAACUAAUACUAAAAUUGAAAGCAAUGAAAAGGAGUCCUCUGGAAUGCAAAGAGGCUCACCAACAGACUCUGAACUGCUCACUGGAUCAUCGAUGCGCUGGAUGCCUAUCCUAGUUACCUGUGUGUGCAUCAUAAUAAGAUGCAUGUCAACUGGCAUCAGUACAUUGAAUGUACAAGUAUACGAGUUGGAAUGCUAAACAAGUUUACUUACCUGGCUCAACUCAACUCAACAUAACUGAACUCAUUUCAAUAUAAAACAGUUUUAAAACAAGUGCAAUAUAAAGAAAAGCUGUUUAAAAACAUGAUGUCAACUCUGUGUAUAUACAAGGAUACAACAUAACUCUGAAAUGUAUGUAAAAAUACAAUAAACUGAUGUAUAUAAAAAUACAAUAACUUCUGUGGGAGUUUCCCUAACCGGCAACCAUCAUAUAAGAGCUAUAGUGAUGAUACAACGAUCUUCNNNNNNNNNNNNNNNNNNNNNNNNNNNNNNNNNNNNNNNNNNNNNNNNNNNNNNNNNNNNNNNNNNNNNNNNNNNNNNNNNNNNNNNNNNNNNNNNNNNNNNNNNNNNNNNNNNNNNNNNNNNNNNNNNNNNNNNNNNNNNNNNNNNNNNNNNNNNNNNNNNNNNNNNNNNNNNNNNNNNNNNNNNNNNNNNNNNNNNNNNNNNNNNNNNNNNNNNNNNNNNNNNNNNNNNNNNNNNNNNNNNNNNNNNNNNNNNCAAUAUAAAGCAGUUUUAAAACAAGUGCAAUAUAAAGAAAAGUUGUUCAAAACAUGAUGUCAGCUCUGGGUGUAUGCAAUGAUACACUAAAACUCUGAAAUGUAUGUAAAAAUACAANNNNNNNNNNNNNNNNNNNNNNNNNNNNNNNNNNNNNNNNNNNNNNNNNNNNNNNNNNNNNNNNNNNNNNNNNNNNNNNNNNNNNNNNNNNNNNNNNNNNNNNNNNNNNNNNNNNNNNNNNNNNNNNNNNNNNNNNNNNNNNNNNNNNNNNNNNNNNNNNNNNNNNNNNNNNNNNNNNNNNNNNNNNNNNNNNNNNNNNNNNNNNNNNNNNNNNNNNNNNNNNNNNNNNNNNNNNNNNNNNNNNNNNNNNNNNNNNNNNNNNNNNNNNNNNNNNNNNNNNNNNNNNNNNNNNNNNNNNNNNNNNNNNNNNNNNNNNNNNNNNNNNNNNNNNNNNNNNNNNNNNNNNNNNNNNNNNNNNNNNNNNNNNNNNNNNNNNNNNNNNNNNNNNNNNNNNNNNNNNNNNNNNNNUCUUUACUCUUUACUCUUUACUCAACUUGAACUUUAAGUCUUAAAACAAAGUUAAAACAUUUGGAAAAGACUUCUUGAAAAGACUCUAAGAACUUCCUAGACUUGGUUCUUGACUUUCCUUGAAUUUGAAUUUAUGGAUUCAAGGUUAUGAUUCAUGUUUCUGGAUGAUUUCUAGAUGUUUAGAAGUCAUUUAGAGUAGUUAGAAUCAAUGUAAAGUGUUAGUACACUUUAGAAAGGCUUAAACAGACUGAAUGACAAAAACUGGGUGAAAAACGAUGAUUCGGGCACAUCCGGGGCGUGCCGCACCAGGCCCCAACUUACUGGGGCUCAUUUCUGGUGCACUGCAGGCGCGCCACCCCAGCAUCCUGAUGCUAUGGGGGCGCGACGCGCCUGGACCUCCCCAGGUGAGUCUAACAAAUUUUUGAUCUCGUUUUCUGAUCCUGAAUCAUUUUAAUCCGAUUCUUUUUCUCAAAUUCACUUUAGAUUCAUGUACCCAAAUCAUAUACACAAACUCUAACCCUAAAAACUCAAGCAAACAACACUUUAACAUCAAGAAACUCCUUAAUCCCAACUUAUAUUCAAGUACGAAAUCAAUUCAAGAACAACUAUCAAGAACAUCAAAUUCUCAAUCUUUUUAAGACGAAAAUACGUUGAAUUAAACAUGCUUGGCGCGUGGGUGAACUAACCCAACACUAUGUGAUCUCACAUACCUGGUAGGAAUAAACCCUUGGCGAAAAUCCCAACUAUCUUGAUCGAUCUUGAUGAAUCUUGCCCUUUCUCCUUCUUCUUUUCUCUUCUCCUUAGCCCUAGCGUGAAAUUCCAAGUUCUAAACCUAAAUAAAAUCUGAUUUGACCCAUAUUAAACCCGUAAAAAUGGAUCAAAGGACAAGGAAAAGACUAAAAUACCCCUUGAAAAUCCGGAUUGGACAUUUCCUUAUUUGAACAGCCCAACUUCCAAAGGGCAUAUCUCACUCAUACGAACUUGGAAUUUCGCAAACUUGGCGGCGUUGGAAAGAUCAUUCCAAGAGCUCUCUAACCAUAUCUAGAAGUACACCUAACUCAUCCUGAUCUAGGAGUUAUGACCAUUUGAAGUUGACCAAAAACUCACUUUUCCUAACUUAAACAAUUUUCCCAAUUGUUCAUUCUUUCCAAAAAUAACUAUUUUCAGUUCUUAGCUUCUUCCUAGCUAUUUCAAUUUGCGAGAUGUUACAUAGAAAUCCCCUCCAAAUCAAGGAAACCUCUCCCCAACAUCCUAAUGCUCUAUGUUCUCUCAAUACCAUUCAUACAAAACCUCCAGAAAGUAGUAGUGAUUAUGAUGUUCUGCACUCUGAGGAUGAAUUUGAUCAAGACACUCGACCAUAGAAGAGGAUGAUGAGGAAAAAGAAACAAGUGCACAUCUUAUUAAAGCUUUUGGAUCAAUACUGGAGAAAGAUCAGCACAACGAAAUUGACCAGGUUGCUGAAAAACAAGGAUUAUCUCCUAGAAAUCAUAAGAGAAAAACUCACUUCACCGUGCAAAAUACUUCCAGCACUUCUAUCAAUACUGGCAAACCACUUACAAGAUCCCAAAGUCAAGGUUAUUAAUGAUUAGUACAAUUAUAUGGAAUGCUAGGGGUAUCAAUACCCAGGGAGCCAUGGGAAGAGUUACGAAUCUCAUCAAAAUUCAAUAUUUAUCUAUGGUGUAUAUUCUAGAACCAUUCACUGAUAAGUCGCACCUUAACCGUGUUAGAAUCUCCUAAUUCAUGGAUAAAGCUACUUGUAAUCAGAAUGGAAAAAUUUGGCUAUUCUGGAAUCAAGAAGUAGAAUGCAAAGUGUUGGAAUCUGACGACCAACAAAUUACUUGUGAGAUCAGUCAUGUUACUAAUCCUAUUACUCAUCUCAUCACUGUGCUGUAUCCCAAAUGCAAAGAUCACCUAAGAACACCUCUUUGGGAUAGACUGUUUCACUAUGUUGAUAGAGAUAUUCUAUGGUGUACUAAAAGGUGAUUUUAAUGUAAUCACUGAUCCUGAAGAGAAACUAGGUGGAAUUCCCUAUAAUAUGAAGAAAAGCUUUGAUUUUAUUGGUGUCAUAUAAGCUUGUGGCCUUACUGAUUUGGGAUUUCAUGAUCUGAAGUUCACAUGGUGUGUAACCAAAGGGAUCCAUAUCAUAGAAUUUGGAGAAGGUUUGAUAGAGCCAUGGUGAAUGACAAAUGGCUUAAACUCAUGCCUCUAUCUACUGUUUUGCAAAUGCCAUCUGUUGGCUCAAACAUUGCCCUUUACUUCUUGAAAUGGCUGAGAGAUAACAUGGCUCCAUCAAAGACUUUAAGUUUUUACAUUGCUGGGUGGAGAAUAAAUCUUUCUUGAGCACUGUUAAGGAUUGCUUGAACAGAGUAACCACUGGCAGCCCUACGUGGAUUUUUCAUAUGAGAUUGAAAAGGUUGACUUCCACUCUUAGCAAGUGGUCCAGAACUAAGUGUGGUGAUAUUUAUGCCAAUGUGAAGGAGUACGAAGAAAAAGUUAGACAAGCAGAGAGGAAGUGCUUAUCAAUAAUAACACUGUGGAUGACAAAACUAAGCUCCAAUUUGAUCAAAUGAUGCUUCUUUGAGAAUAAAGCAUAUCCAAUCCAAGCUCUUCUCAUUGAGAAGCGACCCCGUCAUCAUAUUUCUACUUCUCUCUACCCAGUCGUACCAUGAAACAUUACCUUAGAUCUAUCUAUUGAUGCCUUAAGAUUUGACCUAUAACCAAUAAACAACUAGGAUUGAGUGUUUAUCUCAAGUGGGCUAGAAUCAACGUACAAUGAUAUGAAUCUUUCAGGGUAAAAUAGCAAAAACAAGGAUAUGCCUUAGAGCAAUGGUAAAGUUGUGUCCCUGUGACUGACCUAUAGGUCACGGGUUCAAUCAGUGGAACCAAUGCUUGGGUCAAGGUAGGCUACUUACGUAAUACACCCCCCCCCCUCUUCCCCUGACCCAGCGUGAAUGGGGAUGCUUUAUGCACCGGGCUCCCUUUUUUUAUACAAUUAGUCAACCAAACAUUUUAACCAGAUCAUUCUCAAAUUUUGAAGUAAGACUUCUCUUCUGUAAUUUCAUCAAAAAGUUCACUAGAAAUUGGAAGGCCGACCUGCCAAGUGACAAAAAUAAAGCAGGAAUCAUCUCAGUUAACAAGUAGCCAUGCUCACCAUUUUUAGUGCCUCUAGGAACAAACAUGUAACAUCUGCACCAUUAUUCUUUAACACGGUUAGCAAAUGCUUAAUAACCUUAGAUACACUUGUCCCAUGCAUUGUAAGAUAAGAUAGUAUCUCUGGAGCAAGAUAUUCCUGUAGAUAUAGGUUACAGUGAUGAAAUAUGUUAGAAGCUGCUAAAGAAAAUUAACAGUAAGAUACAGAGACAUCAUUAUUGAAGCUGGUAAUUACGGUACAACUCACUUCAACUUCACUAUCAUCGAAGCCUAUGACCAACUUACCAAACAUCCCAACAAGAACAUUUCUCAUCUUAUAAGAUUCCCCUCCAAAAUGUGGGAUUAACCAAUAUCAGUUGAGACCAGCUUAGGCGAUCUAUCAGCGAGCUUUACAAGUAAGCGCCCAAUAGUGGAAAUCCACCACUCAUCAACGCCCCCAACUUAGAAAUUUUGUUUGUCCUCAAGUAAAGAAAAUCAAAAACACAAUAGGCUCUUAUUUCAAAACACACCACAAAUCAAUUUCCCCUUCUCCAUUAAGCACAAAGGUAAUGACUUUGGUUGGUACUAACAAAUAGUCCACAUGCAAACUUUUCACAAAAGAAAUCCUCUCAUUCUCAUGAAACAUUUUCAAAAACCAAGAAUCAUUUAAGUUACAAACUCAAACUCAAGAAAUGACUCAACUCAUUAACUCUUUCACAUGCUCACUUGACUCAAUUAGGAAUUUUCAAAAUAAUCACUUUUUCAACUUACAUGCCCUCAACAGAAAGAAAUGUCCCAAAACCACACACAUAUAAACAAAACGAGGGACAAAGAUGCAACACUCACACUCGCAAAGAAUCAUCUCAUGCACACAAAUGUCACACCAUAUGCUUACUCAUAUUUUCAAUCAACGUUGACUCAACUUCAUUUGGUUAGAAAUCUCAAAGGACUUUGUUAAGAUUGUAAUGUAGGCUUAGGGAAGGUUAGGAUAUCAUUUAGGUAUAAGUAACUACACCCUCCUUGAAAACUACACAACAACUUAUCAUUUCCAACUUUCUUCACUUUUCAAACCCAUGCACAUUCCACACUACUUUUCAUUUUUCUUUUCUUAUUUCCACUCUAGAUGCCCCACAUGCAACAAUUUUUUGCCACUUUUCAAACCCAUGCACAUUCGACAUUACUUUUCAUUUUUCUUUUCUUAUUUCCACUCUAGAUGACCCACAUGCAACCAUUUUCAACUUUUGGAGAAUUCAAGUCUCAUUUAUUCAUUUUCCUUCUUUCUUUUUCAAAGUUUUUUCUUUCUUUAAGACUUUCCAUCCAUCCUUCAUUUUCUCUCUUCUUUUUUAUAUUUUUUUUAUAUCAAGCCCUCAUGUGGUAAGCAUCCCUUCAAUGAAUUUUCCAUAACACCCCCAACUUAGGCUUUUAGCCUCAACUUUGACAACCUCAAGUUCAAGGAGGGAAGGGUUCAAAAGAGGGUUUUUUCAAAAAGGAUAAGACUUGUAAUGUGGUUGCCAAUAAAAAGGAUUAGGCUCAAAGGGAAUAACUAAGGAUAUAUUUAGUACAAAGGUGGGAGUUAUAGGCCAAGUCGACUUCAAGAACAUCAAAGAAAGCCUAAGAUCAUUUCUCCAACCAAACUCAAUCAAGAUCAACAUUUCAAGACUAACUGGGCAAGUUCUAGAUGACAAAAGCAAACACAAGGCAUUAUUCAACAACUUUCCAUACAUGGCUUGCAAAUCAAAAUAUGGUUCAAAAUCUAAAUUCCUUUUCAAAAUACAAGUAGCAUUGAACAUUUUAACCGCUAACGAAUCAAAAGUCACAAAAAGAGUUGUAAGAGUUGUUACAAAAUUAUUCAUAACAUGCUCAACCUUAUUAAAAUGGAGAGGUAUGCUCAACACUAUUCACAUGCAUGACUAUGCUUCUUAGUACCAACCAAGUCACAACCUUCCUCAAAAGAUGACGGUUUUGCCCUUAAGAAAGUCUUCAACCAACCUAUCACCAGGCAACCUCAUGCAUCUAUCCAGGAACAACUACUUAGACUUCGCCACUAUUAAACACUCACAACAAUCGAUGAUUUACCAUUAAGAAAGUCGUCACCCUCUAUCCAUCAUCGGGCAUCGUCAAUCCAAAUCUUAUUAUCAAAACAAAAACAAAGAAGCUACAAAUCAAAAACUAAUAUAGACCAAUCCAACACAAUAUCAACAGAAACAGAAGCUACAAACUACAAAUGAAAAACUAAAAUAGACCAAUCCAACACAAUAUCAAUAGAAACAUCCACAAUAUCAAAUCCCGACAAGGGCACUCGUAUCCAUAACAAAGAAAGAAAAGCACGCCCGACAAGGGCACACCAAUCCAUAACAAAGAAAGAAGCACGCCCGACAAGGGCACAAUCACUGCAUGCAGAAACAAUCAAUAACAUUACUACAAGGGAGACACCUCCAACUAAAAAUGAGAUUGUGUUCUGACCGUCCAAAUAUCAAAAGAGAAUACGAGGGACUCCCUGAAACUGCAUCACUCUGAGCUCGAGUUACUUCUGCAUGUCGGUCCUAAACUCAUAGAGUUCACUCUCUCCAUCACUUAAAGGAUCACUGAUGACCUCAACCGGGAGCCGCCAAUUUAAUCUCUGAGUUGUGGUGCUUCCAAAAUUCAGUGGCUCGCGUUUUUCCUAUCGUCCCUGGAUUUCUUCAAAUUCCUUGUGUUGUAUAUGAAAAAGUAUCGUAUCAAGAACAUAUUCCUCAGCAAUAUAAGCCUUUAUAAUUCUAUAGUAGUGCUAGGAAGAACCCCAAAAAUCAAUGCAGACCUGCAACCUAUGUUUAACCAUAAGGUUGUGAAUAGAAGGAAUAAAAAUGGUAAAGUCCUCUCCAAGAGCAUGAGCUAGGCAACAAAGUGCAUCAAUAGCGUCUACUUUAGAAUUAAAAUAGAAAGGAUAAGGUCAAAACCGAUAAGAUAAAAUCAACUGAGUUUUCGAAAACAAUAGUAGUAGAAUCGUGUAGCGAUUGUUCGUGACAUAAGGAAAGGAAUCACAUUCAAAAUGAAGUUUGGACAGACAUAAGAAAAACUCUUGCAAUAUUGACUGCAAUUGAAACACUAAUAUAAUGAUUUAAAUUUUAAUGUUUGCUUCACAAUUUUCCAGCCAUUUGUGUCAAACUACUGGAUGACCUUCAGUAAAAGGAAGUAGAAGCUGCAAUUAGUAUACACUCCAAGGUACUAAAUUAGAGUUCAAGGUUCACUUCUAUAUAAGUAUGUGCGAGUGUAGAUACAUAUGGGCCGGAAUUUGAUAUCUGAGAGUGUACUCACUAGAGUCAACAUCGAAACCCACAAACAGUAGAUCUCUGUCAUUUCAUUUGUUAUCUAUGGAUUUGUAGAAAAACAAGUCACAUAUAUUAUUAUCAGUGAUAUUAAUGAGAAGGUGAAAAAAUAGACCCGUCCAAGACAAGCUUAAAGUGAUGCACAAGCGAAGAUAUGUGUCCAGUAUAACCUGCAAAAUGGAAAUGAAGAGAAAAGGAAAACAAGCAAUCAAAUGGAAACAAUGAAACUUAGAAGCAUUCCCUUAGUCCCUUUUACACCAACCUGCACAUAAGGUAUCAAUCUUGUAAGAGUUUUGAUUGCACCACGUCUUAUUUCUACUAGAGUGUCCAUUUUAAACAACCGAAAUAAGUGCAGGAAAAAGAAGAUGCAUAUGCUCAUCUUAUGUCCUUGCACAUUAAGGUGAGACCACUACCAUAAACAUCAAAGUGAUACUAACCAAGACAUUGACCAGAAGCAACCAAGGAAGACUAACCACCAAAAACUUCAAGGGUGUGGAGAAUAGGAAUAACAUAUGUGUAGUCAUUAAACCUCUCUGCAUCAGUAAGAAUUUGAAUACAAUAGGGAAGUAUAUCAGGAAGAUACUUUCUCAAUUCAUCGUUGAGUGCCAAACAAAGUUGCUCCACGAGAUGCAGAAUCUAAAAUAAGAAAAAAAAUGACCAGUAAUAUCUUUCUAAAUUCAUCGUUGAGUGCCAAACAAAGUUGCUCUACGAGAUGCAGAAUCUAAAAUAAGAAAAGAAAACGACCAGUAAGAUCAUUAACCAAAGCAUCUGUGAUUAUAAUGGCCUACGCCAAAAGUAUGUGCAAUAUAUUAAUACCAACUAAAACUACUACUUACAGGAGCAAUGUGAACAAGUCUGUUAGCAACAUGCAAGCUGAACGACGACCAAAAUUUUGUUAUCAGAGAGCGACAGAUAUUUACGGAUGUGCUACAAACAAAAUAUCAUUUAACAGACCUUAAGAAAAUAACAGAUGCAAAAGAACAACAAGACAAAAAAUAUAAUUAAAAUGAAAUAUUACCUGUCGUGCAAUAGAUACCAAGGUUCCAAGUUUCCAUGUUAUAAAUUCCUUUAGACCAUCCUCACAUAUGCGUACAAUGUGAAACAGAUUAGGCAAAACCUACAGAAAAAUAAAUGAUACAAUCAUAAAUAAAUAAGCAUCUCUGAUAAAAUCAUCCACAACUAAUGAUUGGGAAAACAAAGGUAUACUAAUUACAAGCAAUGUAAUUCACUAUGUUCUACUUAAGUUUUCAACUUCCCCGUGUCAUUGGCUGGUUUUCCCCUACUUUUAUAAGUUAAAAAAGGUAAAGAUCUGAGAUAUCUUUUUUUUCAAACUGGUUAUUCAGCUCAAGUUCUUUUUCUCUCACCUUUGCUCUGUAAAAAGAGUGCAAAUGGGAGGGUCUGUCGGGCGUGGACAACCAGGUGAACUGAUUGUGACAUGCUAAACAACCAUAUUUGAUGAAACACCAGGGGAAGGAUGGUCCCUUAUUUUCUUUAGGUGCACCGACAAAGUUCUCAAUUGUAUAGAAUAUUAGGUGGAGUUUGUAGAGAAUAAUUUAUUUUUGUAGAUUGUUUACCUUUUGGUAUACCCCUUGUAUACAAUCAUAUUUUUGGUUAUGUUUAUGAAUGAAAAUAUGUACUUGAUUUUUUUUUUUAUAAAAAAAAGACAUUCUCUUUAGGACAGACUAAAAAUAAAAGUAUGUCUGUAAGUCUGAACGGAUUUCGUAUUAAUAGCCUUUAUACUGACACUUCAGUCAGCAGCCACAAAAGUUGUCCAACUUGAUCAAUUUUUCCAAAUGUAAGUUCUUCACAUUCACAAGAAAACCAGAACUUAACCAGAUAUAAAUACAUUUUUUUUAUAUAAAACAAUGAUCUCACUCUUUAAUGCGGGUAACACUGCCUGCGCUUGUAGUCACGAAGUAAUGGGCUAAUUGAAUUAACUUGGGCGAAGGCUUUGACCAGUGGUGGCGAAGUUCUUGUACAACCUUCAGUGAUAAAAAUAAUUCAUAAAUAAAAUAUAUGUAUUUUAAUUUGAAUAUAAAAGGAGAAAUGACUAUAUUUUGGGAAUUAAUUAAGUCAAAACAAAAUCAAAUAAAAUGUUAGUUAAUAGAACAAUGAAUAAACAAGAGGGAAGAAAUACCAAGAAAUACCAAAUUUGGGCCUUUGGCCCAAAUUCAAAAUCUGUUGAACCUGUCCUAAUACUAAGAAUUACCCAAAAAACAAGGGUUUGGGCCUAUUUAUAUCAAAGACCAGCUGCUGGGCCAUUCUUUUGAGCCUUUGGGCUCCUUUUCACUCUCAAAAGUCAUAAUAUACACCAAGUGUAUAUUUGAUGUAUACACAAGGUAUAUGACUGAUAUACGGCCCAUUUUUAUGAACUCCGAAACCUGCCUUUCUUAUUUCAGCUAUGUAUUCCAGUAUUUUGAUAUUUCUUGACCUGUGUCUUAAUAUUUUCAUCAUGUAUAUUGAUGUAUACCGCUGCAUACAGCCGAUAUACAGCCUAUAUCUUAGUUUUUCAGCAUGUGUUUCAUCUUCGAUUUUGACCUGUUCAUCGAUUUCCUGCUGGUUGACUUAAGGAUAAAGAAAUUUGGGCCUUCAUGGCCCAAAUGAAAUGCAAAGGGAGGAAGAGGGAGUUCAUGAUGAACUCGAGCAUAGCAAAACAAAUAAAGCACAUAAGUAUUAACUUCAUAAGAGGUAUUGAGCAGUAAACCCAUAAUGACUCAACAUACGGUACAUGAUAAAUGAGAUUCUUAAAGACAUGCUCCUAACCAAACAACGAAUCAGAAUAUGCGCAUCACACAAGUAAGAGAUUUCAAAGAAGGAACAAAACUUGAGAUACUAAUGAGCUACCAUUCACAAAACAUAGCACUAGGCUUUAACCCAAAGAAUUAUAAUAGGCAUUUUGAGACCUUCCAGUAGCAACAGAUAUAAGCAGGAAAGUCAAGAAAUAACCAACCUUAAAAGAUGAACACUAGUUAACUGAUGCAAACAUAGAAAAAACAAUAUUGAUAAAUAUACCUUCUCUCUAACAAGACUAAAAAAAAAGAACUAGUCAAAUAAAACCAAAGACUCGAAUCUUAUGCCGAAUCAACUCGCCAACAAUAAUCCAUUUGAACAUCAACUAUUAAGCCAAAGAAGGCAGAGAUGAACGAAAGAUUACUCUUAGGCAAUGACAUAGAGAAAGAGAAAGUGAAACAGUUAAAUACCAAUGUAUCUCCCCAAAAGAAAAACAAACUCCAGCAACUUGAAUAUCCCAUCAAGUGGCUCAUCUCCGUUAGAGAGAAACUUGAAACAAACUAACUUGGUACGUAGGAUGAUAAAGCAUAUGCAAAUCUAUGCUAUUAAAGCCAAGAUUUCCAAAAAUACAAUAACUAAUAUAGAGUCUGACUCUUUAGCUUUAAGAACAGACAACACCGAAGAGAGAAUAAGGUAGUAAAGCAAUCAACCCAUACGACUGAAAUAAGCAAAAAAUGAGAAGAAACUAUAUAUCAGAUUAUGAAAGCCGAAAUAAGGUGAUUUUAAACUUCAUGAUUGAAUCUCCAACUUUCUCGGCUAACCAAAUGAGACAGUCAGUACAGAGAAAAGAACGGAAUCAACAAACCUUCAAAGCAAGCUAAAAUAAACAACAACAAUCGAAUAACGACAUUGAUUUGCAGCCGAUGACAAGUCAAAAUGCUUUCAAACUUUUAACAUUUCGAACAGCCCAAGAUCACACAGUUGAUCAUAUUAAAUUAAAGUAAAAGAGACUCAAAUUAAAAUGAGUGUUACCUUUUCGAGGGCAGCAGUGGAUCAGUGACCAACCUCACAAUGAAUGGAGCUGAGGGCAAAAUUAGGGUUCGUAAUUGGGGGGCUGAGAAAUUUCAGAUAAACAAGGGCCCAUUUCAGAUGCAAUGCGGCAUGAUCAACCCCCUCGUACUUGGUUGCUUUUGCUGUUGAAAUCGUAACGUUGAAGAAAAAGACAUGAAUCGUACGCACACGUUCAUAGCUGCUUUCCGUCUGCCUCCGUGAAUUCGUCGUUUGCCACUGCCGUGUACUUACAAAGACGUCGUUUGGAUUGUUGUUGUCGUUGCACACAGUUGAUGUUGUCGUUUUUCUGAGCUUGAAGACGCCGUUGUGAAGACAAUGUUUGGUCGCCGUGUAUUGCUAAUGUUAACGUUGGGGCUGAGAAGAGAAUCUUCUGGGUUUCUUGAGUUUGAUUAACAGAAAUGAGUCGGGUUUGGAGGAGAAUAGGGAUUGGGUUGCUGGAAUUGGAAAGCUGAAGAAGUGGGCUGCUGGGAAGGGUUAUUGGGCUGCUAAAAAUGGCACUAAAAGGCCCAAAAUUGAUCUCCAAAUGGGUGACGAUAUUUUUGGCUAAUCAAACAAUAGCCCAAAUAAAUUUCAAAUGUAACCAAAUUGAGAUUAACCGGUCAACAUGUAAUUAGCAUGAAUUAAUUAAUGAGCUUCUCAAAAUUAACGAAAUAAAAUAAUUAAUUUAAUUACAAACUAAUUAACUCGAAAUUAUAACUAUAAAAUUUGAACCAAACUAAAUUAAUAAAAUAUUUUGACUAAAAGUGUAAAAUCUUUUUAAAUUGUUUUCGAAUGUUUGCAAAGUAUUUAAUUAUGUAAGGAAAUCAUAUAAAACUAUUUAUUAUCUAAAAUAUAUUUAACAUGACUGAAUUACUCUAAAAUCUUAAAAAAAUAUUUGAAAUUUAUAAAGUAAUUAUUCAAAAUCAUUUGGAAUCUAAGAAACUCGUGAAUUAAUUUUUAUCGGGAAGGGUCAAAAUUGGGACCCUCUAAAUCAUCCCACCUCUCUCUCUCUCUCUCUCUGACAUACAUAUACAUACUAAAGAAAAUCAAUUAUUUUUUCAAAAAAAAUGCAUGCAUAUAGACAGUUUAGAAAAAACACAGUGAAUCUUGCAUAAACUACCAGUAAAAUUUGAUAAAUAUCAAGAAGAGUGCUAACUCAUUCUUAUGUCAACAACUAUUAAAUUGUAUAGAUUUUGCAUAUGGACUUACAUGGAGUCCUCCAGUUGUAGGAGCUUGACCUAGAUUUCAAAUUCGACAUUCAACAACCUGCACUCCAGAUGUAUGUCCACAACGCCACGAUGUAGGAGAUUGACCUAGAAUUCGAAUUCAACAUUCAACAAACUUAAAUUGAGUCGUUGAUUCAAUUCAAACGGUGUCAAAUGAGAUAGGAAAAGGCAGAGAGGACGCACUGUGCUGCUGGAUGUUGGGUUCGGGUUUGGGAGGAAGAAGAGUAUGGGUCGGAUGGUAUCCCCAUAUACUAUGCGUACAUAUUGUAUUUGUUGGUGGGUUUUGGGCUUGGGUCUUACUAAAUGAAAUUGGGCUAGAGAAAAUGUGGGCUGGGUGUUUGUAUUUAUAUUCCAAUUCCAAUUAGAGUUAAAAGUGUGAUUAGAAUUGAGUUUAAUUUGAGUAAAUUCGGCUAACAAUUAACGAGUUUCGUAAUUUUAACAAAAUAAAAUAAUUAUAAAUUAAUUAAAUUUAAAAUAUAAAAAUAUUACUUCAACCAAACUGAUUAACAAAAUUACUUGGUAUUCUGGAAAUACUGAAUACUAAAUGGUAAUAUUGUCUAACACUAAAUUCAAACCUGAAUACGAUAAUUCUAAAAUUUUACUCUUGGAUACCAUAUCAAAUAUUGAAUACCAAAUUAUCAAAAAAUUCAAUUUAAUUUGAUUAGGUAAUUCGGUUUUUGAUAUUUUAUGUUCACCCCUUCUAGAAGCAAUGUGGGCUUUAGUAAGUUUGAUUCUUUAAAAAAUGAUCAAAACCCCUAUUUUUUAAUUAUGUAAAAUUAAGUAAAAAAUAUUCUUACCAUUAAUAGUUGAUUGCUAAUAGUUUUGGUUAAAAAAUGUUAGAAUGCGCUCCCCUCAAUAGUCAUUUCGUCCAGUGAGGGAUUAAAAUCACUACACGUGUCCAUUAAUAUAAUAAAUGGUUCAGAUUUAUUUGUUAAAAAAUCAAAAAAUUUAGCUAUGAUCAACAAUUAACACUAUCUUUUUUGUCUCUACCUGUCAUGCCUCGAAUCCCAUUAAGACGGACAGGCACCCGAUGCCCUAAAGGCCCGAGAGAACCAACAUGUAACCUGUGCUUACUAUACAUAUAACUAUGACAAUUGUAACACCCCGUAUCCGAAAUUAGGGAAUUCAGAUUUCUGAUGUUACAGAUGGCACUCACAGACACCAUCCACGGACCGUAGAUGGACUAACGAUCCGUCCUGCAGGUCCGUGGUUCGUGACAGAAAACUUCCCCAGAACUCAGUCAGAAAAUUUGGCUAAGUGUUGACCCACGGCCGGACUUACGGUCCGUAGAUCAGGUCACGGACCGUAGUUCGUGUUCGUGGAUCGAUGCCCCAAAAGCCCAGCUUCAGUCCCAAUUGACGGUCGACCAGCACGGACCAUCAUUCGAUCCACGGUCCAUAGGUCUGACCGUAAAUGAGGGUCAACAGUCAGUUAGAUGAAAUUUAUUGAUGGGUCAACUUCAGAUGGUCAUAACUUUUAGCACAAAANNNNNNNNNNNNNNNNNNNNNNNNNNNNNNNNNNNNNNNNNNNNNNNNNNNNNNNNNNNNNNNNNNNNNNNNNNNNNNNNNNNNNNNNNNNNNNNNNNNNNNNNNNNNNNNNNNNNNNNNNNNNNNNNNNNNNNNNNNNNNNNNNNNNNNNNNNNNNNNNNNNNNNNNNNNNNNNNNNNNNNNNNNNNNNNNNNNNNNNNNNNNNNNNNNNNNNNNNNNNNNNNNNNNNNNNNNNNNNNNNNNNNNNNNNNNNNNNNNNNNNNNNNNNNNNNNNNNNNNNNNNNNNNNNNNNNNNNNNNNNNNNNNNNNNNNNNNNNNNNNNNNNNNNNNNNNNNNNNNNNNNNNNNNNNNNNNNNNNNNNNNNNNNNNNNNNNNNNNNNNNNNNNNNNNNNNNNNNNNNNNNNNNNNNNNNNNNNNNNNNNNNNNNNNNNNNNNNNNNNNNNNNNNNNNNNNNNNNNNNNNNNNNNNNNNNNNNNNNNNNNNNNNNNNNNNNNNNNNNNNNNNNNNNNNNNNNNNNNNNNNNNNNNNNNNNNNNNNNNNNNNNNNNNNNNNNNNNNNNNNNNNNNNNNNNNNNNNNNNNNNNNNNNNNNNNNNNNNNNNNNNNNNNNNNNNNNNNNNNNNNNNNNNNNNCCUCUCUCUCGAGCAAGCUGAAAACACAUAAAUAAACUUGUAUUGGUAACUACAAAUAUGUUACAUUCAUCCACAACUACUAGAUGAAAUUACCAUUAAACUACAUCUAAUUUAUCAGCAAGCAAGACCCAACAACAAUCUUAACCCAUAUUCGCUAAAUCACACCCCAAGAAUUGGAGUUUUUAGCCACACAUCAAGAGAUAGAAAUUUAUACCUAAAUGAGCUUGCAUUCAAGUGGGUAUAAAGAUUUAAGUCUUGUUACAUGCCAAGAAUGAAGAAUCCAAGAGACCCAAGUCCAAAUCCUUGGAGAUAAACCAUCUUCUUCUUGCAGUUCAAAACCCUCUCAAAACUCAGAGCAAAAAUAAAAAGUACCAAAAUUAUAUUAAUUGUCUAUAUUGAAAAUAUGAUACUAAGCAAUAACUCUCAACCAAUAUUUAUAGUUUUCAAAAAUCUAUGUUGUAGCGGAUCAUUCGGCGACAAUAGUCGGAAUCGCAGAUCAACUUGGAGAUUCGCCCCUUGGUGUAGUUAAUCGCCUUCUUGCACCAUCCUUUCGCAUCAUCUUGCUCUGGUCAUUGGGUGACAUAGUACUACCUCGCGAAAUUGCUCGGCAAUGCGCCAACUGCUCCCUUUUUCUUCCGACUUGAUCCUUUCCUUUAGGGUUCAGCACACUGGAACAAAAGGCGGAGUGAGACCCUUCGGUGACUCGCCAAGUGAACUCGGAGAUCCUCAGGCCUUCAUUUUUUUCGUUCCUUUUUGCGAAGUGGUUUCCAAGCUUUCCUUCAAGCUUCAAAUACCUGAAACUUAAGUGUUUUCAUCAGAUAUUGAGAUAAAAUAAGCAUUUGAGGACAUAAUUUCUAUUAAAAUAUAGCCCUAAAUGAGUCCAAUUUGUGGACUUAUCAAUAUCGGGGAGAAGGUCAAUCCCAAAGUCUAUUUCCCUUUAGGGAGGAACACCGAGUAAAUCAUUGGGGAAAACUUCUGGAAACUCUCUUAAAAUAAGGACCGACUCAAGCUUAUGAGUUUUGGACUCCACAUCCCUCACCCACACAAUAGGGUAGACUUACCUUUCGAGUUCAUUUUUCUAGCUUUUAGGUAAGAAACAAAUUAACCUGUAGGCAUAGAAUUUCCCCCUUUCCCCUCAAGGAUAGGCUCAACAGAAAUUUGACCACUCUAGUUGUCACGCCUCAAAUCCCAUUAAGACGGACAGGCACCCGAUGCCCUAAAGGCCCGAGAUAACCAACAUGUAACCUUUGCUUACUAUGCAUAUAACUAUGACAAUUUUGUCACAAGUUCAAAUAGUAUGCAGCGAUACGAACCAACAUAAGUAGACCCAAAACUUAUAUACAAGACUUGGUCGUUGAGGCCACAACUUGUUAAGACGUAACUGAACCAUAUACAUAAGUCUACAAAGCCACUAAAGAUAGAAAACCUUAGAGUAGGUCGGGACAGACCCCACCUUACCUUUAACUACGAUACAAUACCAAAAUGAAUCUACCAAGGGCUCAAUAAAGCUCCGAAUCAACCUGGAGCUCACCAAAAGUAGUUGAGUGUCGUGUGCUCCUAUUGAGGAGGUCUACUAGUUGGAGUACCUAUGCCUGCAGCAUGAAAUGCAGCGUCCCCCGCGAGGGACGUCAGUACAAAAAAUGUACUGAAUAUGUAACGCAAUAACAUAUAUAAAAGAAGAGUUCGAAUGAAACCAAGUAUCAAUAUAUGUGUGCAUAAAUCAGAAUAGAAGACCACCUUCGUUAACUCUUAUUGGAUCAUGUAUGUUACAUUCUUGUCUUUACCUUUAUGUGUGUUAUGAUCUUUAUAAGGCAUGUGAUACCAAUGACCAGCUGAUCAGUGGUAGAAGAGGAUGAUCCAUGCUAGGCAAUUUAACCCCUGGGAUGCGGUCCUCUUAACUACACAUAUUGGGAUCGACCCAUGCUAGGUUUUCGCCCCUGAGCUAGAACCCUUCUAUACAAAUUGCGAUCGGCCUAUGCUAGGUUUUUUCCCCUGAGCUGCCACCCUUAAUUAUACAGAUUGUUUCACUUAGAUUCUUUAAUCUUUGAGAUUGUUGUUUUGGUGGUCAUAAUCAUUUUUGAUAUUUGGAACUACGGACCAGUAGUAGAAGACAUGAAAAUAAUACUUCAAGGCAGUAACAAUGACAUAAGGAGCUAUGUAACAUCAAUGCAUUACUUGUGAGUUUAAAUGACACAAUUGACUUUAACUGACUAAGAGGAGGAUUCACCAAACUUGCUUUUGCAAAUACCAUUUCUAUACUAGCACAUAGGAGGAUAAUUACACAAGUAUAGAGUAGUAAACAUAUAAUAAAGUAAUUAUAUGCACUAAGGAGAGGGGGAAAUAUUGUUAACUAUUUAGAGAUCUUACGCUGCCACUAUGUUUACUUUACUAGGAAUAGAACUUAGGAAAUUCACUUAUUGAUAUUAAUUGCAAGUAUCAGAUUUCAUGUCGAAGAAUAUUGAAUCGAAUAGCCAUACAUACCUUAUCCUCUAACCACUACUACUAUCACGAUUCAGCCUCCCCUUUCAGGUUUUAAUCUAUAGUAUAAGUCAUAAUAAACUUAAAUUAGCAGCUAUCACACCACGAGCCUCGUAAAACAGUAGCUAACUUUGACGGAUAAUGAGCCCAUACAACCCUUAAAACAAUGUGUAUCACCACACCUUCCUUCUCUGCCCAAUACAUACAUUAGAUAUCCUUUUCCAAGAUUACCCAAACUUCACCAACAACAAUACACCUAAAACAACCUCAAAUAUUCUUUAUCAUACAACCAAUUAUUGAACUUACCACCCCCCUUGAGUUCUUUAUGACAGCACACCCAUAAUUCCUCACUCAAACUCAUAUAUAAGGAGGAAGAAAAAUGGAGUAGUCACCUUACCUCAAUUUUUGCAACUUCUCGUUAUAACUUGAAUUCCUCUAGAACUUCAACUUCCCUUCACACUUAAACCAAAGAAGAAGAGAAAAGUAUCUUAAUAAUUAAGGGAAGUGAGCAGUAGCUUGUGGGAACUUCUGCCUUGUACUUAUAUUUAAGCAUGAAUAACAUGCUUUCUAGUCUUCCAUGGGAGAAUUAAGCUAAAUCCAUAAGUUUUUCUCUUACCUUGGUUUGCAGCUAUGAGGGUUUCUUCAAGAACCCUAGAAGGAACUUUAAGGCUGUUGUUUUAAUCCUUAAGAGAAAAGAUAGAGAGAGAGAGAGCUGGAGUUAAUUCUGAAUAUUGUGUGUUAAAAAUGAGUGAGAAUAGCAGCCAAUAUAUAUUAUAUUGAGGUUUCUUCACUUUUAAGAAUAUCCUCUAGAACCUCCCUUUUUUGGUCCAUUUUUAGCCACUAAUUGGUCAAGUAGGUGAUGCACCUGCUUAUGUAUAUCAAGCAGCUUAAAAGGUCAAACUAGGUGAUGCACCUACUUGCUUUCACUUGGGCUUAAAUAUAUUGGGCCUUGGGAGAUGAGGCUGCUGGGUUUUAAUUUCAUUUUCAUUUUAUUUAACUUAGUUUGGUCCUCAAGUGAGUCCAUUAGCAUAGGCCCAAAUCUGAUCCAUAAACCUUGGCCUUUUUAACUAGAUCCAUAUAGCUCAAGUAGGUGAUGCACCUAUUUGGUCCUUUGGACUGGUCAAUAAGUAUAAGUAGGUGAUGCACCUACUUGUCACCUACUAGCUUAGUUAAGUCAAACUAGCAGCUCACUUAUUUUUUUCCAUUUUCUAAAUAUUAAUCCCUUUUGCUUUAACUUAGCACUUAACUUUCAACUUAAUGCUCAAUUACCACCUUACUGUCUCGAGUUUAAAUACUCCUGUUAGAGUUAACUUGUAGUACACAUGCUGAAACGUGCAAGGAAUCACAUCACCUUCUGAUCUAGUUUAAACCAAUGCUAAUCAUAUAAGAAACAUUGCCCCUCACCUAUACUAUAAGGCUAUGUCAAGUAUCAAAAGAAUAGAACAAGCAUAUGCAUAAUGCGGGCUAUUAUAUCCUCCCCCCCUUAAAACAUUCGUCCUCGAAUGUUAGCAUGGUUAUCCAGCCCAAACAAGUUCAAACCUAAGUUAGGACUAAUAUUAAUCACAUUGAACAUAUAGACUUAUACUUACUUGUUAACGCCUCAAAUCAACAUUUCCAUCUUUCUUAUCAGUCUGGAAGAGAUGAGGAUACUUUAAUUUCAUUGCUUAUUCGGCUUCCCAUGUAACUUCUUCUACUUGUUGGUUCCUCCAUAAUUCUUUUACAGAAGCUACUUCUUUAUUUCUUAACUUCCUAACUUGUCGAUUUAGAAUAACAAUGGGUACUUCUUCAUAAGUGAGAUCUCUCGUAACCUGUACAUCUUCGGUAGGAGUAAUACGAGAUGGGUCACCUAUUCAUUUUCGAAGCAUUGGGACAUGAAACACUGGAUGAACGGUUGAAAUCUCUUGAGGUAGCUCUAACUCAUACACAACUUGGUCAAUUCUUUGAAUAAUCUUAUAUGGCCCUAUAUAGCGUGGACUCAACUUCCCUUUUUACCAAACCUCAUUGCCCCUUUCAUUGGUGACACAUUCAAGAACACCCAAUCCCCUAUAGAAAAUUCUAGUCCUCUCCUUCUAACAUCUGCAUAUGAUUUAUGUCGACUUUGAGCUGUUUCUAGCCGCUGCUGUAUCACUUUGACUUUUUCCAUAGCUUGAUGAACAAGGUCUGGCCCAAAUAAGGCAGUUUCACCUAUUUCGAACCAUCCAAUUGGGGAUCUACAUUUUCUACCAUAUAAAGAUUCAUAAGGUUCCAUUUUAAUACUUGAAUGGUAGCUAUUGUUGUAUGCAAACUCGAUCAACGGAAAAUGAUCAUCCCAACUACCUUUGAAGUCUAAUAUACAAGCUCACAACAUAUCCUCAAGUGUUUGAAUUGUACGCUCUGCCUGAACGUCUGUUUGAGGGUGAAAGGAUGUACUUAAAUUCACUUGUGUUCCCAAACUCUUUUGAAAUGACUUCCAAAAAUUUGCAGUGAAUUGAGCUCCCCUAUCCGAUAUAAUAGAGAUUGGAACUCCAUGCAGCCAAACUAUCUCUUUAAUAUACAACCUUGAAUACUCUUCAACUGUAUAAGUAGUCUUCACCGGCAAGAAGUGUGCUGAUUUGGUGAGUCUGUCAACUAUUACCCAUAUGGAGUCAAACUUCCGAAAUGAGCGAGGCAAACCAGUGAUAAAAUCCAUGUUGAUCAUGUCCCACUUCCAAAUUGGAAGUUCUAUACACUGCAUAUAACCUCCGGGCUUUUGGUGCUCUACUUUUACUUGUUCACAAAUUCCGCAAUGUUCUUCUUCAUCGUCCCCCCACAAUACAUUUCUUCAAGUCAUGAUACUAUUUUAGUUGACCCAGAUGGAUAGAAUAUCUCGAAUGAUGUGCUUCCAUCAUAAUCCUCUUUCUUAAUUCAUCUACAUUAGGUACACACAAUCUGUUUUGACACCGAAGUACUCCCUUCUUGCGUAAGCUCAAAUGCCUUUGUCAUACCUUGUUGUACAUUCUCCUUAAGCUGUAAUAGAAUAGGAUCAGUGUACUGCUUCUCUUUCACUUCCACUAGUAAUGAGGAUUCUGCCGCAUUUUAAACAAUAACCCCUUCGUCUGGAGAUUCAAGAAGGCGAACCCCCAAUCUAGCUAGUUGGCAUAAAUCCUUAGUUAUGCCUUGUCUUUAUAUAGACUGCCCAUAAGUGCUUGCCAUUAUUGUACGGCUUAAAGUAUCAACUACUAUAUUGGCUUUACCGGGAUGAUACAAGAUAUCAAUGUCAUAAUCUUUUAAUAGCUCCAGCCAUCUUCGCUGCCUCAGAUUUAGGUCCUUUUGCUUAAAUAUAUAUUGCAAACUCUUGUGAUCAGUGUAUAUGUCAACAUGAUCUCCAUACAAGUAGUGGCGCCAUAUCUUCAAGGCAAACACAACUGCUGCUAGCUCUAGAUCAUGGGUUGGAUAAUUUUUCUCAUGUGGCCGGAGCUGCCUUGAGCCAUAAGCUAUUACUUUACCAUGUUACAUCAAUACACAACCUAAGCCCACUCCCGAAGCAUCGUAAUACACUGUAUAGCCUUCUGUGCCUUCUGGAAGUACCAAAACAGGUGUAGAAGUUAAUUUAUUCUUCAACUCUUGGAAGCUUCUUUCACAUUCAUCACUCCACUGAAACUUGGUUUCUUUGUGUGUUAGCUUUGUUGAGGGUGCAACAAUGGAAGAGAAUCCUUCAACGAACCUUCUAUAAUAACCUGCCAAUCCAAGAAAACUAUGGAUCUCCGUAGGCGUUGUGGGUCUCAGCCAGUUUUUCACGGCUUCUAUCUCAAGUUAUCAAUCCUUAUUCCUUCAUCGGAUACAAUAUGACCUAAGAAUGCCACAGAUUUUAACCAGAACUCACAUUUAGAGAACUUUGCAUACAACUUACGAUCACGAAGAAUUUUUAAAACGAUCAUGAAGAAUUUUUAAAACCUGCCGCAUAUGAUUAGCAUGGUCCUCUUCCGAUCUUUAAUACACCAAAAUGUCUUCUAUGAAUACUAUCACGAACACAUCUAAAAAUGGCUUGAACACCCUAUUCAUCAAAUCCAUAAAAUCUACUGGUGCAUUUGUUAGCCCGAAUGACAUGACUAAAAACUCAAAAUGACCAUACCAUGUUCGGAAAGCUGUCUUGGGUAUGUCUUUGUCUUUGACCCUCACUUGGUGAUAACCCGACCUCAGGUCGAUCUUUGAAAAACACCUAGCACCUUGUAACUAAUCAAACAAAUCAUCAAUUCUAGGGAGGGGAUAUUUGUUCUUAAUCGUUACCUUAUUCAACUGCCGGUAGUCGAUACACAUUCUUAACGAGCCAUCUUUCUUGCGUACAAAUAAAACUGGUGCUCCCCAUGGGGACAUACUAGGCCUUAUGAAUCCUUUUUCUAAUAAGUCUUUUAAUUGCUCCUUCAACUCCCGUAAUUCUGUCGGGGCCAUUCUAUACGGAGGAAUGGAGAUAGGUUGAGUAUCUGGAAUCACAUCAAUACCAAACUCUACUUCUUGUUCUGGAGGCAAACCUGGAAGAUCUUCAGGAAAUACAUCAGGAAACUCAUUCACUACCGGAAUGGAUUGAAGAGUUGGUGGCUCCGCAUCUAUAUUUUUCACUCUCACUAAAUGACAUAUGUAUCCUUUGGACAUCAUCUUCUUUACCUUGAGAUAAGAAAUAAAUUUACCUCUUGGUGCCCCAAUAUUACCUUUCCAUUCAAGGAAUGCCUCUUUUGGAAAAUGGAAAUGCACCAUCUUAGUUUGGCAAUCUACCGUGGCAUAACAAGAAGCUAACCAAUUCAUACCCAUUAUAACAUCAAAAUCUACCAUUUUUAGCUCAACAAGGUCAGCCAAUGUAUCACGAUCACAAACAGUUACAAUGCAAUUACGAUAAACCCUUCUAGCUAUAAUAGACUCACCAAUCGGUGUAGACACUUCAAAUGGCUUCACUAAUAAUUCUGGUGUUCUUUUGAACUUUUCAGCAAUCAAUGGAGUAACAUAUGAUAGUGUAGACCCCGGAUCAAUUAAUGCAUAUACAAUAUGUGAAAAGAUGGACAAUGUACCUGUAACCACAUCCAGCGAGGCUUCUAAAUUUUGUCGAUCCCAUAGAGCAUAUGUGUGAUUCUGAACUCCACUAGAGCUAGCUGCUCCGCUAGCUCCUCUACCAUGACUAGUAGGCAUCUGUCCCCUACCAAAAGAAGGUGCUGAUGAUGAUGAUGCAACAACUGAUCUAGUAGGUUGUGCCACACUACCCAUACCCCUAUGAGGGCAAUUUCUCAUCAUAUGACCUGUGUACCACACCAAAAACUAACAUUUGUCCCAACCCUACAUGCACCUAGAUGAUUCCUUCCACAUUGUUUACAAGGCUGUCGAGGAGGCCUUGAUUGGCUCGUACUUCCCUACUCUUGAUGACCCGCUAUUUGUGAACCUUGGCUUUCACUUCUUUGCCCAAACUGAUUACCCCUAAACCCUUAAAACCGAGGUGGGGCACUAUCUGUAGAGUAGGAAGAUGAUGGCCUAGACGGUCUGUUAAAGAACCGAGGCCUAAACUCACCUUGGGAUGGUGUAAACUGCCUCAUGGAUCUGGCCCUCUUAGAAUGUCGUUUCUGACUCUUGUGUCCUUCUUCUUUGCCUUUGAUCCUCCAACUUUUGCGCAAAAGCUUGCAUCCUUGAUUUAUCCAUAUCUUUAUUCAACGAAGCAAUGGUACAGUCUCUAACCAAAUAUGAAUCUAAUCUAUCCACAUAUCGAUGAACUCUAUCCUCCAUAGUAGCUACUACAUUAGGAGCAAACCUGGCCAAGGAAUUAAAUUUGAGACUGUACUCUCUCACACUCAUACUUCCUUGGUGGAGAUUUAAUAACUGAUCUGCACGGGCCUCUCGGAUCUCCAAUGGUAGAUAAUGGUCAAGGAAUGCCUUUUUGAACUCUUUCCACGUAGCUGAAGGCGCAUUUGUUCCCCUAGAUUUCUUCCAAGCUUCAUACCAUAAUAUAGCCACACCCUUUAAUCUAUAUGCUGCUAGCUCAAGUUCUUCUUUACCACUUACAUGCAUAACAUCCAAAGUGUGUUGGAUUUGAUCUAUAAAGUCCUGUGGAUCUUCAUUAGGUUCUGGCUCGGUGAAUGAUGGAGGGUCCAAAUUAAGGAAGUCACGUAUCCACGUGCCAACUGCUCUAUUUACACCACUAGUACCUACAACUAGACCUUCUUGCCUUUGGCCGUGGCCAGCAACUAUACGAGUCAAUUAUUGGACUGCAUUCCUCAAAUCUUGCUCGGUAGCAUUAAUAGGGGGUUCUUGAGGUGCAGCUUCCCUCCUUAGAUCUUUUGGAGAUGGAGGGGUCGGGGAAGUCUGUGAUAGAGACUCAUCUUGAGCCUCACCUUGAACAACUUGACUAGGUGGUGGUUGCCUGAUCCCUUCUUGGGAAGCCACAUCUACUCGCUUACAAGUACUUUUAUUCCUCGUAAUUGGCAUCUUUGAUAUAAUAAAACAAUUUAGAAAUUAUAUAUGAUUUGCCUACAACACUGGUUCUAUCGUACGAUCUAUGAAAUGAAAGAAAGAAGACAACUCCUACAUGUCCCGUAGCCUCCUGUUUAUAAAUGUGGUGCACAACACAUCCAUAAGCAAGACUCUACAGAGUCACGGCUUUGUAGACUCCCUAGGAUGACCUGCUCUGAUACCACUUUUGUCACGCUUCAAAUCCCAUUAAGACGGACAUGCACCCGAUGCCCGAAAGGCUUGAGAGAACCAACAUUUAACCUGUGCUUACUAUGCAUAUAACUAUGACAAUUUUGUAACAAGUUCACAUAGGAUGCAAUGAUACGAACCAACAUAAAUAGACCCAAAACUUAUAUACAAGAUUUGGCCCUUGAGGCCACAACUUGUUAAGACGCAACUGAACCAUAUACAUAAGUCUACAAAGCCUUUAAAGAUAGAAAACCUUAGAGUAGGUCGGGACAGACCCCGCCUUACCCUUAACUACGAUACAAUACCAAAAUGAAUCUAUCAAGGACUCAGUAAAGCUCCGAAUCAACCUGGAGCUCACCAAAAGUAGCCGAGUGUCGUGUGCUCCUAUUGAGGAAGUCUACUAGUUGGAGUACCUGUGCCUGCAGCAUGAAAUGCAGCGUCCCCCCGCGAGGGAUGUCAGUACGAAAAAUGUACCGAAUAUGUAAGGCAAUAACAUAUAUAAAAGAAGAGUUCGAAUGAAACCAAGUAUCAAUAUAUGUGUGCAUAAAUCAGAAUAGAAGACCACCUUUGUUAACUCUUGCGGGAUCAUGUAUGUUACAUUCUUGUCUUUACCUUUUUGUGGGUUAUGAUCUUUAUAAGACAUGUGAUACAAAUGACCAGUUGAUCAGUGGUAGAAGAGGAUGACCCAUGCUAGGCAUUUUAACCCCUGGAAUGCGGUCCCCAUAAUUAUACAAAUUGGGAUCGGCCCAUACUAGACUUUCACCCCUGAGCUACCACCCGUAAUUAUACAGAUUGUUUCACUUAGAUUCGUUAAUCUUUGAGAUUGUUGUUUUGGUGGUCAUAAUCAUUUUUAAGAUUUGAAAAUACGGACCAGUUGUAGAAGACAUGCAAAUAAUACUUCAAGGCAGUAAAAAUGNNNNNNNNNNNNNNNNNNNNNNNNNNNNNNNNNNNNNNNNNNNNNNNNNNNNNNNNNNNNNNNNNNNNNNNNNNNNNNNNNNNNNNNNNNNNNNNNNNNNNNNNNNNNNNNNNNNNNNNNNNNNNNNNNNNNNNNNNNNNNNNNNNNNNNNNNNNNNNNNNNNNNNNNNNNNNNNNNNNNNNNNNNNNNNNNNNNNNNNNNNNNNNNNNNNNNNNNNNNNNNNNNNNNNNNNNNNNNNNNNNNNNNNNNNNNNNNNNNNNNNNNNNNNNNNNNNNNNNNNNNNNNNNNNNNNNNNNNNNNNNNNNNNNNNNNNNNNNNNNNNNNNNNNNNNNNNNNNNNNNNNNNNNNNNNNNNNNNNNNNNNNNNNNNNNNNNNNNNNNNNNNNNNNNNNNNNNNNNNNNNNNNNNNNNNNNNNNNNNNNNNNNNNNNNNNNNNNNNNNNNNNNNNNNNNNNNAGGUUUUAAUCUACAGUAUAAGUCAUAAUAAACUUAAAUUAGCAGCUAUCACACCACGAGCCUCGUAAAACAGUAGCUAACUUUGACGGAUAAUGAGCCCAUACAGCCCUUAAAACAAUGUGUAUUACCACACCCUCCUUCUUUUCCCAAUACAUACAUUAGAUAUCCUUUCCCAAGAUUACCCAAGCUGCACCAACAACAAUACACAUAAAACAACCUCAAAUAUUCUUUAUCAUACAACCAAUUAUUGAACUCACCACCCCCUUGAGUUCUUUAUGACAGCACACCCAUAAUUCCUCACUCAAACUCAUACAUAAGGAGGAAGAAAAUGGAGCAGUCACCUUACCUCAAUUUCUGCAACUUCUCGUUAUAACUUGAAUUCCUCUAGAACUUCAACUUCCCUUCAUACUUAAAUCAAAGAAGAAGAGAAAAGUAUCUUAAUAAUUAAGGAAACUGAGUAGUAGCUUGUGGGAACUUCUGCCUUGUACUUAUAAUUAAGCAUGAAUAACAUGUUUUCUAGUCUUUCACGAGAGAAUUAAGCUAAAUCCAUAAGUGUUUCUCUUACCUUGAUUUGCAGAUAUGAGAGUUUCUUCAAGAUCCCUAGAAGGAACUUUAAGGCUGUUGUUUUAAUCCUUAAGAGAAAAGAGAGAGAGAGAGAGAGAGCUGUUGUUAAUUCUGAAUAUUGUGUGUUAAAAUGAGUGAGAAUAGCAGCCAAUAUAUCUUAUAUUGAGCUUUCUUCACCUUUAAGAAUAUCCUCUAGAACCUCCCUUUUUGGUCCAUUUUCAGCCACUAAUUGGUCAAGUAGGUGAUGCACCUACUUGGUCCUUUAGACUGGUCAAAUAGUCUAAGUAGGUGAUGCACCUGCUUGUCACCUACUAGCUUAGUUAAGUCAAGCAAACAGCUCACUUAUUUUAUUCCAUUUUCUAAAUAUUAAUCCCUUUUGCUUUAACUUAGCACUUAAAUUUCAACUUUAAGCUCAAUUACCGCCUUACUGUCUCGAGUUUAAAUACUCCUGUUAGAGUUAACUUGUAGUACACAUGCUGAAAUGUGCAAGGCAUCACAUCACCUUCUGAUCUAAGUUUAAACCAAUGCUAAUCAUAUAAGAAACAUGGUCUGUUACCUAUACUAUAAGGCUAUGUCAAGUAUCACAAGAAUAGAACAAGCAUAUGCAUAAUACGGGUUGUUACACUACCACCAGACCCCAAAUCCUCUUCUUUUCAUGAAAAAUUUAAUACCAAGUCAAAACUAGUGGGUUCCUCUGAUAGCAUAUUAGGUGAAGUAUUUGGAAAAAUUUUAUGUUGAAAUUUCUUCAUAUAGGGCUAAUAAGUAUGGAAGUUAAUAGUCAUUCAUUUCAUAUUUAGCCUGUAAAAAGCUAAAAGCAUUAGCAGAAAUUGAAGCAUAUUGGAAAUUUCAAUGCUGCGUUUGAUAACGGAUCGCUCGUAGCCAUGGUUUUCACACUCUACAACAUACACCGAACAAAAUCCUAACACGAUCGAAAUUCGACAUCGGUAGUUGCAACUGGAUAACAGAUCUCUCAUAACCAUAUUUUUCACACUCUACAACAUACACAGAACAAAACCCUAACAUGAUCAAAAUCCGACACCGGUGAUUGCAACUGGAUAACGGAUCGCUCACCAUGUUUUUGACACUCUACUACAAAACAAAAUCCUAUUUGUGAAUACUCAUUUGUGUUUAAAUUUGUAUAAGAGAUAGGGAGAGUGAGCUUCAGGAGAAAGAAAUGGAAAAACUCGACUGUGAUUACAACUGGUAUUGAGCUUGUGGGUGCAACAAAGGCGCAACACUAUUAUACUCUUUUGUUACUCUUUUCUUGUUUUUUCCUAUCAAAAUAUUUAAUUUAAUAAUAAUAUCUACUUUCAUAAAAAGAAAUUAUCAAAAAAUUAAAAGCAAGAUAGCAAAUUAUUUAUUAUUUAUUUAAAACUAGAAGGGAAAGCAUGUGCAGACAAUCUUACUAUCUAAAAUUCAUACAUUUUGUAACAAUGGCAAAUAUAAUUUUUUGAGUACGGUGAUAUUUUUAUUGUUUUUCAUUUUAAUGAACUAUAUUAACGGUCUAAUAUAAGAAAUAUGUCAUCAAUUCUAAUAAUAAAAAAAUGAAAAUCUUAUUUAAUCGACAUUUUAUAUGAAAUAAAUUAAGCUAUUAUUACUCACAAUUUUCAAUCUCUCUUUUUCAGGUGAAAUCCAUUUCCAAACAUUAUUACUAUAACUUUUGAACACAUUUUUUAAUCUCCAACUGUAAAUAUUUUUGACUUCUUAUUUUUUUUAAAAACCUUUCUAAUUGAUAACUCAAAAUUCAAAUACUCUUAUUCUAAUCGGAAAAGAGUCAUAUUUGCCCUUGUACUCUUAGAAAAGGGUUAUAUUAACCUUUUGUUAUAUUUUUUGGUUAUAUUUACCCCUACCAUCCAACUUUGGAUUUAUAUUUACCCUUUAGGUUGUUAAGUUCCACAUCACUCCCUUUUAUCAUCCUAUGUGGCAUCUACAUGGAUACUCUAAUUUUAUUAUUACACCUCAUCCCAAAGAAUUGAAAGUAACCAAGUGAAAAAAACGUUACUGUUCUUUUGCUUUAAGUAUUUUUUUUUUUCAUCUUCUUUUGCUCUAAGUAACUGUGGUGCAUAUGUUCCUUUUAUUACAUUUAAUAAUUACCCAAACUCAAAUUCGUCAAUUCAAAUAUAUAUUUUACUCAAAAUCCAUUUUGAGAUUCUCAAUUUCAGUUCCAAUGGCAUCGAAAGCAGAGAAAAAGCCAGCAGAGAAGAAGCCAACGAAGGAGAAAAAUGUUGAAAAAUCCCCAAAAGCAGGAAAGAAAUUACCAAAAAAAUUAGGUUCUUCAAGGUGGACUGUUGAACACUAAUGUCAUUGUUCUGAAUUUUGUAUCGCCGCUAAGCUGAAAUUGAACCCAUGGUAAUUUUUUUAUUUAUUUUAGCCCUCAAUUUGAAAUUAUCUUGCAUUUUUUAUCAAUCUUGUUGCUUCAAAUAAGAUGUUUGGAAGUUGAAUGUGUGAAUCUUGGUGAAGUAAUAAUGUGUUUUGAGUUAUUUGCUGCUUUAAUCGCCUAUUAUCCAGUUAAUUGUAUUUGAUUAUGUUGUUGAACUGUAUUUACCUUUUUCUUUAUUUGUAGUCCACGACAAAGAAAUCAAUUUCGAGAGAUGAUUGGGAGAAGAGGCUUAAUGUUGUAAAUAUUAUAAAAUAAGAUACAUAUAGAUUGGUAAUGAAUUUUCUAGUUACAGAGGGUUAUGUAUAAGCUGCAGAUUGUGUUUAAACACUUGGAUGGCCAAAUUCUUGGAAAUAAUUGAAAAUUAUUUUUUCACUUGAUUUCCUUUCAAUUUUUUGGGGGUGAGGAAUAAUAAUUAAAUUAGAAAAGAUUAUAUCCAUGUAGGAGUCACGUAGGAUAAUAAAAAAAGGGGUGAUGUGGAACUUAACAACUAAUAGGAUAAAUAUCAACCCAAGGUUGGAUGGUAGGGGCGGAUGGUAGGGGCAAAUAUAACCAAAAAGUAUAAUGAAGGGUAAAUAUAACCAUUUCCUAAAAGUAUAAGGGAAAAUAUGACCCUUUUUCGUAUUCUAAUUUAUGUGAUGCAAUUUCAUCUGACACAAAGAUUUUAAAAGAAGACUUUUGAAACUUGUGGGUUUAAAUCAUUUCUUUAAGAGUAAAAUAGAUAUUUUAAAGUUAAAUUGUUUAUUAAAUAAAAAUAAAUGUGUCAUUCUUUCUGUGACGCUGACUAAAAAAAAUAGUGACAAUUGACAAAUUUAUCAAUGGAAAAAACAAAUCAUUGCAUAAAUAGGGUAACAUAUUAAGAAACAAAAUAAUUUUUAAAACAUAAAUAAUAUUCUUUUAUAACAAAUCAAACUAGAACAAAUAAAUAAAAACAUGAAAAAUAAUACUAAUAAACAAACAAAGAUUCGGUUACUUCUAAAAAUUGACCGGUCAUAUAAUAUGUCGGUUUACGAAAGAAAAUUAACAUAUUCAAUUUUGUGCAAUAUUAUGGAGUAAUGGAUAACAAAUUUUUUUGGUAGAGGAUAAAGAGGCAAAGAAUAAGAAUGACGAAAACACACGCUUUAAUGGUUCCAUUUAUAAGCUUUGUAUGUGAUUAUUAAAGGAGAAAAAGUAUAUAAAUAACACAUUUUCAGCUGUUAAUUUUUGGUUGUUAACAGACACAAAAAUAAAAAAUAAAUUAACAGCUAAAAAUGUAAAUCAAACAAUUAAUUGACAAUAUUUUUGACCAUUUUCCAUUAAUUCUUUAAAGGACAGAAUGCCUUAUGAGACAUUUGGCUUAAAGGAGAGAAGUAAGCAAUCAUUGAAGAGAUCUUUUAUAUGACAUUAGUAACUGAAUCACUGUUUGUCAUUCAAAUCAAACCUUGAGUUGUUUGUUUGCUGCUACUGCUUUUCAGGUUCUCUCUUAUUUGCUCUUUGUAUCAAAUUUUUUUAAUGUAUCUCAUCGUGAUAACGGGAUGUUUAAUUUAUGAAAAAACAAUAUAUUUAUAAAAAUUUGGGGUAGAAUAAGGAGAAAUUGGUGAUAAUUAAACUCUCGCCAACAAAUGAAAGUUUAAGUACUCAACUAAUUGAGCUACUACAAUAAAUUCAGAAUUUUCAGACUAUUAGUAAAAUUUCAUUUGUCAAGGAAGGUCUGAAUCCAUGUCUAUUUGUUUUUUGCCUCUUACAAUCAUUGUUGAAUUAGCCACUUUUACACGAGUUUUCAAGUGGAUGAAAUCGGUCGAUUGGUCUCAGUUGGAAAUGGGAUGGAUUUCUUCAUAGUUCUAGGUUAUUGUAUGAGGCUAAGGCUUUCUAUAUAUUUACUAAAGUUCGUAUUUCACGUACAUUUUUUUAUUGCAAAUGACAUAUUUUAUCCCUUUAAAAUCUAUUGCUAUUUACUAAAAAAAUCAUCAUUCUUAAGAUAGAAAGUACAUAUAUAUUCCAAAUAAAAAGAAUACAUCCUUAAUUAUAAAAUUGACUAAAAGUGCAUAAAGUAAAUUAAAUAACUUACUAUUGUACAAAUACAAUAUUCAAAUGAGGAUACUAAAAUAUCACAUGUUAGCCUAAUGUAUAAAAAAAAACCACUGUAAAUUCCCAAUAAUAAUAAUAACAAAAUGAUAGAAAGUUGUACAAUAUCAACAAAAAGAAGCAUAAACAUUAAAUAAAGCAAAUAAAAAGAGACAAGAGAAGAGAGCACAAUUGUUUUUUCAUUUUUUUCAAUUGUUUUAAGUGUGUAUACUAUUGUGUCAAAUGUCACUACUUAUAGGAUAAGAUUGAGGAACACAAAAAGCUUUCAUGAAUAUGACAUUAAUCCGUUUGAGAUCAUGGAUGAGGAUGAGAGGUGGAGGAAAAAUCAUAAUGAAUAUAAUUAGUGGGAUUACAUAUAUUUACAUAGUAGAGUUAUGCAAUACAUUUCACAUUAAUACAAAUAUUUAUAUAUAUAAAAAAAGAAUAUAAUAUAGGUUUGUAUGAUUUUUUUUUCUUUUUGUGAAGGGAAACAUAACCAUCAUAUUUCCAAUCAGUGCACUUGGUCUCGCUUCAUGCCAUAAUAAUUUUUGAAAUAGUUAUCUUCUCAUAAUAUGCCAGUAAUAAAAAGUUUAGUCUCGAAUCUACAUAUUAAAAUUCAAGUUUAAUCUAAUUUAUUGUUAACAUUUGCUUUCAGAUAAUUUUUAUCAAUACAAUUGGGAUAAGACACAAGAACCAUCCUAGAUUAUGAUCGAAAUCUCAGAGAUAGUCCUUAGAUGUAACAAAGGUCAUAUUACCCCCCUAAAAUAAUUUAAGAAUUAAUACACCAUAAAUGCUGACAUGACAUAGAAAGUGUGCAUAUUCUCUUUAAGGCAAGUGAUGAGUGCACAAAUUGGACACUUGUCAUUUUUUAACUUAUAACUUUAUAAUUAGUUAGUCUACAUAUUUAAUAGUAUUAAAACUGAUAUAUAUUUAAUUAUUUUUAUUUCUUUCUUUGUAAAAUAUUUAUUUAAAUUUCUUUAUUACUUUAAACUUUUUUUAAUUAAUUUAUUAUCUUUUCACUUUUAAUUAUUUUAAAAAAUAGAAUUUUUAAAAAAUAUAUUAAAAGGUGUGCUCUAAUUUUAACAUUUUUAUCUUUUUAUGUUUUAUUUGAUUCUCUUCACUUAUUUUGAUAUCCGUUCGAAAUUCACUUAUGUUAAAUACAAGGCAUUUGAAAUUAAAUUUGAAAUCAAAUCAAAAUGAAAGACAAAAAGAAAAUAAAAAGGCUAAAGAAAAUCAAUAGAAAAAUAAAAGAGAACAGAACAAUGAAUGAAGGUAAAAAAAAAUAAUUUCAUACAAGGUAAAAAAUAUUUAUUAACUUAAUUUAAAUAAGAGAUAAAGAAAAUAAGAAUAUUUUUUUAAGAAAUAAAAGAUAAUAUUUACACAUGUGGCAGGCGAGCGUGUACAAAGACAAACAACUUGGGUGGUUGAAGGUGCUACUUCAGCAUAAAAGGUGCACAAAAAUACGAAAAGAAUGAGUUAGGGGGGUAAUAUGACCUUAGUUAAGUUUGAGUGUUUCUCUGAGAUUUCAGUCAUAGUCUAGGAGGUACUUGUACCUUAUCCCAAUAAAAUUUGAAGAAAGAUUGAUCCAUUAUAUCGCCUUAUAUCAUCAAAUAGGAUAAAAAUGUGUUUACUCCACUUAAAUAUGUGAAAGCGGACAAUAAUAGUUCAUUUUUUCACAAAAUUUCUUUAAUUGAUAUGUCUUUGCUAUAUAUAGUUGUUUUUUCAUUUUCCUUUUUUUUUUUAGUUCUUUUUCUCUAUUUCUUCCUUGACUUUUUUGUUGCCCAUCACAUUUUUACCCUUUUGAUAAUGAAUUAUUAUUAUUUUGAGAGUUGAAUUCUAAAAAAAAUGACAUUUGGCCAUUAAUUUUUUUACAUCCACUUUGAAGCUGAAUUUUAAAAUAAAAAAAAAGAUUUACUUUCUCAUUUCAAAUUACUUAUAAAAAUUCACAAAAACAACUUCUAUUGUGUUCAUGACAAAAAAUUUAAACACCAGUAAUUACUUUGAAAUAAUUAAUUUUUUAAAAAUACUCAUAAUUUUAAUAGUAUAACUGCCUCAUGGAAUAAGAUGUCUUUUCGUCAACAAAAAAUCAUAUUCAAAUUGAUCAGUUUGUCGUAUUCUUGAAAGUAAUCACAUUCCACAUUUUGCAAAUCCUAACCCUUAUCAUUAAAACAUCUUUAUCCAUAAUCAACUCUUAAAAAAAGAAUAUGUUAUAUUAACAAUCCAAUUAAAAGCAAGAAUUAUAGAUUAAGCAAACUAUAUUAUAAAAUAGACUAUGAAAAGAAACAAAAUUAAUAAAAAAUGUAAUUGCUCAUAUAUUAGUACAGAUUAAAAGAAUCUUUGACAAAGGAAUGUUCAGGAGUAAAUGUUUUACGUUUCAAAAAGAAAUAUAUAUGACUUAUUUUUGAAAAAACAAUUCAACUCAAAUUUUAAAGAAAAAUCAAUUUUUAAAAAGACUCGCCACUUAAUUUUUUUAAGAGAUCAAGAAAACUUGUAAUUUUCCAAAGACUUAAACAGAAAAAAUCAUUUGAAAGAAAAACCAAAGAGGGUACGGGUUCAAUUUACAUUUCGAGAAGGGUUUAAACAUUUGAAAUGUCAUGUGACGUGCGGUUGACCUACGACUUGACUAAAAUUUGACCAACUUUGAAAAUUAAUAAAAAUAACCCAUUUUUUUUUACUUGAAAGGAAAUGGACUUAACAUGAUUUUUUAAGGAAAUAAAUUUAUAGCUAAAUAAAUAAAUAAAUUUUAAAUAUUCAAUUAAAUAUAAAUGGAAGAAGACUAUAUUUUAGAAAUUUAAUUUAAUUUAAUUAAAAUAAAGGUUAGAGAAUUAAUACAAAGAAACUAAGAGAUUUUGCUUUAAAAAAAGAGUUAAUACAAAUAAACAAAUAAUAAGAAGAAAGGCAUUAAAGUAAAAAUUUGGGCUUUCAGCCCAACCUUUCCUAACUCUAAAAAUGGGUCAGCUGCAAAUAGAUGGAUUUCAGCCCAUUAGCUUCUCAUAAACCUGCUGUGCAAAACACAAAGUGGGUUUUGGCCUGGCCUAAUGCUUAAAAGACUGCAUAUUGAUACACUAAAAUUACAACUCCCUAAAGAAGCAUAAGCGGUCGUUAUCAAGUAAAGAACCCAACUUGUAGGUUGGGGUCGAUCCCACGAGAAAAAUGGUUUAGACUUUAAUUUAACCAACAAUUAGAUUCGAUUAGUCAAAUUACUUCCAGAAACAAGUAAUAAAAAUGGGGGUUUUUGUGAAACAAAUUGAAAGAAUUUAAUAAGUAAUCAGUAAUCAAAACUCAAUUUUGGUUGUUAUCAAGAUGAGAGAAAUAACUAGGGUAUACGUGUUCCCCACAAGCUCAUAAUGCAGUAAUCCUAGUAAAAGCAAUCCUUUCCUAGUGUACUACAUGCAAAGUGAUAAGUUAGGUAUCUCUAAAUCCUUGGUCCGGCAUCUAGAGAAUUUCACCCCGCACCUUGGUCCGGCUACGUGUGUAUAAUUUACUAACNNNNNNNNNNNNNNNNNNNNNNNNNNNNNNNNNNNNNNNNNNNNNNNNNNNNNNNNNNNNNNNNNNNNNNNNNNNNNNNNNNNNNNNNNNNNNNNNNNNNNNNNNNNNNNNNNNNNNNNNNNNNNNNNNNNNNNNNNNNNNNNNNNNNNNNNNNNNNNNNNNNNNNNNNNNNNNNNNNNNNNNNNNNNNNNNNNNNNNNNNNNNNNNNNNNNNNNNNNNNNNNNNNNNNNNNNNNNNNNNNNNNNNNNNNNNNNNNNNNNNNNNNNNNNNNNNNNNNNNNNNNNNNNNNNNNNNNNNNNNNNNNNNNNNNNNNNNNNNNNNNNNNNNNNNNNNNNNNNNNNNNNNNNNNNNNNNNNNNNNNNNNNNNNNNNNNNNNNNNNNNNNNNNNNNNNNNNNNNNNNNNNNNNNNNNNNNNNNNNNNNNNNNNNNNNNNNNNNNNNNNNNNNNNNNNNNNNNNNNNNNNNNNNNNNNNNNNNNNNNNNNNNNNNNNNNNNNNNNNNNNNNNNNNNNNNNNNNNNNNNNNNNNNNNNNNNNNNNNNNNNNNNNNNNNNNNNNNNNNNNNNNNNNNNNNNNNNNNNNNNNNNNNNNNNNNNNNNNNNNNNNNNNNNNNNNNNNNNNNNNNNNNNNNNNNNNNNNNNNNNNNNNNNNNNNNNNNNNNNNNNNNNNNNNNNNNNNNNNNNNNNNNNNNNNNNNNNNNNNNNNNNNNNNNNNNNNNNNNNNNNNNNNNNNNNNNNNNNNNNNNNNNNNNNNNNNNNNNNNNNNNNNNNNNNNNNNNNNNNNNNNNNNNNNNNNNNNNNNNNNNNNNNNNNNNNNNNNNNNNNNNNNNNNNNNNNNNNNNNNNNNNNNNNNNNNNNNNNNNNNNNNNNNNNNNNNNNNNNNNNNNNNNNNNNNNNNNNNNNNNNNNNNNNNNNNNNNNNNNNNNNNNNNNNNNNNNNNNNNNNNNNNNNNNNNNNNNNNNNNNNNNNNNNNNNNNNNNNNNNNNNNNNNNNNNNNNNNNNNNNNNNNNNNNNNNNNNNNNNNNNNNNNNNNNNNNNNNNNNNNNNNNNNNNNNNNNNNNNNNNNNNNNNNNNNNNNNNNNNNNNNNNNNNNNNNNNNNNNNNNNNNNNNNNNNNNNNNNNNNNNNNNNNNNNNNNNNNNNNNNNNNNNNNNNNNNNNNNNNNNNNNNNNNNNNNNNNNNNNNNNNNNNNNNNNNNNNNNNNNNNNNNNNNNNNNNNNNNNNNNNNNNNNNNNNNNNNNNNNNNNNNNNNNNNNNNNNNNNNNNNNNNNNNNNNNNNNNNNNNNNNNNNNNNNNNNNNNNNNNNNNNNNNNNNNNNNNNNNNNNNNNNNNNNNNNNNNNNNNNNNNNNNNNNNNNNNNNNNNNNNNNNNNNNNNNNNNNNNNNNNNNNNNNNNNNNNNNNNNNNNNNNNNNNNNNNNNNNNNNNNNNNNNNNNNNNNNNNNNNNNNNNNNNNNNNNNNNNNNNNNNNNNNNNNNNNNNNNNNNNNNNNNNNNNNNNNNNNNNNNNNNNNNNNNNNNNNNNNNNNNNNNNNNNNNNNNNNNNNNNNNNNNNNNNNNNNNNNNNNNNNNNNNNNNNNNNNNNNNNNNNNNNNNNNNNNNNNNNNNNNNNNNNNNNNNNNNNNNNNNNNNNNNNNNNNNNNNNNNNNNNNNNNNNNNNNNNNNNNNNNNNNNNNNNNNNNNNNNNNNNNNNNNNNNNNNNNNNNNNNNNNNNNNNNNNNNNNNNNNNNNNNNNNNNNNNNNNNNNNNNNNNNNNNNNNNNNNNNNNNNNNNNNNNNNNNNNNNNNNNNNNNNNNNNNNNNNNNNNNNNNNNNNNNNNNNNNNNNNNNNNNACGGACCGUGGAUGGACCUACGGUCCGUAGAUCACCUCCGUGAAUGCCUUUCUUCUGCAUUUAUUUCAGCUGUCUCUACACUUCCGUGCCUGAACGUCUUUCCUGCAAAACAUGAUAAAAACACAUCAAAACCAAUAUAAAAAGGCCUUAGACACACACAACUUGUAAGUGAAAUGUAUUAGAAAUACCGUAAACUCACGGUAUAUCAACACCCUCAACUUAAAUUCGUUGUUUGACCUCAAGCGAUGCACUACGACUCUAAACGACACUUGUGUAGAAGCAAUCAUUUCAGGCCCAAGCAAUCACAUGGCUCUCUACCCCCCUCACUUUUCGAGUGCAACUUCGUUCUUUUAGACUCGACAAGCUAAUUCAUGUGGAUCAAACCAUGACACAGAUCGACCAACUGACACACAACAUACACACAACAUACACCUUCUCACUGUCACCAAGGUACCAACUUUCCGACAAUGUAACUAGUGCCCUUACUUCAAACGAAAUCCCCUUUUCACAAAAAAUAAAUGUAAUUCAUGGUACAAGGAUUUAUUCAACACUCACGUUCAGAAGUAAUUUCAAAUACAGUUAGUGCUUAAUGCCAUAAGCUUGCCCUUAUUUUCACUGCUUAGACUCUCCAAACUAGACUCUAGGAUCACUAUAGGACUUUCUUGGCUUGUAACGUAGGCUCAGGGUCAGGUGUGGUACAUUUGGGUACUACUUAGUGACUUUCUGCCCUCCUUGACAUUACACUAGGCUUUUAACCUCUUUUUGCCCUAUUUUUUGUCAUACUAUCGCUUUACCUUCUUUCCCUUAAUUUUCUUCAACCACGGAUGUGACUUUAUACUUUGUAGCUCUUUUUACUUUUAUUUUAUUUUCUUUUAGCUUUCAACAAGUCACAUCCUUUCCUCUCUUUGUUUUUUUUUUCUUUUCACAUCACUCUUUUCAUACCCAUUUUUCUUUCAGUUUCCUCUUUCAUAGCCACCCUCAACUUAUGGAUUUUCCAUUAGUUGAGGUGCACAAUACUCGAUGUCGGGUCAGGGGCAAGAUUGAAGUUACUUUUUACAUUAGCCACCCUCAACUUAGGCUUUUGGCCUAAAAAGCCUAAGUCGAAGUGCACAUGUCCAAGUAGGGACCGGGGCCAACAUAGUAGAUUAUGGGAAAGUGAGUUCAGGGUUUAAGAAGAAAUGGUUUAAUUUUAGGCUCAAAUUAUUGUUUUUUUUUUUUAUCAAAGGGAGCAUUUAUUUCAUUUGGUUGAAUCCUUGUUUUAGGCAAUUUGUGGACUUUUCAGAACAAUGGCCUAUGAUCACUUCCUAUCCUCUAGAUUGAAUUGUCUUAGCAGGACUAACCGGGCAAGUUNNNNNNNNNNNNNNNNNNNNNNNNNNNNNNNNNNNNNNNNNNNNNNNNNNNNNNNNNNNNNNNNNNNNNNNNNNNNNNNNNNNNNNNNNNNNNNNNNNNNNNNNNNNNNNNNNNNNNNNNNNNNNNNNNNNNNNNNNNNNNNNNNNNNNNNNNNNNNNNNNNNNNNNNNNNNNNNNNNNNNNNNNNNNNNNNNNNNNNNNNNNNNNNNNNNNNNNNNNNNNNNNNNNNNNNNNNNNNNNNNNNNNNNNNNNNNNNNNNNNNNNNNNNNNNNNNNNNNNNNNNNNNNNNNNNNNNNNNNNNNNNNNNNNNNNNNNNNNNNNNNNNNNNNNNNNNNNNNNNNNNNNNNNNNNNNNNNNNNNNNNNNNNNNNNNNNNNNNNNNNNNNNNNNNNNNNNNNNNNNNNNNNNNNNNNNNNNNNNNNNNNNNNNNNNNNNNNNNNNNNNNNNNNNNNNNNNNNNNNNNNNNNNNNNNNNNNNNNNNNNNNNNNNNNNNNNNNNNNNNNNNNNNNNNNNNNNNNNNNNNNNNNNNNNNNNNNNNNNNNNNNNNNNNNNNNNNNNNNNNNNNNNNNNNNNNNNNACCUCUACAACUGGGGCAGAGCUCGAUGCCCCUGCAACUCUCUCACGCACCCUCUGCUGGCGCAACUCUUCAUCUAAAAGCGAAGCCCUCCUAGCCUCCUUCUCCUGCCUACGCUGUCUCUUUUGAGCUUUCUCCUCCUCAGUGCGAUGAGAACGGUGCCGCUUGCCUUUGGCAUGUGUAGGCGCAAGCCCCUCCUCGGCGGUCCCACUGAUUAAAACAUCCAGCACUGUAUCAUCAGCCAGUGCAGUAGGUUCAAUCUGAGGCUCAACUGAAGGGGCGGCAAUAAUGGCAUCAACGUCGGUCCGGACACUGGCUAAUUCAGCCUGCAAAGCAGAUAGAUCUAUCGUCGGGGUUGAUCGAUCGAGUAUGCGUAAUUCAAAGGCAUCAAGACGCUUAUUAAUAGCCUGGACCUUCCGGUCAAUCAUCCCCUCCAUCCUUCGCUCCAUUCUAGCCUCGGACUCGGCUAUCGACUUUUGCAUCCACAGCUGGAUGUGAUGCAGCAGUGUGGCCAUCUGAGNNNNNNNNNNNNNNNNNNNNNNNNNNNNNNNNNNNNNNNNNNNNNNNNNNNNNNNNNNNNNNNNNNNNNNNNNNNNNNNNNNNNNNNNNNNNNNNNNNNNNNNNNNNNNNNNNNNNNNNNNNNNNNNNNNNNNNNNNNNNNNNNNNNNNNNNNNNNNNNNNNNNNNNNNNNNNNNNNNNNNNNNNNNNNNNNNNNNNNNNNNNNNNNNNNNNNNNNNNNNNNNNNNNNNNNNNNNNNNNNNNNNNNNNNNNNNNNNNNNNNNNNNNNNNNNNNNNNNNNNNNNNNNNNNNNNNNNNNNNNNNNNNNNNNNNNNNNNNNNNNNNNNNNNNNNNNNNNNNNNNNNNNNNNNNNNNNNNNNNNNNNNNNNNNNNNNNNNNNNNNNNNNNNNNNNNNNNNNNNNNNNNNNNNNNNUGAAUCUCUGCCAGCAGCAUGCGGGCUAAGUCAAUCUCCACUCCUGCUACCAUUGUCGCAAUCAUAACCACUCUGUCCCAUGUGAUUUGGUUGUCAGCUUUUGUAGGCGACACUCUGUUACGUACCACCAACCAGAAGAACUUGGCCGCAAAAUUUAAUGUGGCCUUUCGGAUGCCCAAGCGUGGAGCGACGACCCAUUCCACAUGCUCGCCAUCUACAACAAUGUACCUAGCCAACCAUAGUAUAACAGCCUCUCGCUGCUCAGCGUUCCUCUGGAAAGCGCCACUCCGCACGAUGUCCCAUCAGUAAUCAAACUCUGCUGUGUUGAGGGACCAAGAGUGACCCGUGGUAGGACCAUAGAGAAAACGGCUGAUGGUGGCAGGUGAUAUGUCCACCGGAAAACCUCGGACCAUAGUGGAGGUAAGAGGAUCUUGGGCUAGGGGCUUUGACCGCUUGGAAAUUGAACCUCGAAGAGUGGUAGCAUAGAAGGCGUAGAAUUCUUGCACAAUCUCCUCGCUAUAUGUCCCUGGGUCUCGAUCCAUCCAGUCACACUUGUGAAAGUUAAACAGUCGGUGGAUGUCCGGGACUGUGUGUAAACUCCCCUUGAGGACUCUGUGCUCCUCUGUAAUAAGUCAGGCCAUUUUCUGUUUGUCAUUUAUCAUCUUGGCAUCCUGAUAAAUUUGCCAUUGGCCCUCUACGCAUUAUCUAUUUAGCUCGCCGGUGACUAGAAUAGGAUCAUCAUUCCGUGGAGCAGGUUUUGGCUCCGAGCUAGUGGCUUUAUCAGACGAGGCUGCUUCUGAAGCCUGGGCAGAUUCGGACCUUGAGGCAUGGCCCGAAGCAUUGCUCGAAUCAAAGCCUGAAGCCUGGGCAGACUCAAAUCCGGAUAUAGACCCCUCCUCUGAACUGGAAGCAACCCCAGUUGGUGAUCCGAUCAGUGUGUGCUCCUCAUUAGACUGGGAGACAGUGACUACGUAGGGAAGCACCUUUUUGGGGGGGUGCCUCUGGUGACACGGGGUGCAGUGGGAGAAGUCCGUGUGUUGGGAGGAACGUAUGCUGGAUCCUUUUCCGUGUCCGUGUCCUCAUCGAUUAACCUGAAGCUAGGAGCAACAGAUUUUGACUUGCCGUGUUUUGAGUAGGUGAUUAGCUUCUUGGGUGCCAUCGUACCUGUGGACGCAAUAUUAGUGCCAACACUAACCAUAAACAAACAAAAAAAAACUUUUAGAACUAUAAACGAAUAGUGACAAAGUCCCACGAAAAUUUCAGAUACAGGCUACAGUGGUUAUCCACGGAGGAGACCUACGGUCCGUAGACUGAUCUACGGUCUGUGGAUCUCUUCUGUGGAUCAGGGGGCCAACAAUAUAGGUCGCAGAUGGAAACCACGGAUGUGCAGAAUGGUCCGUAGAUUGAUCUACGGACCGUAGUCCACAUUCGUGGUUUCACACUUGGUGAAAUUUUUCAUGUGCAUCCAGUCAAGAACCUCAUCUACAGUCCAUAGAUGGAUCUACGUUUCGUAGACGGGGUAUCAUGGAUGCCAUUUGUGCCAGGUUUUUGUUGGGUUAUGAAGGGUGAUUAGAGCGUCAUGCGGAAGCUUGCAAUUUGCAAAUCAUAUGGUUGAUAAAUCAGAUAACAAAAACUUAUACUAGAAAUCAAAAUAGUAUUAUAUCAAAACUAAUUUAAAGAAAAACAUUGAAACUUUAGAGAGAAUAAAUCUCCCCAUAAACAAGACUCUUAAACGAUUACAUUGUGGAUGUUAUUGUGUUUGUGUUAGAAGAACAAACCUAUAUUUAUAGAGUCCUAAAACCUUUCCUAUUAGAAAAGGAGUCCUAAAAGGAGAGAAUAAACCAAAUAUAAAAUAAUAUUAUAUUUUCCUUUCAAGAAAAGUAAAAACAUUUAUGGUAAUGUUUUGUUUUUUCUUUAAGGAAAAAUAAAUCUUAAAUUAUGGCAAGAAAAUCAGGGCAAAACCNNNNNNNNNNNNNNNNNNNNNNNNNNNNNNNNNNNNNNNNNNNNNNNNNNNNNNNNNNNNNNNNNNNNNNNNNNNNNNNNNNNNNNNNNNNNNNNNNNNNNNNNNNNNNNNNNNNNNNNNNNNNNNNNNNNNNNNNNNNNNNNNNNNNNNNNNNNNNNNNNNNNNNNNNNNNNNNNNNNNNNNNNNNNNNNNNNNNNNNNNNNNNNNNNNNNNNNNNNNNNNNNNNNNNNNNNNNNNNNNNNNNNNNNNNNNNNNNNNNNNNNNNNNNNNNNNNNNNNNNNNNNNNNNNNNNNNNNNNNNNNNNNNNNNNNNNNNNNNNNNNNNNNNNNNNNNNNAAAAUCUUCAUUAUCAUCAAAUUGAUUACAAAUUGAUUUGAAACCAUCUGAACCUUUCUUCAAUCUUGUUGAACCAUUGAAUCAUUGAACCAUGUGCUCUGAUAGCACUUGUUGGGUUAUGAAGGGUGAUAAGGGCGUCAUGCGGAAGCUUGCAAUUUGCAAAUCAUAUGGUUGAUAAAAUUAGAUAACAAAAACUUAUACUAAAAAUCAAAAUAGUAUUAUAUCAAAACUAAUUUAAAGAAAAACAUUGAAACUUUAGAGAGAAUAAAUCUCCCAUAAACAAGACUCUUAAACGAUUACAUUGUGGAUGUUAUUGUGUUUGUGUUAGAAGAAACAAACCUAUAUUUAUAGAGUCCUAAAACCUUUCCUAUUAGAAAAGGAGUCCUAAAAGGAGAGAAUAAACCAAAUAUAAAAUAAUAUUAUAUUUUCCUUUCAAGAAAAGUAAAAACAUUUAUGGUAAUGUUUUGUUUUUUCUUUAAGGAAAAAUAAAUCUUAAAUUAUGGCAAGAAAAUCAGGGCAAAACCCUAACAGUUUUAGCCAUUCUUUAUUUCUGAUAAUACAUAUUUGGCCUUAUUUUUCAACAUUAACGAAGUCUCAUCAUGCAUUUCAACAUUCAAUUAUGCUAGUUCUUCAUUCUUAGGAUUCCGAAUGAUCAUUUUACCAAAUAGUUUAGACAACCUUUGGAACCUUAAGUCAAAACUUACAUUUAGACUUACAAUCACAUACAAUAAGGCUACACAAUCACUAUCUAUCGUUCCAAGGGCAUUGUAAUUUUCAAGUUUAUCAUGCAAUUUCUUCUAACAAUUACCCAAGGUCAAGACCCAACUCCCGACUUUCUAUAUCCAAUCUAUGAAUCGAAAUUCAAAGUGAGGGGAAAGUCUAUUACCUUACAAGCAACGGGAAGUGGGGUGAUUGCGUGACGACACUAAGCUUAGCAAGACCAAGGGAUCACCUCUUCGGUACUAACCAAACACCGGACCCUUGGAAUAUGGAAUGAGUUGUAUUCGAAAUGGAAGGGAAUUUGGGGAAUUAUGGAAGGGAUGUUAUUAUGGGGGAGUUAUGGAGUGAUUUAGGGAGGUUAUGAGAUGGUUGAAACGGUUUUUGGGAGGUAAUGGAGGGAAGUGGAAUGGUUUAAAACAUGGGGUUUCGUUAAAUAGGGGGUCCGGGUCGGGUCAGACAGCCUUAGGGUUUGGACUCACGAGACCCCGUCUACGGUCCGUGAGUCGAUCUACGGUCCGUAGAUCAGGACCGUAGAUCACUCUUACACUUUAAAAAAUUUAGAGGCUUACCUGGGAUCUACGGGCACCAUUUACGGUCCGUUUAUGAAUCGACGGACCGUCAAUGGGGUCCGUAGACCUCUGCACCAGACCAUUUUCUACAGAAUUUUCAUGGCGUACCUGCAUAUGUAGGAAACAUUAGGCUAUUCUUUUUACAUUUUCUGGACACUCUUUAGACACGGAUCCGAUGCUAAUUUUAGCUAACACUAGUACAAAACUAAAACAACUAUCUAAUUUGAUUACAGGGAUGAAAUCAAACAAAGCAAACUAUUAGAGAAAAACUAUAUCCUAUCGUUGGCUAGAUUGUACAUCUUGGGUUGCCUCCAAGCAGCACUUGAUUUAACGUCGCGGCACAACGCAAGCCUCUUGAUUACUCAGAUUUCAUCAAGAUGAUAGGCCUCAACCACUUCUUGCACGCUCUCAGCAUUUGCCAAAUAGACCUGAUCGUUUGCCCGUUUACCAUGAACCUUGUUCCAUCACUAUUUUCAAGCUCAACCGCCCCAUGGGGGAACACUUUUGUGAGCAAAAAUGGUCCGGUCCAUUUGGACUUGAGUUUGCCUGGAAACAAGCGCAACCUAGAGUUGAAUAGAAGCACAAGAUCACCAACCACAAAUUCUCGCUUUUCAAUUCUUUGAUCAUGAUACCUCUUCAUCUUCUCUUUGUACAAGGCUGAACUUUCAUAAGCUUUUAGGCGAAACUCAUCAAGCAUAUUCAAGUCAUUCAUUCUUUGAUUAGAUGCGGCGCCCUAAUCCAAAUUUAUCUUUUUCAUCGCCCACAUAGCCCUAUGCUCUAGCUCUACCGGUAAAUGGCAAGACUUCCCAUAUACAAGUUGGUAAGGAGACAUACCUAUGGGGGUCUUGUAUGCAGUGCGAUAGGACCAUAGAGCAUGUUCAAGCUUCCUUGACCAAUCCGUUCUAUUAGCAUUCACAGUCUUCGCCAANNNNNNNNNNNNNNNNNNNNNNNNNNNNNNNNNNNNNNNNNNNNNNNNNNNNNNNNNNNNNNNNNNNNNNNNNNNNNNNNNNNNNNNNNNNNNNNNNNNNNNNNNNNNNNNNNNNNNNNNNNNNNNNNNNNNNNNNNNNNNNNNNNNNNNNNNNNNNNNNNNNNNNNNNNNNNNNNNNNNNNNNNNNNNNNNNNNNNNNNNNNNNNNNNNNNNNNNNNNNNNNNNNNNNNNNNNNNNNNNNNNNNNNNNNNNNNNNNNNNNNNNNNNNNNNNNNNNNNNNNNNNNNNNNNNNNNNNNNNNNNNNNNNNNNNNNNNNNNNNNNNNNNNNNNNNNNNNNNNNNNNNNNNNNNNNNNNNNNNNNNNNNNNNNNNNNNNNNNNNNNNNNNNNNNNNNNNNNNNNNNNNNNNNNNNNNNNNNNNNNNNNNNNNNNNNNNNNNNNNNNNNNNNNNNNNNNNNNNNNNNNNNNNNNNNNNNNNNNNNNNNNNNNNNNNNNNNNNNNNNNNNNNNNNNNNNNNNNNNNNNNNNNNNNNNNNNNNNNNNNNNNNNNNNNNNNNNNNNNNNNNNNNNNNNNNNNNNNNNNNNNNNNNNNNNNNNNNNNNNNNNNNNNNNNNNNNNNNNNNNNNNNNNNNNNNNNNNNNNNNNNNNNNNNNNNNNNNNNNNNNNNNNNNNNNNNNNNNNNNNNNNNNNNNNNNNNNNNNNNNNNNNNNNNNNNNNNNNNNNNNNNNNNNNNNNNNNNNNNNNNNNNNNNNNNNNNNNNNNNNNNNNNNNNNNNNNNNNNNNNNNNNNNNNNNNNNNNNNNNNNNNNNNNNNNNNNNNNNNNNNNNNNNNNNNNNNNNNNNNNNNNNNNNNNNNNNNCUUUUUUGCCAUCAAAUACCUCAAUGCAGAAUGGUCAGUAUGCACGAUGACCUUAGUACCAAGCAAGUAGGAACGAAAUUUUUCGAAUGCAAAAACCACCGCAAGAAGUUCUUGUUCGGUCAUAGUAUAAUUCUUCUGGGCCACAUUUAGAGCUUUGCUAGCAUAGUAAAUAGGGUGAAAAUUUUUGUCUCGCCUUUGACCCAAUACUACACCAAGCGCCACUCCACUCGUAUCGCACAUUACCUCAAACGGUUGUCCUCAAUCCGGUGAAAUAAUGAUAGGUGUUGUAACCAACUUUUCCUUCAGCUCUCCAAAUGCUCUAAGACAAGCAUCAUCAAAAUAUAACUUUCUCUCCUUCUCGAGUAGUUUGCACAAGGGAUGUGCAAUUUUUGAGAAAUCUUUGAUGAAUCUCCUAUAAAAACCUGCAUGCCCAAGAAAACUUCUAACACCUUUUACAGAGAUGGGUGGUGGGAGCUUUUCUAUUACCUCAACUUUAGGUCUAUCAACCUCAAUACCUUUUUCUGAAAUUCGAUGGCCCAACACUAUACCUUCUUUAACCAUGAAAUGACAUUUCUCCCAGUGAAGCACCAAGUUGCAGUCUUCACACCUUUUAAGGACCUCGGCCAAAUGAUGUAGACAACGAUCAAAAGAAUCACCUACAACUGAAAAAUCAUCCAUGAACACUUCAAUAGUGUCCUCCACCAUAUCAGAAAAUAUCGACAUCAUACACCGCUGGAAGGUUUGCUGGAGCAUUGCACAACCCAAAUAGCAUCCAUUUGAAAGCAAAAGUCCCAUAUGGGCUGGUGAAGGUGGUCUUCUCUUGGACUUCUGGAGCUAUAGAAAUUUGAGUGUAGCCCGAAUACCCAUCAAGAAAACAUUACCAACCCUUUCCUGCAAGUCUAUCCAACAUCUGGUCCAUGAAUGGCAUAUGAAAAUGGUCCUUUUUUGUUCACGCAUUCAACUUCCGGUAAUCCAUACAAAUUCUCCAUCCAGUAACGGGACUCAUUGGAACAAGCUCAUUUCUUUCAUUUGGAACCACAGUCAUACCACCUUUUUAGGCACACACUGCACAUGACAUACCCAACUACUAUCUGCAAUGGGAUAAAUAACUCCCGCAUCCAGCCACUUGAUGAUCUCCUUUUUAACUACCUCUUGUAUAGGUGGAUUUAAUCUUCUCUGGUGCUCGAUACUGGGCUUAUGAUCUGGGAUGAGUUGGAUUUUGUGAGAGCAAAUACCGGGAGAAAUCCCAAUAAUAUCCGCAAUAGUCCACCCAAUAGCUCGCUUGAACCUUUUUAACACAGUCACCAAGCAACUCUACUUGUCUCGCAUUCAAAUCUGCCACAAUGAUGACCGACAAAGUAUUCUCUUUGCCCAAGUAUACAUACCUCAAAUGCGGUGGUAGAGCCUUAAGCUCCAAUUUUGGUGCCUCCACAAUAGAAUGGUCUUGCGGGUGGGGACUCACGAUUCUUCAUGUCUAAUUCAUACUUCUUUGGUUUGGGCCGGUAUUCACACCUAUCGAGUGCGGCUACCAAUUCAUCAUACUCUUCAAUGCCAUCACUAUCGAAAUUCAUCAUAACUGCUGCUAGUGCCUCAACACCUAGUCGCUCUUUCAAUUUGCACUUCUGUCCCACUCUCCACUCUGUAAGUAUACCAGAUACUGUUUGGAUCUCACCACUCUGCUUCAUGGACCUACAAAUAUUGAAAGUUGCUUCUUCAUUAUCCAGUUUGAACUUCAUAUGCCCCUUUUCCAUAUCAACCAACGCACGCCCUGUGGCAAGAAAUGGUCUCCCAAGGAUGAUGGGAACCUCAAAAUCAACCUCACAGUCAAGAAUCACAAAAUCUGCCGAAAAAAUGAAAGACUCCACUUUCACUAGCACAUCAUGGAGUACACCAAUGGACCUUUUCACAGUCCGAUCGGCCAUCAGUAACCGCAUUGUAGUGGGCUUUNNNNNNNNNNNNNNNNNNNNNNNNNNNNNNNNNNNNNNNNNNNNNNNNNNNNNNNNNNNNNNNNNNNNNNNNNNNNNNNNNNNNNNNNNNNNNNNNNNNNNNNNNNNNNNNNNNNNNNNNNNNNNNNNNNNNNNNNNNNNNNNNNNNNNNNNNNNNNNNNNNNNNNNNNNNNNNNNNNNNNNNNNNNNNNNNNNNNNNNNNNNNNNNNNNNNNNNNNNNNNNNNNNNNNNNNNNNNNNNNNNNNNNNNNNNNNNNNNNNNNNNNNNNNNNNNNNNNNNNNNNNNNNNNNNNNNNNNNNNNNNNNNNNNNNNNNNNNNNNNNNNNNNNNNNNNNNNNNNNNNNNNNNNNNNNNNNNNNNNNNNNNNNNNNNNNNNNNNNNNNNNNNNNNNNNNNNNNNNNNNNNNNNNNNNNNNNNNNNNNNNNNNNNNNNNNNNNNNNNNNNNNNNNNNNNNNNNNNNNNNNNNNNNNNNNNNNNNNNNNNNNNNNNNNNNNNNNNNNNNNNNNNNNNNNNNNNNNNNNNNNNNNNNNNNNNNNNNNNNNNNNNNNNNNNNNNNNNNNNNNNNNNNNNNNNNNNNNNNNNNNNNNNNNNNNNNNNNNNNNNNNNNNNNNNNNNNNNNNNNNNNNNNNNNNNNNNNNNNNNNNNNNNNNNNNNNNNNNNNNNNNNNNNNNNNNNNNNNNNNNNNNNNNNNNNNNNNNNNNNNNNNNNNNNNNNNNNNNNNNNNNNNNNNNNNNNNNNNNNNNNNNNNNNNNNNNNNNNNNNNNNNNNNNNNNNNNNNNNNNNNNNNNNNNNNNNNNNNNNNNNNNNNNNNNNNNNNNNNNNNNNNNNNNNNNNNNNNNNNNNNNNNNNNNNNNNNNNNNNNNNNNNNNNNNNNNNNNNNNNNNNNNNNNNNNNNNNNNNNNNNNNNNNNNNNNNNNNNNNNNNNNNNNNNNNNNNNNNNNNNNNNNNNNNNNNNNNNNNNNNNNNNNNNNNNNNNNNNNNNNNNNNNNNNNNNNNNNNNNNNNNNNNNNNNNNNNNNNNNNNNNNNNNNNNNNNNNNNNNNNNNNNNNNNUUGGGACACUUCUUACGAAGGCAGUGAAUCUGUCCCACGAGUUACUCACAGACUCUCCAGGUAAUGCCACAAAAUUGUUGACCCUAUCUUUAUGAUUGAGCUUCUUGGAUACUGGAUAGUACUUUGCUUGGAACACCUCUGCCAGUUGGUCCCAUGUAAAUAUUGAAUUAUACGGAAGCUCAGUGAACCAUACUGCAACAUCGCCUGUCAGUGACAGAGGGAACACUCGUAAUCCAAUGACAUCCAUAUCCAAGUCUGGUCUACCUACACAACUUUUACAAACCAACCUUAGCUUGGCUAAGUGAACAUGUGGAUCCUCCGAUAGCGAUCCUGAGAAUAAGCCUUUUGCUGUAAGCAUCUGCAUCAAGCUACUAGUCACCACAAAUGUGUUCCCCGGAGGUAGAUGAGGUAGUACAAUAGGUCCAUCAGAGACUCCUAUUUUGAUGUUGCCACGAUAGUUUUCAUGUUGUCGUGGGCCUGGUGGACCAUGCACCCUCACUGCAUCUCCCAAUUGAUUUUUAGCUAGUCCCCGGUUUUCCUCACCAACUACUCUUGGCUGUUGUAACUCAAUCGCAUCACCAAGAUUUACUCCGAUAGGAUUAACUGGAAGUCCUUGAUUAUUCAUUCUUCGCAAAGUUCUUUUCAACUCUGGACUGUACGGAGUAACUGGUUUGCCCUGGCUCCGUGUACUUGGCAUACACUAGAGUCAGAAUCUGAGAGAGACAAAAACAAAAAGAAAAAGUAAAAUUAGGAAAUAUUUGACUAACGUUCAAUAAUGUAUUUAAAGUAAAACUAAUAGCCAAAUUCCCCGGCAGCAGCGCCAAAAUUUGAUACGCUCAAAUUACACCUCUCUAAAGAAGCAUAAGCGAUCGUUAUCAAGUAAAGAACCCAACUUGUAGGUUGGGGUCGAUCCCACGAGAAAAAUGGUUUAGACUUUAAUUUAACCAACAAUUAUAUUCGAUUAGGCAAAUUACUUCCAGAAACAAGUAAUAAAAAGGGGGGUUUUGUGAAACAAAUUGAAAGAAUUUAAUAAGUAAUCAGUAAUCAAAACUCAAUUUUGGUUGUUAUCAAUAUGAGAGAAAUAACUAGGGUAUACGUGUUCCCCACAAGCUCAUAACACAGUAAUCCUAGUAAUAGCAAUCUUUUCCUAGUGUACUACAUGAAAAGUGAUAAGUUAGGUAUCUCUAAAUUCUUGGUUCGGCAUCUAGAGAAUUUGACCCCACACCUUGGUCCGGCUACGUGUGUAUAAUUUACUAACCCUUACCUUUACCUCAUAUUAGACAUCAUAAUCAAUGUUUGGCUUAGUUUUUACUUCGCACAAAUCGACACUAGCCUAUUAGAUAGUAUCACACUAAAUCUAUGUUGAUAAUUCUUUUCUUGUUGAUUACCUCCUUGGUCCGACAAGUAGCAACAAGGCGAGUUCUAACACGUGCACUCGUUAAAAAGACUUCUAAACGAAAUAAUUAUCAAUGCAUGCAANNNNNNNNNNNNNNNNNNNNNNNNNNNNNNNNNNNNNNNNNNNNNNNNNNNNNNNNNNNNNNNNNNNNNNNNNNNNNNNNNNNNNNNNNNNNNNNNNNNNNNNNNNNNNNNNNNNNNNNNNNNNNNNNNNNNNNNNNNNNNNNNNNNNNNNNNNNNNNNNNNNNNNNNNNNNNNNNNNNNNNNNNNNNNNNNNNNNNNNNNNNNNNNNNNNNNNNNNNNNNNNNNNNNNNNNNNNNNNNNNNNNNNNNNNNNNNNNNNNNNNNNNNNNNNNNNNNNNNNNNNNNNNNNNNNNNNNNNNNNNNNNNNNNNNNNNNNNNNNNNNNNNNNNNNNNNNNNNNNNNNNNNNNNNNNNNNNNNNNNNNNNNNNNNNNNNNNNNNNNNNNNNNNNNNNNNNNNNNNNNNNNNNNNNNNNNNNNNNNNNNNNNNNNNNNNNNNNNNNNNNNNNNNNNNNNNNNNNNNNNNNNNNNNNNNNNNNNNNNNNNNNNNNNNNNNNNNNNNNNNNNNNNNNNNNNNNNNNNNNNNNNNNNNNNNNNNNNNNGAUUGACGGACCGUAGAUCGAUCUAUGGUUCGUCAAUCCCCUCCGUAGCUCCACACUUGGAAUCUUCAAAAAUCAGGUACUGGAAUCCUCGUAGUAUCAAUCUACAGAUCAACAGUACGGUCCGUAGAUCAAUCUACGGACCGUAAAUGGUCAACGUGGUUCCACACGUGGUCAGAUUUCCCUGUUUUGUCUUCCGUACCUUGCCUGCUGAUCUACGGUCAUCACCUACAGACCAUCAAUGGACCUACGGUUCGUAGAUCACCUCCGUGAAUUCCCUUUUUCUGCAUUUCUUUCAGCUGUCUCUAUACUUCCGCGCCUGAACAUCUUUCCUGCAAAAUAUGAUAAAAACACAUAAAAACCAAUACAAAAAGGCCCUAGACAUACACAACUUGUAAGUUAAAUGUAUUAGAAAUAUCGUAAACUCAUGGUAUAUCAUAUAUACAUGGAGUGUAUACCAGUGUAUGUGGGAAGUAUUUUGGUCCUUUUUUUGUAUAUCAAGUGUAUACAGUCUAAUUCAGCUUUCGAAUACAUGUAUUAAUUUUUUGGCCCUGUAUUUGUUGCACUCAAGCCGUAUAUCAAUAGAUACUGAGUGUAUACGAGUUAUAUAUGAGCAUGUUUGAAGAUUUUCGAGGACUGUAUUUGCCUUCAAAACCUGUAUUUCAGUUUUCCUUUUCACUCGAACAUUGACGGGCUAACUCAAAGGAAUUCAACUCAAUAAUAGGCAAGGAAUUGAGUCUAUUAGACUCGAAUUGGAUUUACAUGCUUUAAAAACAAAAUCACAUAAGAGCCUUGUUCGAUCCAUGAGAUGCACAAAAAAAUUGCAUUAAAAAGUAAUCUACUGUAUUGAUAUUUGGAGAAUACAACUAAGAGAUGAAAAUAUGAUAUAUUUAAUCUUGCAAGGGUUGAACUUUUUUAAGAAAAAAAUCACUAAUCAUAAAAUGAAGAAAACAAAGGCUUAUGAGUAAGAAUUCGUGAUACUUGACAAACACAAGCAAAGACAUUAGUAGUUUAUCCCUAAUCUGAUUAAAUUAACAAAUAAGAAGACAAAUUGGUCAUCAAAUAGGAUAAAAGGUGUUUAAUCCACCUAAGUAUGUGAAAGUGGACAAUAAUAGUUGAUUUUUUUCACGACAUCUCUUUAAUUGAUAUGUUUUUGCUAUAUAUAUAUUUUUCUAUAUUUUUAGUUCUUUUUCUUUCUCUUUCUUCCUUGAAUUUUUUCUUAUUCAUCACCUUUUUACCAUUUUGACCAUGAAUUAUUAUUAUUUUGAGAGUUGAAUUUUGAAAAAAAUGAUGUUUGGCCAUAAUUUUUUUCUUCAUUCACUUUAAAGCUGACUUUCAAAAUUUUAAAAUUAAAAAAAAUUACUUUUUAAUUUCAAAUUACUUAUAAAAUUUCAAAGAACUUAUAUUUGUGUUCAUGACAAAAAAUUUAAACACCAUUAAUUACUUUGAAAUUAUUAUUUCUAAAAAAAAACUCAUCUUUUUCAUAGUAAACCGCAUCGUGGAAUAAGAUGUCUUUUUGUCCAAAGAAUUCAUAUCCAAAUUGAUUAGUUCGUCAUGUUCUUGAAAGUAAUCACAUUCCAUAUGGUAUAUUAACAAUCCAAUUGAAAAAAAGGAUUAUAAAUUAAGCAACCUAUAUUAUGAAAUAGACUAUGAAAAGACACAAAAUUAAUUAAAAAAAAUGUAAUUGCUCAUAUAUUAAUACACAUCAAAUGAAUCUUUGACAAAGGAAUGUUCAGGAGUACAUGUUUUACGUUUGAAAAAGAAAUAUAUAUGACUUAUUUUUGAAAAAUCAAUUCAACUCAAAAUUUAAAGAAAAUUUGAUUUUUAAAAGUUACACUUAUUUUUUUUUGAAGAAAUCAAGAAAACUUGUAGUUUUCAAAAACUUAAAAAAACAAAAUCAUUUAAAAGAAAAACAAAGGGGGGUUUGGAAUCCAAUUUACAUUUCGAGAAUGGUUUAAGCAUUUGAAGUGUCCGCUAACGUGCGAUUGACCUACGACUUGACUAAAUUUUGACUAACUUUGAAAAUUCAUUCUUUACUUGGAAGGAAAUGAACUUAACAUGAUUUCUUAAGGAAGUAAAUUUUAUAUCUAAAUAAAUAAAUAAAAUUUAAAUAUUUCAAUUAAACAGAAACAGAAGAAGACUAUCUUUUAGGAACUUAAUUACAUUGAAUCCAAUUAAAACAAAUGUUAGAGAGUUAAUACAAAUAAACAAAUAAUAAUAAGAUAUGAAAUAAAGUUAAAAUAUGGGCUUUUGGCCCUCCCAUCCUAACUCUAAAAAUGGCCCAGUUGUAUAUAGAUGGAUUUAAGCUCAUUAGCUUCUCCUGGACCUGCUGUGCAAAAUAAAAUUAGGCUUUGGCCCGGUCUCAUACCUAAAAGACUACAUAUACAAUGACUGUAUAUACCAGUGUAUACCGGAAAUAUUUGUUUUUUUAUUCAGUAUAUCGUAAUGCAUAUAAAGUGUAUAUAGUCUAAUCCAGCUUCUGAAUACAUGUAUUAAUUUUUUGGCCUUAUAUUUACUACACUCAAUCCGUAUAGCAAUAUGUCUACUGGUGUAUACAGAUUAUAUAUCAGCCUAGUUUAAGCUUUGUGAGACCUGUAUUUUACUUUCUGAACUUGUAAUUUCAAUUUUCCUUUUCACUCGAACUUUGAAGGACUGAAUCAAAGAAAUUCAACUCAAUAAUAGGUAAGGAAUGGAGUCCAUUAGACUCGGAUUGGAUUUACAUUCAUCAAAAAUAAUAUCAAAUAAGAGCCUUGUUCGAUCCAUGAGAUACAUGAAAAUAUUGCAUUGAAAAGUAAACUAUUGUAUCAAUUUUUGGAGAGUACAACUAAGAGAUGCAAAUAAGAUAUAUUUAUUCAUGCAAAGGUUGAACUCUUUUAUGAAAAAAAAUCAUAAAUCAUAAAAUGAAAAAAAUAAAGUCUCAUGAGUAAGAAUUCAGGAUACUUAACAAACACAAGCAAAGACAUUAGCAGUUUAUGCUUAAUCUGAUUAAAUAAACAAAUAAGAAGACAAAUUGGUCAUCAAAUAGGAUAAAAAUGUGUUUACUCCACUUAAAUAUGUGAAAGCGGACAAUAAUAGUUGAUUUUGUUUCACAACAUCUCUUUAAUUGAUAUGUCUUUGCUAUAUAUUUUUUUUUUCAUUUUCCUUUUUUUAGUUGUUUUUCUUUCUCUUUCUUCCUCGACCUUCUUCUUAUCCGUCACCUUUUUACUCUUUUGAUCAUGAAUUAUUUUUAUUUUGAGUGUUGAAUUUUUAAAAAAAUGAUGUUUCACCAUAAUUUUUUUUACAUUCACUUUAAAGCUGAAUUUUUAAAAAAAAUUAAAAAAUAAUUUAUGUUUUUUCAUUUCAAAUUACUUAUAAAAUUUCAAAAAAACUUCUAUGUGUUCAUGAUAAAAAAAUUUAAACACCAUUAAUUACUUUGAAAUAAUUAUUUGUUUUAAAAAACUUAUAAUUUUCAUAGUAAACAACCUCGUGGAAUAAGAUGUCUUUUCAUCAACAAAAUUCAUAUCCAAAUUAAUCAUAUCGUAGUUUGUCGUGUUCUUGAAAGUAAUUACAUUCCAAAUGGUAUAUUAACAAUACAAUUAAAAGCAAGAAUUAUAGAUUAAGCAACUUAUAUUAUAAAUAGACUAUGAAAUGACCCAAAAUUAAUAAAAAAUGUAAUUGUUCAUAUAUUAAUAUUAACAAAUCAAAGUAAUCUUUAACAAAAAAAUAUUCAGGAGUACAUGUUUUACGUUUGAAAAAUAAAUAUAUAUGACUUAUUUUUGAAAGAUCAAUUCAACUCAAAAUUUAAAGAAAAAAUGGUUUUUAAAAAUAGUCGCCACUUAUAUUUUUUUAAGAAAUCAAGAAAACUUGUAAUUUUCCGAAGAUUUAAAAAGACAAAAUCAUUUGAAAGAAAAACAAAAGGGGGUUUGGAGUCCAAUUUACAUUUCGAGAAUGGUUUAAGCAUUUGAAGUGUCCGCUAACGUGCGAUUGACCUACGACUAGACUAAAGUUUGACUAACUUUGAAAAUUCAUUUUUUUACUUGAAAGGAAAUGAAAUUAACAUGAUUUCUUAAGGAAGUAAAUUUUAUAUCUAAAUAAAUAAAUAAAAUUUAAAUAUUUCAGUUAAACAUAAACAGAAGAAGACUAUCUUUUAGGAACUUAAUUACAUUGAAUCCAAUUAAAACAAAGGUUAGAGAGUUAAUACAAACAAACAAAUAAUAAGAAGAAAUGAAGUAAAGUCAAAAUAUGGACUUUUUUGCCCACCCAAUCUAACUCUAAAAAUGGGCCAGCUGCAAAUAGAUGGAUUUCAGCUCAUUAGCUUCUCUCGGACCUGCUGUGCAAAAUAAAAUUGGGCUUUGGCCCAGUCUCAUGCCUAAAAGACUGCAUAUACGUCGACUGUAUACCAGUGUAUACGAAAAAUAUUUUUUUUAUUCUGUAUAUCGGAAUGUAUAUAAAGUGUAUACAGUCUAAUCUAGCUUCUGAAUACCUGUAUUAAUUUUUUGCCCCUGUAUUUACUACAUUCAACCCAUUUAUUAAUAUGUAUACUGGUGUAAACAGAUUAUAUAUCAGCCUAGUUUAAGCUUUAUGAGACCUGUAUUUUACUUUCGGAACCUGUAAUUUCAAUUUCCCUUUUCACUCGAACUUUGACGGGUUGAGUCAAAAAAAUUCAACUCAAUAAUAGGUAAGGAAUGGAGUCCAUUUGACUCUGAUUGGAUUUACAUGCAUCAAAAUUAAAAUCAAAUAAGAGCCUUGUUCGAUCCAUGAGAUACACGAAAAUAUUGUAUUGAAAAGUAAUCUAUUGUAUCAAUUUUUGGAGAGUACAACUAAGAGAUGCAAAUAAGAUAUAUUUAAUCAUGCAAAGGUUGAACUUUUUUGAGAAAAAAAAUCAUUAAUCAUAAAAUGAAGAAAAUAGAAGCUUAUGAGUAAGAAUUCAUGAUACUUAACAAACACAAGAAAAGACAUUAGCAGUUUAUCCUUAAUCUGAUUAAAUAAACAAAUAAGAAGACAAAUUAUUCAUCAAAUAGGAUAAAAAUGUGUUUACUCCACUUAAAUAUGUGAAAGCGGACAAUAAUAGUUGAUUUUUUUUCACGACAUCUCUUUAAUUGAUAUGUCUUUGCUAUACAUACAUUUUUUCAUUUUGCUUUUUUUAGUUCUUUUUCUUUCUCUUUCUUCCUCGAUUCUUUUCUUAUCCGUCACCUUUUUACCGUUUUGAUAAUGAAUUAUUAUAAUUUUGAGAGUUGAAUUUAAAAAAAAAAGAUGUUUCACCAUAAUUUUUUUUUACAUUCAUUUUGAAGCUGAAUUUUUUUUAAAAAUUAAAAAAUAAUUUUUGCCUUUUCAUUUCAAAUUACUUAUAAAAUUUUUAAAAAACUUCUAUUUGUUGUUCAUGAUAAAAAUAAAUUUAAACACCAUUAAUUACUUUGAAAUAAUUAUUUGUUUUAAAAAACUUAUAAUUUUCAUAGUAAACAAACUCGUGGAAUAAGAUGUCGUUUCGUCAAAAAAAUUCAUAUCCAAAUUGAUCAGUUCGUAGUUCGUCGUGUUCUUGAAAGUAAUUACAUUCCAUAUGUUAUAUUAACAAUACAAUUAAAAGAAAGAAUUAUAGAUUAAGCAACUUAUAUUAUAAAUAGACUAUGAAAUGACCCAAAAUUAAUAAAAAAUGUAAUUGUUCAUAUACUAAUAUUAACAAAUCAAAGAAAUCUUUGACAAAAGAAUAUUCAGGAGUACAUGUUUUACGUUUGAAAAAUAAAUAUAUAUGACUUAUUUUUGAAAAAUCAAUUCAACUCAAAAUUGAAAGAAAAAAUGGUUUUUAAAAAGAGUCGCCACUUAUAUUUUUUUAAGAAAUCAAGAAAACUUGUAAUUUUCCAAAGACUUAAAAAGACAAAAUCAUUUGAAAGAAAAAGAAAAAGGGGUUUGGAGUCCAAUUUACAUUUCGGGAACGAUUUAAGCAUUUGAAGUGUUUGUUAACGUGAGAUUGACCUACGACUUGACUAAAGUUUGACUAACUUUGAAAGUUCAUUUUUUUACUUGAAAGGAAAUGAACUUAACAUGAUUUCUUGAGGAAGUAAAUUUUAUUUCUAAAUAAAUAAAUAAAAUUUAAAUAUUCAGUUAAACAUAAACAGAAGAAGACUAUCUUUUAGAAACUUAAUUACAAUGAAUCCAAUUAAAACAAAGGUUAGGGAGUUAAUAUGAAUAAACAAAUAAUAAGAAGAAAGGAAGUAAAGUCAAAAUAUGGGCUUUUGGCCCACCCAUUCUAACUCUAAAAAUAGGCCAGCUGCAAAUAGAUGGAUUUCAACUCAUUAUCUUCUCCUGGUCCUGCUGUACAAAAUAAAAUUUAUACUGCGGAAGCAUAUAAAAGCUAUUGGAUGGAGAAUAGCGGAUAUAGUAGGAAUUCCACCUGGCAUCUGUACUCACAAGAUUAGGCUCGGCAGUGAAUGUAAACCUAGUGUGGAGCAUCAACGGAGAUUGAACCCUCCAAUUUAAGAGGUGGUGAAAAAGGAGAUCAUAAAGUUGCUAGAUGCGGGAGUGAUCUACUCUAUUGCAGAUAGGAAGUGGGUGAGUCCAGUGCAAUGUGUACCGAAAAAAGGAGGUAUAAUUGUAGUCCCUAAUGCAAAAGGAGAACUUGUGCCGACAAAACCAGUGAUUGGGUGGAGAGUAUGCAUGGACUAUCGAAAGCUUAACUCAUGGACCGAGAAAGACCAUUUUCUAAUGCCUUUUAUGGACCAGAUGCUUGCCCGUUUAUCAGAAAGAGGGUGGUAUUAUUUUUUGGAUGGAUACUCCGGUUACAAUCAAAUCUCUAUUGCGUCGGAAGACCAAGAAAAACCACUUUCACUUGCCCUUAUGGAACAUUUGCAUUCAAAAGAAUGCCAUUCGGACUAUGUAAUGCACCAACAACAUCCAGCAUUACAUGUUGUCUAUUUUUGUGGAUAUGGUCGAAGAUUCUAUGGAGGUAUUUAUGGAUGACUUCUCAGUCGUAGGGGACACGUUUGAGGAAUGCUUGACACACUUAGGACAGAUGCUCCAAAGAUGCGUGGAUACGAAUCUGAUUCUCAAUUGGGAAAAAUGUCACUUUAUGGUAAAUGAAGGUAUUGUUCUUGGGCACAAGGUAUCGCAAAAGGGGCUAGAAGUUGACAAGGAGAAAAUUGAGGUCAUUGAGAUUUACCCCCGCUAAUUUCAGUGAAGAGUGUUCGCAGCUUCUUGGGGCAUGCAGGUUUCUACCGAAGGUUCAUUAAAGACUUCUCUAAGAUUGCACAUCCAUAAUGCAAACUCCUAGAGAAGGAAGUGAAGUUCUAUUUUAAUGAUUCUUGUAUGGCCGCAUAUUAGUGCUUGAAAGAAAAACUAGUAUCCCCUCAAUUAUCAUCAGUCGUGAUUGGUUCGAAUCUUUCGAAGUAAUAUGUGAUGGUAGUGGUUUGGCAUUGGGAGUAGUGUUGGGGCAAAAACGCAACAAGCUAUUUCACCCAAUUUAUUACGCAAACAAAACUCUGAAUAGUGCCUAGCGAAAUUAUACAGUCACUAAACAAGAGUUGCUCGCAGUGGUCUAUGCAUUUGAAAAGUUCCGGGCAUACUUGCUAGGCACCAAAGUAAUAGUACACACUGAUUAUGUUGCACUCCGCUACUUGAUGGCGAAGAAAUAUGCAAAACCAAGAUUGAUAGGGUGGGUGUUACUAUUACAAGAGUUCGAUUUUGAGGUUAAAGGUCGAAAAGGCUGCGAAAAUCAAGUGGCCGACCACUUGUCGAGGUUGGAAGGAAGGGAAGAUACUGAGCGUGAGGUCGACAUAGACGACUCAUUCCCCGACGAACAGGUGUUUGCUGUAUCUCUCAAACCUACACCGUGGUAUGUAAAUUUUGCAAAUUACAUUGUGAGUGGAUUGAUGCCGGAUGAGCUGACCUUUUACCAACAAAAGAGAUUCAUGUUCGACGUUAAAAAGUACUUUUGGGAUGAACCAUACUUGUUUCGAGAAUGUGCUGACCAUGUUAUUAGGAAGUGUGUUCCAGAAGAAGAAGUGGUAAAGAUUCUCCAUGCUUGCCAUGCAUCUCCAGUGGGAGGUCACCAUAGUGGUAUUCACACUGCCGCUAAAGUUCUCCAAAGUGGUUAUUACUGGCCGUCCCUAUACAAGGAUGCACAUGAAUUUGCAAAAAAGUGCGCUCAAUGUCAACAACAAGGUGGAGUAUCUAGACGACACUAGUUGCCUCUCACUCCUAUUUUAGAAGUCAAGCUAUUCCAUGUGUGGGGAAUCGAUUUCAUAGGCCAAUUCGUGAGCUCAUUUGGAAAUAAAUACAUCUUGGUGGCUGUGGAUUAUGUCUCCAAAUGGGUGGAAGCCAUCACACUCCCAAACAUCGAAGGAAAAAGUGUUGUCCAAUUUCUGAAACGCUACAUCUUCGCAAGAUUAGGCACUCCUAGGGAGAUUAUUAGUGAUGGGGGGUCCCAUUUUUGCAAUAGGUGGUUUUCAAUGGCGCUGAGCAAAUAUGGGGUGAAACACAAUGUAACAACCCCAUUUCAUCCUCAAACAAGUGGCCAAAUCAAAGUGUCAAAUAGGGAAAUCAAAAGCAUCCUGGCGAAGAUAGUAAAUGCCAACAGAACUAACUGGUCCAAGAAACUCGAUGAUGCACUAUGGGAAUAUCAGACCGCUUACAAAACACCUAUCGGUAUGUCUCCAUAUCAGUUGGUUUAUGGUAAGGCUUGUCAUUUACCCGUUGAGCUAGAAUACAAAGCAUUGUGGGCAUUGAAAGCUCUAAAUUUGGACUGGUCCAAAACUUCAAGGGAAAGGGUGGAGCAGUUGAACGAACUGGAUGAAUUUAGACUCAGAUCGUAUGAAAGUUCAGCCAUCUACAAAGAGAAGAUGAACAAAUGGCAUGAUGCUCGGAUACUCAAAGCGGGACUUCAAUGUAGGAUAUUGGGUUUUGUUAUACAACUCUCGACUUAGACUCUUUCCCGAAAAGCUCAAAUCCAAAUGGUCUGGACCUUUUAGAGUAACGCGAGUGUUCACCAAUGGUGCAAUAGAAGUUGAAGAUCAGGAAGGACCUCCAUUUAAAGUGAACGGUCAAUGUCUGAAAUUAUAUUUCGGGGAUUGUCAAGAGAUUUCUUUGGUUGCAGUGGUGUAUUUGGAAGACGCCUGAAGGCACUGCUGCGUCGUGCCAUGAUAUUAACUAAGGCGCUAUUUGGGAGGCAACCCAAAACCCCUUUAUUUUCUUUAUUAUUUCUAGAUAAAAUAAUGGUGUGUUGAUUAUGCAGAUGAAAGUGUGGAGAGUGAACGAACAGUGCAGAUCGACGAGCAACAUGUCAAAUCAGCAAAUCGCCGAAUGGUUCGGCGACUCAGAACUAGACCACCGUUAGACUCAAUACCAUCUUGCAUUGGAGUCUGUAAAACUCGGCGAUCAUAGAAAAUUAUUGGUGAACCGCCGACCGUGUCGUCGAUCCCGACAGGGACCACUUUUUGGUCCCCCAACUUAAACCAGAGGUCCUGUAAAUUUCGGCGGAAAAACUAAACAGUCGGCGUUCCGCCGAGUGAGUUGGCGAGCUGGACUAAUGUCGCCGAGUGGGCGAAAACUGCACGGUUUUUUCAAGCCAAAGGUUUAAAAGUUUCAACUUCAUUCACUAAGUUAUCUGUCCAAACUUACACCUUCACUCUAUUUUCAAUAUUUCUACACUUUUACUAGUAUUUCGGUUAGUUGAUUUGUGCUCGGAGUUCGAUUUCUUUGCUGCUUUGCAUUUCAGUCAUACCGUUAUCAGCAUCAAAGGUUGGUUGCCUAACAAUCGAAAUUAUUUUAUAGAAUUUGUACUCAUUUGAAAUAUCCGUAUCUUGUUCCUGUGCGUGCCUGUAUUAAUCUCUAAAUGUGGCCCAAUUUGUUUAUAAGUAUUGAGACCCCGUCUAUUUGUACUUUUAGCAGAAGUAUAUUUUGUGGGAUUGUGUUUGGAUGUUAUGGAUCUGAGUUAAAUCUCACUAGUGCAUGUGCCGACUUAGUUUUUGGGGGUUAUGGGGUUGAAUUCGAGAAGGUGGGUUGAGAAUAGGCGCGUUAGGCUGUUUGGCGAGCUAGGUCUAGCCCGCCGAACUACUCGGCGGUUCACCAAAUGCUCUCAUCUCACUUUAAUUUCUUGUGGAAUUUGAUGUCUAACGCUAUAACUUAUGGGGAGAAGUCUGAGGUCACCAAAAGUACUCGGCGACUCGCCGAAAGUAUUCUUGAUCGCCUUUUUUGCUGCCCCCUUUGAUUUUGCAUGUAUUUCAACUUUUGGCUGACUCACCAGACCUUUCAAGCCAAUCUCUUAGAUUCUUCUUGAGGAUUUACAGAUAUGACGAAACCAAAAGCUGCCGAAAGAAUUGUACCAGCCCAAGAGAAGACUGAGAGGAAGACGAUGAAUGAAGAGGUCGCUACAUCCAAAGGCAAGGCUACUACACCACCUACGUCUGGUGGGAAGAAAGAUAAGAAAAAGGGCAAAGGAGUCAGGAAGUCUAUGCAUCUUCUGGUUGGAUACCUAUUUCAAAAAUUCCAAGAAACCAUAAAGUACCCUCAUGGGCUCGGGAGUUCUAUGCUGUUGUACAUGCCUAUUGGGAAAAUUUGCAGGAAGUCACUCCUAAUGGACCUAAGAGGGUCAAUGCAUCAGAAAUAACCCCGGUUCUUGAUGCCCAAACCUUGAGCAUGACCCCAAGCACUGAUGCCCAGACAGAUGGAGAGACUGCUUAGCCAGGAUCCAUUCUUUACCUCCCUCUCUGUCUUUCUUUAUUCUAAAUUUUGGAUAUUUUGUUAUUUGCAUUUGAGGACAAAUUGUUUUUAUUUGUGGUGGGGUGAAGCCCACCUUUUGUGUGCUAUUUGUGACUCAUAUUUUCGCUUAUGUAUCUGGGCUUUGAGCUAUUAUUGUGUUAAAUACUGCUUUUUGUGGAUGAUUGCGCUUAUGGGCUUCUUUUGUUUUUAAUUGCAAAGCGACUUUGACCCUUCCAAUUUUUUUUGAAUUUUUUGCACAUUUUCUCCACCCACUAUAUGCUCUUGAAUGUGGCUGUUCUCUUGCAAAAAAAUGAGUCUCGGUUUCGAUCAAUACCGAUGACUUGAAUAGUGCUCUCAAUCGAAUGAAAAUGAAUGUACGACUAUGAUGAGGCCAAAUGAAGUUGCAUAGACAAUAUGUGAAUUCUUUGCAUCUCGUUGUGAUUAGCUAUUUAUCAAAUCAAUUCUCUUGUGAUGAUCAUUGCACACUAGCGAAAGUGUGGAGUCUUGUUUGACUGUAGUGUCAAUGCCCAGUGUGAUGAGCUUACUUUGAACCAUGCAUGAUAGAUCCUAGAAUUUGCACCGUUGGUCCGGUGAACUAAGUGAUGCUAUCUCUUGAUAUGAUCUUAGGCACCUUCGAAGAGUGUGAACCAAUUUGACAUAUACCUCUUUUGUGACCUACGUUGUGAGUGUGUGAUUCUCUCUUGAAACACCCCUUGAGCCUUACCUUUCUUCUGGAAGAAACUUGAUGAAAACUAGACCUUUCUUAAUCCAUCACCCAUAAUCUUCAUGAAGUUGUGGUUAGUCGAAUAGCCAACUUAGGCCAAAAGCCUAAGUUGGGGGUGUGUUGAAAGAUAGGGUCAAGUCAAGAAGUGCAAGGAAAGUCUCCUCUUACCCAUGAUUUUGAGAAAAAUGGAACCCUUCCAUAUAUAAAAAAAAGAAAAGAAAAAGACAGAAAAGAAAAAGAAAAAGAAUGAAAAAGAAAGUUGCAGAAUAAAGUGCAAAAGAAAGGGGGUUUCCAACACACUAUGUGAAAGUGAAUAAUAGGAUGACUUUUGAGCACUAAAGAAAAUGAUGAAGGAAAAGGAAAGUAAGUGUUGUGAGCACCACAUCUCAUGAGAAUGAAAGUCAUUGAGCCUAAAUGACCAUACCUUUGCACUCAACCCCAUUACAAGCUUUGAAAAGACUUUUUUGAUCUUGAGUGAGCUGAAACAAAUGUUGAUUGGAAAAUAUAGGCAAACCUAUGGGUGAAAUUAUGCAUUAUGUUAUUUGUGAGUGUGAGCGUUGCAUUUGAUUCCAAAGCUUUAAACUGUGAAACCAUUGUGUGAAUAUGGAAUCAUUCUUUGUGUGAGGGCAUUUGAACAUUAUAGUUGAGCUUGAACUUGCAUUUGAAGCAAGUAUUGUGAGCAUGAGAUUCAUUGAUAUUGGUGAGUCACAACUUGAAUCUUUGAGUGCACAUUUGAUCUUUGCAUAAGAAAAUUGAGUCUUGUUGUGUGCAUUCAUGAUUGAGUUUUGUGUAGCACUGUUCGAGACACCAUUUUUGAAUGACUGAACUUGACUUUGCUUGAGGACAAGCAAAAGUUUAAGUUGGUGGUAUUGAUGAGUCCAAAAAUUGGACUCAUUUAGGACUAUAUUUUAAUAGAAAUUGUGUCCUCAAAUGCUUAUUUUAUCUCAAUAUCUGAUGAAAGCCCCUAAGUUUUAGGUAUUUGAUGUUUGAAAGAAAGCAUGGACACCACGUUGCAAAAAGGAGCGAAAAGGCUGAAAAUAACUAAGAAAUGAAGGCCUGAGGAUCUCCGAGUCCACUUGGCGAGUCGCCAAAGGGUCUUACUUUGGCUUUUGUUCCAGUGUGCUGACCCUUGAAGAAAAGGAUCAAGUCGGCGGAAAAAGGGAGCAGUUGGCGCAUCGCCGAGCAGUUCCACGAAGCAAUACCGUGUUUCCCAAUGAUUCAGAGCAUGACGAUGUUGAAGGAUGCUACGAGACGGCGAUGAACUAUACCACAAGGUGAAUCGCCGAGUUGAUCGGCGAUUUCGACUAACGACGCCGAAUGAUCCGCUGCAACACAAAUUUGUGAAAGCUAAAUAUACUAGUUAGAGUUGUAGUUUCAGGGGUUGAACAAUUAUUAUAAUUUUCAUAUAGAAUAGUACUUUUUGAUAUUUUUACUCUAAGUUUGAGAGGGGUUUUGAAGACUUGAAGAAAAAAAGGAAUUUCAUCUCCAAGGAUUUUGGACUUGGGGUCUCUUUGGAUUCUUCAUUCUUGGCUUGUAAGAAGACUUAAAUUUUCAUACUCAUUUGAAUGCAAGCUCAUUUAGGUAUAAAUUUCUAUCUCUUGAUGUGUGACUAAAACCCCCAAUUUUUGGGGUGUGAUUUAGCGAACAUGGGUUAAGAUAAUUGUUGGGUCUUGCUUGCUGAUACUUUAAUCGUAGUUUAAUUGUGAUUUCGUUUAGUGGUUGUGGAUGAAUUUAAUAAAUUUGUAGGUGAAAAUACAAGUUUAUUUAUGGGUUUUUGGCUUACUCGAGAGAGAGGUCGUAAAACUAAGACCACUAGAUUGAUGACCAGUGUGAGUGGGUCGACAUGAGGUUUAGCUCGAGAGAGUGAACCCUAGUCCCAUGUUCCCACACUCAGCUCGAGAGAGUGAGUGGGUUAAGGCGUAGGCUAGUCUUCAUGCGGCAAGUGGGUGUCUGAGAGGAACCCGUUUGAAACGGGGUAAGUUGCUCAAGAGAGAGAUUAUGCCCCUUAAAGCUUAGCCUAGUCACAAUUACUCUAUGAAUCUUCUAUCGAAAGCAUCUACCCAAUAAUCUAGCUUAACCGGUAUUCCCGUCACAUCCCAAGGAUCCCUUCUCAUUGCUUAGAAACCCUUGUUUACUUUGUUGUUUUUACCUUACUUGUGACAAAAUUCCCCUAUUGUUAAUUGACAUGUUUGUGCCCCCCCUUUAAUUUACAAUGUUUUUACUCGUUAAUGUCUUUAGCUACGACUAGGUAGAACGAAAUUUUAUUUUUCUUUAAAUUCUCAAAACCACUCUCUUGGGACGAUCCCAACCCUUGGUUGGGUUACUAAACUAUUGUAUGAUCGUAGACAUUUGCAUCGGAAGUUGAAAAUCUCCCUAUGAUCGAGCGGUCCUAGACCUCUUCUGUCUCUCUCUCUCAACCCUCUCACUCAUAUACUGUAAAUGUCGGCGAUCCUCUAUGCCUUGUGCAAAAGCCUGAAUUCGCGAGAUAUCCAUAUUAUCAUUUAGUGCAGCGGUAAAACAAGCAUCGAUAUAGUCUGAGUCGAGCCCUCCCACAAAUCUAUGCACCCUAUCAUGCAUCGUAUCAACAAUUGCUGGUGCAUAUAUAGCCAAUGAAUUAAAUCUUAGCCCGUACUCUCGGAUACUCAUGCUGCCCUGUCGGAGGUUCAAAAACUGGUCCACCCGGUCAUCCCUAAUCUCUCAAGGCAAAUAGUGAUCUAUUAAAGCUUCUGUAAAGGUAUCCUGAGUGGGUAGAGAUGCAUAUUUUCCCCUAGAUCUCUCUCAACUCUCAUACCACAAUACUGCAACAUCGCGCAAUCGAAAUGAUGCCAACUCAACUGACUUAGUCGCUGAGGCAUGCAUGACUCUAAAGACCCUAUGAAGCUAAUCAACAAAGUGUUGAGGGUCCUCUCUGCGAUCUGUCCCUGUAAACUGUGGAGGAUUCAAGGCAAGAAAUUCACGAACUCUCAAACUUCCGGUCCCUUCAGAAGGUCCGGUAACAUCUGGCGCAACUGGCUGGUGUUGUGCAGCUACUAACUGUGCUAACAUACAUACUGCACUCUUGAAAUCCUGAUCAGUGGAGAAGCUAUAGGGGGUUGAGAAGAUGUCUCCCCCUAGGUCUCACAAUGGGCUACCUCUAUCUGUGGUACCUUGCCGGUACCCUCGCCCGUAGCUGUAUCUAGCCCCUGGCUAGUUGUGGUCUAUCUGGUGUCAGCCAUCUGUAUCUCCAUACAAGUAUCAAUUAUAAGCCAAACACCUCAACCCUUAAGACAUCGCUCUAUAGCACGAGGUGAGCAAAAGAAGUAUAGUCAUUCUAACAUGCCUGGUAGCUUAUUGCUUAUCGAAUGUGGUGCACAACACAUUUAUAAACAAGACUCUACUAGACACGGCUUGCAGACUCUCUAGGAUACGACGCUGCUCUGAUACCAAGUUUGUCACGCCCCAAACUCGAGGGGAGCAACUGGCUCCUAAUGCCAAAACUCAGGCCUGAGCUGACCCUGUUGAACCAUUUGCUACUAGCGCAUGGCAGCCAUACGCAAUCAAGAAAACAAAUAAGUAUAUCUCGGCUUAAAACUAAGCCCUCGGCCGGUAAGGCCCCUGUCAACUAAUCUCUAAACGAAACAGCUACUCCCAGGAGAUCAUAUAAAUAAAUAGCCAACUAGUACAAAAGUCCUAAUUGGGCCGUCGAGGCCACCAUGAUAUCUAUACCAAAACUGAAAGCACAUAUAUAUCGAGACAAUAGAUCAAACAUCUCACAAGCUUCAACAAACCAACAAACUAGGCCAGUAUGACCAUAACGUAGCUAUACACCCCACACACUAGUCUGCAAGCCUCUAAGAGUAGUAAAUAUUGGUGGGACAGGGCCCAGCCUACCCAUAAAGAUAUAUACAACAAAAUGUAACAAACCCCCCAACUCUGGCAGCUCCGGAGGAAAGGGGCCAGCCAAUCGGAUUUAAGUCAAUCCUGCUGUUGAGGAGGUCUACUGGGUCGUCUAUCAGGACCUGCAUGCAUAAAUGCAACGCCCCCAAGACAAUGGGGCGUCAGUACAAAAUAAUGUACAGAGUAUGAAAGGCUAUAGACUAAGCGAGUAAGUAUCAUAAUAUACCAAAAGCAAUCACGUAAUGAAAUCAAAAUUUUAGAUAAGCAUGCUAACCCGCUACUGAAUCUAAAUACAAAAAAUAGAUCAAACAACUCAACCUAACCCAAGCCCUCAUAAGCUCGGCAGGUACAAACAACAUACCACCUAGCUAGGCCCCCAUAAGCCCAGAAGGUGCCAAAUCAAUCUACAUACCCCUACCGGUAGCCCCUUGUUUUGUAAGAAGUCACAUAGCCCUUUUUGGCAACAAUAUAACCCCGUAGGCAGCACAUAGCCCUCUUAGGCAAAACCAUAGCUCUGUGGGCUGCACAUAGCCCUCUUUUGCAUCAACAUAGACCUGUAGGCAACACAUAGCCCUCUUUGGUGUCAAAAUAGCCCCGUAGGCAACACAUAACACUCAUUGGCAUCAAUAUAGCCCCGUGGGAAACACAUAGCCCUCUUUGGAAAUAACAUAGUUCUAUUAGACAACCCCAUAGGCAGUUCAUAGCUCAACAACUAACCACAAUAGCUCCAAGGGUGACAACAAAUAAUUGAAUAGGCUAAAGGCGAUCAAUUUCGCUAUAAACAAUAUAUAUGAUUAAUCACCAAGUCGUUCCUAACUUAGGGUCGUUCUUAACAGAUUAUGAGUCCUUAAAAUGAGGGUUUAUAACCACUCAAUCAGCCAACCACUCACAAUUACAUCUACAAGAUCACCAACAUUAACAACCUCUAAGGAAACAUGUCAAACGAAGGGAGUAGCCUUAACAUACUUUUCCAAUGAACGCUCGAAAGACCAUAGUUCCUUCAUGAAAGUUUUUCCUUAUGUGCUAAGCUCCACAAACACUAUAUAUACAUAGCUGGUAUGCACCUAUAAAUAGUUCAUAAUUAAUCUUAAAUCGGCAGAUUUUCCGUAUUACCCCAAAUUGUCGAAACGUCCCUAGGAAUUCAUAAAAAAAAUCAUAAAAAAGUCCCGAGAUGAUUACCUUAGUUAACCAAGUUAAAACCUUGAAGAAAAACCAAUAACUACAAAUUUAUAUCUUCUAAAACCAGCUCCAAAUGUAGCUAAUAGAAGGGAAAAAAGAUUGUCACGUGUAGAGAUCACGUUUUUAGGCACGGGGGCAACGUUUAAUGGUAAAAAUCGUCAAAAACUAACCUUCAUCAUGCAAGAACUCCAUAGGAAACCUCUCUUAAGAUUUCUCUCUGGUUUGGAAGUGAAAAGAAAUGUUUUCAUGGCUUAAAACGUUGAGUAAGCCGACAUACCACAUUUUUUACCCGACCCGGAUUUUGUCCCGGCAGUUCGUAGUAAAAUCCUCAUAACGUUUUACUCUGAUGUCGGUUAGAUACAGGGUUUUGUGCGUCGCAAACUAGACUCGUAGGCCUUUGAUUUAAUGGGUGAUAGGCCUUCUAACUCUUUAUAUAAUAGGAGAAAAAUAAAACAUUUGACCCAAAUUUUAGAGAAAUCUUUAAAAAGGAACUUACGAUAACUUUUGCCAACUUUUAGUUUGCCACUUACCUAACUUCAAAACUUGAGAUACAACCCUUGAACACAUAAAAUAUGACAUACCACAUCAUUCUUAAUUUAUUACCCACCCUCCUUGUCUUUCCACGAAGAUACGGGUAACUUUAGACGUUCUGAAAAGUUGGGGUGUUACACUAACAUCCGAUGCAUGUUAUUUGAAAGUAUUCCAGUUAGCAGAACAAAAUGUAUUUGCAAAAUACCUGCUUCGAGCUCCAAAGGAUGAAACAAUACUGGGGACACAAUGUGGUGAUUUACCAGCAUAAGAACCCCAUGUGCAAGAACAAACUUGGAAAUUUUCUGUAAUAAAUCAGAAAAGACAAUACUAUGAGACAAAAAAUCAGAAAAGAUGAUACACUCUUGGUAUUGUUUUGUAAUAAAUCAGAAAAGACAAUACUAUGAUACAAAAAAUCAUUAUCUUUUGAUGAUCAAUUAAUAUAUAUUAUCUAUGAUCAUCAGUAAAAGUUGAAAACUAUACAUGCAUAAUCUACAUAUGCCUUUGUCAAUAACCCACAUGAAUAUCACAAAUUUGUUUAUGAGUGUUGGUCACAAAUUUUGUGAAUGGUUUAAUUACAGAAGCAACCUCAUCUAAGUUAGUGGUAUCCACUCGCCUGUACAAAUAAUAUGACAAUCAAGAUUCUAAUAACCUAAUUUGAAACAAAGAUACAUUGACAAUAAAGAUUCUAAUCAUUGUCCCCUCCUCGUUUGUGGAGGAGUGCUGCAUUACUUGACGUUCUGGGUACGGGUUGGCUUACCUACUGGUGGGCUAUAUUAGGUUCCAUCAUGACUCGGGAAGUCGUGUCCUGACUCAAAUAUACUUUAGUUGAGUUGGAUAUGAAAUAGUCCAACACACUAUCUCCUCGUCUUUUUGUUAGAUUUAGAGUAGGAGGCUCCAUGUCUAGGUUAUUUUGCCUAUGCUUCUUAUUGGUAGUUCAGUUUUCCGCUAUCCUUGAUUGUGCUAGUGUCAAGGAAGAAUGCCUACUCUUCCAUCCCUUUAUGCAUUGCUCAUUCUUAAGGUUUGCUAUUAGAUGUGGUAAUCAAAAAGAAACAAGGCAUCAUACAUUAUUUAUGUUCAAUACGCUAUACAUAAGUCAUAACUAACUAAAGAUUUUCAGAUAUACAUUUGUCAAUGUACUAAUUUCUUAAACUUAAAUUUAUCAACAACAACAAAAAGAAUUCUUAAACUUCAUGGUCAAUUAUGUUUCAAUUAGAAAAUGUAAUGAGGAUAAUCAUCAGAUUACCUAGAAAGGAAGCUCCACCAGUUUAAGCAGAUUUGCCAAUUGUUGCAGAAUCUGAUGACUAGCAAUCCUUCUUUUCAGUGAAGCGCACCCAAGAAGAUGGAGAACAAUAGGAAAUAAAUGCAUACUAUUCUUAGAAGAAUUUCGACUUGUGAUGCUACCUAUUUGCCCACAGCAUUUACCACCUUUCAGUUGCUGAAUGUCCCCAGAUAUACACUCAAGUAAACUUGGUACAGUUGAUGCGACAACCAUCCCAAGUGCAUCUAAACACUACUUCACAACAUCAUUCUUCUCCUUAACAUUCCAAAAAUAAUAGUGGCAACCACCUCUUCCCAUUCAUACAAAAUAGAGCCACAAAUAUGAGUACCUUUCCCUUCAAAACUUCACUUCCCUACUCAAUUAAUUAAAGUCAACAAAUGUAUAACAAGAUUCUUGUCUUCGACUAAGGCAAGAUGGUACCUUCCAACACUUGGAAGUGUAUGACUUUCAAGGAGGGUCAUGUUCAGAAUGUUCAAGCAUAUUUGUUGCUCUUGUGGAUUACACCUGACCAGGCUUGAAACCAUAUCCUUGAAUGCAAGUUUUUCCAUGACUCGUUGAAUACUAUAAGGGUUAAAACGAACAAGACGAGCCAAGCAAGACCCUGCUGUCAGCCUCAUGAUCUCCUGCUUUUCAGGAGCCUUAAAUAUGUAGCAGAGGUUAGUAAUGACAUCUUGGCUAGUGAUACAAGCUGACCAGUACCCUCCUAGACAGAAGAUAUUUUCAAUUGAUCUCAGAGCAUAAAGUUGAAUAAUAUCAUCCUCUUCGUUUCGUAAAAGAGAUGAAACCAAUGAAAUUAUUGGACUUGGAACCUACAACAUUAACAUUUUCAGAAAGGAAUGUUAAAGACAGAAUGUGAGGCUUUGCAAUACGUAAAGAUAGUACUGAUGAUUGUAUGAUUUUAUCUACUCUUUCCACAACCCCGAGGGAAGUAUUUUAACACACUUGUUUAUUAUACUGCUAUAGAGUGUUACAAUGCAAGGGAAUUGCAAGCUUAUUAGUUCAUCCAGUAAAAUAUAGAGAAAAAUUUGUAGAAUCUUGUAUGUAUAGAUUCUAUAAUAUUUCAUGAUGUGGGACAUAUAGGUAAUAGGGAAAAAUUAAAGUCUAUGCCAAGUUGUCAUUUGUCAUCCAUCUUAUUCUUCAUGUUAGAAAUUUGUCUCGAGCAAAUUUAUAAGACAUGAUUUGCUACAAGAUAAUCAUUAGGGAAAAGGGUCUGAAAAAUACUCCAACUUUGGCCGAAAUUGUUGUUACUAUACCAAACUUUAUAGAGGACCUUUCACCCCCCUACACUAUUUAAUAGUGUAUUAUAAAGGUAUAUAUGUGCCCACGUGGACACAUUACUAUUUAUAAUGAUGCAAUAUUUAUGAUGUCCACGUGGGCACAUAUAUACAUUUAAAAUACACUAUUAAAUAGUGCAUAGGGGUAAAAGGUCCUUUCCAAAGUUUGGUGUCAUAACAACAAUUUCAGUCAAAGUUUAAAUAUAUUUCAGACCUUUUUCCCUAAUAUUAUAUACACAUGCAUGUCUGAGAGUAUACAUGAUUGUAUAAUUAUCACUAAUUAAAAGAUAAAUGGUUUUUAACCCAUUAAUAAGUAUACCAUGUAUAUCCUAGUGACAAGUUGCAUUAGUUCUCAUAAGAGCUGCAUUGGUGCUUGAAUUGUGUUUCUGACAGUGUCUAUGCUUUUAAGUGAUAGAGCAUAGAACACUUAAUACUUAAAACCUAAUUGAAAUAUAGCUUAGUAAUUUAUUGUGUAGAGGAAUUUUAACAAAUAUAACACUCCCUCUGUUUCAAUUUGUUUGUCCUACUUUCCUUUUCUGUCUGUUUAAAAAAUAAUGCAUGAUGCCAUUCAGAUUACAUCAAGACCAUUCACGCGGAGUAAAGCUCGAAACCUUCACAAGAUGCAAGGUUUAUUCAUGAAGUUAGAGGUCCUUGAGCUCGUGUUGAUGGAAAACAAAGGGUUCCAUGCCUUGAAGAUUGCUUGGGGAGAUGCUGCUACUUUUGGCGAGCAGGAGCCAGUUGAUGCACCUCCCAAUGGCUUGGGCGAUGGCCCCAGCUCACCUAAAGUUCCAGAACAUGGCUAGAGCUGGAACCAACCAGGAACCACCGCCGAACCAGUCGGCGCACCGCUGAGUUCCUUAAGCUAGUCCAACUUGGCUCGCUCUUUAUCCUUUCGGGUCACUUUUGGGCCUUUUUCACCUAAAACUAUAAAUAGCUAGUUUGGGUUCAUUUUAGACUUAAGACUAUUUUGAAUAUUGAUGUUGAAAACUGAAAACUCAUGUUUGAGUGUUGAGAGCUUGGCUAAGCUUUUGUUGAUUGUUGUUUAGAAACGUUGGUUGCUUGGGAUAUCGAUUCCCUUGAGGUCGUCGUAAGAGUUAGGUUCUAUAGUUGGAUUAAUGAAUCGAGGUCUUAGAGUUUAAUAUACCAUUUGGUUGCUUUUUGUUUCCUUUUGUGUGUUUAUCUAUCUAUCUAUCUAUCUAUCUAUCUAUCUAUCUAUCUAUCUAUACUUUCUUGUAUUUUCAAUUUCCGCAUUGUAUUGUGAUUCCCUUUUAGGAAUUACAUCAUUUGGUAUCAGAGCAAGGCUUAGUUUCAUUCCCACGAAUCUAGUCUUGGGUUCGUUACAAAAAAAGAAGUGUUCAAAAUCGUUUUUGAAGAAUUUCUUAAAUGGGUUUUGUAUAUCUGAGUCUUGUUUGAGUUUCUAAGGUUGGAAUAGUGUUCUCCAACUCUAUUUGAGUCUAGAUCUAAGAUUUGAAGGAGUUUGGUUCAUUAUUGAAGAUUCCACCAUCGGAGACUCGAACAAGCUUGAAGAAGUUACAAAUGGGUUUUAAAAUUUGAAGGUUUUGGUUGGGAAUUGAGAGCUAAAAUGUAUUGGGUGUUGUUCCCCAUAUCAAGGAGAGCUUGUAUCUCAAAUUUUGUGAAAUUCCGAGCUAAAAAUCUAGAGGGUUUUAUUUUGGGUCUUCAUCUUGUUCUUGAAGAACAUUCAAAUCUUCAAAGGGAAGAUUAUUAAAAAAAAAGAGUUUGAUUCCUAAAGAAAAGAAAGAGAAAGUGUAAAGGUGUUUGUACAAAGGGAUUUUACCAAAAAGGGUAAAUACUAAAGGACAAGGGCAGAGGGGGACCAGAGAGGUCCAAUUUUUGGAGUUUUGCAGGAGAAGCUUUAGGACAUUAGGCGAGCCCCGACUUGGAUCGCCCAGUCCACUCGGUACCUCUCUUUUUGGGCAGUUCGGUCGCCAAGUUGGCCUUGUUUUGGCUGGUGCUAUUGGAAAAUUCGGUGGACUCAGCUGGUUCGCCGAGUCCAAUCGGCGCUCCGACGAAUUGCCACCCAGAUCACCGACCUGCCCCUUCCUCCUGCAAAGUUUGGUGAACCCAUCUUCAAGUUGGCGAGCUGAACUGCACUUUUGGCGAAGAAAACAUGCCAUUUGGUGAUCGGAAACUCAUUUUAUGACCCUAAUCUCAGGUUCUAAUUCCUAGUUUCUUUCCUUUGAUUCUCAAACGUUCUCUAGAAUCCUAAACUGAUUUUCGACACGUAAUUACCUACUUGUUGACUAUUGGUUCUUGAAUUCACUUCUUUAUUAGUGCCAUUUCUUUUCGUGCUUUUUAUUCAUUUUACUUCGUAGUUAACUUCUUCAUUCAUGUCCGUUUGCUUUAAUCGAGUCGUCCAUUCUUCUUUAAAAAAGAAUCCAUUCCAGCCAAGAGUAGAAAUUGACACCUUGUGAUCAACCGAGUAUAAGCAAUCUUCAACAAUAGCCGCGCCAAUUUGAGAGGCAAUCAAAGGUGUGUAAACACUAGUGAUUGUGAGUUUAUUUUACUAACACCAACGUUGUUUGUUGUUUUUGUGAGUUGUCUUAUUUCUAGGUACAAUGGAAACCGGAGGAGAAACACACCCACCUACUGGAGGGAUUACCUUGGAAUCUCUGAUGGAGGUGUUAAACAACAUAGGAGGGCAAUUGAACAAUGUGAGGAGUGAUAUGACAAGGAUAGAGGGUAGAUUGAUCAACGUGGAAGGUCGGGUCAACUCUACUGAUUCUAGACCACAAGCUACUUUUUGUGCUUCCACGAGUGGGCGCGAACAAACUAGCUCUCCCACUAUUACCCCCAGAACCUUCCACCAAACGUUCAGUUCAACAUCUAUCCAUUUUGGUUUCAAUGCCCAAAAUUCUAAUAUACCAUUCCAAUUGCCACUCAAUCAAGAAUCUCCGCCUAAUCUGUCCCCACUAAACCAAAAUCCACCCUACCAAAUGCCACAACCCCAACCAAUGCCCGUGAAUGAGGUAAGGAAUGAGGAGUACCAAAGAAGGUAUGAAGGUGACAGUGAAGAAGCGCCAUGGAGUGAGGCUCAAAGGAAUCAACCAAGAGGACACAUGGGGUAUAGAGGACGAGGAGGUAGAUGUGGUCCGGUACCCCAUGGGGGAAGACAAUAUGGUAACCAACAUCAAGGUGGAGAGCCACUUGAAGCCUAUACCAAUCAAGGGUAUGGUCAAGAAGCGAGAGAAGAACAUGGUAACCAACACCAAAGGGAAAAUCAAAGAGGUCACUAUAACCAUGACCAAGGUGGUAAUGGAGGUCGAGAUGUUGGUAUCAACUCUAUCAAAACUACUAUUCCAUCAUUCAAAGGGGAAUGCAAUCUCGAUGCUUAUCUAGAAUGGGAGUCACAAUGUGAUCGGAUCUUCAACGUCAGUGACUUGACGGAGGUCAAAAGGAGUUGUUAUGCUAUUACUCAAUUUGAAGGGUAUGCUAUUACAUGGUGGAAAUAUAUGAACAAGUAUCACUUAGUCGUUCAAGAAGGUCAUCCUCCACUAUGGACCGAAUUAAAAAGAUUGAUGAGAGUCAAGUAUGUGCCGAAGAGAUACCAUCAAGGGUUACUUGCCAAAUCAUACAACUUGAGGCAAAGAAGCAAAAGUGUUGAAGCCUACCAUGAUGAGUUCCAAAACAUGGCCAUGAAGCUAGAUUACGAAGAGAUUGAAGAGCAUGCCAUAAUUCGCUUCAAGGUAGGAUUGAACAAAGAGAUUUCUUCUAAGAUGACCAUUCAUAGGUUUGCUACCGUGAAUGAAGUCUUUGAAGCAGCCCAUGCGGUAGAGAGGGAAAUCAAGGAGGAGAAAGUAUCUAAGUACAAGGGUAUUUCAUCUUCAAAUUCUUGGAGCAAGAACAAAGGGGGAGGUCAAGCAUCGUCGGGUUGGAAUAAGGAUAAGGAUUUCAAGAAACCUUAUGAGAAGAAGCCCUUUGAAGGAAACACUCCAAAGUAUCCACCAAGAGAAAAAGGUAAUAAUGACCCAACCAAAGAUUCUAAAGGUAUCCAAUGUCACAAGUGUAGAGGAUGGGGUCAUAUGAUGCGUGAGUGUCUCAAUUGGUUCAAUGUUCUAAUUCAAGGAGGAGAAAUGUAUAUUGGUGAAGAGGAAGAGCAAGAAGAGGAUUGUGAAGAAGAUCCUCAAGAGGAGGAUGAGUUUGAAGGUGAGGAAGAUGAGGAACAGGAUCCAUGUGGGGGAAAAAUGUUGCCAUUUUUAAUGGUUUGAUGAGAAAAGUCCCAAUGGAUGAAGUUUGGCCUCAAGAAGAAGAGUACACCGUUCCUAUAUUUGUGGUGAGGCGUGUGAUGAUUAGCAAGGCCAUGAAUGAUCCAAGCCAAAGAGAGAACCUUUUUCACUCCAAGUGCCUUAUCAAAGAUAAUGUUUGUUUCUUGAUAAUUGAUAGUGGGAGUUGCGCAAAUGUUUCUAGAACCGCUUUAGUGGAAUUCUUGAAAAUUCCUACCACUAAGAAUGCUAUACCUUACAAGCUUCAAUGGUUAAGUGAGUGUGAAGAAUUGAGGGUUCAUAGACAAGUGUUGAUCAAGCUCAAGAUUGGGAAAUACCAAGAUGAGGUUUUAUGUGAUGUAGUCCCAAUGCAAUCUUGUCAUGUAUUACUUGGGAGGCCUUGGCAAUAUGAUCAUGAUGGGAGGACCAACAAGUAUUCACUUGUGUUGUAUGGUCAUAAGUAUGUUCUUCACCCUAUGUCACCCUUUCAAGUACAUGAAGUGUAUCAAUGGAUAAGUGAGUUGAGGGAAAAGAGGAGGAGUGAGGAGGAAUAUGUGGAGGCCGAGAGCAAUGAAGAGGAGGAGAGGAGGAAGUUGAAACAAAAGGCCCAAGUUUUGUUGGCCAAUUACAAAGAGAUAAGGGAAGAAGUUGAUUCCAAGAGUUCUUUGAUCCUUAUCACACAUAGGGAUCAUGUUUUGCAAACUAACAAAUCUCAUUCUUAUCUCCCCAAUUCCAUUUCCUUUAUUUUGCAGGAUUAUGAGGAUGUCUUCCCAAAGGAGCUUCCAAGUGGAUUGUCCCCUCUCCGGAGAAUCAAACACCAAAUUGAUUUUGUGCCAGGCUUACAAUUGCCAAACAAGCCGGCAUAUUGGAGCAAUCCAGAUGGCACCAAGGAGGUACAAAGGCAAGUUGAGGAACUCCUCAACAAGGGUUAUGUAAAGGAGAGCAUGAGUCCAUGUGUCGUACCAGUUCUAUUGGUUCCAAAGAAAGAUGGAACAUGGCGCAUGUGUGCUGACUGUCGAGCCAUCAACAAGAUUAUGGUAACGUAUCGUCAUCUUAUCCCUAGGUUAGAUGAUAUGCUUGAUGAGUUGAAUGGUUCUUGUGUGUUUUCAAAGAUUGAUCUUAGGAGUGGUUAUCAUCAAAUCUGGAUGAACCCCGGUGACGAAUGGAAAAUCGCAUUCAAGACCAAGUUUGGUGUAUAUGAAUGGUUGGUGAUGCCCUUUGGUCUCACUAAUGUUCCUAGUACCUUUAUGUGUCUCAUGAAUCAUGUGAUGAAACCCUUUAUAGGGAAAUUUGUGGUUGUCUAUUUUGAUGAUAUCUUGAUUUAUUGUAAAACCAUGCAUGAUCAUGUUGAGAAUUUGAGAUGUGUGUUUGAUGUGCUUAGGAAGGAACAACUUUAUGCUAAUCUUGAGAAGUGCUCAUUUUAUGUUGAUGAAGUUGUUUUCUUGGGUUUUUUUCUGAGCUCAAGAGGGGUUGAGGUUGAUGAGUCUAAAAUAGAUGCUAAUAAGAAUUGGCCAAUUCCAAAAUCCAUAAGCGAUGUUAGAAGCUUUCACAGGUUGGCUAGUUUCUAUAGGUGGUUUGUCAAAGGUUUUAGUACCAUAGCAAUCCCCUUGACCGAGGUAAUCCGAAAGGAUAAACCUUUUAAGUGGGGAGAGGAGAAAGCCAAAACUUUUGAGGCUUUAAAAUCCAUGUUUAGCUCCACUCCGUUGUUGCAAUUACCUAAUUUUAAUAAAAUGUUUGAGGUGGAAUGUGAUGCUAGUAAAGUAGGCAUUGGAGCUGUCUUAAUGCAAUACCAAAAACCCAUUGCUUAUUUUAGUGAAAAGCUAAAAGAUGCUACUUUGAAUUAUUCCACCUAUGAUCUUGAAGUUUAUGCUUUGAUUAGAGCAUUGGGUAACUGGAAGCACUACUUGUGGCCCAAGGAAUUUGUCAUUAGGACUGAUCAUGAGUCCCUAAAGCAUAUUCGGGCCCAAGGGAAGUUGAAGUUGAACAAGAGACACGCCAAAUGGAUUGAAUUCCUUGAAACUUUUCCUUAUGUAAUCCAAUACAAAAAGGGGAAGGAAAAUGUGGUGGCCGAUCCCUUGUCUAGAAAGCAUGUGUUGAUAAAUACUUUGUCUUCUAAAUUGAUUGGUUUUGAAUGUUUUAAGACAUUAUAUCCCAAGAAUCCCGUGUUUGCUCAAAUCUUCAAAGAUUUUGAGGAAUGAGAGAGGGAAAGGUGGAUGAGGGAUACAUCUUGUACUCCCUAUUCCAAGUUUGAUGGUUUCUUGUUCAAGGGAAAGAGACUUUGUGUGCCUAUGAACUCUUACAGAGAACUAUUUGUGAGGGAGGCACACAAUGGGGGAUUAAUGGGUCAUUUUGGUAUUGAUAAAACUAGGGGAAUUCUUGAGGAGCAAUUAUAUUGGCCUAAAACGCACAAGGAUGUUGUUCGAAUUUGUGGUCAAUGUGUAGAAUGUCGAUGUGCUAAGUCACGCCUCCUUCCCCAUGGUUUAUACACUCCCCUCCCCACCCCUCAAAGACCUUGGCAUGAUAUUUCCAUGGAUUUUGUUUUGGGUUUGUCGAGGACAAAAAGAGGUACAGAUAGCAUCUUUGUUGUUGUUGAUCGAAUUUCAAAGAUGGCUCAUUUCAUUCCAUGUCAUAAAUGUGAUGAUACUUCCAAUGUGGCAUCUUUGUUUGUUGAACAUGUUGUUAAAUUGCGUGGAAUUCCUCAAACCAUUGUAAGUGAUAGGGAUCCAAAAUUCCCUAGUCACUUUUGGAAGGAAUUGUGGGGUAGCCUUGGUACCAAAUUGUUCUUUUCAACUUCUUGUCACCCGCAAAUCGAUGGCCAAACUGAAGUUGUGAAUAGGAACUUGGGUUCUAUGCAUUGUGCCGUGGUGCAUGGAAAGUUGGCUUCAUGGGAGGAACAUUUGCUUUUAGUUGAAUUUGCUUAUAAUAGAGUUAUUCAUAGAACUAUUGGUAUGACUCCUUUCGAAGUGGUUUAUGGUUUAAACCCCCUAACCCCUUUAGAUCUUACUCCUCUUUCUCAAGAUGUUGUGUUAAGCUUAGAUGGGAGCAAGAGAGCUGAAGCAAUGAAAAAGCUUCAUGAAAAGGUGAGGCUGCAUUUAGAGAAGAAGGACCAAGAAGUAGCCAAAAAGGCUAACAAGGACCGCAAGAGGCUUUUUGUUUUCCUUCCCUUUUCUAAUCUUUUUUUCUUCCUUCUCAUCCGCAUGGACAAAAGGAUCUAUUUAAAAUUAGGGAGAAAAUCAUAUGAUCUGACUGAAACUAGAUCAACCACAGAUUUUUUGUAUGAAUGGAUGGAGAGUGCAAGGCUUCACAUGAGAAGGAUGAAGCUUAGCAGGGGUGCACUCCUAUGAUUAAGCAAUAGGCUCAAAGACGCUUCAUCCAUUAAAGGGAAAUCAUUUAAGACUUGGAAAUGCAAAGAUGGAACUACCAACAUUUACUGUACCUUAAAGUUCAAUAAAUAUGGAAAGUUUAAUUUCUGUUGUCUCAGUAAAUGACCAGGCCAAAACAAUGAUUAUUUUACCUGAAAACUCAUUCAUUCAAUGAAGGAUGGGGGGACUUGUCUUAGAGAUAGACAAAUUUAUAAAUCAAAAGGCAGGACUACAAGUCUCUAUUACAGAGCGAGGAGGUCCCACUUCUAUGGGACUAAGGGGAAAGGAUAGUUACAAAGAAAUUAUACAAAGAAAGAAAUGGAGUGCUUGAGAACAGAGCUUGACUCCUUUCUUUGAAGGAGAAAAAGGAUCCCUUAGUAGGUGUUUGGUGGGAAGAUUUCUAGGGUGUGACGAGAUACCCACCCGAAGUGAGGUUAGGAGCUGGGCGGAAAAGGCAUGGAUGGGCAUCCAUAAUCUGCAUAUCUUUGACAUUAAUGGAACUCAGUUCUUAUUUGAGUUUCCAUCGAGACGAGAUGCAGAGCACAUACUCAUGGGAGAGUGGGGUUGAAAAAAUCACCUUCUACUUCUAGAAUGGUUGACACCAACGACAAAAGCUUUUCCGGCAGAAACAAACUUCGAGUGGUUCUGGGUGCAUAUCCUAGGUCUACCAUUGCAGCUUUGGAAUGAUAAAAUGAUGAAACAAAUUGGAGAUCUUUGUGGGGGAUGGAUGAAAACGGAGGAAGAGACUCAACUGAAAAACCAUCUAUGAUGGUCUCGAAUUCGAGUGCAGGGAUCGAGAAAGAAUAUUCCUUCUUUGGUGGAGAUUAAUGAUGAUGAACUCAUAUUUACACUGCCGUUAUGGGUUGAAGCUCCGGUCAGAUACUAGAGGAAUGGAAGAGAUGAGCCCAAUAAUCGAGGCAGCAAUAUGAGGAGUGAGAAAGGAAAGGCGAUAGAAAACCCUAAUCUACAGUUGAUAGAGACAAAUGACAAAAUAGGGAAAUCUUUUUCAAAAGAUUGUCCAAUGGUCCUUAGCAAGGAGUCUGACACUUUUACUAGUGGGAGCCAUAUGACCCUCGAAGGAAAUGUGUCAACACAUGUGCAUGGAGUGGAUCCAGACAGUCACAACAAUUUUAUAGGGCAGAAAAUUUGUGGGAAUUGUUGUGGGCCUAUUAAAGCCCAAAUUUCAUUAAAGGGAAAAGUGUUGAUCCCAUUUUAAAAUUCCCUCAAUUAUGUCAAGAAUACACUCUUUUUUCUCCAAAUUCUCUUAAUAACACAGAGCUGGAGACUGUUAUGAGAAUGAAGAUCAAGAAAAUACAUAGAAGCCAAAAUUCAAGAGAAGAACAUAAGGAAAUUAACAUGAAGAGUAAAGGAAGAAGAGAGGAAAAUGACCUAACCCUCUCUACGGAAGAUGCACAUGAAAAUCGGAUUGGAGAAGAACAAAGUCAGUUGCCAGCAGGACAUAUUACAAUAUAUGAGGAGCCAGUGCCAGUUUGGAUGGAAGAACCUUUGUCGGAAUAGGAAAUCGAGGACAAGGCAACUAUCUGGUGAAAACUAAUGUUCUAAAAUUCAGCAGGAUGUAUGGCGCAACCUUUGAAGGAUGUGAUAAAAUAGAUUUUGACCAUUUUAUGAAGAUAGAUAAAAAAAAAGGGGCUAUUAGAUCAAAAGAAGGAGGCGAACAAAAAAUACACCAAGCAGAACUCUAUUCCUAAAGAACUCAGGAACCUUGAAUUCCAUGUAAAUUUUAAGGAUGGGGAACCUAGAGGCAGGGGGAGAACAACACCCCUGAUGCUCAAAUGAAGAUAAAAAUCAUAUCUUGGAAUGUGAGGGGGUUCAAUCGGGGAGGGGGAGGGAGGGGGGAUAAAAAGAGCUUGGCUAGAGUUUUAACUAAGCAAUAGAGAGCUGAUGUUUAUGUCUUUCUUGAGACAAAACUGAUGGGAGGGGAUGCUACUUUAUUAAAAGAAGUGUGGCAUAACAAGUGGUUGGGAGAACUUCAUUUAGAUGAUGUGGGAAGAAGUGGGGGGGAUAGCGGUGAUGUGGGAUAAGAGGUACUGGAAGGGGGAGUUUGUAGCGGUAGGAGGGUAAAUGCUUACAUGUAAAUUGAUAGGCAUAGAACAACAUUUUUCUUGGUUUCUAAGUGUUGUCUAUGUUGACUGUAACAUAGUGAUCAGAAGGGAACUAUGGAAGGAGCUAACAACAAUUAGAGAUUCUUGUGAUGGGCUAUGGGUUGGGUGCGGUGACUUCAACGUUACUCGGUAUUCUAAUGAGAGAACAGGAAAUCAGAGGAAAUCAGAGUCUAUCCGGGACAAGGACAGAGUUCACUGAUUGGAUUAAUGAGAUGGAAUUAAUUUAUCCUCAUUUAUUUGGAGGAUCUUUUACUUGGAGAAGGGGGGAAAUCAACACAUUUUUCGACGUCAACAAUAGACAGAUUCCUAUAUUCUAGUCGAUGGGAGGAUUUGUUUCCACAAAUCAGACUAAGUGCUCUUCCUAGAGUAGGUUCAGAUCACAACCCCUUGCUCUUGUAUUGUGGAGAAUGGACUCCAAGGAAAACCUAUUUCAAGUUUGAACAAUGGUGGAUGAGAGAGGAGGGUUUCAAGAAGAAAGUCAUAGAAUGGUGGACAUCCUUUUCAACUUCCUAUAUGCUGGCCACAAAGCUGAAGAUGUUGAAAGGUAAACUAAAGGAAUGGGGGUUUGAAAACAGAGGUAAUUGGAAGCACGGAAACGAAGACAUCCUGAAUCAGAUAGCCAACCUUGAAGAAAUCCAGGAACAAAUACCACUAAAUGAGGAUGAGAUACUUCACAAAGUCAAUCUCACAAACGAGCUUGCAGAAGUGUCCAGGAAUGAGGAAGUAGCAUGGAGAGAGAGGUCAAGGGUACAAUGGUUGAAACAAUGGGAUAAGAAUACCAAAUACUUCCACAAAAUUUGCACAACCCAUAGGAGAUAUAACACAAUUGAAAAACUAGAAGUGGAAGGAGUAACUAUCACUGAACCAGAAGAGAUCAAGCAGAUGAUUGUAAGCUUUUAUCAAAAUCUUUAUAAGGAACCAGAGCAAUGGAGACCAGGUUUCAACUUGCAGGGAUAUGAAUGAGUCAAUGAAGAAGAGAAGGUUUGGUUACAUACACAGUUUGAGGAAGAGGAGGUUCUAGAAGCACUCAAGUUGUGUGCUAGUGACAAGUCCCCGGGCCCAGAUGGUUUCCCUAUGAGUUUCUACCAGACUUCUGGGAAAUCGUGAAGGUAGAUAUCAUGAAGACAAUGCAACAGUUCCAUGAUCAACAUGUUUAUGAAAAGAGUUUGAAUGCAACCUAUAUAGCUCUAAUCCCUAAGAAAGUGGGAGUUGUUGAAUUAAGAGACUUCAAACCUAUUAGUUUGAUAAGUGGAAUCUACAAAAUAAUUGCCAAAAUUUUAGCAGAAUGACUGAAAAAGGUGAUAAGAAAGCUAAUCAAUAAAUAGCAAAUGGCCUUCAUCAAAGGGAGACAGAUCAUUAACGCAGCUUUGAUAGCAAGUGAAUGUGUUGACUCAAGAAUUAAAGGGGAAGAUCCUGGCAUUAUGUGUAAAUUUGACAUAGAGAAGCAUAUGAUCAUGUAAACUGGAAAUUCCUGCUCAAAAUUCUAGAGCAGAUGGGUUUUGGGGGAAAAUGGUUGAUGUGGAUUGGCUUUUGUAUAAAAUCCAUUAGGUUCUCCAUUGUAAGUUUUUUUCCAUCAGAAAGAUGACUCAGGCAGGGAGAUCCACUCGCUCCUUUCCUGUUCAUCUUAGCCAUAGAUGGUUUUAACAACAUGAUGAGAGUGGCUAUUCAAAAUCAUUGGAUAAGAGGAUUCGCGAUUGGCAAUAUUUCAAGGGAGGACAUACAGAUUUGUCAUCUAUUAUAUGCAGAUACCAUAAUCAUAUUUUGUGAAGCAAAGGCAAGUCAGAUUUCAUUCAUAAGGAUGACCUUGGUGAUAUUCGAGGCAAUUUCUGGGCUAUCAAUAAAUUAGAGUAAAAGCCGCAUAUUUCCCAUUAAGGAGGUUCCUUAAAUACAAAGUUUGGCAACUAUUUUGGGGUGCAGAGUAGAGUAGCUUCCAACGACCUAAUUAGGCAUGCCGCUGGGACAAUUACAAGGAGUUAGAAAUAUGGGAUGACAUCAUUGAGAAGACUGAAAAGAAAUUGGCUAACUGGAAAGCCCAAUACAUCUCAUUAGGAGGGAGAGUUACUUUGAUAAACUCUGUUUUGGACUCACUGCCUACCUAUUUAAUGUCACAGUUUCCCAUCCCUGCUAAGGUGGAGGAAAGGCUUGACAAGCUAAGAAGAGAUUUUUUGUGGUUAAGAAACAAAGUAGGAAAGGGCCGACAUUUAGUUAAAUGGCAGGUUGUACAACUUCACAAGAAGUUAGGUGGACUUGUAAUAAGAAAUCUAAGAAUUCAAAAUACAUGUCUUCUCUCAAAGUGGCUAUGGAGGUUUACCAGUGAAACACAUGCUUUGUUGAGAGAGGUGAUAGUAAGCAAAUACGGUAUGAAUGGAAAAUAGUGCUCCAACUUAGUGACAUACACCUAUGGAGUUUCAGUAUGGAGAACCAUCAGGAAUUUGUGGCCCAAUCUAAUCAGAAACCGGAACCAAAACUUCUUUCUGGAAGGAGGAUUGGAUUGGGAAUGAGUCACUGAUGGUCUUGUUUUCGGACCUUCUCCUCCUGAGUAUUAAUCCGAAAGAGAUAGUGGCUGAUGUUUGGUCCCAAUAGGGAUGGAACAAUGUGUUUAGAAGAUUCCUUAAUGAUUUGGGGAUUGGGAGAGUCACUGCUUUAUUACAAAUAUUGGAUGGGUUUACAGGGACAACAAUGGAAGAAGAUUCUAUCAGAUGGAGACAUAGCAGUGAUGGGGUGCUAUCAGUUAACAAAUUAUAUAUCAAGGAAGUGAAAGAGUUGCAAGGUGGUAAGAUUGGUCCCUGGAACGAGAUAUGGAAAACCAAGGUAACAACCAAGGUGAAGUGUUUCUCCUGGCUGGUGGCAAAGAAACGUUGCUCCACUCAUAAAAGAUUAAAAAAGAGAGGCUUUCACAUUGCUUGUUGGUGCUCUCUAUGUAAUAAAGCUGAGGAAACUAAUAGACAGUUGUCCUUACAUUGCAGAGUGACAACAUUAUUAUGGAACUUAUUUUUGGGCCUAACACAAACAGAGUGGACCAUGCCGAAACACACAACAAAUUUACUCAGUUGCUGGAUUAGAAGAGGGGGAGUAAAACUCAGAAAAAAUAGUGGAGUAUGAUUCCAUCAUGCAUAUGGCGGUCCAUAUGGAAGGAGAGAAACAAUAGGUGCUUCAAAAACAAGGCUAAUACUUUUGAUAAGGUUAAAUGGUUGUGUUUGACAACCUUUUAUUUUUGGUGUAAAGAAGAAGGAAUAGAUCAGAAUGCACAAAUUAUAGAUUUUAUAAAUAAUAUGUAAUCUAGUAGCUGUUUUGUCGUAGAUUGAAAUUAUGUAAAUCUUUUGGAGGUCUCCAUUAUGUCCUUAAUGUUGAUGAAUACAACUUUACCCUUAUAAAAAAAAGGACCGCAAGAGGGUUUUGUUUGAACCAACUGAUUGGGUGUGGGUACAUUUUCGCAAGGAGCGAUUCCCCACUCAUCGCAACAUGAAAUUGAUGCCAAGAGGUGCUGGACCAUUUCCAGUGCUUGAAAGACUCAACGACAAUGCCUACAAGGUUGACCUUCCUCCGGAGUAUCAAGUGCACAACACUUUCAAUAUGUGUGACCUGUCACCAUUCCCAACAGUUGAUGUUGAUGAUCAAGACCGUACACGCGGAGUCAAGCUUGAGACCUUCACAAAAUGCAAGGUUUAUUCAUGAAGUUAGAGGUCCUUGAGCUCAUGUUCAUGGCAAACAAAGGGUUCUAUGCCUUGAAGAUUGCUGUGGGAGAUGCAGCUACUUUUGGCGAGAAGGAGCUAGUUGAUGCACUGCCCAAUGGCUUGGGCGAUGGCCCCAGCUCGCCUAAAGUUCCAGAACAUGGCUAAAGCAUGAACCAAGUGGGAACCACCACUGAACUAGUCGGUGCACCGCCGAGUUUCUUAAGCGAGCCCAACUUGGCUCGCCCUUUAUCCUUUCGAGUCACUUUUGGUUCUUUUUCACCUAAAACUAUAAAUAGCUAGUUUGGGUUCAUUUUAUACUUAGACUAUUCUGAAUAUUGAUUUUGAAAACUGAAAACUCAUGUUUGAGUGUUGAGAGCUUGGUUAAGCUUUUGUUGAUUGUUGUUUAGAAACGCCAGUUGUUUGGGAUAUCGAUUCCUUUGAAGUCGUCGUAAGAGUUAGGUGCUAUAGUUGGAUUAACGAAUCGAAGUCUUAGGGUUUAAUAUACCCUUUGGUUGCUUUUUGUUUCCUCUUGUAUGUCUAUCUAUCUAUCUUUACUUUCUUGCAUUUUUAUUUUCCGCAUUGUAUUGUGAUUCCCUUUUAGGAAUUACAGCAAUGCGUCUUCUCUUUUUUGGCAUCUCUUAAAUUUCAUCUUUCCACAUGAUAUGUUUAAGACCACGAGAUUUAAGAACAUUUGGUACAUUCUACAUAUCUUUAGUUUAAGUUCACAAAAUUCAAAAGUCUUCUUUACUUUCUUAAAAUCCAUGCCAAGUCAAAGCAAGACAAAAAAUAAUAUGGAGGGAGUAAUGAACUUGAAAAGUUGCACCAGUAAGAAGUUACAGAAACAAAGAUACCUGCCAACAGGAUGAGGGUCGGCUAUCGUCAGAUGGAGAUUCCAUUAAUUUAUUAUCCCGACCAUGGUCAUUUUGAGUAGAUAUAUAAAAUAGUAAUUUGCUCAAAGCAGCCAUGGAAAACCUUCAAUUAGUGCACCUAAUAUUCCAAAAUUUGCCAGCUCAUCCCCAAAAAAUGUAGAGUCACGAAUCAACAAGCCAUUACGUGAAGCAAGUUGAACAUGCAACAGAGAAACCUUGGAGUCACGAAACAUUUUGAGUAGAACUAAUACAAUAGACCCAUUGGUCAAGACGUUGGCUGCAUCAGCAUUGCAGCUCAAAAGCUCAAGGUAUUUGAUCACAUUUUUCUUCUCCACUGCGGGAGUAUUCCCCCACUAUCAAUACUGAUGAUUCUACUAUUCUAUUUGCUUUUUUGAUAUUUUGACAAAAUCAGAUAGUUGAGGUGCAUCAAAUGAAACUGAAGGAAUUGCAUCUGAACCUUUAUCUGAUUUUCUGCUAGGUAUUACAGGUCUUACUGAGAGAUCAGGUGGAUGCCAAAUAAUAUCUGAAAGGUUCGUAGAUGGUUUUGAGAUAUCAGAUAAAUAAUAUUUUUAUAAGAACUAGAAGAGUAAAAGGAAGCAUGAUUGAGCUUCAACGUCAUAUAAUUGGUCAAAAGCACUUUCAAACAGUUUACCUUUAAUGAACUUCCAAAUAGUUAUGCCACCAAUUUAACUUUUCCUUUGUUAACUUCAAGGCAAAAAGGAGGGAAGAGAGAGGUGAACUACUUGGGAGGAAGGUGUCUUUUAUAUAUCACUCAAUUUUCUUGCUAAUCUAAAAUCACACAGCUGCCAAGAAACAAAUAGAACUUCAACGUCAUAUAACUGGUCAAUAGCGCUCAUCAUGAUGUGGAAAAGUCGCAACAUAAAUAUCACCAUACCUUUGUGAUUCCAUUUUCAUCCAACAUGAUGUUUGAUAACUUUAAGUCACAGUAAAUUAUUCCCUUUGAAUGCAAGUAUCUGGUAUAGUAGACAAAAUACCAAAAAAGUAAUUCAUGCCGAAAACAACAAGUGUUACAAAAGAACAACAAAGGCUAAAUUUACUUACUUACAAAAGUGCUCUAAUAAGGCCAAAAGCAAGUUCAUGUAUUGAAUAUUCAGGAAGGUUGCCAUCCUUUAACCAUAGAUUAAAUGAUGUUAAAAAUCUUCCAGGUGUGGUUUAAACUAAUAUACAUGUAAGAUGAUGCAUAUGCGAGUUGCGACAUUACCAACUACAGUAAACUGUGGUCAUUUUGACUACUCUUUAAAUGCAAAUAAAAAAGAAACCUAUUUCUUUCACAUCAUGCUACUGGCACAAGAAACAAGUUAAUCCAAAGAGUGAGAACCUUUAUUUGUGAAAAUACAAACAAUCAUCUCUGUUAAAGUGUUCAAUCGCACAUGACACUGAUGUCCUUAGUGCCUGUUUGGGAAAUCCCAAUGUAGGCAUGGAACAAAUUUACCAUGGAAACUCAAAAUCCCACGCCUCUACUAAAAAAAUACCAAGAAGAAUUAGGGUGUUGUCACAAAUUUUGGAUGUUCGUGCCUAAUGUCGGCAUAAGGAAUCCUAUAUUCCAGCACAAUAUUUAUACUACUGGAACAAUGAAAUGUAUUUAUAAGAUAGUAGACCUGCCAGUGCUUACCUCCUACAAUAAACUUAUGAGAUUUCAUCCAACACAAUAUUCAAAAACCAACCACAAGUGUGCAGAUAUUUCAUACCUAUGGAUCGGUUGAAUUAAAAAAUAAGUCAAAGAAAUCUUCUUAUUAAACCCCAAAAUGAUCUUUACCAUAGAAACAUAAUUGAAGAAAUAGAAAGGAGUUACAUGCAAGAUAGGAAAAAGAAAUAUGAUCAUUUGUGCACGAGACUUCAAAUUUAUGCCACGGAAUAGAAAGACUAUGUUAUGACUCAUAUAAUUUCCAAUAAUCUUAUAACGACAAUAGUCACAAGCAUCAACAAUCCUUAACAUCUAGAAAUAUGAUGAGGCAAGUUAUUUUCUAAGACCACGCUUACUAAAAUCAUAUACAUUCAUUCUGAAGUAGUUCAGCUGCUUUUGAAGAUUUGCAAGAACUACAAAUAAUGUUAAAACAAUUGAGUACGCUGAUCCAUUGGCACUGUACAUUAGCAGGCACCAAUAGAAUUUUACCGCAAGUCAACGAAUAUAACUUACACAACAACAUACGGUUUCUAAAGUCCAUACUGAGGAGGGUUCACGGGUAAUUACCCUGUAACAUUACAUUUUUCCUCUAUAUCUAUUCCUUUAAAAAAAUUGACUACAAUUAAAAAUCAAUAGUAUUAUGAAGUUCUCAAAUUUCUAAGAGAGCUAUUGGAUACCUAAAAAUUUUUGCAGCUUGGUUCCCAAUUAAAUCAUUAAUUUUCAUCUUCCCAAUAGGGUGGCCUAGCAAUCUAAUAGAUCAAUUAACAACUUGGGAACUAAGGUUCAAAUUAACAUGAAAUAGUAAUAACAGAAUGAACAUGAAACAAACUUGGAGAAACAAUCAGAUUCAUCGAUUUCCUCUUCUUCUUUUUCAGGCACAGUGAUGCUCUCCUAGCUCUCCACUUUCUGUUGAUGUCUUUAAGCAUUUUUGGCAGUAAGUUCUUGUUCCUUCCCCUCAAUGUCAAAUUUAUUAAACUUUCUUCAAACUCCUCAUCGCAUUUUCAGCUCCUGACCUCUUUUUACCUCAAGUUCACUUGGUUUCUUCAAAUAUCCUAAAUCAACUCUCCAUUUCAUUUUAAUGAAAGAGUGAAAAAAAACCACGUUAAAAGCACCAACUCUAAACUAAAGUAAGCAAAAAUAACUACGAAAAGAGCCUCAAAUGAGUGGAACUCCACUACUCACCAGCACCCCAACUUAGAAACUUUGUAUGUCCUCAAGUAAAGAAAAUCAAAAACACAAGAGUCUCUUAUUUCAUGACACACCACAAAUCAAUUUCCCUUUCUCAAUUAAGCACAAAGGUAAUGGCUUCGGUUGGUACUAACAAAUAUUCCACAUGCAAACUUUUCACAAAAGAAAUCCCCCUCUUUCUCAUGGAACAUUUUCAAAAACCAAGAAUCAUUUAAGUGGCAACCACUCAAACUUAAGAAAUGACUCAACUCAUUAACUCUUUCGUAUGCUGACUUGACUCAAUUGGGAAUUUUUAAAAUCACCACUUUUUCAACUUACAUGCUAUCACAAGAAAGAAGUGUCCAUAAACCACACACACAUAUAAAUAGUAAGUUUCAAGGGAAAGCUUCAUUGUGGCAGAAUAUCAACAACCAUAGUGCCUUAGUUCAAAUUCCCAAAAAAAUAACUUGUCCAAAUACCUGAGAGAAGUGCAAAGACCUCCCUGGAUGGUCAUGAAGACCUGCAUAAUUAACCUUCUUCACUCGUGGAUGCGAAGAUAAAUAUUCAGCAAUUUUUUGUGCAUUCUCCUGCAAGAUUUUGAAAUUAUUUAGUUAGAACACUGUAAUAUGGUAGAAUUUUAUGAACCAACCUAACUUCUCAGCACACUAUAAAUAUGAAGAUGCGGCAAUAUGCAUGCCAUAAUCAUGAAAAUCUAUAGGUUCAAGAAUAAUAGAUUAACAAAGUGCAAAGACCUCCCAGGAUGGUCAUGAAGCCCUGCAUAAUUGACCUUUCACUCGUGGAUGGGAAGAUAAAUAUUCAGUAAUAUUUUGUGCAUUCUCCUGCAAGAUUUUGAAAAUAUUUAGUUAAAACACUGUGAUAUGGUAGAAUUUUACGAACCAUCCUAACUUCUCAGCACAAUAUAAAGAUGAAGAUUCGGCAAUAUGCUUGCCAUAAUCAUGAAAAUCUAUAGGUUCAAGAAUAAUAGAUUAACAAAGGCGCAAGAAGGCGCAUAUGUUUCUAAAAUGAGUGGUGGGACAACUAAUUUCACCACGAAAAAAAAGCAAUUAAAAUUAAACUUGUUGUUUUUCAACAGGAAGAGCCAUUGUUUUGAUUCCUCUCAAACAAAGCCAACAAUUAAAUGAUGCUAACCCUGCACCUUCAACAUUUUGUAGGAAGUGCACCUCCUUCGCCAGGCUGGUUAAGUAUAAAAAUUUAUAAGAAAAUUGUCAUGACACUUGACAUGUUUGAUAGAAACAAGGCAUCAGACAUUAUUUAUGGUCAAUACGUUAUACAUAACUAACUAAAGAUUUUCAGAUAAACUUGUCGAUGAACUGAUUUCUUAAAAUUUACUUAACUUUAUCAACAACAACAAAAAAAAUUCCUAAAUUUCAUGGUCAGUUAUAAGGGCAGCCAGUGCAUUCAGGAAAAGAAUUCCAGUGUCACAAAGUAUUGCACAAAUUUGUGCAGUGCAAGGUUUAUAAGGUGCUGCAUAGAGAGGACUUCUUGUUCACACCAUAAGCCAUAUGGAAGGGAUCCAUUUUUGACUUGCAUACAACCUUGUGCUAGUAUACUAAAAUUGUACGAAGGCUCAUCCUCGGGCUUGAGUGAAGGCCCUUAUUCAGAGUCAAGAAUUAUGGAAGUUGCAAUAAAUCGUCUUUUAUAUCCUUUUAAUCCAAUCCAAAGAAAAUAGAAAUUUUAUUUUUAUAAUAAAUGGAAGAGGAAAACUAAGCACGAUAUCAACAUUUUCUACCGAUUGUUGAACAGUUCUAGAGUUUCACUAUGAGUUGGGUAAGUGAUUCAUUGCUAGAGAAACCAAUAAUGGGUCUACUUAUAAAAUCAUGUUCACUAUAGUCAAGCUCCUAAUAUGAUUAUUGGUUUCGACAAGAUAACAAUAAAUCAAAUUUUGAAACAAAUGCGAAAUAGAGGAAAAACCUUUCUCCUCUGACAGAAAAUACACCAGCCAUGAGAUCACUAUAACCGGAUAUGAAUUUAGUAGGUAAAUGCACCACAAUAUCUAUAAAACCAUGGAAAAGUAAGCUAACAUUCUAUGCAUGUUAUUGGAGAGUAUUCUAGUUAGCGGAAUAAAAAGUAUUUGCAAAAUACCUCCUCCGACCUCCAAAGGAUGGGACAAUACUGGGGACAUAAUGUUGUUGUCUACCAGCACAAGAGCCCCAUGUGCAUCAGCCAUCUUGACAAUUUUCUAUGAUAAAUCAGAAAAGACUAGUAUGAGACAAAAAAUCAUUAUCUCUUGAAGUUCAUAUAUUACAAUCUAUCAGCAACACAAUCUGAAAAUUGUGAGUGCAUAAUCUACAUAUGCCACUGUCAAUCACCCACACGAAUAUGACAAGUUUGUUGAUGAGGGUUGGUUGGACUUUCCAGCCAAACAAGCUUUGUCCAUAUUUAAUCACAGAAGCAACCUCAUCUAAGCUAAUGGUAUCAACUCGUUUGUACAAAUUAGAUGACAAUCACGAUUCUAAUAACCUAAUUGAAAACAAAGUUACAUCGACAAUCAAGAUUCUAAACAAUGUCUCAUCCGUGUUCACGGUGGACUGCCGCGUUACUUGUCAUUUUAGGUAGAAGUUGGCUUACCUACUAGUGGAUUAUAGUAGGUGUCAUUGUAACUCAGGAAGUCGGGUCAUAACACAAAUAUACUUUAGUUAAGUUUGAUAUGAAACAGUACAACACACUAUCUCCUCGUCUUUCUACUAGAUUUAGAGUAAGGGAUCCAUGUCUAGGUUAUUAUGUCUAUGCUUCUUAUUGGUACUUCAUUUUUCCUCUAUCCUUGAGUGCGCAGUGUCAAGGAACAUGGCUAUCAAUAAGCAACAUUGCUUUGAUACUUAUAUGGUUUUCCUCCUCUAUAGAAUAUGGUUUCUACCUUACCAAAGCAAAAGAAAUAGUUGCACGUUUACUAUAAUAAAUACGGAAAAUAUUGAGAAUGCAAAUGUCAUUAGGAAGUAGUUUGAUAGGAAAAAAUGAUCUUAGAAAAUAGUAAUUGUGCAUAAGAUAAACUAACCAAAACUGACUGUAAUGCUAAAGUACUUGGAAGCCUCAGCAACAUGCUUAAAGAGUGCCAAAGAACCUGUCAGAAUUUGAUCCUGCACCCCUGUCCUACAAAUUGAUCAAUAUUUAACCAGUAAGUCUCAAGGGAGAGCUUCAUGGUGGCAGUAUACCGACAACUAUAGCGCCUUAGUUUAAAUUCCCAAAAAUAUCACUUGUUUGAAUACCUGAGAGAAGUGCAAAGACCACCCAGGAUGGACAAAAAGACCUGCAUAAAUGACAUUCUUCACUCGUAGAUGGGAACAUUAAUAUUCAACAAUUCUUUGUCCAUUCUCCUGCAAGAUAUUGAAAUUAUUUAGUUAGAACACUGUGAUGUGUCAGAAUUUUACAAAACACCCUAACUUCUCUACAGAAUAUAAAUAUGAAGAUGCAGCAGUACACAUGCCAUAAUCAUGAAAAUAUAUAGGGUCAAGAAUAAUUGAUUAACAAAGGCGCAUGAAGGUACAUAUGUUUCUAGAACGAGUGGUGGGACACCUAAUUUCACAACCAAAAUAAGCAAAUAAAAUUAAACCUAUUGAUUUAGACGCGAAGAGCCAUUGUUUUGAUUCCUCUAAAACAAAGAAAACAAUUGAAUGGUGCUAACCCUAGACCUAUAGCAUUUUGUAGGAAGUACACCUUCUUUGCCACGCUAGUUAAGUAGGAAAAUUUAUAAGCAAAUAAUCAGAAGGACACUUGACAUGUUCAAAGAGAAACGAGGCAUAAGCUAUUAUUUACGUUCAUUACAUAAUACAUAACUAACUAAAGAUUUUCAGAUAUAGUCUUGUCAAUGAACUAACUCUUAAACUUCACAUAACUUUAUCAACAACAACAGAAAGAAUUAAUAAACUUCAUCGUCAACUAUAGGAUGCUACAUAAAGAGGACUUCUUGUACCCACCGUAAGCCAUAUGGAUGGGAUCCAUUCUUGACCUGCAUACAACCCUAAGUAAGUAAACAAAGAUUCUCUGAAGGAUCAUCCUCAGAACUCAGUGAAGGCCCUUAUUCAAAUAAGAGAAUUAUGGGAGUUGCGAGACUAUCGGCCUUUUUAUCCUUUUAAUCCAGUCCAAAGAAAAUAGAUAUCUUAUUUUUAUAAGAGGAAGAGGAAAAGGAAGCCUGAUAUCAACAUUCCCUACAUAUUGUUGAACAAUUCUAGAGUUUCACUAUGAAUUGGGUUAGUAAUUCAUUGCUAGAGAAACCAAUAAUAGGUCUACUUACAAACUCACGUUCACUAUAGUCAAGCUCCUAAUGUGAUUAUUGGUUUAGGCAACCAAAAAAGUCCAUAGAAAACUGAGAAUGUACAAUCAUAAGAUAACAAUAAAUCAAAUUUUGAAACGUAUGCGAAAUAGAGGAAAAACCUUUCUUCUCUGACAGAAAGUACAUCAGCCAUGAGAUCAUUAUAACUGGAUAUGAACUUAGUAGCUAAAUUCACCAAAAUAUCUACAAAACCAUGGACAAGUAAGCUAACAUUCAAUGCAUGUUAUUGGAGAGUAUUCCAGUUAUGGUAACAAAAAGUAUUUGCAAAAUACCUGCUCCAAGCUCCAAAGGAUGGGACAGUACUCUGGAUAUAAUGUUGUUAUCUACUAGCACAAGAGCCCCAUGUGCAUGAGCCAUCUUGGCAAUUUUCUGUGAUAAAUCAAAAGAGACAACAAUAUGAGACAAAAUAUCAUUAUCUUUUGAAGAUCUAUAUAUUACUAUCUAUCAGCAACAGUACAUGCUGAAAAUUGUACGUGCAUAAUCUACAUAUGACACUAUCAAUCACCCACAUGAAUAUCACAAAUUUGUUUAUAAGGGUUGGUUGGACUUUCUAGUAAAACAAGCUUUGUCCAUGGUUUAAUCACAAAAGCAACCUAAUCUAAGUUAGUGGUAUCCACUCGCCUGUACAAAUAAGAUAACAAUCAAGAUUCUAAUAACCGAAUUAAAAACAUAGUUACAUUGGCAAUCAAGAUUGUAAUCACUGUCUCCUCCGCGUUUGUAGAGGAGUGUCGCGUUACUUGUCAUUCUGGGUAUGGGUUGGCUUACCUAUUGGUGGGUACAGUAGGUGUCAUCGUGACUCGGGGAUACUGGUCAUCACACAACUAUACUUUAGUUGAGUUGGAUAUGAAACAGUCCAACACACUAUCUCUUCGUCUUUUCGAUAGAUUUAGAGUAAGAAGCUCCAUGUCUAUGUUAUUUUUCCUAUGCUUCUUAUUGGUAGUUCAGUUUUCCCCUAUCCUUGAGUGCGCUAGUGUCAAGGCAGAUUGCUUAUGCUUCCAUCUCUUUAUGCAUUGCUCAUUCUUAAGGUUUGCUAUUAGAUGGUAUUCAAAAACCAACAUUGUUUUGAUACUUGUAUGGUUUUCUUCAUUUAUAGAAUAUGGUUUCUGCCUUACCAAGGCAAAAAAAAUAGUUGCACGUUUACUAUUAUCAACAGGGAAAAAAAGUUGGAGCAGGUAAAUAUCAUUAGGAAGUAGUUUGAUAGGAAAAAAUGGUCUCAGAAAAUGGUAAUUGAGCAUAAUAUGAAACAAGCCAAAACUGAUUGUAAUGCUGAGGCCUCAACAACAUGCUUAAAGAGUAACGCAAUAAUUGUCAGUAAACUCCGCACUGAUUCUGCACCCAUAGCCUGCAAAUUUGAUCAACAUUUAAACAGUAAGUCUUAAUUGAGAGGUUCAUGGUGGCAUGAUAUCGACAAGCAUAGCGGCUUAGUUUAAAUUCCCCAAAAACUCACUUGAUUUAAUAUGAGAGAAGUGCAAAGACCUCCUUGGAUGGUCUAGAAGACUUGCAUAAAUGACCUUCACUCAUGGAUGGGAAGAUAAAUAUUCAACAAUUUUUUGUGCAUUGUUUUACAAGAUAGUGAAAUUAAUUAGUUAAAACACUGUGAUGUGCCAGAAUUUUAUGAACCACCCUAACCUCUCUGCACAAUAUUACGAUGAAGAUACAACACUAUGCAUGCCAUAAUCAUGAAACUCUAUAGGGUCAAGAAUAAUAGAUUAACAAAGGUGCAGGAAGGCAUAUAUGUUUCUAGAACGAGUGGUGGGACAACUAAUUUCACCACCAAAAUAAGCAAAUAAAAUUAAAACCUGUUAUAUUUCAAUGCGAAGAGUCAUUGUUUUGAUUCCUCUCAAACAAAGCUAACAAUCGAAUAGCGCUAACCCUGGACCUUCAGUAUUUUGUAGGAAGUACACCUCCUUCGCCAAGUUGGCCAAGUAGGAAAAUAUAGGGAAAAGGGUCAAAAAUACCCUCAACUUUGUUUUAUUGGUUGACUAAGCCCUUGCCGUUAAAAUGAUGUUAGUUUUACCCCUACCGUUACUAAUUUCACCAUAUAUACCCCUCAUUUGAUGGAAAGUCCCAAAUUGACUCAAACUAACUAAUUUGAAUUGAAAUUACCCGAUUUCCUAUUUUUGACCCAAAUUCGAAUCCAACUCACAAACCAAAACUCAUGACAAAUUAAAUCCCAAAAUCAAUUUCUUCUUCGUCUUCUUCCUCCCUGAAUAAAAAAAUAAAAUUUCAUCUCCUUACUCCAUAAAAACAACAUACAUUUGCAACAACAUAUAUUCUUGUGAGCAACUAUUAAUGGUGGAUGAGAUUGAUGAGCAAUUGAAGAAGGCUAUAAAUGCAAAUGUGGAAAAUGGUAUUUCUGCAAAAUCUAAACAUGGUUCUUCUUCUAGUGCUCAAGUUGAUACACAAACCUCGGAUUCAUCGAAUGGGGUUGAAGAAAGUGAUGAAGAAAUGUGGAUGGGGCAGUGGAAACAAAUUUCAGGUGAUGAAGAAGUUAAAUUUGUGCAGAAAUUAGGCGUUCUUGUUGUUGACAAUUACUACGGGUUUUUUGUUUGGUCAAUUUAGAGAAUUGGAUGACCUUAGUAUUUAUGUUUGAGAUAACUAUAGUUCCAUAAAUAUUAUGUUCUAAACUUGCAGCAAUUUUACGUGAUUAGGUCCAAUUUGUGAAUAUUAACAGGGGCAAUUGCAAGUUAAUGAUUAAGUGUUCAUGUGUUAUGGAAUUUGUUGUAAUGAUUAAAAUUUUGAAUGCAGCAAUAGGAAUUUGAUCCUCAUAUGAUAAUAAAAAAAUCUUCCAUCCGCAACAAGUGAAAUUUUUUUCAUCUUCUAUAGAUUUUCUUAUUUUUUGAGUUCUUGGAGAUUGAUUUGAAUUUGUAGGGUUAGUAGUUGAUUUAGAUGAUUUAAAAUGAUAUAUUUGUUUGGGUUACUUGUUUGUUGGGUCAGGUGUGGGUUAGAAUAGGGAUGAUGGUUUUUAAAAUUUUCGGGUAAUUUACUCUGAUUUGGGUUUUUCAGUCAAAUGAGGGGUACAUAUGGUGAAAUUAGUAAUGGUAGGGGUAAAACUAACUUCAUUUUAACGGCAAGGGCUUAGUCAACCAAUAAAACAAAGUUGAAGGGUACUUUUGACCCUUUUCCCAAAAAUAUAUAAGCAAAUUAUCAGGACAUUUGAGAUGUUCAAAGAGAUACAAGGCAUCAGACAUCACUUACGUUCAAUACGCUAAACAUAACUACCUAAAGAUUUUCAGAUAUAGACUUGUCAAUUAACUGAUUUCUUAUACUUUACUUAACCUUAUCAACAACAACAAAAAUAAUUCUUAAACUUUAUGGCCAAUUAUGAGGGCAGCCAAUGCAUUCAGGAAAAUAAUUUCAAUGUCACGAAGUAUUGCACAAAUUUGUGCAUUACAGGUGUAUAAGAUGCUGCAUAGUAGCUGAAUGCAUCACAAUAUCUACAAAAUCAUGGACAAGUAAGCUAACAUCCGAUGUAUGUUAUUUGAGAGUAUUCCAGUUAGCAGAACAAAAAGAUUUUGCAAAAUACCUGCUUUGAGCUCCAAAGGAUGAAAGGGUACUAGGGACAUAAUGAUGUUAUCUACCAGCAUAAGAGCCCCAUGUUCAUGAGCCAUCUUUGAAAUUUUCUGUAAUAAAUCAGAAAAGACAAUAGUAUGAGACAAAAAAAUCAUUUUCUUUUGAACAUCAAUCAAUAAAUACUAUCUAUGAUUAACAGUAAAAGUUGAAAACUAUACAUGCACAAUCUACAUAUGCCCUUGUCUAUCACCCACAAGAAUAUCACAAAUUUGUUUAUGAGUGUUGGUCACAAAUUUUGUGAAUGGUUUAAUCAAAGAAGCAACCUCAUCUAAGUUAGUGGUAUCCAGUCGCCUGUACAAAUAAGAUGACAACCAAGAUUCUAAUAACCUAAUUGAAAAAAAAGACACAACGACUAUAAAGAUUCUAAUCACUGUCCCCUCCGCGUUAGUGAAGGAGUGCUGCGUUACUUGAUGUUCUGGGUACGGGUUUGCUUACCUAGUGGUGGGCUGCAGUAGGUGCUAUCGUGACUUAGGAAGUCAGGUCCUGACUCAAAUAUACUUUAGUUGAGUUGGAUAUGAAAUAUUCCAACACACUAUAUCCUUGUCUUUCUGUUAGAUUUAGAGUAAGAGACCCCAUGUCUAGGCUAUUUUGCAUAUGCUUCUUAUUGGUAGUUCAGUUUUCCCCUAUCCUUGAUUGCGCUAGUGUCAAGGAAGAUUGCCUAUGCUUCCAUCUCGUUAUGCAUUGAUCAUUCUUAAGGUUUGCUAUAAGAUGUGGUAUUCAAAAAGAAACAAGGCAUCAUACAUUAUUUACGUUCAAUACGAUAUACAUAACUAACUAAAGAUUUUCAGAUAUAGAUUUGUCAAUGAACUAAUUUCUUGAACUUCACUUAACUUAUAUCAACGACAACAAAAAUAAUUCUUAAAUUUCAUGGUCAAUUAUGUUUCAAUUAGAAAAUGUAAUGAGGAUAAUCAUCAGAUUACCUGGAAAGGAAACUCCACCAGUUUAAGCAGAUUUGCCAACUGUUGCAAAACCUGAUGACUAGCAAUCCUUCUUUUCAGUGAAGUGCACCCAAGAAGAUGCAGACCAACAGGAAAUAAAUGCAAUUCUUAGAAGAAUUUUGACUGGUGACACUACUUAUCUUCCCACGGCGUUUACCACCUUUCAGUUGCUGAAUGUCCCCAGAUAUACACUCAAGUAAACUUGGUACAGUUGAUGCAACAACCAUCCCAAGUGCAUCUAAACACUGCUUCACAACGUCAUUCUUCUCAACCAACUUAUCAAUGGUCGAGAGCAAUUUAGCAUUGCAAAAAAGUAGUGGCAGCCACCUCUUCCCAUUCAAAGAAAGUAGACCCACAAAUAUGCGUGCCUUUCCCUUCAAAACUUCACUUCCCUGCUUAAUUAGAGUCAACAGAUACAGAACAAGAUUCUUGUGUUCGACCAAGGCAAGAAGGUACCUUCCAACACUUAGAAGUGUAUGACUUUCAAGGAGGUUCAUGUUCGAAUGUUUAAGCAGAUUUGUUGCUCUCGUGGAUUACGCUUGACCAGGCUUGAAACCAUAUCCUUGAAUGAAAGUUUUUCCAUGACUCGUUGAAUACUAGAAGGGCAAACACGAACAAGACGAGACAAGCAAGACCCUGCUGUCAGCCUCAUGAUCUCCUACUUUCCAGGAGCCCUAAAUAUGUAGCAUAGGUUAGUAAUGACAUCUUGGCUGGUGAAACAAGCUGACCAGUACCCUCCUUGACUGGAAAUAUUUUCAAUUGUCCUCAAAGCAUAUAGUUGAGUAAUGUCAUCCUCUUCGUUUGGUAAAAGUGAUGAAACCAAUGAAAUUAUUGGACUUGUAACCUUCAAUAUUAAUAUUUCCAGAAAGGAAUGUUAAGACAGAAUGUGAGGCUUUGCAAUGUAAAAAAAGUACAUAUGUUUGUAUGAUUUUAUCUUAGUUUUUCCACAACCCCAAAAGAAAUAUCUUAACACACUUGUUUAUUUUACUACUAUAUAGUGUUGCAUUACAAGGGAAUUUCAAGUUUAUAAGUUCAUCCAGUUCACUAAUUAAAAGAUAAAUGGGUUUUAACCCAUUAAUAAGUAUACCAUUUAUAUCCUAGAGACAAGUUGCAUUUUUUCUCAUAAGAGCUACAUUGGUGCUAGAACUGUGUUUCUGACAGUGUCUAUGCUUUGAAGUGAUUGAUCAUAGAACACUUAAUACUUACAACCUAACUGUAAUAUAGCUUAGUAAUUUAUUGUGUAGAGGAUUUUUAACAAAUAUAACACUCCAUCCAUUUCAAUUUGUUUGUCCUACUUUCCUUUUUUGUCUGUUUCAAAAACAAUGUGUCUUCUCUUUUUUGGCAACUCUUAAAUUUCAUCUUUCCACAUGACAUAUUUAAGACCACGAGAUUUAAGAACAUUUGGUACAAUCUACAUAUCUUUAGUCUAGAUUCACAAUAUUCAAAAGACUUCUUUACUUUCUUAAACUCCAUGCCAAGUCAAAACAAGACAAAAAUUAAUAUGGAGGGAGUAACAAACUUGACAAGCUGCACCAAUAAGAAGUUACAUCAACAAAGAUACCUGUCAACAGGAUAAGGGUCAGCUGUCCUUAGAUGGAGAUUCCAUUGGUUUAUUAUCCCGGGCAUGCUCAUUUUGAGUAGAUAUAUAAAAUAGUAAUUUGCCCAAAGCAACCAGGGAAAGCCUUCUCACUUUCUCUUGCCUGUCUCUCAGACCAUCAAUUAGUGCACCUAAUAUUCCAGAAUUUUCCAGCUCAUCCCCCAAAAAAGUAGAGUGACGAAUCAACAAGCCAAUAAGUUAAGCAAGUUGAGCAUGCAACAGACAAACUUGGAGUGACGAAGGAUUUUGACUAGAACCAACACAAUAGAGUCAUUGGUCAAGAUGUUGGCUGCAUCAGCAUUGCUGCUAAAAAAGCUCAAGGUAUCUGCACAUUUUGCUUCUCCCCUGAGGGAGUAUUCCCACUAAUAAUGAUGAUUCUACUAUUCUUAUUGCUCCUUUGACAUUUUGACAAAAUUAGACAGCUGAGGUGGUGCAUCAAAUGAAAGUGAAGGAAUUGCAUCUGAACCUUUAUCUGAUUUUCUGCGAGGCAUUACAGGUCAGACUAAGAAAUCAGAUGGAUGCCAAAUUAUAUCUGAAAGGUUCAUAGAUGGUUUUGAGAAACCAAAGAAAUAAAUUUUUUAUAAGAACUACAAGAGGAAAAGGAAUCAUGAUUGAACUUCAACGUCAUAUAAUUGGUCAAAAGCACUUUCAAACAGUUUACCUUUAAUGAACUUCCAAACAGUUAUGCCACCAAUUUAACUUUUCCUUUGUUCAUAUUAGGGUAAAAAGGAGGGAAGAGAGAGGUGAACUACCUGGGAGGAAGGUGUUUUUUUAUAUAUCACUCAAUUUUCUUGCUAAUCCAAAAUCACACAGCUGCCAGGAAACCAAUAGAACUUUAAUGUCAUAUAACUGGUAAACAACACUCAUCAUGAUGUGGAAAAGUCACAACAUAAAGAUCACCAUACUUUCGUGAUUCCAUUUUCAUCCAACAGGAUGUUUGAUAGCUUUAAGUCACAGUAAAUUAUUCCCUUUGAAUGCAAGUACCUGGUAUAGUAGACAAAACACCAAAAAAUAAUUCAUGCCGAACACAACAAGUGUUACAAAAGAACAAUGAAGGCUAAAGUUACUAACUUAUAGAAGAGCUCUAACAAAGCCACAAGCACGUUCAUGUAUUGAAUAUUCAGGAAGCUUACCAUCUUCAAUCAGAGAUUAAAAGAUGUUAAAAUAUCCGAGGUGUGGUUUAAACUAAAAUACAGGUAAGAUGAUGCAGAUGCAAGUUGUUACAUUACCAACUACAACAAACUGUUGUCAUUUUGACUACUCUUUAAAUACAAAUAAAAAAAGAAACCUAUUUCUUUCAUAUCAUUUUGCUGGCACAAGAAACAAGUUACAUUUAUUUGUGAGACUACAAACAACUCUAUUAAAGUGUUCAAUUGCACAUGACACUGAUGUCCUUGGUGCAUGUUUGGGAAAUCCCAAUGUAGGCAUGCAACAAAUUUACCAUGAAACCUCAAUAUCCCACGCCUCUACUAAAAUAAAGACCAAGAAGAAUUAGGGUGUUGUCACAUAUUUUGGAUGUUCGUGUCUAAUGUCAGCAUAAGGAAUCCUAUAUUCCAACACAGUAGUUAUACCACUGGAACAAUGAAAUGUAUUUAUAAAAUAGCAGAUCUGCCAGUGCUUACCUACUGCAACAAGCUCAUGAGAUUUCUUCCAACAAAAUAUUUUAAAACCAAUCAUAGGUGUGUAGAUGUUUCAUACCUAUGGAUAGGUUGAAUUAGAGAAUAUGUCAGAGAAACCGUCUUAUUGUUAAACACCAAAAGGACCUUUACCACAGAAAUAGAAUUGAAGAAAAAGAGAGAGGUUACAUGCAAGACAGAAAAAGAUAAAUUUCACCAGGAGUAGAACUUCAAUACAUUUGCAUGAUCUAUAGAAUGAAGAAUCCUGACAUGCAACAAAUGUAGCCAUAGAAGAAUAAGUACAUGAAUAGAAGAAACUGAAGGAAAUAGAUUUUAAGAAAAGAGGUUGGGGUUCUAGAUCAUUUGUUCAUGAGACAUCAAAUUUAUGCCACAGAAUAGAAAGACUGUGUUAUGACUCAUAUAAUUUCCAAUAAUCUCAUAACUACAAUAGUCACAAGCAUCAACAAUCCUUAACAUCUAGAUAUAUGAUGAGGCAAGUUGUUUUCUAAGACCACGCUUACUAAAAGCAUAUACAUUCUGAAGUAGUUCAGCUGCUUUUGAAGAUUUGCAAGAACUAUAGAUAAUGUCAAAAACAAUUGUGUAAGCUGAUCCAUUAGCACUGUAGAUUAGCAGGCAGCAAUAGAAUUUUACCGCUAGUCAAUGAAUAUAACUUACACAACAAUGUGUUUUAAGCUGACUGUUUCUAAAGUCCAUACUGAGGAGGGUUCACAGAUAAUUACCCUGUAACAUAACAUAUUUCCUUUAUAUUUAUUCCUCUAAAAAAAGUAGACUACAAUUAAUAAUCAAAAGUAUUAUGAAGUUCUCAAAUUUCUAAGAGAGCUAUUGGGUAGCUAAUAAAUUAUGUAGCUUGGUUCCCAAUUAAAUCGUAAAUUAUCUUCUUCCCAAUAGGGUGGCCUGUCAAUCAAAUAGAUCAAGUAACAGCUUGGGAACUAAGGUUCAAAUUUCACAAAAGACGACACUAGGUGAUAUCUUCUCAUCUACCUAAACCUUGAUGUGCAUAGUUAAACCGACAACACUAUGUAAUACAAUAAAUGGUGGCCAAGAUACCAAUGUUAUCAAGAGGAUAAUGAUAAGGUCGAUUUACACUCUACCCUAAGGGUCCAUCAAAAACAGUCUAAUCACUCUACCUCCCAAGGUAAUGAUAAGGUCGGUUUACACUCUACCCUCGUCAAACCCCACUUUAUGACAUUAUGUUGUGUACGUUGUUAUUGUUGUUGUAGGUGAAAUCAAAUUCAAACAUGAAGCUCUAGUUCCCUCCGCCAUAUGUUUUUUCAGAUUGAGAACCUUGUCAACAAAACAUAAAAUAGUAAUAACAGAAUGAACAUGCAAUAGUCUUGGAGAAAACUACCUUUAGUAAUUUCAAAUUCAUCGAGUUCCUCUUCUUCUUUUCUAGUCACGGUGAUGCUCUCCAAGUUCUCCACUUUCUGUCGAUGGCUUUGAGCAUUUUUGGCAGCAAGUUCUCGCUCCUUCCUCUCAAUGUCAAAUUUAUUAAACUUUUCUUCAAACUCCUCAUUGCAUUUUCAGCUCUUGAUCUCUUUUUGCCUCAAGUUCACUUUAUUUCUUCAAAUAUUCUAAAUCAACUCUCCAUUUCAUUUUCAUGCCAAUAUGAAAAAAAUCACGUUAAAAGCACCAAUUUUAAACUAAAACAAGCCAAAAUAACUAUGGAAAGAGCCUCAAAUGAGUGGAAAUUCACCACUCAUCAACACUCCCAACUUAGAAACUUUGUUUGUCCUCAAGUAAAGAAAAUCAAAAAUACAAAAGACUCUUAUUUCAAGACACACCACAAAUCAAUUUCCCUUUCUCAAUUAAGCACAAAGGUAAUGGCUUCGGUUGGUACUAACAAAUAUUUCACAUGCAAACUUUUCACAAAAGAAAUCCUGUCAUUCUCAUGAAACAUUUUCAAAAACCAAGAAUCAUUUAAGUGACAACAACUCAAACUCAAUAAAUGACUCAACUCAUUAACUCUUUCAUAUGCUCACUUGACUCAAUUAGGAAUUUUCAAAGUCACCACUUUUUUCAACUUACAUGCCCUCACAAGAAAGAAGUGUCCCAAAACCACACACACAUGUAAACAAGACAAGGGACAAAGAUGCAACACUCACACUCACAAAGAAUCAUCUCAUGCACACAAAUGUCACACCAUAGGCUUGCCCAUAUUUUCAAUCAACAUUGACUCAACUCCAUUUGGUUAGAAAUAUCAAAGGACUUUGUCAAAUUUGUAAUUUAGGCUUAGGGAAGGUAAGGAUAUUAUAUAGGUAUAAGUGACUACACCCUCCUUGAUCAGUACACAACAACUCCUCAUUUCCAACUUUCUCCACUAUUCAAACCCAUGCACAUUUCACACUAUUUUUUAUUUUUCUUUUCUUAUUUCCACUCUAAAUGCCCCCACAUGCAACCAUUUUCAACUUUUGGAGGAUUCAAGUCUCAUUUAUUCAUUUUCUUUCUUUCUUUUUUUCAAAACUUAUUCUUUCUUUAAGACUUCCCAUCCAUUCUUCAAUUUCUCUCUUUUUUUCUUUUUUUUACAUCAAGCCCUCAUGUGGUAAGCAUCCCUUCAAUGAAUUUCACCAUAACAACCCCAACUUAGGCUUUUAGUCUCAACUUUCACAACCUUAAGUUCAAGGAGGGAAUUUUCUUUCUUUCUAUUUCAAAGCUUAUUCUUUCUUUAAGACUCUCCAUCCAUCCUUUAAUUUCUCUCUUCUUUUUUUUCUUUCUUUUUUUACAUCAAGCCCUCAUGUGGUAAGUAUCCCUUUAAUGAAUUUCCCUUAACAACUCCAACUUAGGCUUUUAGCCUCAACUUUCACAACCUUAAGUUCAAGGAAGAAAGGGUUCAAAAGAGGGUUACCUUUUCAAAAACGAUAAGACUUGUAAUGUGGUUACCAAUAAAAAGGAUUAGGCUCAAAGGGGACAACUAAGGAUAUAUUUAGCGCAAAGGUGGGAAUUUUAAGCCAAGUGGACUUCAAGAACAUCAAAGAAAGCCUAAGAUCAUUUGUCCAACCAAACUCAAUCAAGACCUACAUUUCAAGACCAACCGGGCAAGUUGUAGGUGACAAAAGCGAACACAAGGCAUUAUUCAACAACUCACCACACAUGGCAUGCAAAUCAAUCAAGAUGGUUCAAAAUCUUACUUCCUUUUCAAAAUACAAGUAGCAUUGAACAUUUUAACUGCCAACGAAUCAAAAGUCACAAAAAAAGUUGUAAGAGUUGUCACAAAAUCAUUUAUAACAUGCUCAACCUUUUAAAAACAAAGAGGUAUGCUUAACAUUAUUCACAUGUAUGACUAUGUUCUUAGUACCAACCAAGUCAAAACCUUCCCGAAAUGACGACGAUUUUGCCCUUAAGAAAGUCAUUAGCCAAUCCAUCAUCAGGCAACCUCAUGCAUCUAUUCGGGAAUGGCUACCCAAACUUCACCCUAAUCAACGCCAAUCAAACACUCACAAGCAAUCAACGAUUUAUCCUUAAGAAAGUCAUCACUCUCUAUCCAUCAUCGGGCAUCAUCAAUCCAAAUCUUGUUAUCAAAACAAAAACAAAGAAGCUACAAACUACAAAUUAAAAACUAAAAUAGACCAAUCCAAUGCAAUAUCAACAAAAACAUCCACAAUAUCAAAGUCCGACAAGGGCACACCAGUCCAUAACAAAGAAAGAAAAGUAUGCCUGACAAGGAUACAAUCACCAUAUGCAGAAAUAAUCAAUAAAAUGACUACAAGGGGAGCAUCCCCAACUGAAAAUGAGACUGUGUCCUUACUUCGGGACAAGUAAUCAUCAUAUUUUCGGGCCCAUUGUUACUAUAGGAACCUACUCUCAUCAAAAGUACUCUUUCUCCUCAAUUUUGCCUAUAGGAAAAUAGUCUAAUCUCUCAACCUCCCAAGGUAAGGAUAAGGUCGGUGUACACUCUACCCUCCCCACACCUCACUUUAUGAGAUGAUGUUGUGUACGUUGUUGUUGUUGUUGUUGUAGGUGAAAUCAAAUUCGAAACUUCAACAAUCCAAUUCCACUUCCCUAGAAAAUUCUAUACAAAUUAAAUCUAAAUCUCCAAUUACAAUUAAAAUUCAAAUAUAAAAAACAAGGAAACUUUUUUUAUGGGGUUUCUUACUUCAAGAACCUUGUUAUUUUGAGAUUUAUCCACACUUUUAAUCGCAAAAUACUCGAUUGUCAUCUUCUUUCUUCCUUUAUAUAGCAUCUGCAAAAGACAAAAAAAAAACAAAAAAACCCUAAACGACGCAAUCAACCUAAAGCGCAAACAAAAGAAGAACAAAGAAAGAAAAAAAACCAUUACCAGUGUCUUCCAUGGCCAAAAACUUCAUAUAUAUGAUACUGAUUCAUAUUUUUUUCACUUGCUCAUACAAAAUCACUUAGCAAGGGUUUUAACUCUUUUAGUCUGCAAAAAAAAACUUAAACAACACAGUUAACCUAAAAACGCAAACAAAAGAAGAACAGAGAAAGAAAAAAACCAAUACCGAGUGUUUCUGUGGCCAAAAGCUUCGUAUAGAUGAUACUGAUUCAUAUUUUUCACUGGCUCACACAAAAUCACUAAGCUAGGGUUUUUCCUCUUUUCCUGCAUCUGAAAUUGAAACUAAUCAAAGAGAUUAUUGAAGAAUUUCAUUGAAAUCGAUCAAAAAUUCUUCAUUGAAAUCAAGAAUUUCAUUUAAAAACGGCAAGAUUUGUGAGGAUGAGAAGAGAGUGUAUGUGUGCAACAGUACGAUAGGGGUAUAUUGAAAUGAAAUGAAAAUUAUUUUUCUUUUAGAGAAAAGGAAAUUUAAAAAAUUAGAAUAGGGGGCAAAAAAAGUAUAUUUUGUUUGUUUUAUAAUUGUCCACUAAUUAGUGUACUAAAAUUUGCAUCCAUAAAUACAUUUUUAGUUGAUUAAGGUAUAAUAUCUAAUUUGAAAACAAUUUUACUUCUAUUUUUUAGUUUUACGAGAUAAAUAUGCUUUAUAUUAUAAAAAAAAGUUAUUUUAGUUAUUGAAAAAUGAGCAUGUUUGAUCAAAUUUUUGAAAUAUGUUUAUUUAAAAUAUAUUUUUGGUCAAAUAGAAUUUCAUAACUAUUUUAUUUGGGGAGAGGGAGAAAGUAGGGAUGGAAAUUGGGCGGUGUGGGGUGGUGGUGGCAAUUGGACGGUGUGGGGCGGGGUUGGGGUGGGUUGAGAAAGUAUGUCCAGAAGAAGGCAAGGCCAAAAGAUAAAGUAUAUGAUUAUAAAGUGGGUUUAGAGUAUGCUAGCUACUUAAUGACGCAUACAAUAUAGGUUGGAUUUGCAAUAAUACAUUCAUACUUGACAUUUAUCGGGUCGGCAAAAUAACAAAUUAAGGCUUUGUUAUUUAGCUAGCGUUUGGCCACAAAUUUUUAAAUAUUUUUGAUAAAUAUUUUCGGGUGAAGUUUCAUUAUGCGUUUUACCAUAGAUUUUGAGAGAAAUAUUUUACUUUUAAAAAAAAUAUGAAUUAUACCUAUAAGUUUUAGAAACUAUUUAAAAUACCCAUGAUUUUUUAUUAUCAUUUUAUAAUGAAAAUGUUCAACGAAAAGUCAUGACAACGAACAUAAUGAAUAUGAAUUUGAAAAAAAGAGGAAAAAUACAAAAGGAAAAUACCAUUGAUUUUAUACAAAAAAAAAACUACUAUUACAACAUGUAAUUGGAAGUAAUUUCGGAGAACACGUUCAGAUAAAAUUGUAUAAAAUAUGCGAAAUAAAAUUUGUACAACAAACAAGGAAUGAAAUUUAGUCUUUAUAAAAUAUUAAAACAUGGGAUAAUUUUUAAAUUUUUAUGAUUCCAAUUUUCCCAUGUUUGGUUGGCUUAAAUAUUUUGAAAAAUGUUUUCCAAAUCAACUCAUUUUCCUCAAAUUUAAGGAAAUUGACUUUCCAUAAAAAAUUAAGAAAAAUAUUUUCCAAAACUCUACUUCAUCCUUCAAUAUAUUUUUCUUACCCUACCCCGUACCCUAUCCCCCUAUCCAAGAAAAAAUAAUUUAGUUUAAAUUUUCUUAUUUUUUAAAUUUCAUAUAUUUUUACCCCCUCCCCAAACCAUUCCCCCCUCCCCCUAACAAAAAAAAUAAAAUAAAAAUUUUGAAAAAUAUUCCAAGUUUUAAUUUUUUUUUUUACCUCACUCAACCCCUACCACCUAUGCCCUCUCCUCCCACAACAAAAUUGUUUUGGUUAAAAAUUUCAAAUUUUUAAAAAAAUCAUUUUUACGCUCACCUCCCCCCCCCGACCCCCCAAAAAAAAAGUUCAUAAAAAUAUAGUUUGGUAUGAAGGAAAACAUUUUCUGGAAUUGUUUUCUAAUUUUUCCAUGUUUGGUUGACUUAAAUAUUUUGAAAAAUGUUUUUCAAAUGAACUCAUUUUCCUCAAAUUUAAGGAAAAUGACUUUCCUUCAAAAAUUAAGAUAUUAUUUACGUUCAUUACAUAAUACAUAAUUAAUUUAAGAUUUUCAGGUAUAGACUUGUCAAUGAACUGAUUUCAUAAGCUUAACUUUAUCAACAACAAUAAAAAAAAUUAAUAAACUUAAUCGUCAAAUAUAAGGUCGUGCACUUAGGAAAACAAUUUCAGUGUCACAAAGUAUUGCACAAAUUUGUGCAUAGCAUGGUCUAUAGGGUGACACAUAGAGAUGACUUCUUGUACCCACCGUAAGCCAUAUGGAUGGAUGCCAUUCUUGACAUGCAAACAACCCGAAGUAAACAAAUAUUGUCUGAAGGAUCAUCCUCGGGCCUCAGGGAAGGCCCUUAUUCAAAGAAGAGAAUUAUGGGAGUUGCUAGACUAUCAACCUUUAUAUCCAUUUAAUCCAAUCCAAAGAAAAUAUAAAUCUUAUUUUUAUAAGAAACGGAAGAGGAAAAGGAUGUAUGAUAUCAACAUUUCCUACCUAUUGUUGAAUAAUUCUAGAGUUUCACUAUGAGUUGAGUUAGUAAUUACAAUCUGAUAACAAUAAAUCAAAUUUUGAAACAUAUGCGAAAUAGAGGAAACACUUUUCUCCUCUGACAGAAAGUACACCAGCCAUGAGAUCACUAUAACCGAAUAUGAACUUAGUAGCUGAAUGCACCACAACAUCUACAAAACCACAGACAAGUAAGUUAACAUUCAAUGCAUGUUAUUGGUGAGUAAUCCAGUUAGCAAAACAAAAAGUGUUUGAAAAAUACCUACUCUGAGCUCCAAGGAUGGGACAGUACUAUGGAGAUAAUAUUGUUAUCUACUAGCACAAGAGCCCCAUGUGCAUGAGCCAUCUUGACAAUUUUCAGUGAUAACUCAGAAGAGACAACAGUAUGAGACAAAAAAUCAUUAUCUUUUGAAGAUUUAUAUAUAGCUAUAUAUUAGCAACAUUAAAAGAUGAAAAUUGUACGUGCAUAAUCUACAUAUGCCACUGUCAAUAACCCAUAUUAAUAUCACAAAUUUGUGUAUUGGGGUUGGUUGGACUUUCCAGCCAAACAUGAUUUGCCCAUGGUUUAAUCACAAAAGCAACCUCAUCUUAAGUUAGUGGUAUCCACUCGCCUGUACAAAUAAGAUAACAAUCAAGAUUCUAAUAACCUAAUGGAAAACAAAGUUACAUCGACAAUAAAGAUUCUAAUCACUAUUCCCUCCGCGUUGGUGAAAGAGUGUUGUGUUAGUGGACGUUCUGGGUACGGGUUGGCUUACCUACUUGUGGGUUAUAGUAGGUGCCAUCGUGACUCGGGAAGUCAGGUCCUGACACAAAUAUGCUUUAGUUGAGUUGGAUAUGAAACAGUCCAACACACUAUCUCCUCGUCUUUCUGUUAGUUUUAGAGUAAGGCUCCAUGUCUAGGUUAUUUUGCUUAUGCUUCUUAUUCGUUGUUCAGAUUUCCCCUAUCCUUGAUUGUGCUAGUGUCAAGUAAGAUAUGCUUCCAUCUCUUUAUGUUACUCAUUCUUAAGGUUUGCUAUUAGAUGUGGUAUUCAAAGAGAAACAAGGCUUCACACAUUAUUUACUUUCAAUAUGCUAUACAUAACUGACUAAAGAUUUUUAGAUAUAGACUUGUCAAUGAACUGAUUUCUUAAACUUUCCUUAACUUUAUUAACAACAACAAAAAAAAUUCUUAAACUUCAUGGUCAAUUAUAUUUCAAUUAGAAUGUAAUUAGGAUAAUCAUCAGAUUACCUGGAAAGGAGUUUCUCCGCCAGUUUAAGCAGAUUUGCCAACUGUUUCAGAACCUAAUGACUAGCAACACUUCUUUUUAGUGAAUCGUACCCAAGAAGAUGGAUAACAACAGGAAAUAAAUGCAUACUAUUCUUAGAAUAAUUUUGACUUGUGACGCUAAUUAUCUGCCCACGAUGUUUACCACCUUUUAGUUGCUGAAUGUCCCUAGAUAUACACUCAAUCAAACUUGGUACAGUUGAUGCGGCAAUCAUCCCAAGGGCAUCUAAACACUACUUAACAACGUCAUCCUUCUCCUUAACCAACCUAUCAACGGUUGAGAGGAAUUUAGCAUUGCAAAAAAAUAGUGGCAGCCACCUGUUCCCAUUCAUACAAAGUAGAGCCACAAAUCUGAGUGCCUUUCCCUUCAAAACUUCACUUCCCUGCUCAAUUAGAGUCAACAGAUUCAAAAAAAGAUUCUUGUCUUCGACUAAGGCAAGAAGGGACAGUGUAUCACUUUCAAGGAGGGUCAUGUUCAGAAUGUUUAAGCAGAUUUGUUGCUCUCGUAGAUUAUGCUUGACGAGUCUUGAAAACAUAUCCUUGAAUGAAAGUUAUUCCAUGACUCGUUGAAUAAGGGUUAAAAUGAACAAGACGAGCCAAGUAAGACCCUGUUGUUAGCCUCGUGAUCUCCUGCUUUCCAAGAGCCCUAAAUAUGUAUCAGAGGUUAGUCAUGAUAUCUUGGAUGGUGAAAUGAGCUGACAAUACCCUCCUUGACUGAAGAUAUUUUCAAUAGUCCUUAGAGCAUAAAUUUGAGUAAUAUUAUCCUCUCCGUUUCGUAAAAGCGAUGAAACCAAUGAAAUUAAUGGACUUGGAACCUAUAACAUUAACAUUUCUAGUAAGGAAUGUUAAGACAUAAUGUGAGGCUUUGCAAUAUGUAAAGAUGGUACAGAUGCUGGUAUGAUUUUAUCUUUUUUUUUUUACAACCCCAAGAGAAAUAUCUUAACACAUUUGUUUAUGAUUUUAUCUGAUAUAUAGUGUUGCACCUAUAAGAAGUUACAACAACAAAGAUACCUGCCAAUAGGAUGAGGGUCGGUUGUCCUUAGAUGGAGAUUCCAUUGGUUUAUUAUCCCGAGCAUGUUCAUUUUGAGUAGAUAUAUAAAAUAGUAAUUCACCCAAAGCAGCCAUGGAAAACCUUCUCACUUUCUCUUGCCUGUCUCUCAGACCAUCAGUUCGUGCACCUAAUAUUCCAAGAUUUGCCAGCUCAUCCCCCAAAAAAGUAGAGUGAUGAAUCAACAAGCCAAUAAGUGAAGCAAGUUAAGCAUGCAACAGAGAAACCUUGGGGUCACGAAGCAUUUUGAGUAGAACCAAUACAAUAGACCCAUUGGUCAAGAUGUUGGCUACAACAGCAUUGCUGCUCAAAAGCUCAAGGUAUUUGAUCACAUUUUGCUUCUCCCCUGAGGGAGUAUUCCCCCACUAACAAUACUGAUGAGUCUACUAUUCUAAUUGCACUUUUAACAUUUGGACAAAAAUCAGACAGUUGAGGUGCAUCAAAUGAAACUGAAGGAUUUGCAUCUAAACCUUUAUCUGAUUUUCUGCUAGAAAUUAUAGGUCUGACUGAGAGAUCAGAUGGAUAACGAAUAAUAUUUGAAAGGUUCGUAGAUGGUUUUGAGAUAUCAGAGAAAUCAUAUUUUUAUAAGAACUAAAAGAGGAAAAGGAAGCAUGAUUGAACUUUAACGUCAUAUAAUUGGUCAAAAGCACUUCUAAACAGUUUUUCUUUAAUGAACUUCCAAACAGUUAUACCACCAAUUUAACUUUUCCUUUGUUCAUUUUAGGGCAAAAAUGAGGGGAGAGAGAGGUGAACUACCUGGGAGGAAGGUUUCUUUUAUAUAUCACACAAUUUUCUUGCUAAUCCAAAAUCACACAGCUGCCAGGAAACAAAUAGAACUUCAACGUUAUAUAACUGGUCAAAAGCACUCAUCGUGGAAAAGUCACAACAUAAAUAUCACCAUACCUUUGUGAUUCCAUUUUCAUCCAACAGGAUGUUUGAUAGCUUUAAGUCACAGUAAAUUAUUCCCUUUGAAUGCAAGUAUCUGGUACAGUAGACAAAACACCAAAAAAGUAAUUCAUGACGAAAACAACAAGUGUUACAAAAGAACAAAGAAGGCUAAAGUUACUUACUUACAAAAGAGCUCUAACAAGGCCACAAGCAAGUUCAUGUAUUGAAUAUUCAGGAAGCUUGCCAUCCUUCAACCAGAGAUUUAAUGAUGUUAAAAAUCUCCUAGGUAUGGUUUAAACUAAAAUACAGGUAAGAUGAUGAAGAUGCAAGUUGUGACAUUACCAACUACAGUAAACUGUGGUCAUUUUGACUACUCUUUAAAUACAAUAAAAAAGAAACCUAUUUCUUUAACAUCAUUUUACUGGCACAAGAAACAAGUUAGUCCAAAGAGUGAGAACCUUUAUUUGUGAGACUACAAGCAAUCAUCUCUGUUAAAGUGUUCAAUCGCACAUGACACUGAUGUCCUUAGUGCCUGUUUGGGAAAUCCCAAUGUAGGCAUGCAUUAAAUUUACCAUGAAACCUCAAUAUCUCACACCUCUACUAGAAAAAGACCAAGAAUAAUUAGGGUGUUGUCACAAAUUUUUGAUGUUCGUGUGUAAUGUCGGCAUAAGGAAUCCUCUAUUCCAACAUAGUAUGUAUACCUCUAGAACAAUGAAAUGUAUUUGUAAGAUAGUAGACCUGCCAGUGCUUACUUGCUGCAACAAGCUUAUGAGAUUUCAUCCAACACAAUAUUCUAAAACCAACCACAAGUGUGGAAAUGUUUCAUACCUAUGGAUCGGUUGAAUUAAAAAUAAGUCAGAGAAAUCUUCUUAUUAAACACCAAAAUUAUCUUUAACACAGAAACGUAAUUGAAGAAAAAGAAAGGAAUUAGAUGCAAGACAGGAAAAAAAAAUAUGAUCAUUUGUUCACGAGACUUCAAAUUUAUGCCACGGAAUAAGAAAACUGUGUUAUCCAGUAACAUAACAUUUUCCCUCUAUAUCUAUUCCUCUAAAAAAGUUGACUACAAUUAAAAAUCAAUAGUAUUAUGAAGUUCACAAAUUUCUAAGUGAGCUAUUGGGUAGCUAAUAAAUUUUGCAGAUUGGUUCCCAAUUAAAUCAUAAAUUCUCAUCUUCCCAAUAGGGUGGCUUAGCAAUCAAAUAGAUCAAGUAACAGCUUGGGAACUAAGGUUCAAAUUUCACAAUAGACAACACAAGGUGAUAUCUUAUCAUCCACCUAAAUCUUGAUGUGCAUAGUUAAACAGAUAGUACUAUGUACUACAAUACAUGGUGUCCCAGAUACCAUUGUUAUCAAGAGGAUAAAUUAGGCACUUCCACAAUUUUAUCAUCGGAGGUGCAAGCAAAUACAACUAAGGGUCUAUCAAAAACAGUUUAAUCUCUUUUCCUCCCAAGGUAAGGAUAAGGUCAAUGUAAACUCUACCCUCCUCAAACCCCUUUUUAUAACAUUAUGUUGUGUACGUUGUCGUUGUUGUUGGAGGUGAAAUCAAAUUCAAGCAUGAAGUUCUAGUUCCCUCCGCCAUAUUUGUUUUCAAAAUGAGAACCUUGUAAAUAAAACAUGAAAUAGUAAUAACAGAAUGAACAUGCAUUAGACUUGGAGAAAACUGCCUUUAGUAAUUUCAGAUUCAUUGAUUUCCACUUCUUCUCUUUCAGUCACAGUGAAGCUCUCCACUUUCUGUUGAUGGCUUUUGAGCAUUUUUGGCAGUAAGUUCUUGUUCCUUCCUCUGAAUGUCAAAUUUAUUCAACUUUUCUUCAAACUCCUCAUUGCAUUUUCAACUAUUGGCCUCUUUUUGCCUCAAGUUCACUUGGUUUCUUCAAAUAUCCUAAAUCAACUCUCCAUUUCAUUUUCAUGCAAAAAUGAAAAAAACCACGUUAAAAGCACCAAUUCUAAACUAAAGCAAGCCAAAAUAACUACCAAAAGAGCCUCAAAUGAGUGGAACUCCACCACUCAUCAGCACCCCCAACUUCGAAACCUUGUUGGUACUCAAGUAAAGAAAAUAAAAAAUACAAGAGGCUCUUAUUUUAAGACACACUACAAAUCAAUUUCCCUUUCUCAAUUAAGCACAAAGGAAUCAUUCAACAACUCAAUGCACAUGGCCUGCAAAUCAAUCAAGAUGGUUCAAAAUUUUACUUCCUUUUCUAAAUACAAGUAGCAUUGAAUAUUUUAACCGCUAACGAAUCAAAAGUCACAAAACGAGUUAUAAGAGUUGUCACAAAAUCAUUCAUAACAUGCUCAACCUUUUAAAAAUAUUAUUCACAUGCAUGAAUAUGUUCUUAGACCGAACCAAGUUAAAACAUUCCCAAAAAGACGACAACUUUUCCCUUAAGAGAGCUGUCAACCAAUCCAUCAUCAGGAAGUCUCAUGCAUCUAUUCGGGAACGGCUACUCAGACUUUGCCCUAAUCAACACCAAUCAAACACUCAUAAGCAAUCAACAAUUUACCCUUAUGAAAGUCGUCACCCUCUAUCCAUCAUCAGGCAUCGUCAAUUCAAAUCUUAUUAUCAAAACAAAACCAAAUAAGCUACAAACUACAAAUAAAAAACUAUAAUAUACCAAUCCAACACAAUAUCAACAUAAACAUCGACAAUAUCAAAGACUGACAAGGGAACACCAAUCCAUAACAAAGAAACAAAAGUACACCCGAUAAGGAUACAAUAACAGUAUGCAGAAACAAUCAACAAAAUUAUUACAAGGGAGGCAUCCCUAACUGAAAAUAAGAUUGUGUCCUCACUUGUGGCCAAGUAAUCAUCAUAUUUUCAGGCAUAUUUUUCCUAUAGGAACCUGCUCUCAUAAAAAACACUCUUCCUCCUCAAUUUCUGGAGCCAUUUCUUAAUCAUUCAAAUUGGUUUCGAAAGCCAUUUUUAGUUCAAAACACCUACAAAUGAAGCCAACAUGUCAAAAGUUCUUGUGGACACUUAAAAAGUGUAUUAGGAAGUAUUUAAUCCAAAGAAGUAAUCAAAAGAAGGUCCGAACUGAGCUAUGCGAAGCUACUAUUUUGGGCUUGCCAUCACUGUCCUCCGUGUUCACUGAGGAAUGUCACGUUACUUGUCGUUCUGGGUACAGGUUGGCUGAUCUACUGGUGGUUUAUAGUAGGUACCAUCGUGAUUCGGGAAGUUGGGUCGUGACACAAAUAUACUUUAGUUGAGUUGGAUAUGAAACAAUCGAACACACUAUCUCCUAGUCUUUCUGUUAGAUUUAGAGUAAGAGGCUCGAUGUAAAUGUUAUUUUGUUUAUACGUCUUAUUGAUUGUUCAGUUUUCCUUUAUCCUUGAUUGCCCUAGUGUCAAGGGAGAUUGCCUAUACAUCCACCUCUUUAGGCAUUGUUCAUUUUGAAGGGUUCUUAAUAGAUAUGGUAUUCAAAAAGUUGUUCUUUGAUGCUUAUAUGGUUUUCAUCCUCUAUAGAAUAUGGUUUUUGUCUUGCCAAAGCAAAAGAAUAGUUGCACGUUUACUAUAAUCAACAGGAAAAGAUUGAGAAGGUAAAUGUCAUUAGGAAGUAAUUUGAUAGGAACAAAUUAUCUUAGAAAAUAGUAUUUGAGCAUAAGAUGAAACUUACCAAAAUUUACUAUAAUGCUGAAAUACUUUGUAGCCCCAACAACUUGCUUAAAGAGUGCCAAAGAACCUGUCAGAAAACUCAGCACCGAUCCUGCACUCAUAGCCUGCAAAUUGAUCAACAUUUAAGCAGUAAGUUUCGAGGGAGAACUUCAUGGUGGCAGGAUACCGACAACCAUAGCGCCUUAGUUCAAAUUCCCAAAAAAAUCACCUGUUCAUGAAGACCUGCAUAUUUGACCUUCUUCACUUGUGGAUGGGAAGAUAAAUAUUUAGCAAUUUUUUGUGCAUUCUCCUGCAAGAUAUUGAAAUUAUUUAGUUAGAACAUUGUGAUAUGGCAGAAUUUACGAACCAUCUUAACUUCUCAGCACAAUAUAAUGAUGAAGAUGCAACAAUAUGCAUGCCAUAAUCAUGAAAAUCUAUAGGAUCAAGAAUAAUAGAUUGACAAAGGCGCAGGAAGGCACAUAUGAUUCUAGAACGAGUGGUGGGAUACUAAUUUCACCACUAAAAAAAAGAAAAGAAAAUUAAACUUGUUGUUUUUUCAACACGAAGAGCCAUUGUUUUAAUUCCUCUCAAACAAAGACAACAAUUGAAUGGCGCUAACCCUACACCUUCAAUAUUUUGUAGGAAGUACAUCUCCUUUGCUAAGAUUGUUAAGUACAAAAAUUUAUAAGAAAAUUAUUAGAAGGACACUUGACAUGUUCGAAGAGAAACAAGACAUCAGACAUUAUUUACAUUCAAUACGCUAUACAUAACUACUAAUUUUUUUCAAAUAUAGACUUGUCAAUAAACUGAUUUCUUAAACUUUACUGAAUUUUAUCAACAACAACAAAAGAAGUUAUUAAACUUCAUGGUCAAUUAUAAGGGCAACAAUGCAUUCAGGAAAAGAAUUACAGUGUCACUAAGUAUUGCACAAAUUUGUGCAUUGCAGGGUCAAUAAGGUGCUGCAUAGAGAGGACUUCUUGUUCACACCAUAAGCCAUAUGGAAGGGAUCCAUUUUUGACUUGCAUACAACCCUGAGCAAGUAUACUAAGAUUGUACGAAGGCUCAUCCUCGGGCCUGAGUGAAGGCCCUUAUUCAAAGUAAAGAAUUAUGGAAGUUGCGAGAUUAUCGUCCUUUAUAUCCUUUUAAUCCAGUCCAAAGAAAAUAGAAAAUUUAUUUUUAUAAGAAAUGGAAGAGAAAAAGGAAGCAUGAUUUCAGCAUUUCCUACCUGUUGUUGAACAAAUCUAGAGUUUCACUUUGAGUAUGGUAACUGAUCAUUGCUAGAGAAAUCAAUAAUCGGUCUACUUACAAACUCACAUUCACUAUAGUCAAACUCCUAAUGUAAUUAUUGGUUUAGGCAAUCAAAAACGACCAGAGAAAACUAAGAAUAUACAAUCAUAAGAUAACAAUAAAUCAAAUUUUGAAAUGUAUGCGAAUUAGAGGAAAAACCUUUCUCCUCUGACAGAAAGUACACCAGCCAUGAGUUCACUAUCACCAGAUAUGAACAUAGUAGCUGAAUGCACCAAAAUAUCUACAAAACCAUGGACAAGUAAUCUAACAUUCGAUGCAUUUUAUUGGAGAGUAUUCCAGUUACCGGAACAAAAAGUAUUUGCAAAAUACCUGCUCCGAGCCCCAAAGGAUAGGACAGCACUGGGACAUAAUGUUGUUGUCUACCAGCACAAGUGCCCCAUUGCAUGAGCCAUCUUGAAAAUUUUCUAUGAUAAAUCAGAAAAGACAAUAGUUUGAGACAAAAAAAUCAUUAUCUUUUGAAGAUUAAUAUAUUACUAUCUAUCAGCAAUAAAAGCUGAAAUUUGUAAGUGCAUAAUCUACAUAUGCUACUAUCAAUCACCCACACGAAUAUGACAAAUUUGUUGAUGAGGGUUGGUUGGACUUUCAAUCCAAACAAGCUUUGUUCGUGUUUAAUCACAUAAAGUAACCUCAUGUAAGUUACAGUGGUAUCCACUCGCCUGUACAAAUUAGAUGACAAUCACGAAUCUAGUAACCUAAUUGAAAACAAAUUACAUCGACAAUAAAGAUUCUAAACAAUGUCUCAUCCGCAUUCACGGUGGACUGCCGCAUUACUUGUCAUUUUGGGUAAAGGUUGGCUUACCUACUAGUGGGUUAUAGUAGGUGUCAUCGUAACUCGGGAAGUUUGAUAUGAAAUAGUACAACACACUAUCUCCUCGUUUUUCUAUUAGAUUUACAGUAAGGGAUCCAUGUCUAGGUUAUUUUGCCUAUGCUUCUUAUUGGUAGUUCAGUUUUCCCCUAUCCUUGAGUGCACAAGUGUGAAGCCCGAUGGCAAUGAAAACACAAAAUUGCUUUGAUACUUAUAUGGCUUUCAUCCUUUAUAGAAUAUGGUUUCUGCCUUACCAAAGCAAAAGAAAUAGUUGCACGUUUACUAUAAUCAAUAGGGAAAAGAUUGAGAAGGCAAAUGUCAUUACAAAGUAGUUUGAUAGGAAAAAAUGAUAUUACAAAAUAGUAAUUGAGCAUAAGAUAAAACUAAACAAAAUUGAUUGUAAUGCUAAAGUACUUGGUAGCCUCAGCAACAUGCUUAAAGAGUGCCAAAGAACCUGUCAGAAAACUCAUUCUGAUCCUGCACCCCUAGCCUGAAAAUUGAUCAACAUUUAAAUAGUAAGUCUCAAGGGAGAGCUUCAUGGUGGCAGGAUAUCGACAAGCAUAGCGCCUUAGUUUAAAUUCCCAAAAAUCACUUGUUUGAAUACCUCAGAGAAGUGGAGUGGGUUUGUGAGCCUAAGGCACCACUUCCCAACUCCACGGGCAGGACCAUGGCUCGUGGAGUGGCUCAUGGUGCCUAGACGGGAUUCACUAAAUGAGGGUCUUUUAAGGAAUUUCCUUUUUAGUCCAAUUAAAGUGGGGUUGUUUUAGGUAUUUUUAGGGGAAGUAUAUAAGUUGAUUUUAAGUCAAAAUUCAUUAUUUUAAGUCAUACUACCCCAACACCCAAAUCAAAUCAAACACUUCCUCCUCUCUCAAUAUUUCUCUAUCUAAGCUCAAGGAAGAAGAAAGAGGCAUUGGAGCUAGGGUUUGUAGAUUUUAAAGGUUCUUCCCCAAAUAUCUUGGAGAUUCUUAAUUGAGGUAUGGAUGCUUUUCAUCUUUGGGUAGCUAUCCCCCAAAGAGCCACUUCAAAUUAUGUUUUCAAGAUUUCAAAUCCCCCAAACCUAGGGUUUUCAAUCUAUGAAAUGUUACAUUGUUUAAUUAUGGUUUAUUAUGGUUGAUUAUGAUGAUUUAUAAUGGGAAUGUUGAAGUAUUGUUGGAUUUUGAUGAAAAUCUCCCUUGGACCCAUGAUUUCCUCUUCUUCCUAAAUUGUGAACUAUGUAUGGCUUGAUUGAUGAUGGUAGCAUGACAAUUGAUUAUGUUGUUGAAUCAUGAUAUCUCUCUAUCUAGUAUGGUAAUUCUAGAAGUUAGGGUUAAUCUUGAUUCUUAGCCUUGAAGGGCAAUUUGUUAGGGUUUAUAUAUGUUGAUGAAUAUUGUAUAUGAACUUGUGAUUCUCUUAGAUAGUGAUGAACCUAUAACUAAUGUGUAAUUGUGGUAUUGACGCAAGAUCCUUCAUCCCUAUACCUUUACACUUGAUUAUGCAUGAAGUAUGUACUAGUUGGUGAUUGAGACAAGGUCUAGAUUCUUAUUUUCAUUUAGGGCUAACCCAUUGGUGGCCCCCUAAAGUUGGCAUCAAUUUUCACUGAGACAUCUUAACUAGGCUUUGUUCAUUUAGACACCUCAUGUAAGGCCCUGAUAUGUCAGUUUGACACUUUUUUUACAUUCAGCAAAAAUAUGAUGGUGAGUGUGUUCCAAUCGUGAAUGAUGUGUAAAGUGUCUAAUUAAAUGAGGACACUUGUCAUUUUGUUCAAAAUAAUUCUUAAAUAAUAAACUAUCAAUUAUAAAAAUAAAAAUAAAGAUGGCCAAUGGAUCGGUGACACGUGGCUUUUUUUUUCCAAAUAAUAACAAAAAAAGGAUUAAAUCACCUUAACAAAUCUUUAAGAGAAACAUCUCCCACUUCCACCCCCACCCCAUCGUGUUCUUCAACGUUGGAGAAACAAGCAUAGUAGCACACACCCCUUAAUUUUCUAUCAUAUACCCAAAAUUUUCUCUAUCUCUUUUACUUAAAUAUUGUUCAAUCCUACUUUAGUGAACUUGUGUAACUCAAUUUUUUUCAAAUAAAUGCAUCUCCACAAAUUUUAUUGCUAAAAGAGAAUUUUACAGUUUUUAUUGCUAAAAAAAAUAAAGUCUAAGAUCCAAUGAACUUUUAAAAUACAAAUGUGUACGUGUUCAUAUCAGAUUGUUAAGUUUCUUUUAAUGGGAUUAUCUCAUUUUUAGUGACUUUUUAUUCAUCCCCAACUUUUCAUUUUUUUCUUCAAGUUUCAGUCUUUUUUUCUCAAAUUAAAUUGAUGAAGAAGGGCAGCAUCCUUGGGAAAUCUUGGGGAAAGCUCUGUUUGGAAUUAGAUUCCACAGUUGUGGCAUCAUCAAAUAUAUUUUACCAUGGAAGAAGUUCAAGUUUGAGAAAAUGGUGGUUGAAAAUAUGGGGAAGAAGAAGGAAAUAUAAAAUAAAAAUUGGCUAAAAAAGAGCCUGACGCGCGGUUAAUGAGUGGGUCAGACUCACUAUGCCAUAUCAGCAAAAAGUGUCAAAAUGAUACAUCAGGAUCUUAUAUGAGGUGUCUAAAAUGAACAAAGUCUAGUUCAAGUGUCUAAGUGAAAGUUCAUGCCAACUUUUAGGAGCCACCGAUGGGUUAAGCCUUUCAUUUAUGAAAAAUAAAUUGACUUCGAUUGUAAAAGUUUUAAAUUUUUCCGCAUUAUUCUAUGACUUAUGUGUAUGAUUAUGCUAAGGUCUUGUAUGCGACCCCUUCAGGGUCAAGUACAUUGUGUUACGUCUAGGGGGUACCCCUGGGUCGUGACAAACUUGGUAAUUAGAGCACAAGAUUUAGAAUGAUUCUAGGAUUGAUGUCUCAUGAACCAUGUCUAGUAGAGUCUUGUUCAUGAAUGUGAAGCGCGCCACACUUAUGAAUGAGAGGCUAUAAGUUGUUUAGGAACUUUUCCUUCUUUCAUUACUCUUUAGUCAUGCUUUAGAGUUUUAACUCUAUGAAGUCCUUUUUCCUAACCCUUUUCUUGUGUAUAUAGCAUAUGAAUACUAGAAGGGGAAAUGCAAGAAGGAGGGAAGAGGAGAUUGUGAAUGAGGGAGUUCCUCCCCAAGGUCCUCAAGAGCCUCAAGUUCCUCAAGCUCCUAAUAAAGAGGGGGAUAUGACCAAUGUGGAGAGAAGGACAACUCUCCAAACAUUGACUCAUGCUUUGACGGCUCAAGUCACAAGGAUGCUAGAGUUCAAGUGAACCCCAAUGUAAGUACAACCGAUUCAAGGUUAGGGAUUUCACAAGAAUAAAUCCCCCAGUGUUCUAUGGCUCCAAAGUGGAUGAAGAUCCAUAAGGGUUUAUUGAUGAAGUGCUUAAUGUGCUUAAUGAUAUGAGAGUGUCUUCCCAAGAGAAGGCAGAACUAGCCACCUACGAAUUGAAGGAUGUGGCUCAUGUUUGGUUUGAGCAAUGGAAGGAUGAGAGACCCAUAAGAGCGGGCCCGAUACAUUGGGGAUUGUUCAAGUCAGUCUUCCUUGAUAGGUUUUUUCCUCUUGAGUUGAGGGAACGAAAAAUGCAAGAAUUCAUCAACCUUCAACAAGGAGGAAUGACUGUGAAGGAAUAUGGCCUUAAGUUCACCCAAUUGUCUAAGCAUGCUCCAACUUUAGUGGCGGACUCUAGGGCCAAGAUGAACAAAUUUGUUAUGGGGUUAUCCGACUUGGUGGUCAAUGAAUGUCGUUCGGCUAUGCCUAUUCCAAGUAUGAAUAUUGCACGUCUUAUGGUUUGUGCCGAACAAAUUGAGGAACAAAAGCUGAAGCAAGUGAAUAGAGAAGUAAAGAGGGCAAGAGUCGAUGAUGGAAAUUCUUUCGAGGGUAAAUUUGAGAUUCAAGGUAAACCAACGUUCAAGAAGAGGUUUUCCAACCAAGGCUCUUCAAGUGCUCCAAAGGGAAACAAAGAUAUGGUGUCUAACCCUAAGCCUCAAGGAGGUUGUAGUAGUGGUUCUUAUGUUGAGAGAACUACUUGUGCCAAGUGCGGCAAAAAGCAUGAUGGCAAGUGCUUAGUUGGCAUGGAUGGUUGCUUUAGUUGUGGAAAGAGCGGCCAUAUGAAGAGAGAUUGUCCCAUGCUAAAGGUUCAAGGAAGAGAGGGCAAGCAGGCCCCUCCUAGUGGUUCAAAUUCUGAUGCUCCCAAGAAGAACCGCUUCUAUGCUCUCCAAUCACGAGGUGACCAAGAGAGCUCUUCGGAUGUUGUAACGGGUAUGUUGCAAGUCUUUUUCAUUGAUGUUUAUGCAUUAUUAGACCCCGGUGAUACCUUGUCAUUUGUUACACCUUUUGUGGCUAUGAAAUUUGAAAUGUUCCCCGAUGUGUUAGAAGAACCUUUCUCGGUGUCUACCCCGGUUGGUGACUCGGUAGUGGCAAAAAGAGUCUAUAGGAGUUGUCAUAUUUCUGUCUUAUAAAGUCACUUUGGUUGAUUUGGUAGAAUUAGACAUGCUUGAUUUUGAUGUAAUUUUGGGCAUGUAUUGGUUGCAUGCAUGUUAUGCUUCUAUAGAUUGUAGGACCCGAGUGGUCAAAUUUCAAUUUCCAAAAGAGUCAAUUUUAAAGUGGAAAGUGGGGGAUUCUAUUCCGAGAGGUCAAAUUGUUUCAUGUCUAAAAUCUAGGAAAAUGAUCUCCAAGGUGCAUGCAUCAUAUUGUUAGGGUUAUGGAUGUUGAGUCCAAGGUGCCUUCUUUAGAGUCGGUCCCCGUGGUGAGUGAGUUUCCUGAAGUCUUUCCCGAUGGCUUGCCCGGCAUUCCUCCCGAAUGGGAAAUAGACUUUGGAAUUGAUCUUUUGCAGGAUACACAACACAUAUCCAUCCCUCCUUAUAGAAUGGCUCCAGCCGAAUUGAAAGAGUUGAAGGAGCAACUCAAGGACUUUUUAGACAAGGGUUUUAUUCAACCAAGCAUCUCUCCAUGGGGUGCUCCGGUAUUGUUUGUGAAGAAGAAGGAUGGGUCCCUUAUGAUGUGUAUAGACUACCGUCAAUUGAAGAAAGUGACUAUAAAGAAGAAGUAUCCUCUCCCUACAAUUGACGAUUUGUUUGAUCAACUUCAAGGGGCUAACUAUUUCUCCAAAUUAGAUCUUCGUUCGGGUUACCAUCAACUAAGGAUAAGAGGGGUUGACAUUCCCAAAACGACUUUCCGAACUAGAUAUGGGCAUUAUGAGUUCCUUGUGAUGUCAUUUGGUCUAACUAAUGCCCCAAAGACUUUUAUGGACCUUACGAAUAGGGUUUUCUGGAAAUAUCUCGACAUGUUUGUCAUUGUGUUUAUUGACGAUAUCUUGAUCUAUUCUAAGAGUGAGAGUGACCAUAUGGACCAUUUGAGAGUUGUGUUGCAAGUCCUCAAGGAUAACCAAUUGUAUGCUAAGUUUAGUAAAUGUGAGUUUUGGCUAAGGUCGGUUGCGUUCCUUGGUCAUAUUGUGUCGAGCAAGGGUAUUAAGGUAGAUCCAAAGAAGACGGAUGCGGUCAAAGGUUGGCCUAGACCUCUAACUCUUACCGAUAUUAGAAGUUUUUUGGGUUUAUCCGGCUUCUAUUGGAGGUUUGUUGAGUGUUUCUCCUCUAUUGCUUCUCUAUUGACAGCCUUAACUCAAAAGAACGCUCAAUUUGUGUGGUCGGAAGCUUGUGAGAAAUGCUUCCAAGAAUUGAAAGAUAAACUCACCUCCGCUCCAAUUUUGACCUUACCGGAGGGUACCGAUGGGUUUGUAGUAUAUUGUGAUGCUUCUCGAGUGGGUUUAGGAUGUGUCCUUAUGCAACAUGGGAAAGUAAUUGCCUAUGCCUCAAGGUAACUCAAGAUACAUGAGAAGAACUAUCAAACUCAUGAUCUCGAGUUGGAGGCGGUGGUAUUUGCUUUGAAAUUAUGGAGACAUUAUCUAUAUGGGGUGCAUGUUGAUCUGUUCACCGACCACAAGAGUCUCCAAUAUAUGUUUAGCCAAAAAGACUUGAAUCUCUGACAAAGAAUGUGGUUAGAACUUUUGAAAGAAUAUGAUAUGAGUGUCCUUUAUCACCCUGGGAAAGCCAAUGUAGUUGCCGAUGCCCUAAGUCGAAUGUCCAUGAAUAGUGUGUCUUAUGUAGAAGAUGAGAAGAAAGAGUUAGUUCGAGAUGUACAUUGGUUGGCCCGGUUAGGUGUCCAACUAGUGAAUUCCACCAAGGGUCGUGUCAUGGUCCAUCAUGGUUCCAAAUCCUCAUUCGUGGUUGAUGCGAAGUUCAAGCAACACAUUGAUCCUAUAUUAAUGGAGUUGAAAGAAUCGGUACUCAACAAGUCCGUUGAGGCUUUCUCCCAAGAGGGAGAUGGGGUGCUUAGGUACCAAGGUAGAUUAUGUGCUCCGGAUAUUGAUGGCUUAAGAGAACAAAUUUGAAGAGACUCAUGGUUCGCGAUAUUCUAUUCAUCCGGGAGCCACCAAGACGUACCGUGACCUACGGGAAGUCAUUGGUGGAAUGAUAUGAAGAAGGAUAUAGUGGGUUUUGUAGCCAAAUGUCCAAAUUGCCAACAAGUUAAGGCCGAGCAUCAAAGGCCCGGAGGGUUGUCCCAAGAUAUAGAUAUUCCCACUUGGAAGUGGGAGGAUUUGAAUAUGGAUUUUGUUGCGGGGUUUCCUCAUACUCUAAGGCAACAUGAUUCUAUUUGGGUCAUUAUUGAUAAAAUGACAAAGUCCGCCCACUUUAUUCCCGUCAAUGUUUCUUAUUUGGCAGAAGAAUAUGCCAAGUUGUACAUCAAUGAGAUAGUGAAGUUGCAUGUGGCUCCCUUAUCUAUCAUUUCAGAUCAGGGUGAUCAAUUUACUUCACACUUUUGGAAGGCAUUCCAAAAAGGGCUUGGUACCAAUGUUAGGCUUAGCAUCGCUUUUCACCUUCAAACGGAGGGUUAAGAGGAACGCACCAUUCAAACCUUAGAGUACAUGUUGAGGGCAUAUGUGAUUGACUUCAAGGGUAGUUGGGAUGAACAUAUUCCAUUGAUAGAGUUUGCCUACAAUAAUAGUUACCACUCAAGUAUUGUCAUGGCACCGUUUUAAGCAUUGUAUGGUAGGAGGUGUAGAUCUACGGUUGGUUGGUUUGAGGUAGGUGAAUUUGCUCUAGUUGGUCUCGAAUUAGUCUAUUAGGCCAUUGAAAAGGUUCGCCUCAUUAGAGAGAGGUUGAAGACGGCCAAAGUCGGCAAAAGUCUUAUGUCGAUGUUAGAAAGAGGGAUCUAGAAUUUGAGAUUGGUGAUUGGGUCUACUUGAAAAUCUCACCUAUGAAAGGUGUGAUGAGAUUUGGUAAGAAGGGGAAGCUUCCCAUAUCAAAUCUUGAAGCGUAUUGGGAAGGGUGCUUAUGAAUUAGACUUCCCAAGUGAGUUGGCUGCAGUUCAGCCGGUGUUUCAUGUUUCCAUGCUCAAAAAGUGCAUUGGUGAUCCGGUAUCAAUCAUUCCUUUAGAGGGUUUAGGAGUUGAUGAGAAUCUUUCCUAUGAGGAAGUUUCGGUAGAGAUUUUGGGCUGGGAAGUUAAGAGGUUGAGAAACAAAAAAGUAUAUUCGAUUAAGGUCUUAUGGAGGAAUCACUUAGUUGAGGCCGUGGCCAACAUGAAGUCCCGCUAUCCUCAUAUUUUUCCUUCUACUCCUAUUACAACUUGAGGUAAGUAGUUUCUUGAGUUUGGUAUUUUGGAAGUCAUAUGUGCUAUAAGUGUUCUCUAUGAUUUCCUUAUGUUGUGAAUGUUCUUGUGAGAAUUCAUGUUUAGCGUAAAUUGAGUUUUCAUGAUUUAUAUGUUCCUCAUGUUGAGUUGCAUUUUUAGUAUGAUGAUUGCAUAUUUGACUUCAUGAGGUGAAUUGAUGAACAUGCUUAGUUAUGAUUUUGAUGAAAUGAUAUGUUGGAUCUAUAUUCUUUUGUUGAGCUUGCUUUGAGUUGGAGAAGGUAGUCCCUCCUAUGUUAAUAUGAAAUGAUAAAUAUUGUGCAUAAUGGGUUGUAGAUGUAGUUUCCUACUUCCUUGUGAUUCCAUUGAUUAUGUCUUGAGAUGGAGUUGAUGUUUCCUCCUAAUGAAUUGUUCGUUUUGUUAUGUUGCAUGCUCGUUAGGCUGCUAGUCUUGAGUCUUUACUUCUGUAAGAUGUCUAAAUCGUCAUUCGAGGACAAAUGUUCCCAAGGGGGAGAUAAUGUAACACCCCAUAAAAUGGUAGGUUCAACUAGAACCUAAACGUAAGGGUAAAAAUCAUAAAAUGACUCCCCGAGUGUUAGUAAGUCAUUUAAGGUUGAAAAAAGGACUUUUUGAGUUAAGGCCAAGGGGUAAGUGCCAAGGCAAAGGGGCCAAAGGCCAAGGCUGCUCCUUGCUAGGAGCACAUUGCUUCACCUUCACUAGAGGGACCACAACCCGUGGUCCACUACACAGCUCGUGAAGGGGGUCGUGAAGCUCCCUUGGCCAUGGGAAAAUGGCCACCCUUUGGCCUAGCCACUGCCUCAACUUCACAUGAGGGACCACGGCUCGUGGAGCCCUCUGUGAAGAAGACUUGGGCAAAGUGGCUAAAGGCCCCAAAAGGCAAGCUCACUGCCUCAAGGACCACGAGAGGGACCACGGCUCGUGGUCUUGACCACGUCUCGUGGAGCCCCUCGUGGUAAUGCCUUAGGCUUGUGAGCCUAAGGUAAUCCCAAGCCACUACCUCAACUCCACGGGUAUGACCAUAGGUCGUGGUCCUCACCAUGGCUUGUGGAGUGGCUCGUGGUGCCUAGACGGGAUUCACUAAAUGAGGGUCUUUUAAGUAAUUUCCUCUUUAGUCCAAUUAAAGUGGGGUUGUUUUGGGUAUUUUUAGGAGAAGUAUAUAAGUUGAUUUUAAGUCAAAAUUCAUUAUGUGGGGGUAGAACACCGGAUUCCAUGUCGCUCACAUGGUCUAUGUCGAUUAAGGCUAUUAUCCCUAUAUGAUACGAAUAUGAACUAUGGUAAGAGCAUGGACUUUAAUUAUGACUUCUUAAGAGGUACUACUUAGUAUGAGUGGGGAUAUGGGACUUCACUUACACAUUGCACAAGUAGACCUUAAGGGAGGUUGUGAUGAGUUCUUUUAUGUUAUGAAGACUUAUGAAAUAUGUAUGUAUGAUAUGUAUGAAUGUUAAUGUUGACUUUACUUGUUACAAGUUAUGAUCAUGAAUGUCUCCUUACUUAUGUAUAUUGGCUAUGACGAGGCCAAUGUAAGAUAUGUAUGUUGUUGGUGACUUAAAUGUGAUACUUGGCAUUUGGUAGGGUUAUUGGAUCUUACCUUUGCAUUGCACUAGUAUGACUUUGGGUUGCUUGUAUCUUGGUAUGACUUAUGUUUCUUCAUAAAUGUGCAUAAUGGUUUUCAAACUUGAUAAAGGCAUGAUUUCAACUAAAUGUCCCUUUUAUGCAUGUUUCAAUGAUUUUGUGCAUGGCUUCCAUAUUUAGUACUUUAUGUGCUAACCCAUAUUCAACUUUUUACUAUUAGUGUAGGUUCCGGUCAUUGAUACAUACUUCUUACUUCAAGUGAAGCUUGGGUUGAGUAUUCCCUAGGCUUGGUGAGUCCUCAAGUUUGCGGACAAGUUGUUAUCAUUUUCUAGUUUCUAUGUACUUUCUAUUUUUGAGACUUUAUUGAUGUAAAGGGCUUUGACCCUAUUUGUACUCCCUAUUAUACUAGAUGGUGAUUGAGACAAGGUCUACAUUCUUAUUUUCGUUUAUGAAAAAGAAGUUGACUUCGAUUGUAAAAGUUUUAAAUUUUUCUGCAUUAUUCUAUGAUUUAUGUGUAUGAUUAUGCUAAGGGCUUGUAUGCGACCCCUUCAGGGUCAAGUACGCCAUGUUACGUCUAGGGGGUACCCUAGGUCGUGACAAGAACGAGUGGUAGGACACCUAAUUUAACAACCAAAAUAAGCAAAUAAAAUUAAACCUAUUAUUUUUCAACGCGAAUAGCCAUUGUUUUUAUUCCUCUCAAACAAAGCCACCAAUCGAAUGGCGCUAACUGAUGUUUGCGUAAUCAAGACACAACUUCCAAUGCAAGUGUCUACGAUCGUACAAUAGUAAAGUAACCCAACCAAGGGUUGGGUUCGAGUCCCAAGGGAGUGGUUUUGAGAAUUAAUAGAAAAAUAAAAUUAAGUUCUAAUUAGUCAUAGCUAAAUAUAUUAUCGAAUAAGAAGAUGUUAAAUCUAAGGGGUGAGGCAAGCGUAAUUUAUCAAUGGGGGUUUGUCACAAAUAAACAAAAAUUACCUUAAAUAUAAGGAGUACUAAUCAAGGAGAUGGGAUUCUUGGGAUGUGAUAGGAAUACGGGAUAAACUAAACUAUUGGGGGUACAUGCUUUUGAUAAUAAAUCUCUUGAAUAUUUGUGACUAGGCUAGACUAUAGUGGGGGUAAACUCUGUCUCUCGAGCAACUUACCCCAAAUCAACUGGGUUUAUCUCGAACACCAAGUUGCCGCAUGAAGAACAACCUCCUCCUUAUCCCACUUACUCUCUCGAGCUGAGUGUGUGGGAGAAGGACUAGGCUUCACUCUCUCGAGCUGAACCUCAUGUCGACCCAAUCCCACCGGCCAUCAAUUUAGUAGUCUUAGUUUUACGACCUCUCUCUCGAGCAAGCUGAAAACAUAAAUGUGAAAUCGUAUUUGCAACUACAAUUUCAUUAAGUUCCACCACAACUACUAAACGAAAUCACAUCUAGACAACAAAUAAAUCAUCAACAAGCAAGACCCAACAGAUAAUUUAACCCAUAUUCACAAAAUCACACCCCAAGAAUUGGAGUUUUAGCUAGACAUGUAAAAGAGAUAGAAAUUUAUACCAAUAUGAGCUUGCAUUCAAAUGGGUAUGAAGAUUUAAGUCUCAAAACAAUCAAAGAGUGAAGAAUCCACAAGACCCAAGUCCAAAUUCUUGGAGUUGAAACACUUAGAAUCUUCUAGUUCUUUAAAACCCUAUCCAAACUUAGAACUCAAAAUUCUAUGUUAAAAAUUCUAUAUUAAAAAUAUUAUAUUAAGCUACCACUCUCAAUGAGUAUUUAUAGUUUUCAAAAAUAUGUGUUGCAACAGAUCAUUCGGCAUCGUUAGUCGUGAUCACCGAUCAACUCGGCGAUCCACCCUUUGGUAGGUUUUAUCGUCGUCUUUCUCUAUCCUUCAGCAUCAUCAUGUUUUGGAUCAUUGGGCGACAUUGUACUGCUUCGCGGAACUGCUUGGUGACACGCUGACUGCUUCUUUUCACCGCCGAUUUGAUCCUUUCUUUCAGGGUUCAGCACACUGGAACAAAAGGCGAGGAUAAGGACCGUUUGGUGACUCGCCGAACGGGUUCGGCAAUUCACAGAUCUUCAUUUCUUCGUUCUUUUAGCUGCCUUUGUUCCUUUUUGCUAAGUAGUGUCCAUGCUUUCCCUCAAACUCCAAAUACCUAAAACUUAACGGUUUUCAUCAGAUAUUGAGACAAAAUAUGCAUUUGAGGACACUAAUUUUAUACAAAAUACAUACCCUAAAUGAGUCCAAUUUGUGGACUCAUCAACACCCCAACUUAAACUUUUGCUUGUCCUCAAGAAAACUCGAGUUCUGGUGUUCAAAAUGGGUAACUCAAACAAUGCUAUACAAGAAUCAAUCAUAAAUGUAUACAACAAGACUUAACUUACUCAUGCAAGGAUCAAAUGUGCACUCAAAGUUUCAAGUGGUGACAUACCAUUAUCAAAGAAUCUCGAACUCAUAAUACUUGCUUCAAAUGCAAGUUCAAGCUCAACUAUAGUGUUCAAAUGCCCUCACACAAAGAAUGAUCCAUAUUAACACAAUGGUUCACAGUUUAAAGCUUCGGAAUCAUAUGCAACACUCACACUCACAAAGAAGAACACAAUGCAUAAUUUCACCCAUAGUUUUGCCCGUAUUUUCCAAUCAACAUUUGCUUCAGCUCACUCAAGAUCACAAAGGUCUUUCAAGGCUUGUAAUGGGGCUGAGCGCAACUGUAUGGUCAUUUUUAGGCUCAGUGACUUUCAUCCUCAUGAAAUGUGGUGUUCACAACACUUCAUUUCCUUUUCCUUCAUCAUUCUCUUUAGUGCUCAAAAGUCAUCCUAUUAUUCACUCUCCAUGGAUUGUUUGGAAACCCCAUUUAUUUUGUACUUUAUUCCACAACUUUCUUUUUCAUUCUUUUCUUCUCUUUUUUUAAAAAAAUAAUAAUAUUUGGAGGGGUUCCAUUUUUCUCAACACCAUGGGUUAAAGGAGACUUUCCUUGCACUUCUUGACUUGCCCUUAUCUUUUCACCACACCCCCAACUUAGGCUUUUGGCCUAAGUUGGCUGUUCAAUCAACCACAAAUCAAGAGGAUUAUAGGUAGUGGAUUAAGAGAGGUCUAGUUUUCAUCAAGUUUCUUCCAAAGAAAGAGAUAGCAUCACUUAGUUGAUCGGACCAACGGGGCAAAUUCUAGGAUCCAUCAUGCAUAGUUCACAGGUAAGCUCAUCACACUAGGCAUUGACACUAUAAGUGAAACAAGACUCCACACUUUCGCCAGUGUACAACGAUCAUCACAAGAGACUCGAUUUGAUCAUUGGCUAGUCACAACGAGAUGCAAAGAGUUCACAUAUUGUCUAUGCAACUUCAUUUGGCCUCAUUGUAGCCGCACAUUCAUGUUUAUUCGAUUAUAAGCACUAUCCAAGUCAUCGAUAUUGAUCGGAACCGAUACUCAAAUUUGUGAAGGAACAGCCACAUUCAACACACAAGGGGUAGCAAAUUUUUUUUGGAAGGGUCAAAAUCAUUUUGCAAUUUAAAACACGGAGCCACAAGCUCAAACCUUCCACUAAAUAGUGUAUAAAACACAAUUAUAGCUUACAACCCAAAUACAUAAACGAAACAUAAUUCACGAAUAACACACAAAGGUGGGCCUCACCCCACCACAAAUAAAAGAAAUUUGUCCUCAAAUGCAAGUAAUAAAAUAUCUAGAAUGUAAAUUAAAGAAAGACAGAGAAGGAGGUAAAGAGGGGAUCCUGUCUAUGGAGUCUCUCCAUCUGUCUGGGCCUCAGUGCCCGAUGUAGUACUCUGAAUAUGGGCAUCAGUCCCCGAAGUCACCUUAGGGAGAACAACGAUACCGGAUUCACCAAGGUCUGUUGAGUGUGUGUCUGCCAAAAAGAUAUGCACCACUCUGCAAAAUCCCCUGGCCCAUGAUAGAAUAUUAGGGUCCUGGGUAAUGGUCUUCCUGGCAGAAGUGGGCCUUUUGCCCUUGCCUUUCCCAAUAGUUGCGGUCAGUUUCGUAGCUUUGCCUUUCAACGUAGUUGUCUCCUCAUUUAUCGCACUCCCUUUUGACUUCUCUUGUGCUGGUUUUAUUCUUUCCACAACUUUUGAUUUAGUCAUGUCUGCAAAGUCUUGAAGAGAAGUUAGAAAAACUUAAACAAAAGAAAAGCAGAACUUAUGCAGAUAAACUCGCCAAACCAGAUGGCGAAUCGUCGAAUUUCUUAGGCGAGCUAGAUCAGGCUCGCCAAAGGAAUUAGCUCUAACACUGUAGCAAGAAGGUGAAAGGGGAACUUUUUCGGCGGGUCGCCAAUAGUUUUUGGUGAACCAGGAUAGGUCCACCGAAAGUUUCAGUGCAUAAAGGUUCAGGGGUGCAUAUAAAGGGCGAAAGAGAAGACUUUCAGCGAGUCGCCAAAUUCUUUCUACGACAUCAAGCUUCUCGCCAAAAGUUACAAAAUUAAUCAUCAAAUAUAGCAAGAAAUCAAAAGCGAGAUGGGAACAUUAGGCAAACCGCCGAGUGGUUUGGCGAGCUCGACCCAGCUCGCCAAAUGGCCCGACGUGCCUAUUUUCAACCCAACCUCUCGAAUUCAACCCUGCAACUCCCGAAAACAAAAUCAAAACAUGCACCAAUACAAUUAAGGUAGGACCCAUAACACCCAAACACAACCCCUCAAAUUUUAAUCCAAUUUAAGGUAUGCAAUUAUGGGAAUUCAAUAGUCAUAACUACCCGAGCAAGGAUAUCAAAUUAAAUCAUGCACGUAAACAAUCUAAUCCUCCCAGGGAGGAGUAGAACACUUCAACCAGAUUGUGGUAUUGCAAAUGAGUAUAGUUUAUGAUAAAUUAAACUUGGGGCAUAGAGAACUAACAUUUUGUGUCACUAAGGAGAGGAUUGAAAUACUAAGCGGCAAUGCAAUCCAAGUCCGAGCACAAUUUAACAACUAAAAUACUCUAAAAGUUCAAGAAAUAUAGAAACUAGAGUACAGGUGUGAGUUUGGGCAGAUAAAAAGGGAGGGAAAGUGAAUGAAGUUAAAACUUUUCAACCUUUGGCAUGCAAAAACCGUCCAGUUUUCACCCACUCGGCCACAUUAGUCAAGCUCGCCUAAUCACUCGACGGAACGCCGAAUGUUUAGUUUCCUCACCGAAAUUUACAUGUCCUCCAGUUAAUGUGGGGGUCCAAAUCACCAAUUUCCAUCGAGAUCGUUAACAGUGUCGGCGAUGCGCCAAUAAUUUCCUGGGCUCACCAAGUUUUACAGACUCCAAUUUGGAGAUUUCUUACAUUAGACAACAGAUUAGGUCGGGGUCACCGACCUCUUCGGCGAUUCACCGACUGGACCUAUUACUCACCACCCUACACUUUUUCGAACACUUUCCACACUUCGACUUGUACAAAUAACACACCAUUAUUUUACCACAACACAAAUAAAAAGCAUUAAGGGGUUUUGGGUUACCUCCCAAACAACGCCUUAGUUAAUGUCGUGGCACAAUGCAAGUUAAUGCCUUAGUUAAUGUCGGAAUUGGCCAUGGUGUAACUAGGCGAGUCUUCAACAAAUGGUGGAUAGCGACCUGAUAUUAACUGAUUUAUCUAGGCAUCUUGCAACUGAAUUGUCAUGGAGUUAGAGGUUGUCGCUUGAUUCAGCAUGUCGAUGUUCUCUUUCAUCUCAUUCAACAUCUUUUCUUGUUCUUCGAUCUUUUGUUGAAUGUGUGAGAGGAAUCCAUCAUCUUGUACGCCCUCCUUCUUCUUCCCCUUUGUACACUCUCGAAGGGAGAAAUGCUUGUCUUUAUUCAAAGCCUGUGCUUCCAACUCCAUGACUCUUUUGGAUAAAAAAUCCAACUGAGCUAGCAGUGCAUCCCCUUGUUUCUUUUUGGUCUCCUUGUUGGCUUCAACCAUGCCAUCUAGGAGUUCGGCUACGACGUCAUACGGCUAGUGUAGCAUACCACUCGUGAAAGGUUGAUCAACAUUACUUCUAUUAUCGGGUCCAAGACCCCUAUAGAAGCUCUCUAAUAGCACCUUGUUGGUCAUCCCAUGAGUGGGGCAUGGCUGCAGCACUGCCUGAAACUUUAGCCAGAUUUCCUGAAGGUUUUCAUCCUCUACUUGUUUGAAUGUUAGGAGGUUGUCCCUAAGAUUCAACAGUUUCAAGAGGGGGUGAUCCGUUUGAUAACUAUAAUGAUUAUUCGUACUCAUUAUCCUGCUUCUAUACACGAACAAACAAUACAAAACUAAAAAUUAAGUAAACUACGACUAAGAAGAACAAAAAUUCUACUAAUCUAAGAAUUCUCAAAUACACCACUCCCCGGCAGCGGCGCCAUUUUGAUGUUUGCAUAAUCAAGACACAACUUCCAAUGCAAGUGUCUACGAUCAUACAAUAGUAAAGUAACCCAACCAAGGGUUGGGGUCGAGUCCCAAGGUAGUGGUUUUAAGAAUUAAUAGAAAAAUAAAAUUAAGUUCAAAUUAGUCAUAGCUAAAAUAUUAUCGAAUAAGAACAUGUUAAAUCUAAAGGGUGACGCAAACGUCAAAUAUCAAUGGGAGUUUAUCACAAGUAAACAAAAAUCAUCUUAAAUAUAAAGAGUACUAAUCAAGGAGAUGGGAUUCAUGGGAUGUGAUAGGAAUACAAGAUAAAAUAAACUAUUGCGUACAUGCUUUUGAUAAUAAAUCCGUUGAAUAUUUGUGACUAGGCUAGAAUAUAGUGGGGGUAAAUUCUCUCUCAAGCAACUUACCCUGAAUCAACUUGGUUUCUCUCGAACACCGAGUUGCCGCAUGAAGAACAACCUCCGUCUUAGCCCACUCACUCUCUCAAGUUGAUUGUGUGGGAGAAGGACUAGGGUUCACUCUCUCGAGAUGAACCUCAUGUCGACCCAAUCCCACCGGCCAUCAAUUUAGUAGUCUUAGUUUUACGACCUCUCUCUCGAGCAAGCUGAAAACAUAAAUGUGAAAUCGUAUUUGCAACUACAAUUUCAUUAAGUUCCACCACAACUACUAAACGAAUCACAUCUAGACAACAAAUAAAUCAUCAACAAGCAAGACCCAACAGAUAAUUUAACCCAUAUUCACAAAAUCACACCCCAAGAAUUGGAGUUUUAGCUAGACAUGUAAAAGAGAUAGAAUUUAUACCACUAUGAGUUUGCAUUCAAAUGGGUAUGAAGAUUUAAGUCUCAAAACAAGCAAAGAGUGAAGAAUCCACAAGACCCAAGUCCAAAUUCUUGGAGUUGAAACCCUUAGAAUCUUCAAGUUCUUCAAAACCCUCUCCAAACUUAUAACUCAAAAUUCUAGGUUAACAAUACUAUAUCAAAAAUCUGAUAUUAAGCUACAACUCUCAACGAGUAUCUAUAGUUUUCAAAAAUCUGUGCUGCAGCGGAUCAUUUGGCAUCGUUAGUCGAGAUCGCCGAUCAACUCGGAAAUCAGCCAUUUGGUAGGUUUCAUCGCCAUCUUGCUCUAUCCUUCAGCAUCAUUAUGUUUUGGAUCAUUGGGUGACAUAGUACUGAUUUGCAGAACUGCUCGGCGACAUGCGGACUACUCCUUUUCACCGUCAAUUUGAUCCUUUCUUUCAGGGCUCAGUAUACCGGAAUAAAAGGCGAGGAUAAGACCUUUUGGCGACUCACCGAACGGGUUCGGCGAUUCUCAGAUCUUCAUUUUUUCAUUUUUUCAGCUUCCUUUGUUCCUUUUUGCUAAGUAGUAUCUAUGAUUUCCCUCCAACUCCAAAUACCUGAAACUUAAGGGUUUUCAUUAGAUAUUGAGGCAAAAUAUGCAUUUGAGGACACUAAUUUUAUCAAAAUACAUCCCUAAAUGAGUCCAAUUUGUGGACUCAUCACUAACUCUGGACCUAUAUCAUUUUGUAGGAAGUACACCUCCUUCGUCAAGCUGGUUAAGUAGGAAAAUUUAUAAGCAAAUUAUCCGAAGAACACUUGACAUGUUAAAAGAGUAACAAGGCAUACGAUAUUAUUUACGUCCAUUACAAAAUACAUAACUAACUUAAGAUUUUCAGAUAUAGUGUCAAUGAACUGAUUUUUUAAACUUUACUUAACUUUAUCAACAAUAACAAAAAGAAUUAAUAAACUUCAUCGUCAACUAUAGGGUCCUGCAUAGAGAGGACUUCUUGUACCCACUGUAAGCCAUAUGGAUGGGAUCCAUUCUUGACUUGCAUACAAUGUUGUGAAAGGAGACAAGGCUAGGUGAGGCGAGGUUGUAACACCUAAUUACAGUGAGGCGAGGCGAAUUUAAAUACGCGAUGGCGAUGCGAGGGGGAAACUCCUUUUAUUUGUUUUAAAAAAAAGUCUGACUUCAUAAUAUUAGUCAAAAUUAGGGUUUUCUGCAAACUUUCAUUCUCCAUCGCAGGUCACACCUGCCUCUUCUACUCUUCUCCUCAGCCACAAGUCGCGAUUGCUUCUUCUAUUCUUCUCCUUCAUGCGAGUCGCGUCUACUGCCAGGUAUGACUACGAGACCUCUUUUUUUUCUUCUUUCUUUUUGGUUCUUCUCUACUUCUUCUUCUUCUUCAAACAAUUCUCUUCUUCUACUUCUGCUUCUUUUCUCUUUUUUCUUUUCAAUUUUUCUCGUUUCUUCUUCUUCAGUCAGUCAGUUGAACAGUGAACUGAGUGCUCUGUUUUGUUGCUCACCGCUGUCUAUAUUUUUUUUUAAAUUAAAAUUUAAUCCUUUUAUAAUUAUUUCUCCCUUAGUUAAUUUAGUCUUAUACUAAUUAAUAUAGUAUUUAUUUGUUCAUAAAUAGUGAAUUCAAUGGUAUCGGAUGGUAGCAAAAAGAGGAACAUGGAUGGAAUUAUGGUACUCAAGGAUCAACAAAAGAUUUAGUUAAAUGUAUUUUUUGUGACAGUACUUUUAAUGGUGGUAUUACUCGACCCAAACAACAUUUAGUGGGUGGUUACAAAAAUGCAGAACAAUGUCCAUCUUGUUCUUCAGAGAUUAGAGAUGAAAUAACGGCUUUUAUGGAAAAUAAAAUGGCUAGUAAUCCGAAAUUUCAAGUGAGGCAGCAAGAAGAAUAUGUUAAUAUCGAUGAUGAUGAUGAUAUGGAUGAGUAUGGUGAAAUGAUGCCUCCCUCCAAAACUCCAAAGAUGUCUUCUACUGGAGGUGCAUCAUCCACAACACGAAACGUGAUGAAAGGCCCUAUGAAUCUCUAUUUUCCACAAAAAUCACAACAAAACGAAGGCAUUGAAAAAGGAGCAGGAAUUGAUGAAACCAAGAAAAUUCUAAGAGAGCGUGUGGUAAGUGCUUUUGCAUUAUGGAUGUACGAUGCAAUGCUCCCUUUUAAUUGUGUCAAUUACAAAUCAUUUGAUAAGUUCAUUGAGGCAGUAGCACAACAUGGCCCCGGAAUGAAGCCUCCUACAUUCCAUGAAGUUAGUGUUACCCAAAAAGAAGAGGUGAGUAAAGUGGAAAAAAUUGUUGAUGAGCAUAAAGUGCAAUGGACAAAGUUUGGAUGUUCCAUUAUGAUGGACAAAUGGACGGCACGAAAUGGUAAAAUGAUCAUCAAUAUUUUGGUGAAUUCUCCAAUCGGUAGUGUAUUUCUUCGUUCUGUUGAUGCUAGCAAUGAUACCAAUUCCACCAAAAUGUACAACUUGUUUGAAAGCACUAUUAAAAGAAUUGGAUCGGGAAAUGUUGUACAAAUUGUCAUCGAUAAUGCUAGUGAGAAUGUUAAAGCGGGAAGCAUGAUGAUUGGUGCAUACCCACAUAUUUAUUGGACUCCAUGUGCUGCUCAAUGCAUCAACUUGAUAUUUGGUGACAUAUUCAAGAUUAAUCAAUAUGCUUCCGGUAAUAUCACUCUCCUAUCCUCUAACUUUGUUUAUAGUCAAUAUUUAAUACUCAUUCGCUACUAAUUACUAUAAUAUUACUUUAAUAGUUUUUAAGAAGGCCAUCAAAAUUCAUUCUUACAUUAGUCAAAGGCCGUUGUUAAACUUGAUGAGAAGCUUCACCAUAGCUAGUCUGUGGGAGGAGUAUCAUGCAUGUGUUGAGAAGAUGAACCCCGAUAUAGCAAUACAAGAUUAACUAGUCGCUAUCUUCCUAGGUACAAAAUGGCGGAAGGACUAUUUGGUUGUGGUCAGGCUAAAAGAGCAAAAGACACAAGGUCACCGGGUAAGUGAGUUGAUUUAGCUCUAACUUAAAUUAUUUGACCUAUUUAUACUCAUUAACCUUUAAAUUUAUUUUAUUAUAGUUCAAUGGUGGUCAAUAUUGGUAGUCAAACACCAAACAUGCAAAAGUGAGCCAUGAAAGUAUUAAGCCUAACUUGUAGCUCAUCUGGAUGUGAGCGAAAUUGGAGUGUGUUUGAACACGUAAGAAAAAUAUUUUAUAUCCUAAUUUUCAUAUUAUAUUAUUAUUAGUAUCUAUUAGUUAAUAACUUAAUAACUAUAACUUAAGAGCGGAUUCAUUCCAAAAAGAGGAACGUGCUUGCACUAUCGCGUCUCAAUGAUCUAGACAUCUAGUGUACAUUAAGUACAAUAGAACAUUGAAACACCGUUAUGGUGCUCGUGAUAACAUUGAUCCAAUUCUCUUGGAUAACAUUGAUGAUUCAAAUGAAUGGUUAGUUGGAUUCCCUGAAGAUCAAGAAGAUGAACUAGUAUAUGAGGAAGGUUAUCUUACUUGGGGUAGCAUUUUCUAAGGCAAGUAGAGCUUACGAGAGUAUCUAUCAUCUUAGGGGACUUUUUUAAAGAUCAAGAGCACUUGACAAAGGCAAAGGAGUACAUACUACAUCUACAAGUUCAACUUCAAUUAGGACUCAGACUCUAAUUGAUGAAGAAUCCGAGGGGGGAGAAGAUGUGGAGCAAUAUAAUAAUGAUAUAGAGGAUGUUGAUCUUCAAGAGUUGAAUAAUUUUGAAGAAGAACAGACUUUUAGAGUUCUGGUAUUGCUUGUAAAUUGUCUUUUGAAUUAUUGGGUUUUUAAAGUUCUAGAUUUUUAGUAUCUACUAUUAGUUUUUCAAUUGAAAUAGUUGCUAAUAUAUAUUAUUGCAUUUGAGGUUUUGGAUAUUUAAAUAUGCAAUUAAAUAUUUUUAAUUUUUUGUAUUAAUUGGCGCCUCAAUUCAAACACGCGAGCGCCUCGCCUCUCACCUCGUCGCGAGGCGAGGCAGGCCCUUGUCGCCUUUUGUCACGUUUCGCUAUCCAAAACACUGCUUGCAUACAACCCUAAGUAAUUAAACAAAGAUUAUCUGAAGGCUCAUCCUCAGGCCUCAGUGAAGGCCCUUAUUCAAAAAAGAGAAUUAUCGGAAUUGUGAGACUAUUGGCCUUUAUAUCCUUUUAAUCCAGUCAAAAGAAAAUAUAAAUCUUAUUUUUAUAAGAAUUGGAAGAGGAAAAGGAAGAAUGAUAUAAACAUUUCCUACAUAUUGUUGAACAAUUCUAGAGUUUCACUAUGAGUUGGGUAAGUGAUUCAUUGCUAGAGAAACCAAUAAUGGGUCUACUUACAAACUCACGUUCACUAUAGUCAAGCUCGUAAUUUGAUUAUUGGUCUAGGCAACCAAAAAAGACCAUAGAAAACUAAGAAUAUACAAUCAUAAGAUAGCAAUAAAUCAAAUUUUGAAACGUAUGCAAAUAGAGGAAAAACCUUUCUCCUUUGACAGAAAGUACACCAGCUAUGAGAUCACUAUAACCGGAUAUGAACAUAGUAGUUGAAUGCACCACAAUAUCUACAAAACCAUGGACAAGUAAGCUAACAUUCAAUGCAUGUUAUUGGAGAGUAUUCCAGUUAGCUGAACAAAAAGAAUUUGCAAAAUACCUGCUCUGAGCUCCAAAGGAUGGGACAAUACUUUGGAGAUAAUGUUGUUAUCUACUAGCACAAGAGCCCCAUGUGCAUGAGCCAUCUUGGCAAUUUCUGUGAUGAGUCAAAAGAGACAACAAUAUGAGACAAACAAUCAUUAUCUUUUGAAGAUCUAUAGAUUACUAUCUAUCAGCAAUCGUAAAAGCUGAAAAUUGUACGUGCGUAGUCUACAUAUGCAAUUGUCAAUCACCCACAUGAAUAUCACAAAUUUGUUUAUAAGGGUUUGUUGGACUUUCCUGCCAAACAAGCUUUGUCCAUAGUUUAAUCACAAAAGCAACCUCAUCUAAGUUAGCGGUAUCCACUCGCCUGUACAAAUAAGAUAACAAUCAAGAUUCUAAUAACCUAACAAACAACGUAGUUACAUUGACAAUCAUGACUCAGGAAGUUGGGUCGUGACUCAGGAAGUAGGGUCGGACACAUAUAUACUUUAGUUGAGUUGGAUAUGAAACACUCCAACACACUAUAUCCUCGUCUUUCCGUUAGAUUUAGAGUAAGAGGCUCCAUGUCUAUGUUAUUUUGCCUAUGCUUCUUAUUGGUAGUUCACUUUUCCCCUAUCCUUGAGUGCGCUAGUGUCAAGCAAAUUGCUUAUGCUUCCAUCUCUUUAUGCAUUGCUUAUUCUUAAGGUUUUCUAUUAGAUGUGGUAUUCAAAAAGUAACAUUGUUUUGGAACUUAUAUGGUUUUCGUUCUCUAUAGAAUAUGGUUUCUGCCUUACCAAAGCAAAAGAAAUAGCUGCACAUUUACUAUUAUCAACAGGGAAAAAAUUUCUGAGAAGGCAAAUAUCAUUAGGAAGUAGUUUGAUAGGAAAAAAUGAUCACAGAAAAUAGAAAUUGAGCAUAGGAUGAAACUAACAAAAACUUAUUGUAAUGCUGAAGUACUUGGUACCCUAGCAACAUGCUUAAAGAGUGGCACAAAAUCAUUUAGUAAACUUAGCAUUGAUCAUACACCCAUAUCAUGCAAAUUGAUCAACAUUUAAACAGUAAGUCUCUAUUGAGAGCUUCAUGAUGGUAGGACAUUGACAACCAUAGCGCCUUAAUUUAAAUUCCCCAAAAAAUCACUUGUUUGAAAAUGUGAGAGAAGUGCGAUGACUUCCUUGGAUGGUCUAGAAGACUUGGAUAAAUGAGCUUCCCUCGUGAAUGGGAGGAUAAGUAUUCAGCAAUUUUUGUGCAUUCUCCUACAAGAUAUUGAAAUUAAUUAGCUAGAACACUAUGAUGUGCCAGAAUUUUACGAACCACCCAAACUUCUCUGGACAAUAUUAUGAUGGAGAUGUAACACUAUGCAUGCCAUAAUCAUUAAAAUCUAUAAGGUCAAGAAUAAUAGAUUAACAAAGGUGUAGGAAGGCAUAUAUGUUUCUCGAACGAGUGGUGGGACAACUAGUUUCACCACCAAAAUAAGCAAAUAAAAUUAAACCUGUUGUUUUUCAAUGCGAAGAGCCAUUGUUUUGAUUCCUCUCAAACAAAGCUAAAAUUGAAUGGCGCUAACCUAGGACCUUCAGCAUUUUGUAGGAAGUACACCUCCUUCACCAAGCUGGUCAUGUAGGAAAAUUUAUAAGCAAAUUAUUAGAAGGACACUUGAGAUGUUCAAAGAGAAACAAGGCAUCAGACAUCAUUUAUGUUCAAUACGCUAAACAUAACUAACUAAUGAUUUUCCGAUAUAGACUUGUCAAUGAACCGAUUUCUUAUACUUUACUUAACUUUAUCAACAACAACAAAAAGAAUUCUUAAACUUCAUGGCCAAUUAUGAGGGCAGCCAGUGCAUUGAGGAAAAUAAUUUUAAUGUCACGAAAUAUUGCACAAAUUUGUGCAUUACAGGUGUAUAUGAUGCUGCAUAGUAGUUGAAUGCAUCACAAUAUCUACAUAACCAUGGACAAGUAAGCUAACAUCUGAUACAUGUUAUUUGAGAGUAUUCCAGUUAGCAGAACAAAAAAGUAUUUGCAAAUUACCUGCUUCGAGCUCCAAAGGAUGAAAAAGUACUAGGGAUACAAUGUUGUUAUCUACUAGCAUAAGAGCCCGAUGUGCAUUAACCAUCUUGGAAAUUUUCUAUAAUAAAUCAGAAAAGACAAUACUAUGAGACAAAAAAUUAGAAAAGAUGAUACAAUCUCGGAAAUUUUCUGUAAUAAACCAGAAAAGACAAUACUGUGAGACAAACCAAUCAUUAUCUUUUGAUGAUCAAUCAAUAUAUAUUAUCUAUCCUCAUCAGUAAAAGUUGAAAACUAUACAUGCAUAAUCCACAUAUGACUUUGUCAAUCACCAGCAAGAAUAUCACAAAUUUGUUUAUGAGUGUUGGUCAGAAAUUUUGUGAAUGGUUUAAUCACAAAAGCAACCUCAUCUAAGUUAGUGGUAUCCACUCGACUAUACAAAUAAUAUGACAAUCGAGAUUCUAAUAACCUAAUUGAAAACAAAGAUACACCGACAAUAAAAAUUCUAAUCACUGUCCCCUCCGCGUUGGUGGAGGAGUGUUGCGUUACUUGACGUUCUGGAUACGGGUUGGCUUACCUACUGGUGGGCUAUAUUAGGUGCCAUCAUGACUCGGGAAGUCGGGCCCUGACUCAAAUAUACUUUAGUUGAGUUGGAUAUGAAAUAGUCCAAAACACUAUCUCCUCGUCUUUCUGUUAGAUUUAGAGUAAGAGACUUCAUGUCUAGGUUAUUUUGCCUAUGCUUCUUAUUGGUAGUUCAGUUUUCCGCUAUCCUUGAUUGCGCUAGUGUCAAGGAAGAAUUACUAUGCUUCCAUCCCUCUAUGUAUUACUCAUUCUUAAGGUUUGCUAUUAGAUGUGGUAUUCAAAAAUAAACAAGGCAUUACGUUUAAUACGCUAUACAUAAGUCAUAACUAACUAAAGAUUUUCAGAUAUAGAUUUGUCAAUGUACUAAUUUCUUAAACUUUAACUUUAUCAACAACAACAAAAAGAAUUCUUAAACUUCAUGAUCAAUUAUGUUUCAAUUAGAAAAUGCAAUGAGGAUAAUCAUCAGAUUACCUAGAAAGGAUACUUCACCAGUUUAGGCAGAUUUGCCAACUGUUGCAGAACCUGAUGACUAGAAAUCCUUCUUUUCAGUGAAGCGCACCCAAGAAGAUGGAGAGCAACAACAAAUAAAUGCAUACUAUUUUUAGAAGAAUUUUGACUUGUGACGCUACUUAUCUGCCCACGGUGUUUACCACCUUUCAGUUGCUGAAUGUCCCCAGAUUUCCACUCAAGUAAACUUAGUACAGUUGAUGCGACAACCAUCCCAAGUGCAUCCAAACAUUGUUUAACAACAUCAUUCUUCUCCUUAACCAACCUAUCAAUGGUUUAGAGCAAUUUAGAAUUGCAAAACAAUAGUGGCAACCACCUCUUCCCAUUCAUACAAAGUAGAGCCACAGAUAUGAGUACCUUUCCCUUCAAAACUUCACUUCCCUACUCAAUUAAUUAGAGUCAACAGAUGAAGAACAAGAUUCUUGCCUUUGACCAAGGCAAGAUGGUACCUUUCACAAAUUUAAUUAGGGAAAUUUGUGGUUGUCUAUUUUGAUGAUAUCUUGAUCUAUAGCAAAACCAUGCAUGAUCAUGUUGAGCAUUUGAAAUGUGUGUUUGAUGUGCUUAGGAAGGAACAACUUUAUGCUAAUCUUGAGAAGUGAUCAUUUUAUGUUGAUGAAGUUGUUUUCUUGGGUUUUGUUGUGAGCUCAAGAGGGGUGGAGGUUGAUGAGUCUAAAAUAGACGCUAUUAAGAAUUGGCCAAUUCCAAAAUCCAUAAGCGAUGUUAGAAGCUUUCAUGGGUUGGCUAGUUUCUAUAGGUGGUUUGUCAAAGGUUUUAGUACCAUAGCAGCCCCCUUGACCGAGGUAAUCCGAAAGGAUAAACCUUUAAAGUGGGGAGAGGAGCACGCCAAAUAUUUUGAGGCUUUAAAAUCCAUGCUUAGCUCCACUCCGUGGUUGCAAUUACCUGAUUUUGAUAAAAUGUUUUAGGUGGAAUGUGAUGCUAGUAAAGUAGGCAUUGGAGCUGUCUUAAUGCAAGACCAAAAACCCAUUGGUUAUUUUAGUGAAAAGCUAAAAGGUGCUACUUUGAAUUAUUCCACCUAUGAUCUUGAAUUGUAUGAUUUGAUUAGAGCAUUGGGUAAUUGGCAGCACUACUUGUGGCCCAACAAAUUUGUCAUUAGGACUGAUCAUGAGUCCCUAAAGCAUAUUCAGGCCCAAGGGAAGUUGAACAAGAGACACGCCAAAUGGAUUGAAUUCCUUGAAACUUGCCCUUAUGUAAUCCAAUACAAAAAAGGGAAGGAAAAUGUGGUGGCCGAUCCCUUGUCUAGAAAACAUGUGUUGAUAAAUACUUUGUCUUCUAAGUUGAUUGGUUUUGAAUAUUUGAAGACAUUGUAUCCCAUGGAUCCCGUGUUUGCUCAAAUCUUCAAAGAUUGUGAGGAAUGAGAGAGGGAAAGGUGGAUGAGUGAUAGAUCUUCUACUCCCUAUUCCAAGUUUGAUGGUUCUUGUUCAAGGGCAAGAGACUUUGUGUGCCUAUGAGCUCUUGGAGAGAACUAUUUUUGAGGGAGGCACACGAUAGGAUAUUAAUGAAUCAUUUUGCUAUUGAUAAAGCUAGGGGAAUUCAUGAGGAACAAUUCUAUUGGCCAAAAAUGCAAGGAUGUUGUUCGAAUUUGUGGUCAAUGUGUUGAAUGUCGAUGUGGUAAGUCACGCCUCCUUCCCCAUGGUUUAUACACUCCCCUCCCUACCCCUCAAAGACCUUGGCUUGAUAUUUCCAUGGAUUUUGUUUUGGGUUUGCGGAGGACAAAAAGAGAUAGAGAUAGCAUCUUUGUUAUUGUUGAUCGAUUUUCAAAGAUGGCUCAUUUCAUUCCAUGUCAUAAAUUUUUCUUCCAAUGUGGCAUCUUUGUUUGUUGAACAUGUUGUUAAAUUGCAUGGAAUUCCUCAAACCAUUGUAAGUGCUAGGGAUCCAAAAUUCCCUAGUCACUUUGGGAAGGAAUUGUGGGGUAGACUUGGUACCAAAUUGUUGUUUUCAACUUCUUGUCACCCGCAAACCGAUGGCCAAACUGAAGUUGCGAAUAGGACCUUGGGUUCUAUGCUUCGUGCUAUGGUGCAUGGAAAGUUGGCUUCAUGGGAGGAACAUUUGCCUUUAGUUGAAUUUUCUUAUAAUAGAGUUAUUCAUAGAACUAUUGGUAUGACUCCUUUUGAAGUGGUUUUUGGUUUUAAUCCCGCAACCCCUUUAGAUCGCACUCCUCUUUAUCAAGAUCUUGUGUUAAGCUUAAAUGGGAGCAAGAGAGCUGAAGAAAUGAAGAAGCUUCAUGAAAAGGUGCGGCUGCAUUUAGAGAAGAAGAACCAAGAAGUAGCCAAAAAGGGUAACAAGGACCACAAGAGGCUUUUUGUUUUCCAUCCCUUUUCCAAUCUUUCUUUUCUUCCUUCUCAUUCGCAUGGACAAAAGGAUCUACUUCAAAUUAGGGGGGAAAUUAUAUGAUCUGAUUGAAACUAGAUCAACCACAGAUUUUUGGUAUGAAUGGGUGGAGAGUGCAAGGCUACAUAUGAGAAGGAUGAAGCUUAGCAGGGGUGCACUCCUAUGGUUAUGCAAUAGAGUCAAAGAUGCUUCAUCCAUUAAAGGGAAACCAUUUAAGACCUGUAAAUGCAAAGAUGCAACUAUCAGCAUUUACUGUACCUUAAAGUACAAUAGAUAUGGAAAGUUUAUCUCUGUUGUCUCAGUAAAUGGCCUGGCCUAAACAAUGAUUAUUUUACUAGAAAGCUCAUUCAAUGAAGGAUAGGGGGACUUGUCUUAAAGAUAGGCAGGAGUACAAGUCUCUAUUACAGAGCAAGGAGGUCCCACUUCUAUGGGACUCAGGGGAAAUGAUAGUUACAAAGAAAUUAUACAAAGAAAGAAAUGGAGUGCUGGAGAGUAGAGCUUGACUCCUUUCUCUGAAGGAGAAAAAGGACCCCUUAGUAAAUGUUUGGUGGGGAAAUUCCUAGGGUGCGAUGAGAUAGCCACCCGGAGUGAGGUUAUGAGCUAGGCGAAAAAGGCAUGGAUGGGCAUCCACAAUCUGCAGAUCUAUGACAUGAAUUGAACUCAAUUCCUAUUUGAGUUUCAAUCGAGCCGAGAUAUAGAGCACAUACUCAUGGGAGAGUGGGGUCGAAAAAAUCAUCUUCUGCUUCUAUAAUGGUGGACAUUAACGGCAGAAUCUUUUUCGGCACAAACAAACUUUGAGUGGUUCUAGGUGCGUAUCCUAGGUCUACCAUUGUAGCUUUGGAAUGACAAAGUGAUGAAACAAAUUGGAGAUCUUUGUGGGGGAUGGCUGGACACGGAGGAAGAGACUUAAUUGAAAAAUCAUCUACGAUGGUCUCGAAUCCGAGUGCAGGGAUCGAGAGAGAAAAUUCCUUCUUCAGUGGGGCUUAAUGAUGGUGAACUCAUAUUUACACUGCCGUUAUGGGUUGAAUCUCCGGCCAGAUACCGGAGGAAGGAAAGGGAUGAGCCCAAUAAUCGAGGCAGCAAUAUGAGGAGUGAGAAAGGAAAGUCUAUAGAAAACCCUAAUCUACAGUUGAUAGAGAUAGAUGACAGAAUAGGGAAAUCUUUUUCGAAAGAUUGUCCAGUGGUCCUUAGCAAGGAAUCUGGCACUUUUACUAGUAGGAGCCACAUGACCCUUGAAGGAAAUGUGUCAACACAUGUGCAUGGAGUUGACCCAGACAGUCACAAUAAUUUUAUAGGGCAGAAAAUUUGUGGGAAUUGUUGUGGGCCUAUUAAAGCCCAAACCCGUGAUAGCCCAAAUUUCAUUAAAGGGAAAAGUGUUGAUCCCAUUUUAAAAUUUCCUCAAAUAAGUCAAGAAUACACUUUUUUUUCUCGAAAUUCUCCUAAUAACACAGAGCUGGAGUCUGUUAUGAGAAUGAAGAUCAAGAAAAUACAUGGAAGCCAGAAUUCAAGCGAAGAACAUGAGGAAAUUAACAUGCAGAGUGAAGGAAGAAGAGAGAAAAAUGACCUAAUUACCCUCUCUACGGAAAAUGCACAUGAAAAUCGGACUGGAGAAAACAAAGUCAGUUGUCAAUAGGACAUAUUAGAAUAUAUGAGGUGCCAGUGCCAAUUUGGAUGGAAGAACCUUUGUCGGAGCAUGAAAUCGAGGACAAGGCUACUAUCUGGGUGCAAACCAAUGUCCUAAAAUUUAGCAGGAUGUUUGGCGCAGCCUUUGAAGGAUGUGAUAAAAUAGCUUUUGACCUUUUUAUGAAGAUAGCUAAAAAAAGGGGGUUAUUAGAUCAAAAGAAGGAGGCGAACAAAAAAUACACCAAGUAGAACUCUAUUCCUAAAGAACUCAGGAACCUUGAAUUCCAUGUAAAUUUUAAGGAUGGGGAACCUAGAGGUAGGGGGAUAAUAACACCCCUGUUACUCAAAUGAAGAUAAAAAUCAAAUUUUGGAAUGUGAGAGGGUUGAAUGAGAGGGGGGGGGCGGGUAAAAGGUGCUUGGUUAGAGGUUUAACUAAGCAAUGGGGAGCUGAUGUUUAUGUCUUUCUUGAGACAAAACUGAUGGGAGGGGAUGCUAUUUUAUUAGGAGAACUUCAUUUAGAUGUUGUGGGAAGAAGUGGAGGGAUAGUGGUGAAGUGGGAUAAGAGGUACUAGAAGGGGGAGUUGGUAAGGGUAGGAGGGAAAAUGCUUACAUGUAAAUUGAUAGGCAUAGAACAACAUCUUUCUUGGUUUCUAAGUGUUGUCUAUGCUGACUAUAACAUAGUGAGCAGAAUGGAACUAUGGAAGGACCUAACAACAAUUAGAGAUUCUUGUGAUGGGCCAUGGGUUGUGUGCGGUGACUUCAACAUCACUAGGACUCCUAAUGAGAGAACCGGCACUCAAAGUCUAUUUGAGACAAUGGCAGAGUUCAUUGAUUAGAUUAAUGAGAUGGACUUAAUUGAUCCUCCUUUAUUUGGAGGAUCUUUUACUUGGAGAAGCGGGGAAAACCACACAAUGGCGUCAAGAAUAGACAGAUUCCUAUAUUCUAGUCGAUGGGAGGAGUUGUUUCAACAAAUCAGACAGAGUGCUCUUCCGAGAGUAGGUGCAGAUCACAACCCCUUCCUCUUGUAUUGUGGAUAAUGGACUCCAAGGAAAACCUAUUUCAAUUUUGAACAAUGGUGGAUAAGAGUGGAGGGUUUCAAGGAGAAAGUCAUAGAAUGGUGGACAUCCUUUUUAGCUUCCUAUAUGCUGGCACAAAGUUGAAGAUGUUUAAAGGUAAUCUAAAGGAAUGUGGGUUUGAAAACAGAGGUAACUGGAAGAAGGGAAGACAUCCUGAAUCAAAUAGCCAACCUUGAAGAAAUCCAGGAACAAAGACCACUAAAUGAGGAUGAGAUACUUCACAAAGUCAAUCUCACAAACGUGUUUGUAGAAGUGUCUAGGAAUAAGGAAGUAGCAUGGAGAAAGAGGUCAAGGGUAUAAUGGUUGAAACAAUGGGAUAAGAAUACCAAAUACUUCCACACAUUUUGCACAACCCACAGAAGAUAUAACACAAUUGAAAAAAUAGAAGUGGAAGGGGUAACUAUCACUAAACCAGAAGAGAUCAAGCAGAUGAUUGUAAGCAUUUAUCAAAAGCUUUAUAAGGAACCAGAGCAAUGGAGACCAUGUUUAAACUUUCAGGGAUAUGAAGGAGUCAAUGAAGAAGAGAAUGUUUGGUUACAUAGACAGUUUGAGGAAGAGGAAGUUCUAGAAGCACUCAAGUUGUGUGCUAGUGACAAGGCCCCGGGCCUAGAUGGUUUCCCUAUGAGUUUCUACCAGACUUCUGGGAAAUCAUGAAGGUAGAUAUCAUGAAUACAAUGCAACAGUUCCAUGAUCAACAUGUUUAUGAAAAGAGUUUGAAUGCAACCUAUAUAGCUCUAAUCCCUGAGAAAGUAGGAGCUGUUGAAUUAAGAGACUUCAUAUUUAUUAGUUUGAUAAGUGGAAUCUACAAAAUAAUUGCCAAACUUUUAGCAGAAAGACUUAAAAGGUGUUAAGCAAGCUAGUCAAUAAACAUCAAACGACCUUCAUCAAAGGGAGACAUCAUUGACGCAACUUUGAUAGCAAGUGAAUGUGUUGACUCAAGAAUUAAAGGGGACGAUCUUGGCAUUAUGUGUAAAUUGGACAUAGAGAAGGCAUAUGAUCAUGUAAACUGGAAAUUCCUGUUCAAAAUUCUAGAGUAGAUGGGUUUUGGGGUAAAAUGGUCUAUGUGGAUUGGCUUAUGUAUAAAAGCCGUUAGGUUCUCCAUUGCAGGUUUUUUCCGUCAGAAAGAUUACUCAGGCAGGGAGAUCCACUCUCUCCUUUCCUGUUCAUCUUAGCCAUAGAGGGUUUUAACAGCAUGAUGAGAGUGGCUAUUCAAAAUCGUUGGAUAAGAGGAUUUGUGAUUGGCUAUCUUUCAGGGGAUGAGAUGCAAAUUUGUCAUCUAUUAUAUGCAGAUAAUACAAUCAUAUUCUGUGAAGAAAAGGCAAGUUUGAUUUCAUUCAUAAGGAUUACGUUUGUGAUAUUCGAGGCAGUUUCUGGGAUAUCAAUAAAUUAGAGGAAAAGCUGCAUAUUUCCCAUUAAGGAGGUUCCUCAAAUACAAAGUUUGGCAACUAUUUUGCGGUGCAGAGUAGAGCAGCUUCCAAUGCCCUAUUUAGGCAUCCCACUGGAGACAAUUACAAGGAGUUAGAAAUAUGGGAUGGCAUCAUUGAGAAGACUGAAAAGAGAUUGGCUAACUGGAAAGCCCAAUACAUCUCAUUAGGAGGGAGAGUUACUUUGAUAAACUCUAUUUUGGACUCACUGCCUACUUAUGUAAUGUCACUGUUUCACAUCCCUUCUAAGCUGGAAGAAAGGCUUGACAAGCUAAGAAGAUAUUUUUUGUGGUUGGGAAACAAAGAAGUAAAUGGCCGACAUUUAGUUAAUGGAAGGUUGUACAACUUCACAAGCAGUCAGGUGGACUUGGAAUCAGAACUCUGAGAAUUCAAAAUACAUGUCUUCACUCAAAGUGGCUAUGGAGGUUUACCAGUGAAACACAUGAUUUGUAGAGAUAGGUGAUAGUAAGCAAAUACGGUAUGGAUGGAAAAUGGUGCUCCAACUUAGUGAACGACAUCUAUGGAGUUUCAAUAUGGAGAACCAUUAGGAAGUUGUGGCCUAAUCUAAUCAAAAUAUAGACUAUAAAGUGGGAACUAGAACCAAGACUUCAUUCUGGAAUUUGUCGCUAAUGUUUGGUCCCAACAGGAAUGGAACAUUAUGUUUAGAAGAUUCCUUAAUGAUUGGGAUAUUGGUAGAGUCGUUGCUUUAUUACAAAUAUUGGAUGGGUUUACAGGGACAACAAUGGAGGAAGACUCUAUUAGAUGGAGACAUAGUAGUGAUGGGGUGCUAUCAGUUAACAGAUGAUAUAUCAAGGAAGUGAAAGAGUUUCAAGGUGGUAAGAUUGGUCCCUCGAACCAGAUAUGGAAAACCAAGGUAACAGCCAAGGUGAAGUGUUUCUCCUGGCUGGUGGCAAGGAAAUGUUGCUCCACUCAUGAAAGAUUAAAGAAGAGAGGCUUUCACAUUGCUUCUUGGUGCUCCCUAUCUAAUGAAGUUGAGGAAACUAAUAGACACUUGUUCCUAUAUUGCAGAGUGACAACAUUAUUAUGGAACUUAUUUUUAGGCCUAACACAAACAGAGUGGACAAUGCCGUAACACACAACAGAUUUACUCAAUUGCUAGAUCAGAAGAGGGGGGAGUUUUACUCAGAAAAAAUGGUGGAGUAUGAUUCCAUCAUGCAUAUGGUGGUCCAUAUGGAACGAGAGAAACAAUAGGUUUUUCGAAAACAAGGCUAAUACUUUUGAUAAGGUUAAAUGGUUGGGUAUGACAACCUUUUAUUUUUGCUGUAAAGAAGAAGGAAUAGAUCAAAAUGCACAAAUUUAUAGAUUUUAUAAAAAAUAUGUAAUGUAGUAGUUGUUUUGUCUUAGAUUGAAAUGAUGUAAAUGUUUUGGAGGUCUCCAGCAUGUCCUUAAUGCUGAUGAAUACAACCUUACCCUUAUAAAAAAAAAGGGACCACAAGAGGGCUGUGUUUGAACCAGAUGAUUGGGUGUGGGUACAUUUUUGCAAGGAAUGAUUCCCCACUCAUCGCAAGACGAAAUUGAUGCCAAGAGGUGAUGGACCAUUUCCGGUGCUUGAAAGACUCAAUGUCAACACCUACAAGGCUAACCUUCCUCUAGAGUAUCAAGUGCAUAACACUUUCAAUGUGUGCGACCUGUCACAAUUCCCAACAGUUGAUGAUGAUGAUCCGUCGAAUUUGAGGACAAAUUAUUUUCAAGAAGGAGAGAAUGAUGUAAUCUGGAUACAUCAAUAUCAUACACACGGAGUCAAGCUCGAGACCUUCACAAAAUGCAAGGUUUAUUCAUAAAGUUAGAGGUCUUUGAGCUCAUGUUGAUGGCAAACAAAGGGUUCCAUGCCUUGAAGAUUGCUUGAGGAGAUGCUACUACUUUUGGCGAGCAGGAGCCAGUUAGCGCACCGCCCAAUGGCUUGGGAGAUGGCCCCAGCUCGCCUAAGGUUCCAGAACAUGGCUAGAGCGUGAACCAAGUAGGAACCACCGCCAAACCAGUCGGCGUACUGCCAAGUUCCUUAGGCGAGCCCUAAGGAGGUAGAACAAUGGAGACCUGAGUUGAGACUGCAAGAGGCUACAAUGAUCACUGAAGAAGAAAAAGUAUGGCUGCAGGGACUUUUUGAGGAAGAAGAGAUAAGGGUAUGUUUGAACUUAUGUGUAAAGGAGAAAUCCUCGAGUCCUGAUGGAUAUCCGAUGGUAUUCUUCUAGACUUUUUGGGCCCUGUUGAAGGAAAACAUCACCAAUACAAUUUAAUUUUUUCAUUCUAAUCAGAUUUUUGAGAAAAGUUUUAAUGCAACUUUUAUUGCUUUAAUCCCAAAGAAACCUGGAGCAUCAGAGUUCAAGGAUAUUAGGCCAAUCAGCCUGGUGGAGGGAGUCUACAAGAUCAUUGCUAGAUUAUUGGUUGAAAGGCUAAAAAAGGUGGUGUCUAAAUUGAUCAACAAACAUCAAAUGGCUUUUGUAAAGUGGAGGUAAGUCAUGGAUGCAACACUCAUUGCUAUUGAAUGCAUUGACUCAAGAAUGAAAGGAGGACCCCCUGGUCUAAUGUGCAAAUUGGAUAUUCAGAAAGCCUAUGAAAACUUGAAUUGGUCUUUCCUUCUGAAUACUCUUAGACAAAUGGGAUUUGGCAGCAAAUGGAUGAAGUGGAUUGAGGUAUGUAUAAAAACAGUCAAGUUUUUUGUCCUUGUGAAUGGGGAACCCGUGGGCUUUUUCGAAUCAGAAAGAGGGCUGACAUAGGGUGAUCCUCUUUCCCCUUUCUUAUUCAUUUUGGCAAUGGAAGGCUUUGAUAGUAUGAUGAGGAUUGCAACACAAAACAGAUGGAUUAGAGGCUUUCAGGUCGGAGAUACAGUGGGAGAAGAAAAAGAAGUGUGUCAUAUGCUCUAUGCGGAUGACACUAUCAUCUUUUGUGAACCUACAACAUAAUAGAUUAGCUACAUCAGAGUGAUUUUGGUUUUGUUUGAAGCAGUUUCAAGGUUGAAAGUAAACUGGGUAAAAAGUAGUCUCUUUCUGAUAAAUGAGGUCCCUCAGAUCUAGCAACUAGCAAAUAUAUUGGGAUGCAGAGUGGAGCAUUUGUCUACCAUAUACCUGGGAAUUCCCCUGGGUAGCAAACAAAAAACAAUGGAGAUAUGGAAUGGCAUUCUGGUGAAAACAGAAAAGAAACUUGCUAGAUGGAAGGCACAAUAACUAUCCCUAGGGGGUAGAUUGAUCCUCAUAAACUCUGUUCUGGACUCUUUGCCAACCUAUGUGAUGUCCUUGUUUCCAAUCUCAACAAAGGUGGUGAAAAAACUAGACAAGCUUAGAAGGAACUUCCUAUGGAAAAGAAAUAAGGAGGGAAAGGGUUAUAAUUUAAUCAACUGGAAGAGUGUUCUUCUUAGCAGAGAAAGAGGGGGUUUAGGGAUCAAAAAUUUGAGGAUGCAAAAUGAAAGACUUUUGAUGAAAUGGCUAUGGAGAUACACUGAGGAAGAUGCAACUCUCUGGAAGGAGGUUAUAGUAUCAAAAUAUGGAGAACUAAUCCCUGGUGUACAAAAAUCACUUCUGAACCAUAUGGGGUGGGGCUAUGGAGAACAAUCAGGAACCUAUGGUCACAAAUGGAAGGAAAUAUGUAUAUGAAGGUGGGUAAUGGAAACAAAACUAAAUUUUGGAAAGAUGGUUAGAUAGACCAAACGUCUCUUACAGAACUUUUUCCAGAUUUGUUUCUAAUCUGUGAGAACCCUAAUGCUAGAGUGAGUGAUUAUUGAAUAGAACAGGGAUGAGACAUAUCUUUAAGAAGACUACUUAAUGACUAGGAGGUGGUGAGGAUGGCGGCCCUACUGGAAAAACUAGCUGGAAUGAUUAUAACCACAACAGCAACAGACAAGAUCCUGUGGAAACAUAGUAAGGAUGGAGUCUUCUCAGUCAACAAUGCCUACAAAAGAGGAAUACUGGGGACGAUAGGGGCCCCAAAAUAUAAUUGGAACUACUUUUGGAAGAGUGACAUUCCUACAAAAGUAAAGUGUUUCACCUAGUUAAUGAUAAAGAGAGCAUGUUUAACAGAAGAAGUUCUACAAAAGAAAGGCAGACAACUGGUCCCUAGAUGUUUUUUUGUGCAACUUCACAGGGGAAACAAAUAACCAUCUCUUCCUGCAUUGUAAGUUUACUACUCAAAUUUGGAACUUGUUUCUCAACAUCAAAAGCAUGAAAUGGACAAUGCCAGAACAUACAUCAGAUCUGUUGAGCUGCUGGAUUAGGAGAGGAGGCAGUAAGAGUCAAAGAGAUGGUGGAAGCUAAUACCAUCAUGUGUAUGGUGGUCAGUCUGGAAAAAAAGAAAUGGAAGAUGUUUUGAAGACAGAUCCAAUUCCAUCCACAAAAUUAAAUGGAAUUGUAUAGUAUCUCUACUUUUUUGGUGUAAACAGCUUUGUAUAGAUGAUAUAGACCAGAUUAUAGAUUUGAUAGGAAAUCUGUAAUUAUCCAUUUUUGGAGGUGGCCAACAUACCCUUAAUGCUGAAAAAUUCAACUUUACCAGUUUAAAAAAAAAAGAGUUCCUUAGGCGAGCCCAACUUGGCUCGCCCUUUAUCCUUUCGGGUCACUUUUGUUCCUUUUUCACCUAAAACUAUAAAUAGCUAGUUUGGGUUCAUUUUAGACUUACACUAUUUUGAAUAUUGAUGUUGAAAACUGAAAAACUCAUGUUUGAGUGUUGAGAGCUUGGAUAAGCUUUUGUUGAUUGUUGUUUAGAAUCGUCAGUUCCUUGGGAUAUCGAUUCCCUUGAGGUCGUCAUAAGAGUUAGGUGCUAUAGUUGGAUUAACGAAUCGAGGUCUUAUGGUUUAAUAUACCCUUUGGUUGCUUUUUGUUUCCUGUUGCGUGUCUAUUUAUCUAUCUUUACUUUCUUGUAUUUUUAUUUCCGCAUUGUUUUGUGAUUCCCUUUUAGGAAUUUCAUCAAUGCGUCUUCUCUUUUUUGGCAACUCUUAAAUUUCAUCUUUUCACAUGACAUGUUUAAGACAACGAGAUUGAAGAACAUUUGGUUCAUUCGACAUAUCCUUAGUUUAAGUUCACAAGAUUUCAAAGUCUUCUUUACUUUCUUAAAAUCCAUUCCAAGUCAAAACAAGACAAAAAUUAAUAUGGAGGGAGUAAUUAACUUGAAAAGUUGCACCAAUAAGAAGUUACAAAAACAAAGAUAUCUGCCAACAGGAUGAGGGUCGUCUAUCCUCAGAUGGAGAUUCCAAUGGUUUAUUAUCCUGACCAUGGUCAUUUUGAGUAGAUAUAUAAAAUAGUAAUUAGCCCAAAGCAGCCAUGGAAAACCUUCUCACUUUCUCUUUCCUGUCUCUCAGACCAUCAGUUAGUGCACCUAAUAUUCCAGAAUUUGCCAGCGCAUCCCCAAAAAAAGUAGAGUCACGAAUCAACAAGCCAAUACAUGAAGCAAGUUUAACAUGCAACAGAGAUACCUUGGAGUCCCGAAAUAUUUUGAGUAGAACCAAUACAAUAGACCCAUUGGUCAAGUGUAUCAAAUGAAACUGAAGGAAUUGCAUUUGAACCUUUAUCUGAUUUUCUGCUAGGUAUUAUUACAGGUCUGGCUGAGAGAUCAAAUAGAUGCCAAAUAAUAUCUGAAAAGUUCGUAGAUGGUUUUGAGAUAUCAGAGAAAUAAUAUUUUUAUAAGAACUAGAAGAGGAAAAGGAAGAAUGAUUGAACUUCCACGUCAGAUUAUUGGUCAAAAGCACUUUCAAAACGCUUACCUUUAAUGAAAUUCCAAACAGUUAUGCCAGCUAUUUAACUUUUCCUUUGUUCACUUCAGGGCAAAAAGGAGGGAAGAGAGUGGUGAACUACCUGGGAGGAAGGUGUCUUUUAUAUAUCACUCAAUUUUCUUGCAAAUCCAAAAUCACACAGCUGCCAGGAAACAAAUAGAACUCCAACGUCAUAUAACUAGUCAAAAGCAUUCAUCAUUAUGUGGAAAAGUCGCAACAUAAAUAUCACCAUACCUUUGCGAUUCCAUUUUCAUCCAAUAGGAUGUUUGAUAGCUUUAAGUCACAGUAAAUUAUUCCCUUUGAAUGCAAGUAUCUGGUAUAGUAGACAAAAUACCAAAAAAGUAAUUCUUGCCAAAAACAACAAGUGUUACAAAAGAACAAUGAAGGCUAAAGUUAUUUACUUACAAAAGAGCUCUAACAAGGCCACAAGCAACUUCAUGUAUUGAAUAUUCAGGAAGCUUGCCAUCCUUCAAGCAGAGAUUAAAUGAUGUUAAAAAUCUCCCAGGUGUGGUUUAAACUAACAUACAGGUAAGAUGAUGUAGAUACGAGUUGUGACAUUACCAACUACAGUAAACUGGGGUCAUUUUGACUACUCUUUAAAUACAAAUAAAAAGAGAAACCUAUUUCUUUCACAUCAUUUUACUAGCAUUAGAAACAAGUUAGUGCAAAGAUUGAGAACCUUUAUUUGUGAGAAUACAAACAAUCAUCUCUAUUAAACUGUUCAAUCACACAUGACACUGAUGUCCUUAGUGCCUGUUUGGGAAAUCCCAAUGUAGGCAUGCAACAAAUUUACCAUGGAAAUUCAAAAUCCCAUGCCUCCACUAAAAAAAGACCAAGAAGAAUUAGGGUGUUGUCACAAAUUUUGGAUGUUCGUGUCUAAUGUCGGCAUAAGGAAUCCUAUAUUACAACACUGUAUUUAUACCACUGGAACAAUGAAAUGUAUUUAUAAGAUAGCAAAUCUGCCAGUGCUUACCUAUUGCAACAUACUUAUGAGAUUUCAUCCAACACAAUAUUCUAAAACCAACCACAAGUGUGGAGAUAUUUCAUACCUAUGGAUCGGUUGAUUAAAAAAUAACUCAAAUAAAUCUUCUUAUUAAACACCAAAAUGAUCUUUACCAUCGAAUCGGGAUUGAAGAAAAAGAAAGGAGUUACAUGCAAGAGAGGAAAAAGAAAUAUGAUCAUUUGUUCAUGAGACUUCAAAUUUAUGCCACGGAAUAGAAACACUGUGUUUUGACUCAUAUAAUUUCCAAUAAUCUCAUAAUUACAAUAGUCACAAGCAUCAACAAUCCUUAACAUCUAGAAAUAUGAUGAGGCAAGUUGUUUUAUAAGACCACGCUUACUAAAAUCAUAUACAUUCAUUCUGAAGUAGUUUAGUUGCUUUUGAAGAUUUGCAAGAACUACAAAUAAUGUUAAAACAAUUGAGUACGCUGAUCCAUUAGCACUGUAGAAUAGCAGGCACCAUUAGAAUUUUACCGCAACUCAAUGCAUAUAACUUACAAGAAAACCUGUUGUAAGUAAACGGUUUCUAAAGUCCAUACUGAAGAGGGUUCACGGAUAAUUACCCUGUAAUAUCACAUUUUCCCUCUAUAUCAAUUCCUCUAAAAAAGUUUACUACAAUUAAAAAUCAAUAAUAUUAUGAAGUUCUCAAAUUUCUAAGAGAGCUAUUGGGUAGCUAAUAUAUUUUGCAGCUUGGUUCCCAAUUAAAUCGUAAAUUCUCAUCUUCCCAAUAUGGUGGCCUAGCAAUCAAAUAGAUCAACUAACAGCUUGGGAACUAAGGUUCAAAUUAAUAUGAGAUAGCAAUAACAAAAUGAACAUGCAAUAGACUUGGAGAAAACUACCUUAAGUAAUUUUAGAUUCAUCGAUUUCCUCUUCAUCUUUUUUAGUCACAGUGAUGCUCUCCUAGCUCUCUAUUUUCUGUUUAUGGCUUUGAGCAUAUUUGGCAGUAAGUUCUUGUUCCUUCCUCUCAAUGUCGAAUUUAUUCAAAUUUCUUCAAACUCCUCAUCACAUUUUCAGCUCUUGACCUCUUUUUGCCUCAAGUUCACUUGGUUUCUUCAAAUAUCCUAAAUCAACUUUCCAUUUUAUUUUAAUGAAAAAAUGAAAAAAACCACGUUAAAACACGAACUCUAAACUAAAGCAAGCCAAAAUAACUACGAGAAGAGCCUCAAAUGAGUGGAACUCCACCACUCAUUAGCACCCCCAACUUAGAAACUUUGUUUGUCCUCAAGUAAAAAAAAUCAAAAACACAAGAGGCUCUUAUUUCAUUACACACAACAAAUCAAUUUCCCUUUCUCAAUUAAACACACAAAGGUAAUGGCUUCGGUUGGUAAUAACAAAUAUUCCACAUGCAAACUUUUCACAAAAGAAAUCCUCUCCUUCUCAUGGAACAUUUUCAAAAACCAUUUAAGUGACAACCACUCAAACUCAAGAAAUGACUCAACUCAUUAACUCUUUCGUAUGCUCACUUGACUCAAUUAGGAAUUUUCAAAAUUACAACUUUUUCAACUUACAUGCCAUCACAAGAAAGAAGUGUCCCAAAACAACACACACAUAUAAACAAGAUAAUGGGGCAAAGAUGCAACACUCACACUCACAAAGAAUCAUCUCAUACACACAUUUAAGUGACAACCACUCAAACUCAAGAAAUGACUCAACUCAUUAACUCUUUCGUAUGCUCACUUAACUCAAUUAGAAAUUUUCAAAAUCACCACUUUUUCAACUUACAUGCCGUCACAAGAAAGAAAUGUCCCAAAACCACACACACAUAUAAACAAGAUAAGGGGCAAAGAUUUAACACUCACACUCAAAAAGAAUCAUCUCAUGUACACAAAUGUCACAGCAUAGGAUUGCCCAUAUUUUUAAUCAACAUUGACUCACCUCCAUUUGGUUAGAAAUCUCAAAGGACUUUGGCAAGGUUGCAGUCUAAGCUUUGGGAAGGUAAGGAUAUUAUUUAGGUAUAAGUGACUACACCCUCCUUGAUCACUACACAACAACUCAUCAUUUCCAACUUUCUCCACUUUUCUUCACCUUUCAAACCCAUGCACAUUCCACACUAUUUUUCAUUUUUCUUUUCUUAUUUCCACUCUAGAUGUCCCACAUGAUACCCAUUUCAACUUUUGGAGGAUUCAAGUCUCAUUUAUUCAUUUUCUUUCUUUCUUUUCAAAGCCUUUUCAUUCUUUAAGACUUUCCAUCCAUCCUUUAAUUUCUCUAUUUUUUUUAUAUUAAGCCCUUAUGUGGUAAGCAUCCCUUCAAUGAAUUUCCUAUAACAACCCCAACUUAGACUUUUAGCCUCAACUUUCACAACCUCAAGUUCAAGGAGGAAAGGGUUCAAAAGAGGGUUACUUUUUCAAAAAGGAUAAGGCUUGUAAUGUGCUUGCCAAUAAAAAGCAUUAGGCUCAAAGGGGACAACUAAGGAUAUAUUUAGUGCAAAGGUGGGAUUUUUAGGCCAAGUGGACUUCAAUAACAUCAAAGAAAGCCUAUGAUCAUUUCUCCAACCAAACUAAAUCAAGCCCAACAUUUCAAGACCAACUGGAAAAGUUCUAGGUGACAAAAGCAAACACAAGGCAUUAUCAACAACCCACCACACAUGGCCUGCAAAUCAAUCAAGAUGGUUCAGAAUCUUACUUCCUUUUCAAAAUACAAGUAGCAUUGAACAUUUUAACCGCUAACGAUUCAAAAUUCACAAAACGAGUUGUAAGAGUUGUCACAAAAUCAUUCAUAACAUGCUCAACCUUUUAAAAAUAGAGAGGUAUGCUCAAAAUUAUUCACAUGCAUGACUAUGUUCUUAGCACCAACCAAGUCAAAACCUUCCUGAAUAGACUACGAUUUUUCCCUUAUAAAAGUUAACCAAUCCAUCAUCAGGCAACCUCAUGCAUAUCUUCCGGAAUGGUUACUCAAACUUCGCCCCAAUCAAUGCCAAUCAAACAAUCACAAGUAAUCAAUGAUUUACCCUUAAGGAAGUCGUCACUCUCUAUCCAUCAUUGGGUUUCAUCAAUUCAAAUUUUAUUAUCAAAACAAAAACAAAGAAGAUACAAACUACAAAUCAAAAACUAGAAUAGACCAAUCCAAUAACAUAUCAACAGAAACAUCCACAAUAUCAAAGUCCGACAAGGGCACAACAAUCCAUAACAAAGAAAGAAAAGUAUGCCCGAAAAGGAAACAAUCACAUUAUGCAGAAACAAUCAACAAAAUGACUACAAGGGUGGCAUCCCCAUCUCAAAAUGAGAUUGUGUCCUCACUUGGGGUAAAGUAAUCAUCAUAUUUUUAGGCACAUUUUUCCUAUAGGAACCUGCUCUCCUAAAAAACACUCUUCCUCCUCAAUUUCUGGAGCCAUUUCUUGAUCAUUCGAAUUGGUUUCGAAAGCCAUUUUUAGUUCCAAAAACCUAAAAAUGAAGCCAACAUGUCAAAAGUUCUUGUGGACGCUUGAAAAGUGUAUUAUGAAGUAUUUAAGCCAAACAAAUCAUCAAAAGAAGGUUCGAGCUAAGCUAUGCGAAGCUACUAUUUUGGGACUGCCAUCAUUGUCUCCUCCGUGUUCGCGGAGAAGUGUCGCGUUACUUGUCAUUCUGAGUACAAUUUGGCUGACCUACUAGUGGUUUAUAGUAGGUGUCAUCGUGACUUGGGAAGUCGGGUCAUGACACAAAUAUACUUUAGUUGAGUUGGAUAUGAAAUAAUCCAACACACUAUCUCCUUGUCUUUCUGUUAGAUGUAGAGUAAGAGGCUCCAUAUAUAGGUUAUUUUUCCUAUACGUCUUAUUGGCUGUUUAAUUUUCCGUUAUCCUUGAUUGCCCUAGUGUCAAGGCAGAUUGCGUAUACUUCCACCUCUUUAGGCAUUGCUCAUUCUUAAGGUUUGCUAUUAGAUAUGGUAUUCUAAAAGUUGUUGUUUGAUACUUCUAUGGUUUUCAUCCUCUAUAGAAUAUGGUGGUUUCCGUCUUACCAAAGCAAAAGAAUAGUUGCAUGUAAACUAUAAACAACUGGAAAAGUUUGAGAACGCAAAUGUCAUUAGGAAGUCGUUUGAUAGGAAAAAAUGAUCUUAGAAAAUAGUAAUUGAGCAUAAGAUGAAACUUACCAAAAUUUACUGUAAUGCUGAAAUACUUGGUAGCCCCAACAACAUGUGCCAAAGAACCUGUCAGAAAACUCAGCACCGAUUCUGCACUCAUAGCCUUCAAAUUGAUUAACAUUUAAAAAUGAAGUUUUAAGGGAGAGCUUCAUGGUGGCAGAAUAUCGACAACCAUAGUGCCUUAGUUCAAAUUCCCAAAAAAAUCACAUAUCCAAAUACCUGAGAGAAGUACAAAGACCUCCCUGGAUGGUCAUGAAGACCUGCAUAAUUAACCUUCUUCACUAGUGGAUGGGAAGAUAAAUAUUCAGUAAUAUUUGUGCAUUCUCCUGUAAGAUUUUGAAAUUAUUUAGUUAGAACACUGUGAUAUGGUAGAAUUUUACGAACCAACCUAACUUCUCAGCACAAUAUAAAGAUGAAGAUGCGGCAAUAUUCAUGCUAUAAUCAAGAAAAUCUAUAGGUUCAAGAAUAAUAGAUUAACAAAGUGCAAAGACCUCCCUGGAUGGUCAUGCAGCCCUGUAUAAUUGAUCUUCUUCACUCGUGGAUGGGAAGAUAAAUCUUCAGUAACUUUUUGUGCAUUCUCCUGCAAGAUUUAUGAAACUAGCCAAAAUUGAUUGUAAUGCUGAAGCCUCGGCAACAUUCUUAAAGAGUAGCGCAAUAACUGUCAGUAAACUCUGCACUGAUCCUGCACCCAUAGCGUGCAAAUUUGAUCAACAUUUAAAUAGUAAGUCUCAAUUGAGAGCUUCAUGGUGGCAGGAUAUCGACAACCAUAGCGCCUUAGUUUAAAUUCCCAAAAAAAUCACUUGUUUGAAUAUGUGAGAGAAGUGAAAAGACCUCCCUGGAUGGUCUAGAAGACUUGCACAAAUGACCUGCACUCGUGGAUGGGAAGAUAAAUAUUCAACAAUUUUUUGUGCAUUCUCCUACAAGAUAUUGAAAUUAAUUAGUUAAAACACUGUGGUGUACCAGAAUUUUACGAACCACCCUAACCUCUCUGCACAAUAUUACGAUGAAGAUACAAUACUAUGCAUGCCAUAAUCAUGAAAAUCUAUAGGGUCAAGAAUAAUAGAUUAACAAAGGUGCAUGAAGGCAUAUAUGUUUCUAGAACGAGUGGUGGGACAACUAAUUUCACCACCAAAAUAAACAAAUAAAAUUAAACCUGUUAUAUUUCACUGCGAAGAGUCAUUGGUUUGAAUCAUAUCAAACAAAGCUAACAAUCGAAUGGCGCUAACCCUGGACCUUCAGCAUUUUGUAGGAAGUACACCUCCUUCGUCAAGCUUGCCAAGUAGGAAAAUUUAGGGAAAAGGGUCAAAAAUACCCUCAACUUUGUUUUAUUGGUUGACUAAGCCCUUGCCGUGAAAAUGAAGUUAGGUUUACCCCUACCGUUACUAAUUUAACCAUAUAUACACCUCAUUUGACGAAAAGUCCGAAAUUGACUCAAAUUAACCAAUUUGAAUUGAAAUUACCCGAUUUCCUAUUUUUGACCCAAAUUCGAAUCCAACCCACAAACCAAAACUCAUGAACAAAUUAAAUCCCAAAAUCAAUUUCUUCUUCUUCUUCCUCCCUGAAUAAAAAAAAAUAUUUUCAUCUCCUUACUCCAUAUAAACAUCAUACAUUUGCAACAACAUAUAUUCUUGUGAGCCAAUAUUAAUGGUGGAUGAGAGUGAUGAGCAAUUGAAGAAGACUAUAAAUGCAAAUGUGGAAAAUGGUAUUUCUGCAAAAUCUAAACUUGGUUCUUCUUCUAGUGAUCAAGUUGAUACACAAACCUCGGAUUCAUCGAAUGGGGUUGAAGAAAGUGAUGAAGAAAUGUGGAUGGGGCAGUGGAAACAAAUUUCAGGUGAUAAAGAAGUUAAAUUUUCGCAAAAAUUGGGCGUUCCUGUUGUUGACAAUUACUAAUGGUUUUUUGUUUGGUGAAUUUAGAGAAUUGGAUGAUCUUAGUAUUUAUGUUUGAGAUAACUAUAGUUCCAUAAAUAUUAUGUUCUAAACUUGCAGCAAUUUCCAGUGAUUAGUUCCAAUUUGUGAAUAUUAACAGGGGUAAUUGCAAGUCAAUGAUUAAGUGUUCAUGUGUUAUGGAAUUUGUUGUAAUGAUUAAAAUUUUGAAUGCAGCAAUAGGGAUUUGAUCCUCAAAUAAUAAUAAAAAAAUCUUCCAUCCGCAAUAAGUGAAAUUUUUUUCAUCUUCUUUAGAUUUUCUUAUUUUUGGAGAUUGAUUUGAAUUUGUAAGGUUAGUAGUUGAUUUAGAUGAUUUAAAAUGAUAUAUUUGUUUGGGUUACUUUUUUGUUGGGUCGGGUGUGGGUUAGAAUAGGGAUGAUGAUUUUUUUUUUUUUGGGUAAUUUACUCUGAUUUGGGAUUUUCCGUCAAAUGAGGGAUACAUAUGGUGAAAUUAGUAAUGGUAGGGGUAAAACUAACUUCAUUUUAACGGAAAGGGCUUAGUCAACCAAUAAAACAAAGUUGAAAGGUAUUUUUGACCCUUUUCCCAAAAAUUUAUAACCAAAUUAUCAGGACACUUGAGAUGUUCAAAGAGAUACAAGGCAUCAGACAUCACUUACGUUCAUUACGCUAAACACAACUAACUAAAGAUUAUCAGAUAUAGACUUGUCAAUGAACUGAUUUCUUAUACUUUACUUAACUUUAUCAGCAACAACAAAAAGAAUUCUUAAACUUCAUGGCCAAUUAUGAGGGCUUCCAAUGCAUUAAGGAAAAAAAUUUCAAUGUCAUGAAGUAUUACACAAAUUUGUGCAUUAUAGGUGUAUAGGAUGCUGCAUAGUAGCUGAAUGCAUCACAAUAUCUACAAAACCAUGGACAAGUAAGCUAACAUCCGAUGCAUGUUAUUUGAGAGUAUUCCAGUUAGCGGAACAAAAAGUAUUUGCAAAAUACCUGCUUUGAGCUCCAAAGGAUGAAACGGUACUGGGACACAGUAUUGUUAUCUACCAACAUAAGAUCACCAUGUGCAUGAGCCAUCUUGGAAAUUUUCUGUAAUAAAUCAUAAAAGACAAUAGUAUGAGACAAAAACAUCAUUUUCUUUAGAAGAUGAAUCAAUAAAUACUAUCUAUGAUUAAUAGUAAAAGUUGAAAACUAUACAUGGACAAUCUACAUAUGCCAUUGUCAAUCACCCACAAAAAUAUCACAAAUUUGUUUAUGAGUGUUGGUCACAAAUUUUGUGAAUGGUUUAAUCACAGAAGCAACCUCAUCUAAGUUAGUGGUAUCCACUUGCCUAUACAAAUAAGAUGACAAUCAAGAUUCUAAUAACCUAAUUGAAAAAAAAGAUACAACGACAAUAAAGAUUCAAAUCAUUGUCCCCUCCGCGUUGGUGGAGGAGUGCUGCGUUACUUGACGUUCUGGGUAAGGGUUUGCUUACCUAUUGGUGGGCUACAGUAGGUGCUAUCGUGACUCGGGAAGUUGGGUCCUGACUCAAAUAUACUUUAGUUGAGUUGGAUAUGAAACAGUCCAACACACUAUCUCCUCGUCUUUCUAUUAGAUUUAGAGUAAAAGGCUCCAUGUCUAGGUUAUUUUGCCUAUGCUUCUUAUUGGUAAUUCAGUUUUCCCCUAUCCAUGAUUGUUCUAGUGUCAAGGAAAAUUGUCUAUGCUUCCAUCUCUUUAAGCAUUGCUCAUUCUUAAGGUUUUCUAUAAGAUGUGGUAUUAAAAAAGAAACAAGGCAUCAUACAUUAUUUACGUUCAAUCGCUAUACAUAACUAACUAAAGUUUUAAGAUAUAAAUUUGUCAAUGAACUAAUUUCUUGAACUUCACUUAACUUUCUAUCAACAAUAACAAAAAGAAUUCUUUAACUUCAUAGUCAAUUAAGUUUCAAUUAGAAAAUGUAAUGAGGAUAAUCAUCAGAUUACCUGGAAAGGUAACUCCACCAGUUUAAGCAGAUUUGCGAACUGUUGCAGAACCUGAUGACUAGCAAUCCUUCUUUUCAGUGAAGCGCACCCAAGAAGAUGCAGAACAACAGGAAAAAAUACAACUCUUAGAAGAAUUUUGACUUGUGACGCUACUUAUCUGCCCACGGCGUUUACCACCUUUCAGUUGCUGAAUGUCCCCAGAUAUACACUCAAGUAAACUUGGUACUGUUGAUGCGACAACCAUCCCAAGUGCAUCUAAACACUGCUUCACAACGACAUUCUUCUCAACCAAUCUAUCAACGGUCGAGAGCAAUUUAGCAAUUCAAUAACAUAGUGGUAGCCACCUCUUCCUAUUCAUAUAAAGUAGAUCCACAAAUAUGAGUGCCUUUCCAUUCAAAACUGCAAUUCCCCGCAAAAUUAGAGUCAACAGAUACAGAACAAGAUUCUUGUCUUCGACCAAGGCAAGAAGGUACCUUCCAACACUUGGAAGUGUAUGACUUUUCAAUUGUCAGCCAAGCAAGACCUUGUUGUCAGCCUCAUGAUCUGCUGCUUUCCAAGAGCCCGAAAUAUGUAGCAUAGGUUAGUAAUGACAUCUUGGCUGGUGAAACAAGCUGACCAAAACCAUCCUUGACUGGAGAUAUUUUCAAUUGUCCUCAGAGCAUAAACUUGAGUAAUGUCAUCCUCUUCGUUUCGUAGAAGUGAUGAAACCAAUGAAAUUAUUGGGCUUGUAACCUACAACAUUAAUAUUUUCAUAAAGGAAUGUUAAGAUAGGAUGUGAGGCUUGGCAAUAUGUAAAGAUAGUACAUAUUGUAUGAUUUUAUCUUAGUUUUUCCACAACCCCAAGAGAAAUAUCUUAACACACUUGUUUAUUUUACUGCUAUAUAGUGUUGCAUUACAAUGGAAUUUCAAUCUUAUAAGUUCAUCCAGUUCACUAAUUAAAAGAUAAAUGGUUUUUAACCCAUUAAUAAGUAUACCAUUUAUAUCCUAGUGACAAGUUGCAUUAUUUCUCAUAAGAGAUGCAUUGGUGCUAGAACUGCGUUUCUGACAGUGCCUAUGCUUUUAAGUGAUUGAUCUUAGAACACUUAAUACUUACAACCUAAUUGCAAUAUAGCUUAGUAAUUUAUUGUGUAGAGGAUUUUUAACAAAUAUAACACUCCAUCCAUUUCAAUUUGUUUGUCCUACUUUCCUUUUUUGUCUGUUUCAAAAACAAUGCGUCUUCUUUUUUUUGGCUACUCUUAGAUUUAAGAACAUUUGGUACAUUCUACAUAUGUUUAGUUUAGAUUCACAAUAUUCAAAAGACUUCUUUACUUUCUUAAACUCCAUGCCAAGUCAAAACAAGACAAAAAUUAAUAUGGAGGGAGUAACAAACUUGACAAGCUGCACCAAUAAGAAGUUACAACAACAAAGAUACCUGCCAACAGGAUGAGGGUCAGUUGUCCUUUGAUGGAGAUUCCAUUGGUUUAUUAUCCCGGGCAUGCUCAUUUUGAGUAGAUAUAUAAAAUAAUAAUUAGCCCAAAGAAGCCAUGGAAAACUUUUGCACUUUCUCUUGCCUGUCUCGCAGACCAUUAGUUAGUGCACCUAAUAUUCCAGAAUUUGCCAGCUCAUCCCCAAAAAAAGUAGAGUGAAGAAUCAACAAGCCAAUAAGUUAAGCAAGUUGAGCAUGCAACAGAAAAACCUUGGAGUGACGAAGGAUUUUGACUAGAACCUACACAAUAGAGUCAUUGGUCAAGAUGUUGGCUGCAUCAGCAUUGCUGCUCAAAAAGCUCAAGGUAUCUGAUCACAUUUUGCUUCUCCCAUGAGGGAAUAUUCCCAUUAAUAAUGAUGAUUCUACUAUUCUUUUGCUCCUUUGAAAUUUUGAUAAAAUUAGAUAGUUGAGGUGGUGCGUAAAAUGAAAGUGAAGGAAUUGCAUCUGAACCUUUAUCUAAUUUUCUGCGAGGCAUUACAGGUGAGACUGAGAAAUUAGAUGGAUGCCAAAUAAUAUCUGAAAGGUUCAUAGAUGGUUUUGAGAUAUCAGAGAAAUCAUUUUUUAUAAGAACUACAAGACGAAAAGGAAGGAUGAUUGAACUUUAACGUCAUAUAACUGGUAGGAAGGUGCUUUUUAUAUAUCACUCAAUUUUCUUGCUAAUCCAAAAUAACACAGCUGCCAGGAAACAAAUAGAACUUUAAUGUCAUAUAACUGGUAAAAAGCACUCAUCGUGAUGUGGAAAAGUCACAACAUGAAGAUCACCAUACUUUCGUGAUUCCAUUUUCAUCCAACAGGAUGUUUGAUAGCUUUAAGUCACAGUAAAUUAUUCCCUUUGAAUGCAAGUAUCUGGCAUAGUAGACAAAACACCAAAAAAUAAUUCAUGCCGAAAACAACAAGUGUUACAAAAGAACAAUGAAGGCUAAAGUUACUAACUUACAAAAGAGCUCUAACAAGGCCACAAGCAAGUUUGUGUGUUGAAUAUUCAGGAAGCUUACGAUCUUCAACCAGAGAUUAAAAGAUAUUAAAAUCUCCCAGGUGUGGUUUAAACUAAAAUACAGGUAAGAUGAUGCAGAUGCAAGUUGUUACAUUACCAACUACAGUAAACAGGGUCAUUUUGACUACUCUUUAAAUACAAAUAAAAAAAGCAAAAGAGCUCUAACAAGGCCACAAGCAAGUUUGUGUGUUGAAUAUUCAGGAAGCUUACGAUCUUCAACCAGAGAUUAAAAGAUAUUAAAAUCUCCCAGGUGUGGUUUAAACUAAAAUACAGGUAAGAUGAUGCAGAUGCAAGUUGUUACAUUACCAACUACAGUAAACAGGGUCAUUUUGACUACUCUUUAAAUACAAAUAAAAAAAGAAACCUAUUUCUUUCACAUCAUUUUGUUGGGACAAAAACAAGUUACCUUUAUUUGUGAGACUACAAACAACUCUAUUAAAGUUAUCAAUCGCACAUGACACUGAUGUCCUUAGUGCCUGUUUGGGAAAUCCCAAUGUAGGCAUGCAACAAAUUUACCAUGAAACAUCAAUAUCCCAUGCCUCUACAAAAAAAUUGACCAAGAAGAAUUAGGGUGUUGUCACAAAUUUUGGAUGUUCGUGUCUAAUGUCAGCAUAAGGAAUCCUAUAUGCCAACACAGUAGUUAUACCACUGGAACAGUGAAAUGUAUUUAUAAAAUAGCAGACCUGCCAGUGCUUACCUGCUGCAACAAGCUCAUGAGAUUUCUUCCAACAAAAUAUUCUAAAUCCAGCCACAGGUGUGCAGAUGUUUCAUACCUAUGGAUAGGUUGAAUUAGAAAAUAUGUCAGAGAAAUCUUCUUAUUACACACCAAAAGGACCUUUACCACAGAAGCAGAAUUGAAGAAAAAGAGAGGGGUUACGUACAAGAUAGGAAAAAAAUAAAUCUCACCAGGAGUAGAACUUUAAUACAGUUUCAUGAUCUAUAGAAUGAAGAAUUCUGACCUGUAGCAAAUGUAGCCAUAGAAGAAUAAGUACAUGAAUAGAGGAAACUGAAGGAAAUAGAUUUUAAGAAAAGAGGUUGGGGUUUUUGAUCAUUUGUUCACGAGAAUUCAAUUUUAUACCACGGAAUAGAAAGACUGUGGUAUGACUCAUAUAAUUUCCAAUGAUCUAAUAACUACAAUAGUCACAAGCAUCAACAAUCCUUAACAUCUAGAUAUAUGAUGAGGCAAGUUGUUUUCUAAGACCACGCUUACUAAAAGCAUAUGCAUUCUGAAGUAGUUCAGCUGCUUUUGAAGAUUUGGAAUAACUACAGAUAAUGUCAAAACUAUUGAGUAAGCUGAUCCAGUAGCGCUGUAGAUUAGCAAGCACCAAUAAAAUUUUACCGUAAAUCAAUGAAUAUAACUUACAGAACAAUGUGUUGUAAGCUGACAGAUUCUAAAGUCCAUACUGAGGAGGGUUCACGGAUAAUUACCCUGUAACAUAACAUUUUUCCUUUAUAUCUAUUCCUCUAAAAAAGUAGACUACAAUUAAAAAUCAAAAGUAUUAUGAAGUUCUCAAAUUUCUAAGAGAGCUAUUGGGUAGCUAAUAAAUUUUGCAGCUUGGUUCCCAAUUCAAUCGUAAAUUAUCUUCUUCCCAAUAGGGUGGCCUAGCAAUCAAAUAGAUCAAGUAACAGAUUAGGAACUAAGGUUCAGAUUUCACAAUAGACGAUACUUGGUGAUAUCUUCUCAUCUACCUAAACCUUGAUGUGCAUAGUUAAACAGAUAGUAAUAUGUACUACAACAUACGGUGGCCCAGAUACUAAUGUUAUCAAGAGGAUAAAUUAGGCACUGCCACAGUUUUAUCAUCAGAGGUGCAAGAAAAUACAGCUAAGGGUCCAUCGAAAACAAUCUAAUCACUCUACCUCCAAAGGUAAGGAUAAGGUCGGUUUACAGUCUAUCCUACUCAAACUCCACUUUAUGACAUUAUGUUGUGUACGUUGUUGUUGUUGUAGGUGAAAUCAAAUUCAAACGUGAAGCUCUAGUUCCCUCCGCCAUAUGUUUUUUCAAAAUGAGAACCUUGUCAACAAAACAUAAAAUAGUAAUAACAGAAUGAUAGGCAAUAAUCUUGGAGAAAACUACCUUUAGUACUUUCAGAUUCAUUGAUUUUAUCUUCUUCUUUUCCAGUCAGGGUGAUGCUCUCCAAGCUCUCCAUUUUCUAUUAAUGGCUUUGAGCAUUUUUGGCAGCAAGUUCUUGUUCCUUCCUCUAAAUGUUGAAUUUAUUCAACUUUUCUUUAAACUCUCAUUGCAUUUUCAGCUCUUGACCUCUUUUUGCCUCAAGUUCACUUUAUUUCUUCAAAUAUCCUAAAUCAACUCUCCAUUUCAUUUUCAUGCCAACAUGAAAAAAAAACACAUUAAAAGCACCAAUUUUAAACUAAAGCAAGCCAAAAUAACUAUGAAAAGAGCCUUAAAUGAGUGGAAAUUCCCCACUCAUCAUCACUCCCAACUUAGAAACUUUGUUUGUCUUUGGGUAAAGAAAAUCAAAAACACAAAAGGAUCUUAUUUCAAGACACACCACAAAUCAAUUUCCCUUUCUCAAUUAAGCACACAGGUAAUGGCUUCGGUUGGUACUAACAAAUAUUCCACAUGCAAACUUUUCACAAAUGAAAUCAUCUCAUUCUCAUGAAACAUUUUCAAAAACCAAGAAUCAUUUAAGUGACAACAACUCAAAUUCAAGAAAUGACUCAACUCAUUAACUCUUUCAUAUGCUCACUUGACUCAAUUAGGAAUUUUCAAAAUCACCACUUUUUCAACUUACAUGCCCUCACAAGAAAGAAGUGUCCUUAUACCACACACACAUGUAAACAAGACAAGGAACAAAGAUGCAACAGUCACACUCACAAAGAAGCAUCUGAUGCACACAAAUGUCACACCAUAGGCUUCCCCAUAUUUUCAAUCAACACUGACUCAACUCCAUUUGGUUCGAAAUCUCAAAGGACUUUGUCAAGAUUGUAAUGUAGACUUAAGGAAGGUAAGGAUAUUAUAUAGGUAUAAGUGACUACACCUUCCUUGAUCGCAACACAACAACUCCUCAUUUCGAACUUUCUCCACUUUUCAAACCCAUGCACAUUUCACAAUAUAUUUCAUUUUUCUUUACUUAUUUCCACUCUAAAUGCCCCACAUGCAACCAUUUCCAACUUUUGGAGGAUUCAAGACUCAUUUAUUCAUUUUCUUUCUUUCUUUUUUUCAAAGCUUAUUCUUUCUUUAAGACUUUCCAUCCAUCCUUCAAUUUCUCUCUUCUUUUUGGUUUUUUUUUUUACAUGAAGCCCUCAUAUGGUAAGCAUCCCUUCGAUGAAUUUCCAUAACAACCCCAACUUAGGCUUUUAGUCUCAACUUUCACAACCUUAAGUUCAAGGAGGGUAGUUUUCUUUCUUUCUAUUUCAAAGCUUAUUCUUUCUUUAAGACUUUCCAUCCGUCCUUCAAUUUCUCUUCUUUUUUUCUUUUUGUUUUUACAUCAAGCCCUCAUCUAGUAAGCAUCCCUUCAAUGACUUUCCCAUAACAACUCCAACUUAGCCUUUUAGCCUCAAGUUUCACAACCUCAAGUUCAAGGAGGGAAGGGUUCAAAAGAGGGUUACUUUUUCAAAAAGGAUAAGGC